rnacentral:lncRNA from 1 species
AGCGGGAGAGGGACUGGGCGCGGGUGGUGGGAGGCGGGGGACAGGGGGAGGCGCCGCCGCCGCCGCCGCCCGCCCCUUUCCGCUGGGGAGCAGCUGCAGCAGCAGGAGCAGAGCAGGAGCCGCGCAGCCGCCGCCGCCGCCGGGGGAUGUGGCCGGCGCCUGCCCCGAGCCGCGCUGCCUCCUGAGUACUCGCCGCCGUCGCCGUCGCCGCCAAGCCGUGCGGGGCCAGGCCGCGCCCUCCCUGGGCGCCCGCCGGCUCGCAUGCCGAGGGGCUCCGGGGCGUAGCUGCGCGCCCGGCGCCGCCUCCGGGCUCCUCCGGCCCCGCCAUGGGCUGCUGCAGCUCCGCCUCCUCCGCCGCGCAGGUGAGGGGCUCCCGCCUCCCGGCCGCCCGCCCGGAUGCCUCCCCCGCGCCGCGCCGCCAGCGGGUGCCCGCUCCCGGUGCUUCUCGCUCCCCCAGCCUCCCUUCAUCCACCGUGCACUCCAAAGACCCCUACCGCUCCUCUCCCUCCCGCGCGUCCCGCAGAUGCCUCUACGCUGGCUCCGGCAGCUGCCGACCCGCAGGCGCCUUUGCGCGGCCCCCGGUGCUCCCUCAGCUCUCCCCUGUCCCUUCCCGACUUGGCCUCCUUCUCCCGGUCACACCUGAGCGGCCCGUCCCGCCCGCCUGCAGGUAGAGGCUACACAGGCGCCUCCUGUCUGCCCCAGGUGGCAUCCCUUUCCUGGCCUUGCUCCUCGGUUCCCACCUCGGUGGAGUGUUCCCCUCCCAUACGCCGACUAUUUUCUGUGUUCCAAGGUGUACCCCCAGCUUGGGCUCUUCACCUCUUUGCUAUCUAAUUCCAGUUUCUGCUCCAUUAGAUAAUCUGUCCCUUUUCUCUUGCCCGCCGUCACCCGGCCGGGUUCAAGUGUUUCAUCGGGUCCCAGAGCCCUUCCACGGCCCUUUUCCCAGCUCCCACUCGCUCGUUUCCUACCCCAUCCCCCCUUAGUGCCUUGACCCCGGGCACCCGGGCCUCUCUGCACACCGAGGCCCCUGCGGGAGCGCCGGGACUGGGCUGGGAAGGAGAUUGGGCACCUGGUGGGUGACGGGAGCAAUACGGAAACUCCCUCUUUGUUGCCAGUGUAACAGGAGGAAGAGGUGCCGAAUUUAGUUUUUCUGUGGGCACUGGAUGAAUGUUGUCGCUGAGAUGCAGAGAUUUCUCCCAGCCUCUACCCUGCCCCCAUCCAAAUUUCGCUAACCUCCUUCCCUUCCAAUCCAAGCUCUUACCCUGGGUGGAAAUGUUUAGACAACUGUUUAAGGAUCAAAUGUAAUAGAACUUGACUGCUGGCCACUAAUAACUGAGAGGACCUGUUUGUAAAUUACCUAAUUUAGUGGAUUAGUGAGUGUAUUUACAAAUACGAUAAAAAGCAAUCAGGAAUACUGCAUCAAACUGUCUGGUGGUGUUGUAUGAAAAAUAGGCUCUGACAAUGCCUGGGAUGUAAUCUCCACAGUUUCAUUAGCGUAGAAUUUUAACAGUGCUCUGUGAUUUGCGUGUGUGUGUGUGUGGGGGGGGGUGAGAAACGGACUCUUGUUUUUAGAAAUAAAGGCUUUUUGGUUCUUGGAAAAGCAAAAUGCUAGUUUGGAGAAAAAAAUUCCUCCAGAAAUCUAGCAUCUGUGAUAAUGCCAGAAGUGUUUUGCUGCUGCUAAAUGACUAUAUAUAACUCAGUUUUAAAUAACCUGCAUUCUUGAUCUGGAAAUCUUGAGAUCUGUUAGAGAAAAUGCCUAGAAUUGCAGAUGCAUGGAGAACAUUUUAUGCUUUAUUAGGUAUCCAUCCUAUUUGUCCAGUUGUUAUGCUGAUGGGUUUAGUUAAACCUUCCCAUUCAGUUAGAAUAGCAAAGAAAAACUAUGUGUGAUGGUGUUAGGAUAGGUCAGGGUUUUCAUAUUAACAUAUAUAGGUGGAAAAUUAUACAGAUCUUUCAACUGCUUAGGGAUAUUUUGGGACAGGGCUUCUAGUUGGGUACUGUUCAUUUAAUAUUUACUUAAAUAUAACCUUCACCAAGAGGUGUCUUUCAUAUAUAUUGCCUUUCUUUUCAGAAUUGGGUUACUUUACUUUCUCUAUUGGUGAUAAAAUGCCUUUAAGACAGGAACGUAUUGAUACUUUAUUGAUAGUAUGUUCAGUGCAUGAACAGUUUAAUUUGGGAGGGAUGGAUUCAGCACUAGCUCUGUUCAGAUAGUGGAUCUUACAUUUGUCUGUCUCCACAUCAUACUUUUCAGAAUGCUGUCAAGUGCAUCUUUUUGCUUUUUCCUCCUCUUCACAGCUACUGUUUCCUUCAUGCUGUGUUCUACACACAAGAUGCAUGUCAUGCACCCAAGGGGGUAUUUUUUUCUGUGGAUUCCUAUAGCCAAUCAGCAACUGUCACAACCUUUGAGUUCAGCUUUGGGGACUUGUAGUGUUCAGUGGAGCAUGGAGGAGGCAGGUUUCGUGCCAAAGAGCUGGUCAUCUUUUUUUUUUUUUUUUCCUUAUUUGAGGUUUUUGGCAUCAUUUUUCAUUUGUGAAGUAUUUCCAAUCUGCUGGCAUUUUAAUGCUCCUUUGAGAAGCAUCACAUAUUUAGAAUUGUAUUGUAUCUAUCUAUAUGUGUAGUUGAAACAAAAUAGGGCUGCAACUUUAAAUCUUCUUUAUAUGUAAACCUUCAUAUCAUCCAGCCUCUCUUAGGGGUAUGGAAUGUACUUUCAGGCAGAAUAUGUUUGUUCCUACUGGAUUAUAAGCUUCUUGAGAAUAGCAGCUGCUUUUGUUUCCUUAUCUUUGUGUUUUCUGCAGUGCUUCACUGUACCUUGUACAUAAUAGUUGCUCAGCAGUAGUCAUUGAAUGGAAUCUAUACACACAAAUUUGAACAUCUAGCUGGCAACUGACAUUGAUUAUGAAUGCAACCCUGACCUAUGUUUCACUUCUAUAGGCUGGCUGGUUGACUAAUUCCACCAAGCCAUCCUCUUCUGAACUCAAACCUGAACUGUGUAAAUUAAAACUUUCAUCCUUUCCCCAUUUCUUUCUAUUCUGUCAUUGGUAUCAUUAGCUUGUAAAAUCGAGCAGAUUUUCUCUUGAUUCCCUGCUCAAUGUUUAUAUUUCAGUUGGAGCCAUGACUAUAAUAUCUUAAAAGAGCUUGUCUGCAAACUCUAAUGAUAACCUGCCUAGUACAUCAAAAUGAUAUUCUUUGAGGUAAACUGCAGUCCAGUGUAGCUUUUCUCAGGGGUAUUGUCAGCAACUUUGAAGCCCAGGUAGACUUUAUCAAUUGAAAUAUGUUGUCUUUUUGUAGUAGGAAUUCACUUUUGAAAUGUAUUGUGUUUUCCCUUGUAGCCUCUUGCCAUGUUUAAGAUACUCAUAAGAGUUUAUAGUGUUCCAAACUUUCAUCUCUUGUAAUUUGUCCUGCUAUUAUUUUCAUUAUUAUUUUCUUGCCAGUGUCUGGAUAUUAAUUUCCCAUCCAAAGAAUUAUCCUGAUUUAGGAUUUAAAUUUACCAGGUGUCACAUUCUAUACUAGUAUUUCAUUGCUGAAGGAGCAAAAUCUUGGCAAAAUAAUUUGUACUAUAUCAGGCAUCUAAGAAUCUUAACUGUCUUAGUCUGGGCUCUUACAGACUCUUAAUUAGGUCUGUCUGUCUUUCUUUUUUAUUAGUGACCAUUACAAGUUGUUUAGUAAUUACUGAAAACAAGCUGAUACAUGUUAGUCUUUGCCUAAGUCUCUUUGAAAAGAACAUAAAAGUAAGAUAGUCUUGGGUUUCUUUCUACAGCCCUAAUCCUCCCUAAGACUCUUAAAAUUUAUUCCCAUCUCUCCAUAAUUCGUUUCUUCCAUUAUAACCUGACAUAAUUUCUAUUCUUGUAGUGUUAAACUUCAAAGUUCACUUGUAAAUCUUCAGAUUUAUUAAAUGUUCUUUCCCAUUGACAAACCAGUUUAAAUGAAGGAGGCUUUUGAAAGAUUACUUAGCAAAUUGUCGUAAGUCUUUGUCGUUAAUGGCUAGAUCAUUAUUUCUCACAGCAGUGCUUUGGAGGCCAGGAGAUUUUUGCAAGUAUUCUGAAGUUCUGUGUCCUUCAAUUCUAACCUUAGAAAUUAAGAAUGGAAUAGAGGAGAAUCUUUCCGGUUGAACAAACGGCUCCUUAUCUGACUGAUUUUAGCAGAAUUUUGUCUACUAUCUUAUCCCAUGGUCUUAAAUUGAGGGCUAUAUAUUUAACUGUCUUAUUCUAGCUCUCGUAUCUUGUUUAAGAGUAAUGAAAAAAUAAUCAGAAGUGAUUCACAAAUACUGGUUAGUAUUUGAGUACCUUAACUGCCUUAAGAUAAUUCUGAUAGAAUUUAUAGUCUAUACCUGCUUUGUAGAGUUUGAAAUCAGGUGGAGAAAUAAAAUUUGAAGAAUAUAGUGGAAAUUACCAACAGAGACUAAGUUGUUCAAUUAAAAUAUGACCUGCAAAAUAAAUCUUGUUGAAAGUCAUGGCAUUAAGAUUUUUUUUUUUUUUUUGCCUUAAGAAUACUGUGCUGUUAGCAUAGAGGAUCAUAAUAAUUUUAAUGUGCCUGUUUUUUUCAUAUCCAUUUCCAUGUUUGAAUCUCUACAGUAACUCAGGUUCAUCUUACUUCCAUUUUACAGAUCAAGAAAUUGAGACUUGGAGAUCAGGAAACUUGGAUCAAGUUGCAGAGCCACUAAGUGAUAGAUAGCUUAUCUUCUGAAUAUGGAUUGUGUGCUUCUUCAUUUAUGUUCACAUACAUAAAUCGCAGCUCCUCCACUUUUUUUUUUCAUUUUUAGAGAAGGUCAAUUUUGGACUAAAGAGUUUCCAAGUUAAAUUUUAUGCCACUAUUUUGAACUUCCUGCAGGUACCACCUGAAGAGUAACAUUGUAUAAUAUAGCAAAGUUAGUACAAUUAGAAUGUUUCCAUGCUUACCAAAUUUUAUGGGAUGCCUCUAGAUGUGUUAACAACUCUGUCAUUUAAAAAUAUUGUAGAUUGGGCUGGGGUUGUGGCUCAGCAGUAGAGUGCUCACCUAGCACGUGUGGGGCCCUGGGUUCUAUCCUCAGCACCACAUAAAAAUAAAUAAGUAAAAGGUAUUGUGUCCGUCCACCACUAAAAAAUAAAAUAUUUUUUUAAAAAUGCUGUACAUCUGGGAAGAUAAAUAUGUUUAAAAAUAUAUUCUGAUACUGGUUAUUGUUUAAUAGCUGUUUUUCUAUGCAGCCUUUGUCCCCCAACUACCAACAAAGAAUGAAAUACUUUAACUUUAUAAGUUCUGGUUGGGUUUUGGGGACUCUGGGAGAUUACUAGAGAUGAACUGGUCUUACCUUCUCACUUUUCUGUAUAUUUAAACCGGACUUUAAAAACUGGGACCAGAACCUACUUAGUCUCAUAAUCUCUUGCUCUUACUGUUUGUUUGUUUGUUUUUGGUACUAAGGAUUGAACCCCUGAAUGCUUGCUGAGCUACAUCUCAGCCUAUUUGUUUAUUUAUUUAUCUAUCUAUUUAUUUAUUUAUUUUCCCAUUAUUUUUGGGGUGGGGGGCAUACCAGGGAUUAAAUCAGGGGCAGUCAACCACUGAGCUACAUCCCCAGCCCUUUUAGAGACAGGGUCUCACUGAGUUGCUUAGUGCCUCCUCGCUUUUGCUGAGGCUGGCUUUGAGAUCCUCCAGCCUCAGCCUCCCAAGCCACUGGGAUUACAGGUGUGUGCCACCAUGCACAGUUUACUGUUAAUUCUUAAUGUUUUAGUUCUUUACCUUCCCAAACUUUGCUACAUAUUACAAUCACUUGAAGUUCCACUGGUAAUUCUCAUAUGCCACCAAGGAACCACACUGUUCUUUACCUUUCCCUAGGUGGUUUCAUCUCUUCCAGUGAUUUCAGUUCUCAGUUACAACCUAUAUGCUGUUAAUUUCCAAGCUGAACUACGGAAUUGAAACAAACCUUUUCUUGGCAUCUAAUUGUCUGAAGCAGUUGAUUGACACCAGAACAUUGUAUAGGUAUCUCAAUUCAGCAUGUCUAAAACCAAAACUGGACUCAACACUUGUGAAUCUGUUCCUCACUUGCAUGUCUUUUUCCUUAUGUCUUAUUCACUGAAUGAGACCCAUGUCUUGAUUGUGGAAACUGGAAACCUGAGGGAGACCACCUUCCACUUUUCCAUUGUAGUCACCACAUCUUGUCUCACCUUUCAACUCCACUGCUAACACCUCUCUUGAAGCCUGUGUCUCCUCCAGUCAGGACCUUGGUUACAGGUUUCCCUAUAUUCAUUCAUACUGUCUUCUGAACUUUUUCUAUACUGCAGACUUUUUUUUUUUUUUUUUUUUUGUACCAGGGAUUGAAUCCAGGGAUGCUUUACCACUGAGCCACAUCCCAAUCCCCCUUUUUUAUAUUUUAUUUAGAGACAGGUUUUCAUUGAGUUUCUUAGGGCCUCACUAAGUUUCAUACUACACUGGCAAAGUUGAGUAGUUGAACUCAAGCUCCUCCUGCCUCAGCCUUCCCAGCCACUGGGAUCACAGGUGUGCCCACACACCCGACUUAUACUGUAGUCUUAAUGAUUUUUGAAAAUCCAAAGCUGACUGAUUGUGUUCCUCUCCUACUUACAACCCUUUGGCCUCUGAUUGCUCUUGGGACAAAGACCAGAAUCCCUGAGCCAGGCCAGCAUGACCCUGUGUGGACUGGUCUAUUCUCUGUGGCAUCCUCAUCUUAUUUGAGGCUUUUGUUUUUUUAAUUUUUUCCUGAUUCAGCCUCAUUGGUUUUCCAGCCAGUCAUGUUCAUUCCUCUGUAGGGCUUUUGCGCGUUCACUUUUAUAAAAGGGUCUUUGCUUCUCUCCCUGGCUGCCUUUGUCUGGUUACCUUGAGUUUCAGCCUCAAGUUCACUUCCUUAGAGAACGCUUUUCUGAUUCUUCAAACCAGGCCAUGUUUCUUUAUUAAACUCUCCAGACCUUUAUUUGUUUCCCUUUUGAGCACUUAAAGCAAUAAGUAAGUAAUUAUGCAGUUACUCUCAGUGUCUACACCAGUUGGAAAACUGUAGCCCAUGAACUAAAUCUGACUUGCUCACCUGUUUUUGUAUGACUUACAAGCUAAGAAUGGUAUUUGUAUCGUUAAAUAGUUGAAAUAAAUCGGAAGGUUAUUACUUAUUGAAAAUUAUAUGAAAUUUGAAUGUCAUUGUCCAUAAGGAAAGUGUUAUUGGGACACAGCCCAGGAAUUCAUUUACUUAUUGUCUAUAGCUACUUUCAUACUACACUGGCAGAGUUGAGUAGUUAAGACAGAGACCUCAUGGCCUGCAAAUGUUAAAUAUUUACUUUGUUACUCUUUACAGAAAAUGUUUGCUGACCAUUGUUCUAGGUUGGAUUGAUGAAGAGGCAACCUUAUCUACUUUGUUUAUUACUGUUAUUCUAUGUAUUUAGCUGUACUGGCACAUGGUAGGUAUUCAUGAAAUGUUUGUACAAUUGACAAAUAUUCCUUUUCCUACCAUCGACAGAUUUCUACUUUAGCAACUCUGGUACUUUAAAAUCUGAUGCAGAAGUCUUUUUGAAAAGAUUGAUUCUUUAGAAGAAGAUAGUCAAUAAAAAUGUCAGCAGUAUUCUGACUUGGCUUGUGGCUAAGUCUGAAUAAAGUUUUUAAUAUAGUAAUAUUUCUUUCCUUUUAAUACUUUGUUUUCUCAUUUAUUUGGAACAUGACAUAGCAUAAUGCUCCAAAUUUGUAUUUAUGUUUUAUAUUUCUCAUUUAUUUGGAACAUGACAUAGCAUAAUGCUCCAAAUUUGUAUUUAUGUUUUAUAUCAAAUUCAGUAUCUUUUUAAAAAGAUAUUUGCAUUUUUCAGUGUUUUAAUAUACUCAACAGAGGAGUGUCCAUUUUCCCCCUUUGCUGGGCUCCUUUCUGACUUCACAAUAUAGUAAUAGUUGUAUAAGAGGACUUAUUUAUUAACAAACAUUUAUUUGAUAAACUUGAAAUUUUUGUGUGUGUGCAUGUGUGAAAAUAACAUUACUUCCUCAUAGGUGCUCUCUAUAACAUCCCACAACCACUAUUUAGACAUUUAGAGAUACUCUAAAGAGUGAUUUUUAUUUCAAUUUUUAGGGUUGCCAGAUAUGUUGAAAAUUAUUAAACAAAAGUGUUUUAUUUCUGGAUACAUUUGUAUAAUGUCAAGUAAGGAAAACAGAAGAUGGGAAAAUGGAAAAGAGAUGAUUACUUCAAGAUACUUAAAUAGCAGGAAAUAUAUCUUGUAGCAUUGUGAUAAUAUGAUCAGGAUCUUUUAAGAUUUGUCAUUAUAAACCACUUAGGAUUUUCCAGCUGUAAGAAAUAAACAACUACAACAAAACACUCUUAAAUCCAAACAAUGCAAAUAUUAAGGAAGGUAUAUUAUUUAUUUUUACGUGGUGCUGAGGAUUGAACCCAGUGCCCCACGUGUGCGAGGCAAGCGCUAUCACUGAACCAUAACCCCAGCCCUCUUCUGUCAUUUUAAGGAAGGUAACUUCCUCUGAUCCAGAGAUGUCUAUGGCUUUUGCUGAGCCAACAAUCUCCACUGAUUUUCCUUUAAUAGGAAAUAGGGAAUACUGCAUAUUUAUUUCUAAACAAUGUCUAGCAAGGGAGAGGCAAAGGACCCAGUAAUUAGUUCAGUCCCACCAGGAUUUCCUUGAGUCUAGUGGGGUAGGUGGGGUGGGUGAAAUAACAUCACAAAAAAAGUAGGACUUAGCCAGCAAGGCAGAGGUGUGUGUGGUUGGGGGAAGUGGGAUCGUGUGGGAAAGAGCAGCUGGGUAAAGCAGUCACAGUAAUCUUACUCUGCCCCGACAGGGUUCUAGCCAUUGUGGAAAACUUGACUUUCUCCUUUGCUCGAUCUCACUGCCUUUCCCCAUCUGACCCAAGGAUAGUUCCAUGUGAAGAAGAGCUGCUGAGGCUGGAGUAAGGUGACAAAGCUAGUUGUUAUUCCUGCAAGCAGUGGUCCCUAAGGACGCCUUAGAGGUUUGAACCUCUUCUCUCAGUUUUUCUAAAUCCUCACUUUUGUCUGCAUUUAUCCAUUUGGUAUUCAUUUUUUCCCCUUUCCCUAAAAAUUUCAUUUUCCUUUCUUCCCACUACCAUUUGAGACACUUAAAGAACUAUAAUACAGAGUAGAAUAUAUUCAAAUACAAUAAAGAGGUAAAAAAAGAGUGCCUCUAUUUUAUUUACCUGCUUAAUUUCAUUUUUUUCUUAUAAGCCAUAAAAAACCCCUGAAAAUUCACAUUAUUAUUUGGGCUUCUCUGAUAUUAAAAAAAAAAAAGAAGAGCUUUUCAGCACGCCAGAUUCAUCUCUGCAAUAAAUAGAUAAUUAGAGACAGGGAAAUAAUGAAAUAAUAUGUAAAUGUUCAAUCUUGCUAUUCAGAUUAAAUCACACAGGCACCGUUUUACACUUGAAACUUUGGUAAAAGUUAACAAAAAAUAUUAAUUGCCUGUGUGGUUUUUGAUGCAAGUAUGCUUUUUUGAUUUCUGAGUAAAUUGGAAUGACCCUCGUGGGAUACUGCUUGACAACAUACAUUAAAAGACAUUUUAAAAAGUUGACAUCCUUUGUUUAGUAAUUCAAAAGCAAAGAAAUAUGCAGGAGUCUUUCUAUUGAAGCGUAUUUAUAAUAGCAAAAGAGCUCAGUAUUAAACAUUACAUUUCUGUUGUGAAACUUUGUUUUUUUAAUGCAAAAUUUAUUAAAAUGUAAUCUAUUACACAUCCCCAUCCCCAACUAGAUGAUCCUUUAGUGAGUAAGUGCCUUUUUGCCUUCUGCAUAGGAAAGCCUUUCUCCACUUCUCUCAAGGAAUAUUCAGAUCUAGAGGACUGAACACUGUUGUACACUAGCAGGAGUAUGGGCUCUAGCUAGAUAAUAGAAGUUUGAAUCUUGACUCUGUCCUCAUCUGGACUCUUCUUUGAUGUCCCAGUUUCACCAGGUGGAAAAUAAUAGAAACAGUAAAACCUGUCUCAUAGACUUGUCACGAACUGUACAAACCAUGAAAAUACUUCAGAAAUUACCAUAUUUAUGUAAACAAAAAUCUCUUAAAUGUUCUGAUAUCCACUAAUCCUUUACUUAAAAUAAAAUCUUGUUUGAGUUUUGGAAUAGAGACCUUGACUUCCAGAAAUGUUAACUUAUGUCAGGGAGGUGAGUGCUGAGAAUGAAACCAACAACAGUAAAAAGGAGAAGCCAAGUGGAGUGGUGGGGAGCUCAGGGAGUGGGGAAAUCAAGGAAGGGUGGAGAGUCAGAGAGUAGGCUUCCUGAAAGUACUCUUCAUCUGGCCUGGAAGACUGGGCUUGGAAAAUGAGGAAGAUGGACAGAUUUUAAUAGAAAGGGAGAAAGAACAUUCCAGUGGAAAGGCCAGCUGGAUCCAAGGCAAGGGACAUACAGUCAGAUGCUGUGUGGAAUUUACUGAGUUGUAGUGUGGAAAGGACACCUGACCCGAGAAGAGGAAGGAGAUGUUACCUGUAGGAAAGCAUUGGUAUUUGAAGGGGAAGGGAAAUGGGUAGCCAUGGAGGGUUUUUCCAGAGUGGUUUAACGAAGUCUAGGAGUAUGCUUGUGCCCGAAGUGGGAGAGAUGGAAAGCAGAGGCCACACAGGAAGCUGUCCGAUGACUCAGACCAAACAGUAUAAAUGGGAAACAGAUGUUAUGGAUUUUCCUGACUUCUGGAUGUGAGGGAUAAAGGAGCAUGUUAGGAUAGAGGUUCAGAAUGCCGUAUAAAGGGAGAAGGGAAUUGUAAGUGAUGAAAGUGGAAGUUGAGACCUGGGGUUGGAGGAAUGAUAGUAUGUGGGGAGGGUAAGGUGAAUUCCAUUUCUUAUGGACUGGAUUGAGGUGAUACUGUUGUUAAUGCCUUCAGCUAGUAUUUCUCGUAGUCAAUUGAAGACCCACAACAGGAUUUUAGAAAAACCUUUUAAGUCAUAAGUAUGGAGGUGAUGCUUUAAGGAUGAGCAAUACCCAAGAGGCAGGAAAGGGCCCUGAAUACCAGAGCUGGUAGAUCGCUAGGAGAUAAGCACAGGGAACAUCGAUGGUCAGUCAUCCUGGGGACUUAUUGUUUGAAGGGCUCUAGGCUAGAUAUCUUAUAUACACUUCCCAUUUUAUUCUCAUAACUCUGAGAUGGGUACCUCAGAUGGAACUGAGGGUCAAAAUGUUAGGUAGCUAGUCCAAGAUCAGCAGAUCAUGUGAAGUGUGGGUAUUUCCUGCUGCAGUAGGGUAGGCCUUCUUAAUGAGAACUAGUAACUCAGUGAUAUGUUGAAAGAACCUUAGUUCUGUCACUUUUGUCACUUAAAUUCAGAGAUUGUGCUAUCUAUUCUCUCUUUAAAUUAUAUGUAGGUUGGUUUUUAAAUCAGCACACCUCAAACUAGUGGUCAGGGUAUGACUAUUUGGGGGCAGAGUCCAUGUAAAUGGUUUUUCAUUGAACUUGAGACUCUAAGGGACUGUCAUUUUCUUUUAAGAGCUUUCACAAGUUUAUCAUGACUCACUGAUUCUUGGGUUUUUUGUUUUAUUUUUGGUACCAGGAUUGAACUCAGGGGUGCUUUAACACUCCAGCCCUUUUUAUAUUUUAUUUUGGGACAGGGCCUCACUAAGUUGCUGAGGCUGGUUUUGAACUCAUGAUCCUCCUGCCUCAGCCUCCCAAGCUGCUGGGAUUACAGGCAUGAGCCAUCCUGCCUGGUGUAUGACUCACUGAUUCUUGAGAAUAUAGUUUUCAGUGUAUAUAUUUAUAUGUUUAGUCAGCCUUUAUCAAAUCCUGGCCUCUGAAAGUGUUAAUGUAAUUGAUGCUCAUGUUAUUAAAUAUUGAGUUUCAACAAGGCUCUGGAGAGCUGUAAGAAAGGAAAGGGUGAAGAAAUGGCCACAGUGAAGUUGAUUUAUUAGCACAGAUUAUUAGAUGUACAUUAAGAUCAAAUUACAAAGGCAGAGAUUCUCACCACUAGGGCAAGAGAUGGAAUUGUUUUGUUUGUUUGGUUUUCACUGUACUUUAAAAACUCAGAAUAUUUAAAAGAGUGUUAUCCCUGCUUGCAAGGCCCAGAAGUUCUUCCAGAUCUGUUUUGCAUGUGAUUCUAUAUUUUUACAAUUCUAAAAGCAUCAAGUAUUAGAAAACAGCUUGAAGACAUUAAGUUUUAAAAUCCAGCAUAGUAAGUAUAUUUUCCUCAAGAAAAACAUUUUGGAAUGUACCCUGCUGGUUGAAGCAUAUUUCAGUUAUGAAGGUUUGGAAGUAAAACUUUAAUAAGAUAUUCCAUUUUAAAAGUGAACGCAAUUCCAGUUUUCUUUUAAAAAGUUUAUAGUUUAGUUUGAUCUGAGAACGUAACCAAGACCAAAUGGAAAUACAUGUUUCUCUUGAGGUAGUUACAAGCAAAAGGAAUAGAGAGUCUCCUGGGCCAGUCUCUAGGACCUGCUGCUUCUCAGUAGGUGUUUCACGUUCUGCCCCAUUUAAUGAUAAAAUGUUACUUCUGCAAGAAUACCUUAAUCAGGGUUUCCCCAAGUCUGUUCUUCCUAAGCACCAGGACUCCAAGAUGAUUCUCCAAAAAAGUGGUCUGAUGUCAGAAAAGUUUGGGAAGUUCUUGCUCACUCAAGUAAUUUAUAAUAUACUUGAGUGACUUGAAAUCUAUCAAGUUUGAGGUUUCCUUCGGUAAACCACUCUUCCUUCUCUAAUUUCCUUGGAGAUCUCAAACUACUCAUAGUACAAACAAUGGUCCACAAGAAAGGCUUUUAAUUUAUAAUAUACUUGAGUGACUUGAAAUCUAUUUACACUAUUUGGCCAGUAUUUCAAAGAACACAUUGAAGUUUGUGAUAUGUGUGGACUGAGUUUCAAAUCUCCGGAGUGGCAAGUUACCUGAUCCAACAACCUUCUUACUUUUGUGGCCAGGAGAAUGGGAAUUCUGAAACAACAUUUCAAGCAGUGAUUUUCCAAGGGUGCUCUGUAAUAUGCCAGUAGUUAAAAAUACAAUGAAAACAAAAUUUAAGGAGGGAUGAGUCCAAAGAAGGUCAGAUAGUCCAAGUUAAAGUGAUUUCCUGAAGGUAAAGAGGAGAAAUGACCCUUCACUACAUUAACAUGCACAAUGACUUUUUGAAUGGGGAGCAGGGUGGGGGAGGUGGUAUGGAGUGAGCAAGAACUUCCCAAACUUUUCUGACAUCAGACUGCUUUCUUGGAGAACCAUCUUGGAGUCCUGGUGCUUAGGAAGCACAUACUUGGGGAAACCCUGAUCAAAUGAUGACUUUUUUUUUUUUUUUUUUUUUGGUUGGAGAAAGAAUGGUGGAGAUGUUUGAUUUUAAAUGUGCCCAAGCAAAUAAUAAGUUCUCAAUAAAUGUUUAUUGAACAAAUGUGGAGGAGGAAUGGGAAUGGGUAUUUGGAGACUAAAAUUUUAGUUAGUGAUACUGUUAAACAGAACCUGUCAGUGGAGGGAAAUGGAAAUGAACCUAAAAAUGAAAACAGUUAACUAUUUAAAAUGUUGAAGUUAAUUCUGGUGGGCUUUUGAACCUGACCUUGCUAGCAUGUGUUCUUCUGUUAUAAUGAGGUCUCUGUGAGCACCUCACAGUCAAAGAAAAGAAAAAAGCCUCAUCAUAAUAGAUACCUCCGGGCUCAUCAACACUUAAGUAUGCCAGGUCAACUGCAUAGGUCAAUAGAUUUACAAGAAUAAGAGUUUCCUUCCCUUCUGUCCACUCCUGUCCCAGCCCAGACCUAUCCUUGUUACUGGCCCACAGUGCAGAAGAAAUGAUGAAAGCCCUUCUGGUCCAGCUCACUGCCUGCCUGGGAGCAGAGUAAGGAGAGCCACAGAUCCUACAAAAUUUGUUCAAAUUGCCACCUGGAGGGUGGAAGCAGCAGCUCUGCAAAAACCAGCCCUGCUGCUGAUGCGCACAGGAGAGAGGAAUCUCCAGGGCAGGGACAAGAUGCAGAAAAGAAAUCAAGAAUGUCAUUAGAAUUUUAAAAAUUCCAAGCUGGCCACACGUGUUGGUUCUGUUCUGCUCAAAGCUGCUCCGUACUGGGUUCAACAGAGAAUGAGACUUCUGCUCUGAAAGCAUGCAGUCUAUUAAGGAGACACUACAGAGGAGAGUUGCUGCUUUGUCAGGGUGCAGAGCCCAGCUGCAUCCUUUUUAAAUAGCCAAGUAUUACUCUGGUUUACAAGGUAAAGUACAGAUAAUUUCUAGGUAGAUUCCAAACUAAUUUUCAAAACUAAGAGCCAUAAUUACAAAAGUGUCCCUGAAAAAGCUGGAUGUUAUUCUUGAAGUAUGAUUUGUGUUGAUGCUUAACUGGGGAGAAUGGAGUUCAGUAAACUUAGGAUAAAUUUAUUGUGUCUAGUGACACAAAGUGAAAGAGAAAAUACUGUCCUUAAGUAGAAAAAAACAAAGGUUCAGAUGCCUAUAGGCAAGUCACAGUGACUCUUCAGACAGUCCUAUAGAAAAGAUGAUAAGUACUAUGUUUAAUAUUUUAAUCUUCAUAUUGAAAUGACUAACAGUUAAGAUGUGAUUUUUGUUCUUUGAUAGAGCAAGGCUCUAGAAACUUAGAACACAUCGAAUUUUUUCUUUUAUUUGGCUAAUUCCUUUUACUGCCUUAUCCAUUCUAGUCAUUAAUCUGCCCUGUCACCUACUAGGAAACCCAGCUGCUCUUGUCAUGGCCCUAGAGUCUCAUAUAUAACUAGGUGCAGAGCCCUAUCUAAUAGUCCAUAGCAACCAAACAGGGUCCAGAGUGGAUUCAGAACCCCCGGUUCUUUAGUUCAUUUCAUAAUGGUGUAUCAGGCCACCUUGUUUCUCAUCCAGCUUUCUCCCACUCAUGCUUUUCUCAUUUACUCUUUAAAUAUUUAUACCUCAUCUGCUUCCAAAAAUAUUUUUAGAUGAUUUGUAAUCAAAUGUAAAUAUAUUUAAGACUUCUGAAAUGAAAAACUGAAAGCUAAGAAGAGGUGGUGGUGGGAUAAAUGGAAGAGGAAGCACGAAUGUGCUGAAUGCUUGAACAGCUUCACCCACCAACAUUUCUAGUCUUGUUUUAGAAUGGUACCGAUUCAGAGGACAUUUUGACACGGAAUCCUUCCACAGAACUGUACUACUGGCACAGACAUAAGAGGUCUAUAGAAUAACCAACCAAGAUAGUCAUGAGUUUUAUAUCAUGGCCACUAAAUGGGUUUUAUUCAGGCUCUGCUUAGAUGACUCCUGCUGUAGAGAGCUGCUGCCGCCUGGUAAAGUUCAUUCUAUUCUCAGGUGUUAGAAAUUUAUUAUUGCAUGUUGAGCCCUGUGUCCAUGUAGCUUCAUGUUGGUCCUGAUUCUGUACCCAUUAGCCAGAAUAGAAUGAAAAGCUGACAUCACGUCUUUAAUACGUGCCAAGUUGUGUGUGUGUGUUUUAAAGUUAAAAACAGUUAGUAUAUGCAACCAUUCUAAAAUCAUGCUGCUAGUCCUUUGCUAUUCUGCGCUCCUCCUAUGCUUCGAUUUUUAAAUUCAUUAUGCAUUGAUGUUUAUUUACUUUUCAUUAAAGCUAUGCAUGCAUAUAUUUUAAAGAGCUUUAAACAUUUCUUUGUGCUUGUUAUUUAAAACAACAAAAAUGAUACCCCCUCAUUUUCUAUUGCCCAGAGGCCAUCAGUUUUAAAUCUAAGAGGUUGUUUUUUUUGUUUUUGGUUUUUUUUUUUUUGCUUUUCUCCUUUUUAUCAUGCUUAUAUGGCUGCUUUCUCAUUUUUCAGUUUUUGAGAUUAAUUUUAGCCUUCUCUCCGGAAGAUAAAGAUCAAGCUCUCUUGCAACACCAAGCUCUUCCUCUACCCCACGCACACACUUAUAGAGAGUUGCUUUUAUUCUUCCACUGUAGGUAUGUCGUGACUGGAUCAGUUUUCAGUCUUUACAUUAUGACUAAUAAAUGCUCUCUCAGCUGAGUCAUGUAGCAUUUUGUUAUUUGUUGCCUUUGGAGACAACAGUUGUCUUGUUCUUCUCUUUACCUAGAUUUCUGUGUACUCUUGAUUAAUUGACUUCUAAACUCUUGCCUACUUAUAUGAAUUGAAGCUGUUAAUUUAAGAUCUCCCUUCACAUCAUAUCUGGGAUUCCUUUAGUCUUUCUUGUAUCAAUCAUUUCAUACUUUAAAAAAAAAUUGUUUAACUUAUAUACAGUAGAAGUUUUCUGUUGUUCAGUUCUAUGAGCUUUGACAGAUGCAUAGAGUUUUGGAACCUCUACCACCAUCAAAAUGUAGACCAGUUCUAUCACACCUAAAAAUUCCCAAGCUGCCCUUUUGUAAUCAGAUCCCUUCCCACCCACUGGCAACCACUGAUCUAUUUCUGUCCCUGUAGUUUUGCCUUUUCCAGGUCAUUUAAAUGGAAUCAUACUGUAUCAACAGCCUUUUGAUUUUGCCUUCUUUCCUUCUGUAUAAUGCAUUAAGGUUUCAUCUGUGUUGCAUGUAUCAGUAGUUGGUUCUUAUUGCUGAGUAACGUUCUAUUGUGUGAAUAUACUAUAAUUCAUCUCUUUACCAGUUUCCAGUUCAGGGUGAUUAUUAAUAAAGCUGCUAUACACACUUACAUGCAAGUUUUUAUACGAACAUAAAUUUUCACUUCUCUUGGGUGUUACCUAGGAGUGGGGUUGCUGGGUCAUAGGGUGUGUUAACUUUCUGUUACUAUAUCAAAUACUUGAGAUAAAUCAACUUAGACCAAAAAGGACUAUUUUUGCUCUAGCUUUGUGCUAAGGUAGCACAUCGUGGUGGGAGUAUAAAGCAAGGCAAAACCACUUGCCUCAUGGCCUGCAAAUGCAAGAGAAAGGAAGUGGAAGGAGCCAGGAUCCCAGUAUCUUCUUCAAGGGCACACCCCAGUGACCUAAAAUCUCCUACUGGGCACCCCUUGCAGGCUCCAUCACCUCCCAAUAGCUCUAAGCUUGGGAAUAAGUCUUUAUCACAUGGACCUUUGGGAUCACUCAUGAUCCAACUACAGCACAGAGUAAGUGAAUGUUUAUAGAAGACUACCCAACUACCCAGCUGUUUCCAAAGUGGCUGUACUGUUUUGUAUUCCCAUGAGCAGUAAAUGACUAUUGAGUUGUUUCACGUCCCUCUCAGCACUUAGUAUUAUAUUAGCAGUUUAUUUUUUUCAGUUGCUGCCAUAGGUGUAUAGUAGAAUUUCUUGUCUUUUCUUUCUUUUCUUUGGUGCUGGGGAUUGAACAUAGGGCAUGGUGCAUACGAGACAAGCGCUCUACCAACUGAGUUAUAUCCCCAGCCCUGUAUAGUAGAAUUUCAUUGUGGUUUUUGUUUGCACUUUCCUGUGACCAGUGAUGUCAUGUGCAUAUUUGAGAUUCACAUAUCUUACUUGGUGAGGUAUCUUUUAAAUCAUUUGCUCAAUUUUAAUAGGGUAUUUUAAUUUCUUAUUAUUUAGUUUGAGAAUUCUUUACUAUCUAGAUGCAAGUCUUUUAUCAGAUGUGCAACUUGUACAUAUUUCUUUCAGUAUGUUUCUUGUUUUUCUUUUAACAGUGUCCCCAUUUUUAGUUUUGAUGAAGUUCACCUUUUCACUUUUUUUUUUUUUUAAAUGUGCUUUUGUUGUCAUAGCUGAGAACUCUUUGCUUUGUUUAAGGUCACAAAUAUUUUCUCCUGUGUUGUCUUCAAAAAUUUUCUAAUUUUCAUUUUGCACUUAAAUCUAUAGUUGAGUAGAGAUAAUUUUUGUAUAUGGUCUAUUUUUUUUUUUAAAGAGAGAGUGUGUGAGAGAGAGAGAGGGAGAGAGAGAAUUUUUUAAUAUUUAUUUUUUAGUUUUCAGCAGACACAACAUCUUUGUUUGUAUAUGGGUGCUGAGGAUUGAACCCGGGCUGCACACAUGAGCGCGCUAUCGCUUGAGCCACAUCCCCAGCCCCUGUAUAUGGUCUAAUUUGAAUUAAUUUUUGUAUAAGGUUCAAGCUGUAAGUUGUUUUUGUUACAUUAUUUUUUUGCUUAUGAAUAUCUAAUUAUUCCAGUAUGCUUUGUUGAAAAAGACUUUUUCCAUUGAAUACUUUUUCAAGUAUCAGCCAUACAUAUUUGGGUUUAUUUCUGAACUUCCUGUUCCAGUGAUCUGUUUGUCUUAACACCAAUGCUACAUGGUGGUCUUGAUGAUUGUAGUUUUAUGGUAUUAUUGAAAUCAGGUAAGUGAGUGCUUUAACUUUUUUUUUUUAUCUUUUUCAAAAUUAUUUUGGCUAUUUUAGUUCCUUUGACUUUCCAUACACAUUUUAGAAUCAGCUUGCCAUUAUCAGAACUAUUACAAAUGUCCUACUGGGAUUUUGAUUUGACUUUCAUUGAAAGUUUGGAUCAACUAGGAAAGAAUUGUCAAAGAAUAUGAGUCUUCCAGUGGGAGUGUGGUAUAGUUUUCCAUUUAUGUAAGCUUCUCCAUUUAUGUAACCCUUCUUUGAUUUCUUUCAGCAGUGUUUCUGUCCCGGUGUUUUCUUUCUUGGUAUAUUCCCUUCAUUUGGCAGAGUGCCUCUUUCAGUAUCUUCCUCAAAAGGGUACAUGCAGGAAAAUUUUUGACCCCUUACCUGUUUUUAUUCUUAUCUCAUACAUAUAUAACAUUUGGCUAAAUGUAGAAUUCUAGGUUGGAAAUUAUUGUCCCUCAGAAUUUUAAGUGUGUCAUUUCCCUGUCAUUUAGCUUCUAGGGUGGCUGUUGAAGUCUUGCAUUCUGAUUCUUGAUUCUUUGUAUUCUACUUGUUUUGUUCUCUCUGAACCUUUUUGUAACCCACGUUCUGACAUUUUUCAGUGAUGUGCCUUAUGUGGAUCUAUUUUCACCCAUUAUGCUGGACACUGUGUGGGCUCUUUAAUUCUGGAGAUUUAUAUUUUGUAGUUGGGAAAUUUUUUCCUGAACUCUUCCUGAUUUCUUCCCAUAUGUUCCUCCUGUUCCUUAACUUCCUUAGGUUUUCUUUAAUUUUGAACACCUUGUCUUUACUCCAUUUCUCAAUUUAUCUUUCAGUAUUUCUAGUACAUUUUUAUCUCUGCUAUGAUUUCUUAAUUUUCUAGGGUAUUUUUUCAUUCUCUUCAGCAUUCUUUUGUUUGUAUGUUUUUGCAUCAUAUGUUUUUAUUUCUAUAUGGAUGUGUGUGUUUAAGUUCACUUCUGUCUGCAUUUGUAUCAUCUUUUUCUCCCUAGUCAUUUUUCUUCUUUAGUCUCUGCCAUUCAUACUAAAGGAUUCCUUACGUGUUUGGUGAUCCUUAGCUAUCUGCUCAUUUAUUUAAGGACAGGAAUCUCAAAGGUUGUUUGAAAGCAUUGUAUUAUUUGAGAAUGAGAUUGUUGACUGUGAGGUUUAACAGUGGGGUGGUCUUGCUGGUGGGUUUCCUUGGGAAACUGGAAUGUUAGUAUUAUUGUUUAAGGUCACAAAUAUGGACUUUACUCUUGGACUGGCCAGGUUUCUCCAAAGAAGUCUUUUCUGGUCUCUUACUACAUAUUAGUCUGGCUGCUAGAGUUCUUUUUUUUUUUUUUUUUUAAGUACCAGAGAUUGAACUCAGGGGCACUCAACCACUGAGUCACAUACCCAGCCCUGUUUUGUACUUUCAUUUAGGGGCAGAGUCUCACUGAGUUGCUUAAUGCCUCCCUUUUGCUGUGGCUGGCUUUCCACUCACUGGUGAUCCUUCUGCUUGAGCAUCCAGAGCCACUGGGAUUACAGGCGUUGGCUACUGCACCCGGCUGGCUGCCAGAAUUCUGGGACCCAAACAAGGCAAGAAGUUGUGAUAGGGGUUAGUCUCAGUAGUCAACACAUAAACUUCCACUUAAUCCUUUUGUUUUCCGUGUGGUCGCUCUCUAUGGUGCAGCUCUCUGGGUAGAAGAGGGGCAGCUCAUUUCCCAACUGUUCAGGGGUCUGUCUGCCCUUAAGCAGCCUUUCAAUGAGUCCUUCUGUUCUUAGCCCCUUGUCACCUCCAGUUCUAGAGAUAUAUUUUCCCCAUAAUUCCUGAGUUUGGGGGGAAUUGUGUGACAUAACUUAGUUUCUUCCCAUAUUUUCCUACUGUUGGCUCAGAACUUGGCAUUUUGGAAUAAGUCAAUUUAUUCUUUCCUGCCAGCUUCCUAAUGGCAAAUAUUUUAAAUUCCUUUAUUAUCAUUUUAGUGGAGUUUCAGAAGGGAGGAGAGUCAGCUAGUCAUUGUUUACCUUAAGUAUACUGAAGUCUGUAACCUGCUUGAAUUCUAGUUAACAGUCUUCUUAAAGUGUGAUGCACAAAUCUCUGCUUGAUUAGAGGUAAGCUAUCCGUGCUUCUAGAUUUUAAUGUUGCCUGCGGUUGAAUUAGCCUGUUCAGUCACUUCACUUACAAUUGCUAGCUGUUCACUAACAGCCAGCCCUAAGCCAACAUUUUCCUCUGUGCUGGUGUUUCUUGUAAUGUCAGUAAAUUAAAACCUGAGUUCAAAACUUUAAUUUUCCCUGGGAAAUUUAGAACUUUUUAUUUGCCCAGUUUUCUAGACUUUGAAGAGCUUUUAGAAUUCCAGUUGUGUUCUCCAGUCAUUAUCCAGUAUAUUUACUAUCCCUUUCUUUUCUUUCUGAUAAUAAUUGGGUCUGUGAGCCAUUUAUGUCUUCAUAUUUAUUGGGGGCAAAGGCCUGCUGAUUGUGGUAUUCACUGUAAUAUUCACAGGUCUGGCUGGCCUGUUUGCUUGGGGAACUCCUGUGGUCAGUAUACUUGGGCCUUAACAUUAUUUGUCAUUUUAUUUUAGUCAUUGCUGAAACUAGUUUUCUUUUCAAAACCUCUUUUUUAGGUAGUCAUUUCUUUGGGAGGUCGGCUCUUUUCUCAAGACCAUUCUCACACUUUCAUAUAUUCUUGACCCUUAUUUUAGUCCAUCCCUCCCAUCUUAUUCUCAGAGAUAUUAAAAGUGGUAUUGACAAAUUUUAAUAAAAUUCAGUUAUAUCAUGUGUUUCCCAAUCUUCUCUCCUAACUGUGAAAAAAGAAUGUGAAGUUAGCAGGAACUGCUUGCUCAGGUACACGUGCUGGCUCUUAUUUGUUGUCUUUUUCUUUCUUUUUAAGUUGUCCAGGCUGGCUUCAAACUUGAUCCUCCUGCCUCAUCCUCAAGAGUAGCUGGGAUUACAGGUGUGCACCACUGUGCCUGCACUAUUUUAUUUUCUAAGUGCCCACAAUUUCUGUUCUAGAACUCCAUCCAGAGUUGAAGUGAUGCUUGGUUACAAAGUGUGUGGCAUUCGCUCUUCCCACUUUUUGAAAAUGGGGAUACUGCCAUGUUUCUCAGUGUUGUAUUGUUCUGGUUCUCUACUGUUGCUUGAGGGCUGUGGGCAGGUGCUCAGCAGCCUUCUUUGCACAAGUCCUCUUGGGACAUGGGCAUGCAAUUUGUCUGGACUACUAGACUUGAACCUUUUCCCUGGGAGGCAGAAGAAGCAGUGUCUCACCUCUGUGUUCUUGGUGCAUUGCCUAGUAGCCUGUAGAAAACUUGUAGUGUUUCAAUAUGCUCAUUUAUUUGAAACACCUUGAGGUUCGUUCUACAUUUCUUUACCUGUUCACCUGUUAGGGCUUCUGUGCUUACAGGCCAAUGUGGAGUCUCAUUCCACUAAAUUUUGGUGAUAUCUAUGAAGUUGUACUUUCUUGGGUUAAAAGUGUCAAGAUUUAUUGAAAAAAGUCUUCUUGGAGUACCUGCACUGUGAUAGAGCUGUUGCCCUGGAGCUCACCAUCCAAUGGGGCGGACAGGUUUGAAGAAGUGUAAUUGUGAAGUCUGCUGCAGGACCAUCCUAUUACAUUGACAUUGGAGGUCAGAUAUGUAAGGUUCUUUUCCCAAAAACUUCUCCUAGGACUAUCUCUGAUUUUUCUUUACAUAUCAUAUCUGACCUCUCCCCUCCAGUGGCUUCUGUCACACUUAUGCAGACUUCCUCUCCACCUUAAUCUGCUCUGUUUCCUUCUUCACUCCCCCGCUCCCCGCCUCUCCCUGCCACCAUGCUUCUCAUUUAUUAUGUUCUGGCCAAGUUCACAGUUUUCAGUCAAGGGGAGAUCCUUCCUGUCUCAGGGCCUUCCUCUCCAUCUGGCUGUCCUCACCUCUGCUAGACUUGCCAUCUCAGUUCUACAACAGCCUUUUGCCUCUACUUUGUCAUUUUCUUUACUCUUGUUUGGCUAUAUUUUUCUUUAAGUGGAUCAUUACCUGUAACCAUUUGCAUAUUUUUUUCUGGCAUUCUUCUUCUAUAUGUUCCAUAAACUCGGGGAUUUUUUUUUUGUUCUGUUGGCUGCUGUAUUCCCAUUGUGAGAAGGGGGCUUGGCACCCAGGAAAUGGUCAGUGUUGAAUGGAGGAUGCACUAUGGUACCAGUUCGCAUUGUUUCUUUCUGCCUUUUUAUUUUCAGCUCAAAACCCUUUGGAUGAGAUGGGCCAGUUUCUGGGCAUGGUUAUUCUUCCAGGUUUACUUACGUUCUCCCUACUAGAGUUAAGUGCUUCAUCUUUAUAGUGUCUUAAAAUUGUACAAAUCGAAUUCUAUUCUUUGAUGUCAUCUGCAUAAAUAGUGGUUAAUUUAAUUUUUCACAUGCUGCUUUUUCCUGUUGGAAUAAUAGGUGAAAAGACCACUGGUUCAAAGUUCAUUAGUUUUCUAAUUCCUAGGCACAUUUCUCAAAUUAUGCUGCUGUUUUUCUUGUAAUCACUGUAAUCUUGACAGGCUUUUUCUCACCUCUUGGCUUCUUCCUAUUGGACCUUGUUAGGCUUGUUAAUUUUCUAUGUGGCAUGGCAUGAUGGUUUUCUAGAAAGUUCUGAUAACUCCUUAGUCUCAUGGUCCCCUAUUUCUUAUAACUUCUCUGGUGGUGCAUUGUUUUUCAUCUAAUUCUAUAUUCUCUGUUUUUUUUCUUCCUUCUCCUCCCCUUGCCCCCAACCUCUUAUUGCUGAUUGGGCUUGGGAAAGGCUUUGUGAGAGAAAAGGAAUGGAAUUGGGUCUUGAAGGAUGGAUGAAUAACUUGAGUGGGACACAGGUAAAGGAACUCUAGCCUGCAGGAAUAGCACAGGCAAAAGCUUAUACACUUGAAAUGCAUAAUUUGUUUGGUAGGAGUGGUUUGAGGUGGCUGGAGUGUGUGUUUGUCUUUAGUGGGGUCUGGCCAGAAGGGAGGUGACCUUCAAUGCUAGGUUCGGGAUUAUGGGUGUUUGUACUCUGGUCUUGUAAUAUUCUUAUAUUUCUGGUGUAGAAAUGACAUUGUUCUAUUUUACAUAAUUAGUUGAGGGUGUUGGGACUAUUUUUAUGCCCUCAGACUUCAGCAUUGCCUUAUAGAAUAGCUUAUACGUGAUAGAUGUUCAACGUUGAGUUGAGUUGAAUUCUGAAAAGAAGGUUUAAUUUUCCCAAGAAUCUAGAAGGCUAGAGUUUUUCUAUGGAAUUAAGUUUUAAAAGGAAAUACAUAAUUUUUAUUGCAUAUGUUAUAAAAGUCUGUAUUGUGGAUAUUCAUUUUUUGUCUUUGUGUCUCCCACCUUGCUUUCCUUACUUAUAAUAUGUAAUCAUUACAGCAAGCAGUCCCUGGAUCAAGGCAGAAUUUGGAAGAUACUUGGCUUCCUCAGUAUCUCUUGUUAAGUUCCUAUUUUUUUGAUAGAACGGUAAUAUUUUUAUACUCUUCUGUGCAGUCUUGUGCAGAUGCAUUCUCAUGCACCUCCUUUCAACCAAAGAACUGACUGUGGCCUAGUGCAGAAAAUCAGGAGACACCUAAGAGCAACCUAUAUAUUAGGUAUAACCUGUUUACAGAUGAGAAAACUGUUAGCAGUUAAAGGACUAAGAUUAUUUAGCUGGUAAGCAAUUGGAAUUACAGCAUAGAUCCUAUGUUAUUUUUUUUCCUUUAUUUUUUAAGUACCCCAAGUUUUACUUAAUGAUUAAUGGUCUAGAGGACAGUGGAAACAAAAACACAAUUUGUGAAAGUGCAGAAAGUGGGCUUUCCCCAUCCACUAAAGGAUGGAAGCAGAUUCAAAGCUUGUAGACUGUGGUGAUACAUGUGGGAAAGUGGGUAGUAAAAGGAAAAACAGAUACUUCAUAACACAUUGCAUAUUAUGUAGAGUCAUUUCAUUCAGCGUGUUUUAAUUUUCAUAUGUUUUUGAUAGUGACAUUGUAAUCUUGAAGGGGAUUUCUCCAUUUGGCUUAAAUUAUUGCUAUUGACUGAUGAUUGUGGUUAGGGUAAGAGUUAAUUUUAAUUAGGGAAGAGUUACUAACAUUUAUUUCUAGGACAUACAGUGAUGGUAAAUUGGGUGUUGGGGGGUCAUUCCUUCAUGUCAACAUGGUUAAUGUGGACCUUGGAGCUGAGUGGACUACAUUUUGCUUUUAUUAAUGCAUCUGAGCUAUGUUUUCCCUUUUUUGUUUUUCCAAUUCUGAUUGAACAGAUCCCCAUUGAAAAAUCUAUAUGUAAACCUAGGAUGCUGGGCUCAUAAACCAUUUCAUGGUAAAUGAUUUGUAUAAAAUUUCAACUAAGUGAAUUUCAUUCAAGCAGUGGGAAUCUUCCAGAUCAAGUUCAUUGCUAGCAAGUGUUGUAUUCUGGGCAAAUUGUCUGUUUCUUUACCUGCAUUCACAGAGCAGUGGUAGUUCAUAUCAUUGUACAUACCCCAUCACAGUUCAUAAACCAGUUUGGCUAAUUACUCUAAAAUUACUGUUUUUGUUUUUUCCUCAACAAUAUGUGUUUAAUUUUUUUGCUCUUAGUAUUAUUAAUAAUAAAUUGCUUUCCCUGGCUCUCAAGCUCUUUAGAGAUCAAACAGAAUUUUUAAGGUGAAAGGAACCCUCAGCUCUGUUGUCUUCUGCUUUUUAUCCACACCCACACAGUCACAUGUUCAUGACUAUGAUAUUUCUCUAUGUUGUUAUUUCUGUAUGCAUAUAAAAAUGCUUUGUGGUGCGUAAAGACAGGGUAGGAUAGAAAUACUGACGCUGACAUUAGAGACAAAAAUAGUGAAUAAAGCUAAUAAACAAUAAAGGGUAUGUUUGUCAAUAAGAUUUGCCUUAGGUAAACCACUGAUUUGCAUUUUACUGGACAUUUCCCUUAAGCAAUAUGAAGCUUCUCCUUUUCCACUUCUGUUUUGCAGUGUCUCCUUUACACCAGCAUCAUACUUAAAAUUCCCUCUAGACUCUGCCCUCCAGUUUAUUGUCAGUCCUUUAUCACUGAGCGAGAACUUUAUUGGAGGCAAUACUGGCUUUUUUUGAAUCAGCAUCUUCACUUCUGCUUCACUGCUUUUAAUUAUGAUGUUGUCCUUGUUUGGAAUUUUUCUCCCUUCUAUCCAAAUUCUGUCCUGAUGAGUCAGCUCAUAUUCCCUCCUUUCAGGAAGCUUUCCUCUUCAGUCCAUGCUGAUCAUGAAGCAAGUUCUCAUGCAUAGACCUUAACAACAUACCAUUAAACUAAAGAACUACUUUCCAAGUAUUGACUUUGCUGUAUGUAGUGCUGUGCAUUUUACAUAUGUUAUGGUGCUAUGUAUUUUACAUGUUAUGGUUAGCCUCACACUUGUGACAGAUGAGGAAAUUAAGGCAUGCAUUGAUUAAGUGAGUUGCCCUAAGUUCAUAUAAUAGCUUCUUUGAAGUAGAACAGAGUUGGGAGCUUCAAAACCUGUGCUCUUUGUACUGUUGCAUGCUGAAAUUCUUUUUGUCUAAUUCCGACUUUGUUAUUGUUGUUGUUGUUAACAACUGAGAGGAUUAAGUAUAAGUCUGGUUUUCCCCAAAUAUGAGGAUCUUUUUUGGACCAAUAUUCAUUUGUACUGCUACCCUAUACAAGGCAUCAUGGGUCCAGUUGUUCAGGAUAAUAAUUUAGCUGUGUUCAAAGCACUUGGGCAGUGCCAGUGUAUACAUUGUUACCUAUAGAAGAGGCAGGAUGAAAUCUAUAGAAGGAGAUUAAAUAAUCACAUGGUUCCAGGGAAGAGAUAAUCAUUUUCAAUGGGAGGAAUUAAGGAUGGUACUAGGAGUUAGCAUUUCUCCUGAGAUUCAAUGAAAGGACUGAAGUUGGAAGAGAAGAUUAUGUUCAGAGUUUAGACUUUGGAGAUGUUGGAGGUUGUGGUUCAAGUUCUUAACAUCACCACUUACUAGUCAAGUAACCAUGGGGAAAUUAGCUAAUGUCUUGACCUUAGCAGCAAUACCCCUAGAAUUGGUGAGAAGACUGGGGUGGGGCUGGGGAGGGUAUAUGAAUCUUUUAGCAUUGUGCUUACCCCAUUAUGCACUCAGUAAAUGUUAGCCCCCAAAAUUAAUUUUUUUUUAAUGAGGAAGAAACUUGAACAAAGGCCUAGAGGAAGCCUGGAGGGUAGGUAUGGAGUUUGUAGAAGAGUUUGGACUUUUGGGGACUAAAUAUAGUGGACAUAGUAGGCUAAGCUUUGAAAAGCAGGUUGGCAAUUAUGGAUUCGGUGAAUCCUUUCAUUCUCAGACUGCUAUUCUCUUCUACUUUAGACAAUGAGAAGUGCUAUUAGAGUUUUGGUUUAGGUGUAGCUUUGUUUUAAUAGAGAAGUAAUAUGUUAAAACCUGAAUUUUAGGAAAAACCUUACAACAAUGGGAAGAAUAGAGUGAGGAUGAAUGCAGGGGUCUAGGGGACCUGCCUAUGAUGCAGAGAUGGGGGAGUGCUGAUAAGAGUCGAAACCAACUUAGUGAUUGGGACAGAGAGGCAGCUUGUAAGAAUAGACAUGCCACCCAUUAUUUCAGCUCCAGAUCAUGUGUACCAAUAGCAAAAUGUUUUUGUGCUUUUUAGAUUAUACAGUUCUUAUAAGUUAAUUAUAAAGUUUAAGUAAUAAAACAAUCACAAUUGUUAUGGUUAGAAUAUGAGGUGUCCCCCAAAGGUCAUGUGAUAGUGUAGAAAUGUUUGAUUAGAUUAUGAGAGCUAUAACCUACUUGGUGGAUUAAUCCAUUGAUGGAUUGAUAAUUUGAAUGGACUAAUUGAGUGCUAACUAUAGGCAGGUGGAGUGUGGCUGGAGGAAGUAGGUCACCUAGGGCAUGCUUUUGGUGAUUGUAUUUUGCCUGGCUCUUCGAUUGCUUUCUCUGCUUCUUUGGACUCAGCAUCCUGUCUGCCAUGAGCUGAGCAGCUUUCUUCCACCAUAUCCUUCUGCCAUGGUAUUCUGCCCCAUCUCAGGCCCAGAACAAUGGAUUCUGCCGUCUGUGGACUGAAACUCUGAGCCCCAAAUAAACUUUUCCUCCUCUAAGUUGUUUUUGUCAGGUAGCUCAGUCACAGUAGUGAAAAGCCAACUAACACAUAAUUCCAACAGAGAUAACCACUAUAUACUUUAAAUCCCUUCCUUUAGAUGUCCUUCAUACCCAGUAUUAGUUAAAUAAUAGUUUAUUCUAGCCUUUAUAUCAUUUAAAGUCUAUAUAGGUGUGGUCACUGUUAUUAUUUUGAGGUAAUUUGCCUUUAUAUGUGUUUGAGUCUGUUUAUAUUUUGUUGAACAAAUGGAAGAUUUUGUUGUUCAUUUUGUCUGUUUUUGGAAAUUCACAUAUUGAAAGGACCUAAAUUUCCAGAUUUCUGUAGACUUUCUUUUUUCCAUGUUAAUAACUUUAAAAAACAGCAACUUUGACAUUGUCUUGGUUUUAUUUAUUUUUUUUUCAAAUGUAUUACCUAAAAAUGCCUAAAAUUUUGUUCUGGUUUAAUUUUUAUUUUGAAGUGUUAGACUUACUGAGCAAAAGAGUACACAUUGUUCUCAUAUACCCUUCAUCCAGCUUUUUAUAAUCAUAGCAUCUUCCAUGACUAGUACAUAUAUCAAUACUAAGAAAUUAACAGUGUCAUAAUACCAUUCACAAAACUACAUACUUUAUUUAGGUUUUUCCAGUUGUUUUACUAUCAUCCCUUUUUUUUUUGUCCCAGUAUCCUGCAUUGCAUUUAGUCAUCGUAUCUCCUUAGUUAACUCUCCCAUCCUGUAACAUUUCUUCUCUUUCAUAACCUUGACCCAGUUUUGUUGUUGUUGUUGUUGUUGUUGUUUUUUGGGGGGAGGCGUACUAGGAGUACCAGGGCCACUCAACCACUGAGCCACAUCCCCAGCCCUAUUUUGUAUUUUAUUUAUAGACAGGGUCUCACUGAGUUGCUCAGCAUCUCACUAUUACUGAGGCUGGCUUCGAAUAGCGAUCCUCCUGUCUCAAUCUCCUGAGCCACUGGGAUUACAGGUGUGCACCACUGGUCCCAGCAUCUUGACCCUAUUGAGAAGUAUACACUUAUGCUUUUAAAAAUAAUGAAUUGUUUAAUUUGAAGUCCACAUGUAGGGGCCUAUAUGAUGUUUAAUUUCUUAAAAAUGAUGUAAAACAGAUCUAUGAUAUUAUGGUUUCAAAAUUAAUUAGAAAUUAGUUAGAAAAAUAAUUUAAUAAACUUGUUUUCCCCAAAGUACAAAGUUAAAGGCCUUAUUGAUGUAAUGAUAGGAAAGUGAUAUUUUAAGAAGCAACCAUACUAUAUGACCAUAGGGUGAAUUAUGACUUUAGCAUAUCUCGAUUUGUCAUGACUCUAGGUUUACCUCACAGAUGAUAGCCCCAGCUUUGAUUUCAUGAAAGACAUGUGUGAAGCAGUGUCAAAGAUUGUAAAUGCAUUCCAAAAUUGAGCAGAAGUUUUAGGAUAGUGGAAAGCCCUACACUUUGUAAACUCAUCUUCAGAGAGGCACGAAUAUUGACUUUUUAUUGGCCAAUUCUGCUUUGGUGCUUGCAUUUUAUUUAUGAAAAAGUGCAUCAUGCCAGAGGGGUACAUGCUUGGUACUUCAGGCCUGUCCCUGAAGGUAUACCUCAGAGGCAAACAUAGACAGUGGAAGUACGAGUCCUCUUUGUAAAAAUUAGUGACAUUUUGAGGUUCGUUUCUAGAAAGUAUUCUCCAGUGUUUGAAGUCUGUGCGGUCAGCUGUGGAAAACAAGUGCAGCCUCCAAUUGCUCUGUUUGCACGUCCAGUUGGAUACAGUUGGAUACAGUUGGAAAUACACUGGUAUUUCCUUGAUCUUGCCCAUAGUGCCCCUGUUUUUUCCUCCUGCAGUUUCAGUUUUGGUGUGUUCAGAUGCCAUGUCACAUCCUAGGAGAACAGUCUGUGAGUCGCCAGGGGGUCUGACAAGUUGAGCCACUCAAAACCCUUUAAUUCCAAGUAUCCUUGAACUGAGGAAGCAGCUCAAUAAAUCUCUAGAACAAGUUUUCACAACUUAACCAUAUGACCGUAUUAGAAUAAAGCCAGCUUCUGUGCGCCACUUCAUCUUCUUCCAAAUAUUUCUUGAAUUUGUGAUGAUUAAGGUGAUAGCCUCAAGAGUCACAAUCUCAAUCUGUCACUUCAUCACCUCACGCAGUGAACAUUCAUUCAGUAAGUAGAAAUUGAGCACGUCUAGCCAGGGACUAUUCUAGGUACUGUGGAUACAGCACAGAACACCGAGCUUCAGUAAAAUGUACAGCAUAGCAGAUGAAGAUCUGUACUGCUGUGAAGAAAAUUAAGUUAGGGAAGGGGUGACAACUCUGUGUGUGUGUUUGUAUGUUUGCAGUUUAUAGCAGGCUAUUUAGGAAAAGCUCCCUGAGGUGAAGGGACAGGCCAGCUAGAUAUCCAGGAAAGGAGCAUUCCAGGGUGAGGGAAUAAAUGUAAACUUCAGGAGAUGAAAAUAUCCUCAGAGGCCAAAGGGGUAGCAGGAAAGCCAGAGUGGAUGAAAUAGUGGAAGGAAGGGACUAGGUCAGAGGUGGUUGGUGCCAGAACACUGAGGAUAUUGUAAAUCAUUACAAAAAUUUGGGCAUUUGCUCUGAGCAAGGCAGGAAGACAUUGAACAGGGGAGCAACAUGCUCUGGCUUUCUGAUCGUGAGUCUCUCACUUUAUUAAAAUGAGUGCUGAGGUGUCAUGGGUAGAAGCUGACAGAAGGCAGUGACAGUUAGAGGUAAUGGUGGCCUGAACUGGGGUGGCUGUAGCAGACAGGUGGUGAGAAGUGGUCAGUUUCUCAUCAUAUUUGGAAGACAGAGCCAUUAGCAUUUCCUGAUGACUUGCACAUAUGCUGUGAGGAAGUGGCAGUCAGGUUUUUGGUCCUGAGGAGGUAGAAUUACUGUUUUCCUGAUGGGGAAGGCUGUUAUGCAUCCUGAACAAGAGGGAGGAGGCUGCGAGUGGUCUGCCUCAUCUCAGGAAUACACUUCAGAAAUUUGUACCCCCUUCUCUUCUCUAUAGCCACUCUAUCGAGGAUUAAUGACUUAAAUUUUCAGUGUCUAAAUCAAGUGUCUUAAGUUCCUUAGUGGCAAGUACUCAAGUUUGUUAGCAAACUGGACUAAAAACCUUGGAUCUCAAAUAGGCUACACUUUGGUAAGCUUAGGUGGCAUUAGACCCAGUGGCUUAGUGAGGAAUAUAGAUGUUUCUGCUGCCACACCUUUUAGUAAACCUGGAAAAAUAUCAAGCAAAUGAAGAAAGAACAAAGUUGAAACCUCAAAAAUAACUUAAAGUCACCCCACAUUUGCAAAAUCAGUUACUGAAAACAGCAGGGCUGAUGUGGGAAAUAGAAAUAGGAUAGAACACUGAAAACCGAGGAACGGUAACCAAGAAGUUCUAAUAACGGUACCAAUAAACAAAACACAAAAGAACACAGCUAAUUAUUGGUGUUUACUCUGGUGUCAUAGGAAGUUUUAUGUAGCCUUAAAUUCUGGGGCUUGUGCUUUCUUUGACAAUUGUCUACUACCAUUUUUUAUGAAAAGUAAAAAGUCGAUUUGGCAUAUCGCCAUUGUCUUAAUACAAGGGGGAAUGCCUGUCCGCUUCCUCAUCUGCAUUCAUAGCUUUGCCAGAUAACUUAAAAGAACAGAAGUGUAGUGGUUUAAAGCCAAUGAAACAGUCACCAGUUGGACCAAAGUAAGUUACUUCUGUUGAUUUUCAGUUUUCUUUUUUCCUUGAGAUUCUCUUUUCUUGCUAAGGCUUUCUCUUUAAUAAUCAUGAGGUAACUUGCCUUGGCUUGAAAGUAUUACAUGCUAGGGGGAAAAAAAAAUCACAUGAGCUGAUUUGACCUCUCUGUUAUUCAGACUCCAUUCAUUCACAUGUUUGCCAGUCAUGUAUGAGGUAAUGCUCAUCCAGGAAGCACAGUGUGGCAGAGCAGACUGCAUUGCUGCCCUGGGGCUCCUUAUCUGACCCAAAGUUACGACCAAAUUCAGAUCUGCUUCUUUAAAGAUAGUCUAGAAUUUUUUUUUAAUUAAAUAGGUAUUCAGUAAGAAACACCCUAAAAUCAAUUUGACAGUGUACUCAAAAAAGUGAAAAAAACCCAACAUUUAUUUCUUUAAAAAAAUCAUUUGAAGACUAGAAAGUUAAAACAUCUUUAAGAAGAACCACUUGUUUAAGAGCUAAUGUCACACUUGACAAUGACAAAUAGAGGAUUUUUUUGUUUACAUUAGGAAUGUAAUUACCUAAGCCUUCUAUCAUCAUUAACAUUGUUCCAAAAGAUCUGACUAGUGCAAUAAACCAUAAAACCAAAGUAAGUAUAAUGAUCAGAAAGGAGAUAAAUCAUAGAAAACAAGAAAAUCAACUAAAAAAUUUUAGUAGGUUCAUGAAAGAUAAUACCGUAGUAUAAAUAUAAGGAGCCAUUCUGAAUCAACAGACCAUUGGUAAGGUAUUAUGUUAGAUAACUCCCACUCUGUAUUAAAAUAAAUUCCGUGAAACCUUAAGCAAGUAGAUGAGAACAAUAUCAAAUAGCUGAAGAGCUUAAAAGCAGUGAGAAAAGGUCCAAAGAUACAUCAAUUUGGCUGUACAAAACUAUAUUUCUAGAAACUGUAUUUCUAAAAAACUCAGAAAUGGGAUGGCAAACUGAGGCAUAGCUCAUUUCAUAACCAGCUCUCCAAGGGAAGGAAAAAGUACACAGAUUUGCUGAUUUCCAUGAUGUGAAGGCUCCCACCAUGACUGAUUUCAAGUGAACAAGUUCAAGAGCAGGAGUUGGCACAGACUCUUGCACAGUUGGAGCUCACUAACUGGCUGAAGCAUAACAAGUGGCAGAGCACGCUGAGAAGCCACUUGUUAUUACUAGCCGCUCAUUUGGUAACCCCAUCUUGUAUGUGCCAUCUUAGGAUGGGUUGUUCCCUUGUGGUCUGGUCUUUAGUUCUAAGGGAAGAUUAGCUUAUUCUCUAGAGCAACUUUGUGGAAAGAAGGAUUUAAUUGGAUUUCAGAGAUGUGGAGACUUUGAAUAUGGCAGCCAUGUUAUUAGGAGUUGUGUAGUUAUUUGAAGGCUGUGAUUGAAAAUCAUUAUUUGGGAAGAUUAUCUGGAGACUAUGAUUGAGAAUUAUUAGUUCAGGGAGUACAGAGAAAACCAGUUGGCAUGAAUUGGGAUAGAGGUACAGAGAGGAAAGAGGGGGGAAAAUGUACAUAUUUUUAAGGGGUUUAUGAAGAUUAAUCUUACAUUAUAAUGAAAGUACCUGUAUACGUAUACAUAGAGGGUUGACUGGUGGGCAAGUGGGGGUGGCCAGAAUUGCAUACUAACCUGUUAAGGUCUGUCUGAGCUUGGAAGCUAGCUUUUGGACAAAUGGUCUCUUAUGAGUAGGAUUUUUUUUUUACUAUCAUAAUUAAAGAUAAUAUAUUUCCAUAGAAUGAUAAACUUAGAUUUCAAAUUCAUGCAAUAAGUAUAGAUAGUAUUUUAGUAUCUUAUAAGCCUUAUAAAUUUUUUUGUUUGUUUUAAGUAGUUAUACAUGACAGUAGAAUGCAUUUAUGCACUUUGAUAUAUGAUAUAUAGAUGGUAAAAUUUCUCAUUUUUUUGAUUGUACAUAUUGUAGAAUCACAUCAGCACAGCCAUAUAUGUACAUAAGGUAAUAAUGAAUGUUUCAUUCUGCUAUCCUUCUUCCUAUCCCCAUCCCCUCCCCUCUCUUCACUCCCCUCUCCUAAUCUAAAGUAACUCUAUUUCUCCCUACCCACCACCUAUUGUGAAUUAGCAUCUGCAUAUCAGAGAAAACACUCAGCCUUGGGUUUUUUGGGAUUGGCUUAUUUCACUUAGCAUGAUCUUCUCCAACUCCAUCCAUUUAGAGUGGGAUGUUUUAAUGACUCACUGGGUAUGCAGACUUACAGAUGGUUUUUUUAAAGCACUUAUUUAUUCCAGUUUGGUCCAUUAACAUUCAUUUUUCUUUGUCAAUUUUUUAAAGAACAUAUUUAGUAUCAGUCAUUUACAGGGGUAUUAAUUUGAUGAUUCAGUGUUCCUUCUCACCAAUUUGGGUGAUUCUGGUAUUUUUCUGUAAUCAUUUUAUGGAUCUUUACCUGGUUUUCAUUACUUCAAAUUCUGAUGUGCCCAUGUAUUUUCCUGCCAUUACUGAUUGUGGAACCACUGAAUCUCAAGGUUGGAAAGGAUUAUAAUUGUCUUCUAGUCGAGCUGUCAAUUUGAUAUUUGAAUCUUCUGUUAUUUUCUUUUCUAAUUUAGACUUAAAUAAUUGAUUGGGUCUUAAUUUUCAAUAGUUGGGUUUUAUCAAGAAAUAGGAUUUGGAGACUUAGUGACCAUAUGUCAUCCUCACACUGAGUAGUCAUUUGGACAUAACCAGCUGGUCAUUCUUUGGGGUAGCUGAAGGCCACUGGUUUAUUUAAUGCUGAACUUUUUGCCUGCUAUUCAGUACCCAUGGCUGCAGGGUGCUAUGACCUUAAGCUCUACACCUAGGCAGCAGGUAAGAGUAUAGGUGGACUUAGGACCCAAAUCCUAUGGCCAGGCUAAACUCAGCUCUGUCAUUUUCCUGGGGUUUCCUCCCUGGUCUGGUCUAUCUAAGGGCAGAGAGAGGGUAUUAGAGGUUGACUGUGGAGAAAUAUAACCUCUUUGCUUUCAAAGUUAGCUAAGGCUGGUUUGCAAGUCCAGGAGCUGCCUGUUUGUAAAUGCUAGGGGAACUUCUCUAGCUGUGUUCUAAAUUAUAGCUCUUCAAUAUUUUCUGCCUAAAGUGUUUAAAUGGAGAGUACUUGUUGUGGUUCAGGUUUUACCAGAGAAUGCCAGCUGACAGCUGCCAAGAGGCUUUACUAAGGAUCCUUGACCUUACAACUCAUUAAGCCCUGGGGCUUUGGAGGCUAUAAUUUUGCUAGUACAUUUAGUGUGCAUCCUUCUGUUAAUAGUAGAUUCAUGUAAAACAGCGUCGUAAGACACGUGUCAACCCAGAAGCCUAAUUUAUUGAAGAUUUAGCUGACGUGCAGGAUAGAAAAAUUUUGUCAGCUUGGCUAGCAUGAAGAUAAAACCAAAUCAUUAUUGAGAAUUAUUUUAUUUUCUCUCUCUCUUUUAUUUUUGGUAGUACUGAGGAUUGAACUAGAGCCUUGCACAUGCUAGGCAAGCAUUCUACCACUGAGCUACACCCCCAGCCUUUUAUUUACUCUUGAUAGAGAAGUAAUGUGGUUUUUAAAAAUCCAGUUCAAAUAUGUAUCUGAUCUUACCUCAUGAGAUAAUGAUGGUUAACAGCUUAGUAUGUGUAUAUUCUUUCAGACCCUGUGUAGAUGCAGUAGCCUCUGUUGCUCCAUGGUUUUAUUUUUCUGUAGCCCUCAAGUUUUGUUAUACAUACAUGCUUGUCAACUUCUGGGAAGCCAGAGGCCAGUCAGAAGGUGCCUGAUGUCAUGGGAUGAGAAGAAGGGGAACAGAUUGGAUGAUUCAUGGUGUAGCAGCAACUCAGUUGCCCAACUGUCUACUCAGUAGUAAUGACACUUCUGCAUGAGUCUGCUCCCCUCAUGCCCCUUUCCCAAGACAGUUUGGAAGGGCAAUAUCAAGGUUGAUUUCUCAGACUUCCAUUUUUCAGUAUAAAUGAUCAAGUCCAGAUCCUGGCACCUAAUAAGUACUAAUAAAUAAAUAGUCCCUUUUUUUUUUUCUGAGAAGCCUGAUCUUUCUGUAACUGUUUAUAUCACAGUCCAGUUUUAUUUUGGCCUAUUUUUCCUUUGAUCUCUUUAAGAUGACUCUCCCCCCCAGCUCUACUGUGAUCUAUUUUAUGAUGUAUUUUAAUUCUCUGUAUCUUUAUUCACCUUUUACCUUUGUAAUGACUGCAGAGGAACUGAACUUUUCUAUGAAAACCAGCACUUUAUCUCAUUAUUCAAUAACUUCUGAUUUCUCAGCAAAUGCGUUUCUUCAUUAAAUUUCAUUACUACCCAACUUUUUAUUUUAGUUAAAGCUCUUCUGCUUUUACCUUAUCAUAUACCUGAUUUGAUAGCUAUAUGAAAAGUGUUUUGCAUGGAGGUGUUGUGAAAUUAAGAGAACACUACAUGUGAAGUGGCCAACAUACCCCUUUUCAAGUAUUUUUAUGUGAUUUAUUUUAUAUAUAUUACAACUUUAUUGACAAGUAAUUGCACAUUCUACAUGUAAUUCACCCAUCUAAAGUGUCCCGCUCAGUGAUUUUUUUUUUAGUAUAUUCACACAGUUCUGUUAACUAUCACCACAGUUUUAAAACAUUUUUAUUGCUCCCAAAAGUAUCUUGAUAUCCAUUUACUGUCAUUCCUUAAUUCCCCUUAACUUUACCCAGCCCUAGGCAAGUUUUAUUCUGUUUUCUGUCUCUAUAGAUGUAGCUAUUCUGAGUAUUUCAUGUGGAAGGAACUAUAUGACAUCUGGUCUUUUGUGUCUGCUUCUUUCACGUAGUGUUUUCACAGUUCAUCCAUGCUGUGGCCUGCAUCACUGCUUCAUUGGACCACACUAUAUUUAAUGGUCCAUACUAUAUUUAAUCACUUAUACAUUGAUAGAUAUUAUUUAUGAUUUUUUAAUAGUAAAAUAGCACUUCACAUUAUUAUAUUUUUUUUAAAUACAAUCAUUUUACAAAACAUAGAAAAAAGUUACAGGUGCCUAGGGAAAACAAUAGUUUGUUAAUUUGUUUCUACCCGUUAAACAUCACUGUUUUCUUUAAAUAUUAAAAAUGAUAUUUGGACAUUUGGAAAUAAUAUCAUGCUUGGUUAUGUUCUAUAAUUUUCCUAUAACAAAAAAUUAACAAUGUGAAAAUAUAAUUUAGAUUAAUUCAGCUACAGAAUAUAACAUACUGUGGUAUCUUUCCUGUAAUUCUUAUGCUUCCAAUUUUUAAAUUUUUCCUUCUCACUUCCACACAGAUCAUUCCACGAUGUUUUAUAUGCUGAGGACAGUAAACAUGGCAGAGCAGAGUAGUCAUGGAUCCUAGAUUCCAACUGCCAGCUUGACGUCCCUCUAGUAGAACUUAUUGUAGGCUGAGUGGCUUGGGGCAUGUUACUUGGUCUCUUUGGCCGUUUCCUUAUCAGUAAGAUGGGAAUAAUCCUGAUAUCAGCCUUAUUGCUUUGUUGUGAAGAUGAAAUGGGUUAAUAAAGCAAAGAGUCAGGUACAUGGAAUAUGUUCAGUGAUAUUAGCUAUAAUCUGCAGUUUCAUAUGGUAAUAGUGUCCCGUAAGUACUUUAAGUGCAUAUAUUAAAACAGAUUAUUUUGUUAAUAUUCCUAAUUAUGUUUGAUCCAAACUUUUUCCACCUUCAAUAAAAUAUGUGCAGUUUUGUUUAUCAUUUCACCAACCAUCACCUGUAAACUCAAAUGGAUCAUGUUUUAAAAGCGAGAGAAAAAAGCAGAACCUGGAGAUGAAGGAGGUAUUAGCAAGAGUAGAGGAGCUGGAAGGUGAAAUAAAGUGACCUAAUCUCUUAAGCUCCAACAUGCCUUCAUUCAUGUGAAGAUAAUUAACUAUUUACUGAAUAAGUGGAUAUUUUAGUAGUUUGGUUGGAUGUGGGAUUCAGAAUUGGAGUUUCCUUCAAUUUUCAUUUAAAAAGUGAGACUUCUUAUGUAUUCAGUAUCAAAACUUCAUUGUACACUUUACAUAUAUACAAUUUUUAUUACUCCAUUAUGUCUCAAUAAAUCUCAGGGAAUUUUUAAGAUAUAAGGAAGGCAUUUCAGUUGCUCUUAUUGUAUUAUUAUUUAAAAGUCACUGUUUUUUUAAUCACAGUUUUCCAUACAACUGUACGCUAAUUCAUUUCUGCUGGUGGUAUCUCCUUUACACAUUUUAUUUAGUUAUUUUUUCAUGAGAGAAAAAUUUUGUCCUCUUUAUUGCAGUUUUUUUUUUUCUUUACACAUUUUAGAAUGUAUAUACGGUAUGGGAAUAAUUUAAAGAUUCUGAGAUGAAUUUUGUGGGAAUUUACUUUUUUUGAAGACUCACAGGGAAGACUUUCUCCUAGCUCUUUGGAAAAGGGCAUUAACAACCAUUUAGGGCCUGGUCUUAGCUAGAAACUUAAAACCUCUUCAAAGGGAUUGUUCCUUACCCUACAAAUAGAGAGCCCAGGUCAGCUGAUCACACCCCUGUGAAGAACAAGAGCUAGGACUGAAACCAGGUUUGGGCUCUUUUUCAUCACUGCACCAGUUUGACUUUCUAAGGUUGCCUCUUCUCCCAUUUUUCUUUAAGAGGGGCCUUGCUCUGCCAAGGUGAGUCUCAGCAUACAGUUUCUAAUGAAGUUUGAAAUGUUCUGAUCUCCCAUCAAUAAGUGUCAGGUAGAAUGACUUAAACAUUUUGAGGGGGCGGGGGGCAUUUCAUACUCUAUUUCUUUAUAGCUGUCAAUAUAGUGAGGAAGUAGAGAAAGAAUAAUCUGGAGAAAUGGAAGCCAGUAUAUUCAUAUUCUCAUAUUCAUAUUCUCUCUCUCUCACAUAAUUAAAUAGCAUUAAUAAUAAUCAAAAUAGGGAAACAUUAUAAAUUAACUUUAAAAAUUACACCAUCUCUUUCCAAUGCUUUUUUACCCUUGUAUGUACUGUUUUACUUAGCUGUAUGACCAGAUCAGAGAGAUAAUUUUAUGCCCUGUUUUUUGCCAUAACUUUUUAUCAUAAUCAAUUUUAUAUGUUACUAUAGAGCUUUCAUAGUUAUUUUUAUGAUUGUAUAAUAUCCCACUCUCAUGUUUAACUGUUUUCUAUUAUUGUGUAAUUAAUUUCUAAUUAUUUCUCAUACAGCCCUGCAUUGAACAUACCAUGUGCAGCUAUUAUAAUGCUGUAGAUUAUUUCCUUUGGUUUUGAAACAUAUUGCUAAAUUAAAAGGGAAUGUCUAAUUUGUGCUACUUUCAGUUUUCAGCAUGGUCUUAACCAGUGUUGCCAGUCUUUGCUUCUGAAAUUUGUUCAGUGGGAGUAGCAUCCUAACCAUUGAAGGAUAGGGGCUAGGGGUUAAAGGUUGCAGUAAGAUUAUGACCAAAUAAAUUUUGGAGAGUUUGUGAUUUAAAGGCUCAAAGAAGUCAUGCACAAAAGACUAGACUUCAUUAGCUUGCAUUUCUAAAACUUAUUUAAAUAUGGAACUUAUUAUUCUCAUAAAAAUGAGCAAACAUCUUUGGGAAAUGCCAUACUGUAUGUUGAUGGUAAAAGGAGCCAGCCUCUAGUGCAAUAGGAUACUUUUUAGGUAAUUGCUCUCAUGCACAAGAGGCAGUAAGGAUGUCUGCCCUAAUAUCUUGCCACCUGACCCUCAAGAAGCUCAUAAUCUAUUGGGGAAACAAUAUAGAUGAUAGAUGAUGGUGUUUAUAUAUAUAUAUAUAUAUAUAUAUAUAUAUAAACAAACAUAUAUAGAAUGAUGAUUACUGUGACAAUGGUUUAGACAUAGUGUGCACAAAGGAAUAGAAAGGAAGGGAACCUAAUCCACGUUUUGUGUGUUCCUAAGUUAUUUUCCAAAUCACAGAAGGGAUUUGGUUCUCUCUAGAGUUUUUAGGUCACUGCCUUAGAACUGAACGUAUGUUUAUUUCUAUGCAUGACUACUGUGGACUAAACACAUCUUCAUCAACUAAGACAGUACCUGAUUUUGAUUUAAAACAAAAUUACUAAUUUCCAACCACUCACCUGCUAUGAUCAGUGUAACUUUUGUAGAAGGCAUGGAGCCUUCAUAAGUCAGUUUUUAUGUGUUCCAUCCCGGAAAGGAAGUUAGAUUGAAGUAAGGAUAUUAGAAUGGAUAUCCAUGAAAUAAAAAAUACAAUAGUAAAACCAAGAAAAUUUAGGAAACCUAUUAGAACUCUGGAGACUCACUCUAAAAAAAUAAUAGGUAGGAGGUUCAAAGUAGAGCUUUGGUCCUUCCAGUCUGUCUGCAGCGUCGUCAGGUUCUGAAGAAGUUUUGACACUUGUAAGAUGUGAUGGGAAAAAAUGAAGCCCAUAAAAACCAUAAUUUUCGAAAGUUAAAUAGCAAUUUUAAAUUUAAAGGACUGCUUACCACUGAUUCAGGAGAAAGACAAACUAGAAAUACUGCCUGAAGAUUGCAGGCAGGACUUGUUUGUGUGAUUUUGAUGGUGUUUCAUUGAUGAUGGAGGCAGAAGAUGUUAUUAGCUAUGUUCAGAGCAGGAUUAACUCAACUUCUGCCCAGUAAUUAUCAUGGGUUUAUGUUCAAGAGAGAGAGUCGUUGAGAAGUCAAAAGGCCCACAUUAUUUUUAUGGGAGUUGGAAGAAGAAUGAAGUCAUUGCCUACAUAUCUCCCUGUGAUCUUCCUAUCAUGGUGUAAAUGCACAACUCAUAAAGCAGCUGUAGUUGCCAUUUCCUCCCUUUUCCUUAAAUGGAUGAAUGUGAUUUAGCGUAAAGUUCACGAACUAAGAAAAGCAGUUGGACACAAAUGCCUGUAUCUUUCCACUCAAUGUAUCUUAUUACCUUUAAAUGCUUGUUAAAAUCAUGCUUUUAUUUUUACCUUUCCAGUAUAAAUUGCCAUCACCAGGCUUAGCAAAUGAAACAGAUUACUUACAGUAACCUGUACGAAGUUAUGUACUCCAGGCCCUUGACGGAGCUUUCCCAAAGGACAGGCAAUGUCUUUCAAAAAAUCCUAUUACAAGAUUUUAUUUGCAGGUGUGAUGAACAGAAAGCUGCAAACCUCCAUGUUUUAUUGCUACCCAACUUCAUCAUGUCUGCUCACUCUAUUGAAAACUGUGGCAAAAAUGAUACACAUCAGCUCUUUUAUUCUUUUGUUACUACUCUGUGCAAAUAAAACUGUAUUGGAGAAUUUAAUGAAGCAGUAUGUCCUUGGAGGCAGCUUUGGAGAUUCUCAGUGUACAACAAUUUGUCUUUAAUACUGUAAAACAGAUUGGCAGGACCAAAAGUUAGUCCUCACAGAUUGGCCAAUGUUUGCCACAUAUGUAUGUGCUCAAGUCACAUAAGUAGCAGGGACCUUGGAGAUAGAGGCACUCAGUGACCAUUCCAGUAGCUUUAGUCUGUACCAGGAAGUGGUUGGGUUAGUGAAAACUGCAGAACAGCUGUGGAACUGUGAGGCUGUUUUAGAAAUGAUCUGUUUACCCAGGAAAUAAAGACUGAUACUCAAGAAAAAAAAAAUUGAAUUGAGGGUUAAUUAUUCAACAGAUUACCCAAUGCUAUGUCAGAAUACUUCUGGGGAUCUGUGGUAGGCAAGAGGUCACAUUUGAGCUUGCUUUAGCCUUCACAGGCAUAGUGGGCCUUUUGCUGGAAUCUGGAAAGGCAGCAGUAAUGGACCUGUGCUACAAAGAUCUGGGCACACAGAACGUUGGCAUUCGUGAACUUGUCAUCGGGUGUCAGCUUCAUGUUAUGUGCAAUUCUUGACCCAUCAGCUUAGCUCUCCUUGCUGCUAACCUGUAAGAAUACAAGCAUGUGUCACUGACCUCAUCUCAAGGAUUAUAUAUAUAAAUAUGUACUGGGUAUUGAAGCCAAAGGUGCUCUACCACUGAUCUGCAUCCUAGCCCCUUUUAUUUUUUAUUUUGAGACAAGGUCUUGCUGUGUUGUCCAGGCUGGACUUGAACUUGUGAUCCUCCUGCUGUAGCCUCCUGAGUCACUGGGAUUCAGUGUGUGCACCACCACGACUGGCAUAAGGAUAAUCUUAAUUCUGCUUAAAGCUCUAAGCUUCAGUACUUUUUUUUCCCUUUUUUAAUCAGUAAUAAAUAUUUGAAUAGCUUCCAAUUGAUGAAGAAAAGUGUAUAGGAAGUGCUGUCAUUGUGAAUUUCCAGCUCAAAUGAGGUUGGAAUCAACACCAGUUUGUCCUUUGUUUGCAGGCUUGACCCUGCCUGUCUACCACUUUUCUUCUUUUGGAUCAGCCUCCCAGGCUGCCAUUUUUUGUUACUUGAAUGUAGAAGAAAACAGUUCUCUGGCUUAUGCUGGGGGAAUGACAAAGGAGUCAUUUAGCAUGUCAGAAAUUCCGAGUUGUAGCACUCUUGAUAUCUGUGGCCAGAUAGUACUUAACCAGGGUUAAUAGAUAUCUCACCAGUGACAUCUAUGUGAAAAUGUAGCUUGGUAAAUACAGCCCUAUACUAGUUAUGUUGGAAACAAAGGAAGUUAUUUUUCCUCAUUUCAAAGACCUCUUACUAACUGCAGCCAUAAAAUCUUUAAGUGUAUAAAGAAAUUUAACACAAAGUGAGAAAUGGUUGAUUAAAAAAAAAAAAGAAAAACAGCUUAAUGCUCUAUAUGCUCUAGGAAUACAUUUACUACUUAACAUUUUUUUAAUGGAACCACCGCCAUCCCCAGUAUUGGGGAUUGAACCCAGAGGCACUCAACCACUGAGCUACACCCCCAAGGUGCAAAUUGUGCAGGCUGACCUUGAACUUACAAUCCUCCUGCCUCAGCCUCCUGAGUAGCUGGGAUUACAGGCAUGCACCACCUCACCUGGCUCUGAGUAGAAAAAUUCUUAUUUGGCAGUCAAUAUUUCCUCACCACAGUUUGCAAAAAUUUUUAGUGUGUUUUGGGGCAAACCACACAUUCUAUUUUAGACAUUUCAGUGUUUGCCUCAGAAUAUAAGCUGUAAAAGUUUAUAAGGCAAUUUCAACAGAUCUCAGAAAUGUUUACUUAAUGGCUCCCCAUCUCUUGUUUGUGCAGUACCUCUUACGUAUCUCCAUUUUGACAUUGUCCAUGAUAUCAUAGUACUUGGUUUGUGUCUUUCCCACUAAACUAGAGCUCAGUGAAGGCAGGGACUAUCUUACCCUUCUUUGAAUCUCAAAUAUAGGCAUUUCUUUCAUGCGAUGCUUAGUGGUGAUUUAAAGAACCAAAGAAAUGCUUAAGAAUAUUAUCUGAAAAUCAGUUAACUGAGAAUAAUUGACUUAACCUUUUCGUAGCACAUUUCCUGUUAUUUUGGAACCUUGCCUACAAAAACCUGGUGUAUCAAGGAAAGAUUCAGAGCAUUAGGUAACAUUACCAUAACAAUAUUUUGAGCAGCUUUAUACCUCUGUCUUAAUUAGGAGGAAGUAGUCUAUAGAUAGUGUGCAUAAAAAGAAUACAAAAAUGGGGCAGGGAGUGUUCACAGUCUUUGCCUUUAGAUAUUAUCUGGGUUCCAGGGCUUUGCACCUUGUGUGCCUCCAUACUUGAGACCUAUUUGACUCUUUUUGUCUUAAGUCUGGAUCAUUGCUUUGCCUGUCUGAUUCAGAAUCAAAGCUGCCAGACUUUUUUCUAUGUAAUCAUCCCCUGGCCUUGGCCCCCUUUACUUGCCCUGUUGUUGCUGAUGCCUUCCAGUGACAAUCAACUUGACCUAAUUGGUAAUGACAUAUCACUUACCAUACUUCUGUGUGUGCAUAUUAUCCAUAAAUAAGACACAGUUCUUAACAACUGCAUCUUCAUUUGAAACAACAUAGAAAGUUAGGUUAAAACUAUUUACAGCCAUGGGUGUGGUGUCAUAGGGUUAUAAUCUCAGCUGCUUGGGAGGUAAAGCAGAGAGGUCACAAAUUUGAGUGCAGCCUUUGUAUAAAAUAAACAUCCUAGGAAUGGGACCCAAGUCUAAGCAUAAAAUUUCUUUAUGUUUCAUAUGUACCUUGCACACCUAUCCUGGAGUUAAUUUUGUACAUCUUUUAUAAGUUUGUGCAUGAAACAAGGUUUCAUGGUGUGGAAAUUUACUUGUGGCAUCAUAUCAAACAGUGCUCAAAAAGUAUUGGGUUUGGAACAUUUCAGAUUUUGGAUUUUUUAAUUAGGGAAAUUAGGAAUGUUCCACCUAUAUUAUAAAUUAUAAAUAUGCUUUCAAGAAUAUCAAUCUUGUAUGCAUGUGCAAAAAGAUCAUGUGAUGUGGAUGCAGUUAUACAAAUAUAUUCACACCUAUAUUUUUCAACAUUGAAAAAGAACUUUCUACCAUGGAAAACUUCAAGUAUUCAUUGUAUCUAGUUUUGAAAAUCUUUCUUUUUGUAUCUCCAAGUUUGUCUGGUAUCAUAUUUCUUCUACCUGAAGAACUUUCUUUCACAUUUCUCGUAGUUUAUAUCUGUUGCUAAUUUUUUUUUGUCUAAGAAAGUCUUUGUUUCUGAGAGGCAUUCCUCUGGGUAUUGAUGCUGGGCCUGUGAUUCUUUCAGCAAUUUAAAGAUGCCAUUCCAUGGUUUUCUACUUGCAUAGUUUCUAAAGAGAAAUAUGUUGUAAUAUUUAUUUUUCUGAAUGUAAUGUCUUUUUAAACAAAAAAUAAUACUGACUACCUUUCAUUAUGACCAUUGUGUCUUUGAUUUUCCACAGUUUGAAUAUGUGUGUAGGGGUGUGUGUGUGUGUGUGUGUGUGUGUGUGUGUGUGUUUAUCCUGCUUGGGAUUCUCUAAUUCUUUAAAUCUGUGCUUUAAUUUUUAAAAAUUAUUUUUAGAAUUUUUUCAGUUAUUAUUUCUUGAGCUAGUUCGUCUGGCUUCUCCAUGCUCUACUUGGGUUUCAGUUACACAUAUGUUAGCUUAUGUGACGUUAUCCAGUAGUUCUUGGAUUCUUUAAUGUUCACUCUUGUUUUGAUUUGUCUUUAAGUUAGGGUAAUGUGACAUAUUUUGAGUUUACUGAUGGUUUUCAUAGCUGUAUUUAGUUUAGCAGUGAGACUGACAAAGGCAUUCUUCAUCUGUUACUAUAUUUAUUUUUUAAUUUUUAGCAUUUCCGAGGCUGUUUCUAAUAGUUUCUGUCUCUCUGCUGGAGUUUGAGGAUUCAGGUUUCUGACAUGGAUUUUCCAUGAACUGUGGUUUCCCCUUCUACAAAAUCGGAAAGUUGGGAAUAUAUGAUAUAGAAUUGUUUUGAGAAUCAAGAUAUCAUGGAUAAAAUACAUGUAUUCCCAUGGACAAGUCCCUUCCCUUUCCUUCUCUGGGUCUCAAUCACUGUCAUUAAAUGUUUGGACUGCAUGAUUCUCUGAUGGGGGAGAGACCUAACAUUUAUUAACAGCUUGUAUUAAUCUCAUGUAAAAUUUGAAAAAGGCAUAAAAAAUCACAUUUAAGAAGUGCUUUUACAAAAUGUUUUAGAUUUGCUAGUUUUACGUGGAAUUUUAAUUGGAAGAAACAUAGCAUUAAAUCUAGUUGCCACUUGGUUAAAUCUGAUAAAGAAUCAUUAAAAUUUUUCAACUGUGGGGUUUCCUGACUCACUUGAGAAAUUUCAUGGCUCAUAACACAUCUCACUCACUCUCUUUGCACUUAUAGAAUUUUAAAUUAUCAGCCUGGCUUCCAACUUUUGCAGUGAGGAAACACUAAUGGGAGUUGUUGCUCUUAACUGACUAAAGGACAAUAGUCUUGUUGGAGCUGGCUUUGGCAUCACAGACUUGUAUUCAUAUCCUGGGAGCCCAAGAGUGAAACCUUGAGCUGUCUAUUUCAGAGCUUGAGUUUCCUUCUCUGUGAAAUAGGUAUGAUGCCUACACCAGAGAGUAGUUUUGAAGGUAGAAGACUACAUGUAGAUUUGGGCCUACUGUCUGAUUAAUGGUAAUCGAUCACCCACCCAUAGCAUUUAGAGUGGUUGCUAAAAUAAAAUAGGUCACUACUAAGUCAAAAUUUCAGUACAUCUAUGGGGAAAGGAAAGUCUAAUAUUCAUUUUAACCCCUUUUUUGGAAAGAACCAUCUGGUAAGAUGAUAUUAUAACAAUAUGGAGAGGAUUAACUGAAAAGAUUAUUGGUAAGUAAUAACAAUAACCAAGCAACUGAGUACUCAGGCAAGGAAUGCCACAUUUCUGUCCUCAAAGCAGCCCUGUGAAGGAAGCACCCCUCCUCCGAGCAGCCUGCCUCUGUUGGAGUGAGGGUGACCAUACUGUCCUUGUGCUCUUCCACUCUGGAUUCUAUCACUGUUUUUCAUACAUAACUCCACUGCCUCCCCACUUAUUUUCUCCAGUGACAGACUGCCUGUGUGUUUUGCACAGCGGUGGCACACACAGCAAGUUGAACUGUUGAGAUGUUGAGUCUUUGGGUUUUUCUUGUCAAGAGUGAAAUCCCUCUUCCUGAUGUCGUAGAUGAAAAUAUAAGCAUUAGCAAACUGUGUGUUGGCCUAAAGCAAAAAUAGUAAGAAAAUUGUUGUAAAGAAAGUACUUGAUCAACCUGAGCCCACCCCCAUACUGUUUAUUAAAACCAAGUAUUUUAAGGGAGCUGUCGAUAUACAAAUUAUUACAGAGUAAAUAUGAUGAAUUUCAAAAACAGUGUCCAAAUUCUGUAUGUGAGUAGUUUUACUAGAAUGGGCAUUAUUCAAGACUGAAAUUAUUUAAUACAAAGAAACAUUCUUUGUUCACACUGUGAGCCACUGUCUUCCAAAAUGCACACCACAAUACCGGCAUUCUUACUCAAACUUGAAUAACACAGGGAAUACUGUCAGAUUAUUUUACAGUUGUUUUUCUUAUCAUCACAAAAGUUGUCACAGAACUUCAUUCCUGAUCAUAGAUUUUUAGAGUUGGAAGGAACCCAAGAGAUCCAGUCUAACUCCUUCCUGCCACCCAAGGGAUAAAGUAAUUUUUUUAAAGUCAUGUAGAUAGCUGAUGUCGGAAGGAGGGAGAGAUAAGUUCUGUGCAUAAUGCCACAGUUCUGCAUUCCUUUGGAAAAAAACUGCCUACUCAUUCUUGGAUUUUUAACGCUAGUUAGAGUUUUGUGGCAAGGUUAUUUUCCAUGACUAACUAGUGUUCUUUUGUUUUCUCAUGUGGGUGUCUGGGAACAAGCUCAGUGUUUUUGUUGCAACAAUUGAACAGUGGAAGGUGGUAACAAGACACUUGUCUAGUUAACACUUUAGGUGUCGGCAGGAGAAAGUGGUUGGGAGCUCAGAUUCUCUGUCCUCAUUGUCAGUAAGGCAACUAUUUUAAUGUUGAGUUUCCUAAACUGGAGCCUGAAUUCCCCCUAAAGUUUUAUGAAGAUUCUGUGAAUAUAUAUUUCAGGAAAAUAAUCUGUAGCUUUCGUGAGAUUAUCAAAAGAUCUACGGUUUAAGACUAUUGUUCUAGAAGAAGGGAGAACUAUGCCAGUUGCAUCCAAGCACUAAUUGUAGGAGAGGCUUCCCUUAUCUCUAGCCCCCUUGUGCCCCCUUCCUACUGACAAGCCUUCCACACAGCUUCCUGGAUCUUUUCUUGGAAGCCACUGGAGGACUCCGGCUUCUUAAUGCAGGAACAUUCCCCAACUUUCUCAGGGCUACCUUCUCUGCUCUGUUUCCAUGAGAUGCUGUGAGACUCAGGGAUGUUUGUUCAUUAGAAAGCUCAGGGGUGUCACUUCAGAUACAUUUUGAUUGAAAAGAAUGUGUGAGCUGACCUGAGAACACAAGACUAUUGCAAAUAAGAGGGGGGGAAAAUGCACUUGGAAUUCCAAUCAAUAUUUUGCAAAUUAGCUUUCAGAAUGCCUCCAGUUCUUUGGUUAGGGAAUCUGUGUUUGAUCUAGGAACUAUUUAAUAUUUUCUAGGAACACAAUGAAAGUCCGUGGAUGCUUGUUCAGGAGUUGUCAGAAAUAUUGAAUUUUUCCUUCUCAAAUUUUAUUUCACUUGGAAGAAUCUACCCCUGAAUAGCAAUUCAUUUUGAUGGGAAUUCUUCCCAGAAGAGAACAUAUAGAGAGCAUGUUCUAAUCUUUUUUUCUUUUUUUAAGUCCAGCAUCUGGACACACAAAAGAAAAAGCUAGCACUAAGACUGAAGUUGGAAGAAUUUGUUCAUUUGUGAGUUUAUUCAUUUUAAAAAGCCUUUUCUGAGAACACAUCAUAAACACUUAGGAAUCAUGUUUGAUGCUGGUAAAUGAGGUGCCCUCUUCCCUUGCAAGGCUUGCAGUCUGCUGGGGAUACAGCUUGACAACUAAGAAUAACAGUUUAGCAUGUUAAACACUCCAGCAGAGUUACCAAAAAAGCACUAAUCUCAUACUGUCCCUGGCCAGGAAGUGGCGUGGGAGUGGAGCCAGUGGAGGGUCAGCUGAGGAGGUUAGGGUGAGUUUCUCUGAAGAGGUGACUGUUGAGUUGUGUAAACUUGUCUGGCUAAGAAGAGAACUAGGUAUAUGAUGAUAUAUUUGUGCCCUUCCCACUUUUUUGGUAUACUGGGAUUGAACCCAGGGUCUUGUGCCUGGUAGGCAAAUGUUCUAUCACUGAGCUACAUCCCCAGUCCUGCCUUUCCAAUUUUAACUAAACUUAACAUUGACCAGGCUCUCUUAUUUUAUGUUUUCAAUUAGAGUUCCAAAAGAGAAUGGAAGCCACUGGAGGACCGUAGCUGCACAGACAUACCAUGGCUGCUGCUCUUUAUCCUCUUCUGCAUUGGGAUGGUAAGGAAACUCACAAAUGAUCCAAACCCACGUUUGUAAUCCCAGGCAACAUGGGGAGUUGGUUUGAGAGGGAACUUGUUAUAUAUGUGUGCGUGUAUGGGUUUUGUCCCUUUUGUAUUGCUUAUAAUUGGAGGGACUAAGAUACCAUUUAAGCAGGCUAUUUCCCCCUCAAAACAGUUCUUUGGUAUCUAGUAACCCUUGAUUGAUUGAUUGAUAGUUUUUUUUUCUUUUAAUGAAAAGUGAGAUCAAAACCAAGGAGCAACUGGGACACUUCUCUCAUUUGCUAGAUCAUUUCAGAAGGCCAGAGCAUUUGACCUAAGUUUCUAUGAACUGUGAUCUUGACCGAAUGGUGAACAGAUCAUCCGUGGCCCUGGAACUGAGAAUCCUGAGGAUUUACUCCACCCAUUCACAUAAGCCUGAGUGUUAUCUUUUUGGACGAAUCAGUUCUCUCAGAGGCUUGAUGUUCCUUUGUAGAAAAGUAGAUGUGUUACUAGAUGAUAUCUAUAGUACUUCCAGUUCUGACAUUUUUAGUUCCUUCUGGUUAGGUGGUUCCCCACUGCUUCUUUCUCCUUCAGACUAUGAGAGGCCCCUGCAGCCUACUGUAUAAUGAGUGCAUUUCUCAGUGGAAGAUCAAGAGACCUGGUGAUUUUCCAAUGGGAUGGGGAGCACAGUCCCUGGUGCAUGGUGCUGGGUGUGUGGUUAUUUGGUGACAUUCCACUCUGCUUUGCCAGGGUGCAUGACGCAGACUUUCUUGGCUUUGGAGUCACUGCCAAUGUGCUGGGUUGGUAAAAAGACAAACACCUGUUUUAGAGCUGUUUAGAAAGGACUUGGAAGUCCUCACCUGGUCCAUCAUCUGUACUUUAUAGAUUAAAACAUCAAAUCCAGAAAUGGAAACGUCUAUCCCCAGGCAACACAGCUAGUUAAUGGCAGAGCUGGGAACAAAGCUUGGUCUCUAUUGGGGCCAGUGCUCUUUUCUACCUCCUUUUCCUGCUUGUGGAGGGGACAGAGUAGAUAACAGUAUUGCUCUCUUUCAUAGUAUUUUGCUACUCAAAAUGCAAAUACACUUCCUCAGGCAGCCUUUGUCUUACUCAAGUAUAUUUUCUUUUUUAAUAUUUAUUAUAUUUUUUAGGUGUAGAUGGGCACAACACAAUGCCUUUAUUUUUAUAUGGUGCUGAGGAUCGAACCCGGGUCCUACCCGUGCUAGGCGAGCGCUCUACCGCUGAGCCACAAUCCCAGCCCUCAAGUAUAUUUUCAACUCUCUUUCCAUACUUUUAUGAAGACCUUUGAAAAUUAUCUCUUAUUCUGUGUCUCUCCAUAACAAAUGCCAUCUGUGAAUCACAGAACAACUGUAAUCUUGGCCAGUGGUCACAUUAUAGGUACCAGUUCUGCCUGUGAACCAAGGAAAAGAAAGUAAAUUUUAAUGAGAUAUAAGAAAUUCAACAAAGUAAGAAGUGUUUAAUUUAAACAUAAAAGUGCAGGUUCUCCAAAAGAAAGAUAUUUAGAAAGGGUCAAAAUAUCCAUUUCCUAACUUAUGAUGUAUGGGAUACUGUUCAAGAGUUUACUUAAUGGAAUAGCAUUGUAAGGAAAUGGCAACUGAAAUGCAAUAUGCACAAAUAUUUCAUGUAGAUGUGGAGAAGAUUCUUUGUUAACAGAAUUAGUCCAUAGCCUUUCCUCACCCCCUAAUGCAACCCUGGGACAAAUAGCAGCUGACCUUUCAAAAUUAUGUUUAUAAAAACAUGUACCAUGCCACCCAAGGUGCUUCUGAUUUUCUGUGCUAAAAUAGCUCAGGAAAGUGCAGUCAUUAAUGUUAAUAGACUGAUUUGGGAGUGACUUGAGACUAAGGAGUUAUUUGUUUACUGAAACGUUUUAAUGCAAUGGUAAUUAAUAUAAUGUUGAUUUUAGUGUGAUGGUAAUUAAGACCCACUGUGUGUACUUUUAAAUGCCAGGCAUAGCAUCAUUUGUUUGGGAAUGAUUUUUUGAAUAGAUUACUUUUAUAUGAUUCAGAUAACAACAAAUUUUGCCAUAUAGAAACUGAAGAAAUUGCCAUGUUCUAUUGCCCAUUAUACUGGCAUAGCAGAGGUUCAAAGUUUUUUUGGUUUUUGUCUUCUGAGUAUUUGUUUUAUGUUUUCUUUAGAAGAUUUUUGCACCCAUGGAGUUCUUUCUCUACUACAGGUUGAAUGUCUCUUGUCACAAAUGCUUGGGACCAGAGUGUUUCAGGUUUUAGAUUUUUUUUUUUUUAAAUUUUGGAACAUUUGCAUAUACAUAAUGAGGUAUCUUGGGGAUGGGACCCACGUCUAAACAUGAAAUUCACUUUUGUUUCAUAUAUACCUUAUGCAUAUAUCCUGAGGUAACUUAAAAUUUUUUUGUUGAUGAUAGACCUUUAUUUAUUAAUUUAUUUAUAUAUGGUGCUGAGAAUCGAACCCAGUGCCUCACAUGCUAGGCAAGGGCUCUACCACUGAGCCACAACCCCAGCCCCUAGCCUGAGAUAAUUUUAUACAUUAUUUCAGUAUACUUGCAUUUGGGCUGCAGCGCAUCACACUAAGUUAUUUGUGGAGUUUUCCACUUGCGGCUCAUGUUGGCACCAAGAAAGUUUCUGAUUUGGGCGCAUUUCAGAUUUCAGAUUUUCAGAUUAGGGAUGCUCGCCCUGUAUUUUUAAAAGAAACCUUCUCUACAGAUUUUUUGAGCAUUGAUUUAUGCUCCACGCUUUCAUAUAUGUGUUCAUCUUGUUAAAUUCUCCCAGUUACCUGGUGAAAUAGGUUUUAUCUCCAGCUUAUAGACGAGGUGUACAGAUGUGAAGCUUAGCUUGUCUAAUAAGUGGCAAGGACAGAACACGACUGGAACUUUCUGAGUGUGUUCUUUUCACUGACUGCUCCACCUGCCUGCUUCCUUUACAGGCUACUUUUGUUACCUUGAAGCCUGAUAUUCAAACCAUGUGUAUGUUCUAUUGUCUUUACCUGCAAUUCUUUGCUCACUUCUUGGUACUCUCAAAAGCUAAAGCUCUUAAAUUAUUUUAAAUAUUGUCAUCUUUUACUCCUCUCUAUCAUUAAAUACUUAUUUAUACGCAUUUAUCUCCUCAUUAUUGAUACUUUUUUUUUAUUUCUUCCCUUAGUUUCAAGGAUUUUCUAUGCUUGAAUUGUCUAGAAUGUGGGGUGUUUUUCAAAAUAAAUUGGCAUCAGACUUCUUGAGAGCUAUCAUCUCCCAUGUUUGAACUUUCAUCACAAUUUUGAAAAUAGUGGACAUAUGCUUACCCUGCUCUAAAAAAUUACAAGUAACGUUGCACUUCUAAAUUUCUGUUUUCAAUUAAGGUAGUAAACGAGUGGUUCUCAACCAUAGCUGUGUGUUAGAAUCAGCUGGAACACUAAAAUACAAACAAAAACAAAUUUCUUUCCUGGGACCCACCUCAAUGAUUAUGAUAUAAUCUCUGUGAUUCUGGUGUUCAGCCAAGGUUGAAACCCUCUGUUAUGGGCACUGAUGAGCCACAGGAGUGUUGAUAAGUGAUUUGUCUAGGUUAGAAGUGUGGCCCUAGCAGCUACUGUUGAAGAUGGAAGUAGGAAGAGGUUUUAGACAGGCCACUUUGGAGGCUGGGGCAACAGUAAAAGGUGAAAAUUUUUAAAUAAGGUAAUGGUAAAGGAGAGAGAGAGAAAUAAGACCAGUAACAUCAAUGGUUAUUAAUGUUGCAGGCAAAUGAGAGACAGAGCAAGGGGGACUGUGAGGUUCUUGUGUUACGGGUUCAGUGUAGAGUUUUUCAGCUCAAAUCCUACCCUAUUUCCUCCUGGGUUCCCAACCAUGGUUUUUAUACACCUCAGGAGACAAGAGCCGCAUGAAUAAACAGUCACCCAUGGGCACUUGAUUAUGCCCAGGGAAGCACUCCAUGGUAAAAAUGACUUGGACCCUGUGGGCUAAAUCCUUCCCAUCUGGGACAGUCUUACUUCAUUCUCAGAGUAAUGUAUAUCAGGGAAGAGAAGAGAGGAAGAGAAAAGGGAGAGCUACACUGGCUCAGAUCAGCUUAUGCCACAAAGGCAGGAAAGAGAGGAGGCUGGAUGGCUCUAACAGGAGUGCCUCCAUGGAAAGUGUCGUCCCUGCUCACCAGCGGCUAGACAUUAUUUUUAGCACCAGACACAGACGCUUAAUACUCGAAACUAUUCAAUGCUGCAUACACUAUUGUUAUCACUUUCCCCAUUUUAUAGAUUAGGAAACAGAAGUACAGAGAUAUAUUCAAUGUGUUCAAUAACUUAUUUAAGAUUUCACAGUGGUACCUCUGACCCCAGGGAAGAAGAAAAAGUCAUCAAAGGUAAACUUUAUACUUUAUUGCCUAGAAUCAAGAACAACAGAAAAAGUUGUUCAGCACAUGGUUCUGUAGGACACAGUAAUCUUAUGUGCCAAUAAGCUGUGGUCUCACAAUGUCUCAAACUCUGACCAAGUAGCUAAACAUUACUCCUCCCUCUACUGUGGAGUUGGGAAGCUAGGAUGAGGGGCAGAAGGAUGGAGAGAAGAAACCAAAGAGUCCUCCCACUUUAAAUCUUGCAUGUGGAGACUAGCAGAUAAUGCUGCUACUAAUGGAUAUAAAGUAUAUAUUGGAAAGGGAAGUGGUUUGGGGAAGUGUGGAAUCAGAAUAUAUGGAAUGGGCAUAAUAGAAGUUGUGGGUAAGGAUAAGAUGGAAAUGCAAAGUUGGAAUUUUAGGCAGUGAUCUGAAUGGGAGCCGGGUUUAGGAGACAUUGCAUAGGUUGGUCCUUCAGACUGCUUUCAAGGACCUUUUUAUUUUAUAGCAUUAGUCUAGUUCCUGGGGCAUGAUGUUUCUACCUCAUUAACCAUGGUUGAGCAUGCAGCAGAUAGAGAGAGAUUCAUUGCAAUAUUUAGUUCACCUGUUUGAUGGUCUGUUCUUAGCCAGAAUCAUAGAAUACAAAGAACAGCAUGCCAAGAAUUACCCUAAGGUUGCUUGAUCAGGUAACUACUCAUUUUUUGUUAAGUCCAUUUCUUGUUUAAAAAAUUGUGGUAAAACAUACCUAAUGUACAAUUUGUCAUUUUAACCACAUUUGCAUAUAUAGUUCAGUUAAAAACAUUUGUUUUUAAUCUACUCUUUAUUUUUUUCUCAGUCACAGUAGUAAACCAAAUGAGUUUAUAUUUCUCCCUGCAAGAAUACUCUUAAAAUUCUAACUUUUUUCUGCUUUCCCAUAGAAUCAUUUUGAAUGAGGAAGGAUUUAAGAGAUUAGCCUAGUCUAAUGGUUGGGACCAGUAAGGAAGUGGGCUUGGAGAAUUCAAAGCUAACCUGCCCAGGCUCAAAAGUUGUAGUAGUGGCAAAGCCAGGAUCAGAUACCAGUAUUCCUUGUCUGUGUUUUAUUCAUUGUUCUAGCUGUCUGUGAAACUGAGCCUCUGAUUUUGCUUCUACAUGCCCCAUUAUUUUCUUUCUUUUUUUUAAUUUUUAUUUUUGUGUGUGUGUGUGUGUUGCUGAGAAUUGAAUUCAGGGCCUAGUGCAUGUGAGGCAAGCACUCUACCAACUGAACUAUAUCCCCAGCCCCCAUUAUUAUUAUUAUUUUUUGAUUGAGAACAUUUCAUUGCUUUUAGGACUUUUUUUGAGGGGUGGGGUGGGGGUGGGGCUAAGGAUUGAACCCAGGGGCACUUAACCAAUGAGUCACAACCCCAGCCCUUUUUUAUUUUUUAUUUUUUGAGUCGGGGGUCUAAGUUGCUUAGGGCCUCACUGAGUUGCUGAGGCUGGCUUUGAACUUGCAAUCCUCCUGACUCAGUCUCCUGAGUUGUUGGAAUCACAAGCAUGCACCACUGUGCCCAUCUGCUUUUAGGACCUUUAGGGUGAGACUUACAUUUGUUUGUGCUCAAUAAAUGCUCAUUGAGUGGACAUUUCCUAGAUUUAUUUUUAUUUGUUUAUUUAUUUGCCUCUUUUCUCUUUCUUAGAGUAAUAAAUUAUAUUAUACUUUAAAGGAGUUCAGAAAUUUGGCACCCUGGCUAAAGUUUUAAGUUUAUUUUUUUAGUGUGUUUACAGAGAUAUUAGUUCUGCACCAGGCCUUCAGCUUUUGUCUAUCUCCUGGGUCCUAAUAGCCUUUCUUGUCUCAGGAUUCUCAGAAGAGGAGAAACAGAAAACAAGUGCUACCCUAAGUUUAAAGUUAUUAAGAGAUUGACCCCAAGCAUUGAUUGAGAUAUGGGACAUAAAUGAGGUGGUUUUUGACAGAGAGAUAGUCAAGAAAUGUUUUCCUUAACUCCUGGGAGACAGCUAUAAUCAUAACUCAUUUCCCCUCAUUAUUUUGAAACAUUUUGUUAUAUUCACAUACUACCUCUACCCUCCAUACAUUAUUUUUAUUGUCUCCCUACCCCCCAAAACUGAGGCCAUCCACCUUUCUCAGUUGUCUAGUAGAAGCUCUAGGUGUGAGUUGGGCACACUGGUACUUGCCUGAAAUCCCAGUGACUCCACACGCUGAGGCAGGAGGAUCACAAGUUUGAGUCCACCCAGGACAAUUUAGUGAGGCCCUGUCUCAAAACAAAACAAAAAGUAAAAAGGGCUUGGGGUUUAGCUCACUGGUAGAAUGCCCCUGAACUCAAUCUCAAUACUAAAAAAGAAGCUCCAAGCGUGAAAUUCAAACAUGCUUGUGAAAUUAAAGUGUAUCCUAUUUUUUCUUCCUUUCCCCUUCCUCCCUUCCUUUUUCCUUAACUCUUCCUCCCCACCCCCUUUCUCUAGUACUGAAAGAAACUAAGCAAAAACUCUUACUUAAGUAGAACUAGACCUUGUGAUGUGAAGGGAAAAUGAGCACAGUUUGUUAAUUAGCAAAUUGUCUUUCUUCCACUUGGGCAGUAAGUACUUACUAGUUGCCAGGUCUUGCCCAUCACCCCAUCGCCCUUGUAUGUCUUUAUCUGAUUCCAGUUGCCUCCUGUGAGUGGAUUUUUCUGCUCUUCCUCUCUCCCUUAAAAUAAUAGUCCUGAAAGCACUUCAGCAGCUCAGUCAUUUUAAGAUUUUAGCCAUGGUUCUCUUCCUUACUAAUAGGCUUACUUUCUCUCUAGUGAUUGCUUUCUAUUCCAUGCUUAUAAAAGCUUUCCUUACCCUCCUCAUCAUUUGCUUCAUUAAUGUGAUUUCACUCUGUUGGAAGCCUUUUCCCUCCCCUCUCUGUGGAGCCAUUAAAUUAUUGAGUGUAUUUUAUAAAGUUUCUCUCACCAUGUUUUAAUUUCAUGUACUGUAUUUUUUCUCUUCUGAAACGAUAUUGCUUCCUGCAUUUGGGUUUUAGCAUUUUUCUUUUUAAGGAGAUUGUAAUUUUAAUUGUAUGUGGCCUAGUUCCCCAUUGUCAUUGCUUGUGCUGUAGAGGAAGUCCCUAGGAUAAUAGUCAUGGUUUCUUACCAUCUUAUUAGCUUUCUAUUUCCCUUUCUUCUCCACCUUCAACUUCUCACCCUCUCUAUUCUAAUGUUUCUGGAAGCUACUAAGAAGUUUAAAUGACCUAUACGAAAAUAUGUCAGUGUCCCAUUUUAGCAUAUAUAUGUAACAUUUAUAAUUUAUGCCCUGCCUACAUCCUGGAGGGAUGUGAGGUAGCUUAUGAUAAAGAAAAAUAUCCACAUGUCCAACAGUACUGUUAAAAAUAGUCAGAAAGGGAAACCAGAAACUGUUUAAAGAAUAUCUAACAACAUACUUAUCAAACAUAAAAAACAAUUCCUAUAAGAAGUAAAAGAAGUUUACUUAUGUAAUAUCUUUGCUAUUCAAGAGUAGUAAUCAAAGAAUAUUAAUUGUGGACUGAGUAGUUUGUGUAGCAAUAAAAUUACUGAUAUUGUUUUUCACCUUUUCUCCCUAGAGAAAAUUUUUAGAAAUUUUUGCUCUAAAAUAGAGAAGCCAAGGGACUUUUGUUAGUCUCCAGUUACCAUUCGUAACCCCCUUAAUCUGAUUUCCCCAUUCAAAUUUACCAUGAACAGCUGCCAUUUAUUGAUCACCUGCCAUGCAGUAGAAUUCAGCUAGGGAUUGGGUAUAUGUUACUUCAUUUAGUGCUCAUCAUUAGGCUGCAGGGUAAAUGGUAUUGCUCAGUGUUGGAGAUGUAGAGAGAGCAGAGUCUAAGUAGGAAAUUGGAUCAAAAUCACAGGUAGUAAGGAAAUGGUGGAAAGAAUUUGAAUUCAUUGUUUCUAAAUCCUAAGUCCAUUCUUUUUCUAUUACUCUGAUGCUUCUUACUAAAGAAAUACAUUGGAAAGUGUGUUAGUAUUCUGGAAUUAUAACGAAUAUCUGAGAUAAUCAACAGAUAAAGAAAAAGAUUUGUUUUGACUCAUAGUUUUGGAGGUUUCAUUCCUUGAUUGGCUGGCUGUGUGCUUCUGGAACUAUACUGGCACCUCAUGGUGGGAACAUGUGGCAGAGUAACAGGAAGGAAAGGAAAGGUCUGGGGUCACACAGGGCACUUCUUCAGUAGCCUCAAGCCCUCCUACUAAGCCCACCUCUUAAAGGUUCUACCACCUCCCAGUAGCAUCAUGGGACAGGGACCAGGACUUUAACACAAGGACUUGAUUAACACCGCUGGGACUGACUGCCCUUGGUGUCCUUGGAGGAGUCAAGAGAGAGGGAGGCAGGCAACAGGGGAGUAUAAGUACUGACCAGCUAUGCCUAAACUGGUGCUAGCCAUUAGUUGCUGCUUUGAGACAGAAGGGUAUUAACAUGUAUUGAGACAUACACUUUACAUAUACAAUCUCAUGUGAUUCUCUUAAUAGUCCUUGUGGUAAGUAGUUUUAGCCCUAACUUAUAAGUGGGUAAACCAAGGCACAGAGCAUUAAGCAAGUUUGUCCAAUAUUACACAAGUAGGAAAUGAAGUCAUCAGUAUUUCAUCAAUAACACAGGUUUAUCUAUCUAGCCCCAAAGCCCAUAAUCUUUCCCAUAUAGCAUUUACUCAUUUCUAAUAACAUUAAUAGCUAAUAUUCAUUGAGCUCUUCCUAUAUGUCUGGCAGAUUUCUUACCACAUAAGGUUGUGUCAUUUAUCUUUACCACAGCCCGAUGAACUACUUACUCUUUGUCUCCAUUUUAAGGGAACUAACUUGAGACAGAUCCUUGGCCAGGAUCUGAGAACCAGAGAAUAGCAAAUCAGGGAGUCUACUUUCUCACAAAGUGUAGUUGUAAGAAGUUUCUUUUGACAAGAGCUACACUCAUGACUCUUCUCUCUCACUUCCCUUACCUGCACAAUGAAAGUAGAAGGGUUUUGUUUAGUUUUUUAGGUAAGUAUACUUACAGGGGGAAAUACAGUUUGAGGAGUGUGUAUGUGCGCAUAGUGUUUACCACUGUGGCCUGAGAUCUAGCAGCACUACUUAGAUAAAGUACUGCUCCUAAUAGCUGGCAGUGAUGAUCUCUGCCUUCCUAGCCACUCUACUGAAGAUAACAAAAACUUACCCUUUUAAUGACCAGGUUGCACAAAAUUUCUUAACCCCAGUCUUUCCCCACAGUAUAACCAGUUCAUCAGCAGUGAUUCCCCUCACUUCUGCUUCCUAUGCCCAGUAAUCUGCUGUUGAGUGUAGGCUUUUACUGCUUUAUUUUGGUCAGCGCAUGCCUGACUUAGCAAGCAUGAUGUGGUUCUGAAGUUUCUCCCCUUUGCCCUUGGUACUGGGAUAAAGCGUAUUCCCACAAGAUGAAGUGACCCUUGCAGUACACAAAGCCAGUGCCUCACUUACUGUCAUUCAGUCUCGAAUAUGAAGAGCUUGGCAGUGCUUGGUGAUGGAGUUCUUUGGCUUGUAUACAGCUUUAGUGCACAAAGGAAACAAAAAAAGUCUUGUGUGCACUGAAGUGAGAAUGAUUCAAAACCCACAUACCUAUUUUUUUGGAUUUUUAACAAUUUAUCCUUUGCUAUUAUUCAUUUAAUAGAAUCCCUUUACACCCAAAUAAAACAAAAGAAUGAACAAAGCUGGGUUUGAUUCUGUGCUCUCAUCUUUAUUGGAUUCUAUGGGCUUAGGUAACUCAUUUAACUUCUCUUGGCCUCAGUUUCUUCAUCAUGGGGAUUAGAGAUAAUGUGUGAUAAAUACCUAGGACAGAGCCUGGCAUUGAGCAGGUGUUCAACAUAGAGAGGCUGUCAUUAUUAUUAUAAAUGCAAAGAUGAGCUAAUGAUGUGAAAGCUUGGGAUUUGUUUUGUUAUGGUAGUAAAUAGUAUUUCCCUGUGGACUUCUUUGUGCUGCUCAUAUGCAAUCCAAGGAAAACAGUGGAAUAGUGUUUGCAAUGAGGAAAGAUAGCGCUUUGUUCCCUUCAGCAGACAAAAGAAACUCAUUAUCGUAUCAAGUAGUGACUGUUGGUAUUGAAAUGGUUUAUUUGUGUGUGUUUUUUUUCUGUUUCUUUCCUAGGGAUUUAUAUGUGGCUUUUCAGUAGCAACAGGUGCAGCAGCGAGACUAGUGUCAGGAUACGACAGCUAUGGAAAUAUCUGUGGGCAGAAAAAUGCAAAAUUGGAAGGAAUACCAUACAGUGGCAUGGACCACACCCAACGGAAGUGAGUAGACUCUUGCUGAAUGAUGAACACUGUGGAAACUUUAAAGGAGGCACAGAGAAAAUCCUGCUUUUUUUUUUUUUUAACCCAGAAAAUAACAUUAUUUUUCUUUUUAAGAUUAUACUGGAUGGGAGAUAGGGAUAAUAAUAGAUAUUGAAAAAUUAAAGUUAUAAAGUAACAUUUUGUGAUGCAUCAUUUAUAGGUACACAUCACUUUCCAAUUUUAUAAAAGAUACAUUUUCCUUGUCAAACUGUGAGAUUUGUUUUGGGUCCUCAAUAUUCAUCUUUUGGGUUUCAUGAGAUUGCUCAUUUAAUUGCUUUUUUCCUUCGAAAGCACUACUAUUUAAUAUUUAAUGUCCGGGGAAAAUAUAUUUCAUCUAAUAUAUUUUAUGUAUGAUGCCAAUGUAAUUGUUCAAACUGUGUAUUUAUACCCCAUCAAAAUUUAUUAGAAUUUUUUUCCAGUAUCAAACCAUAUCUUCAGAAUUAACAAAACUAAUUAUAAGGUAACCAGGCUAAUCCGUCUAAUACACUUUAUAGGAAAAGGCUAAACAGAUAAAAACAUUUUUAAAGCUACAUCAGUUCUUUCUAGUAAGAUAAUUUGUAAUACCUAUUUAUUGUUAUAUAAAUCUAUGGUUAAAAUUUGAUCUCUCUGUAUAAGAUUAAUUUGAUAAUUUUGCAGACUUGAAGAAAUUCAAAUAACUAUUUCUCAGAGAUACUCUUCCCUUAAAUGAAGGAGAGAGAAUGCAGCUCAAGUAAACAAAAUUUCAGUAAUAAUAAUGAAUAUUUGUAUAGCAUGCCAGAGUGGACAAGCAUAUGCCCCCCCUGUGAGGUAGAUCUAACAGAGGCUUAGGGAGACUGAAGUGCCUUUUCUGAGGCCAUGUGGCUGGUGGGCAGUAGAAUAUCCAGAGCAGACUAUGAGCUUCUCUCUUAAUAGGCACCUGCAUCACAUACGAGAAGCAAAAAUUAGACUUGAAGUAAUUUGGAAGAUUGCUUAAUUUUUUCUUCUUUAUGAUUGCUCCUUGAAUUUAACACAAAUUUUAGAUCUUGUGUUAUUUCUUCUAGCAAAAUUAUCCAUAUCUCUUUUGUUUACUUUUUAUCUUGAAAUAAUUUUAGACUCAAUAGACAUUGCAAAAGCAGUAGAGUUUCAUUUUUUUAUUAUUUUUUUUUUAUGUAGCAUGUAUGCGGUAAAAUAUUGCUUAAUUCUUUAAUGCUGUUGACAUGUCCCAAAUAUAAAAUUAGGUAAUUGAGGAGAUGAGAAGCAAAAGGUUCUCCUCUAUUGGGUGCACUGCUCACAAGGGUUGUAAUCAUUUUUAUGGCUCUCUUGGUAACUUGCUAAUGACUGUGAGCAUAUCCUUAUGGUAAGGUUUGUGUAAAUGCCACUCUUCACAUUUAACCUUCUUGUGGUUCCUCAGACCAUGGAAGAGAUUUCAAAUCCUUGGGUUAUUCUAUGUACACUUUGGCCUCUUGUAAAGAGGAACUGCAUAUUAUUCUGAGAAAGUGGCUACUCUUCCCUGAAUGCUUAUCUUCAUUGAGAGCCAUUCAUGUAUAACUUUAAGGAGUAUAAUUUCUCAACUGUAGCUAUUCUUUAGCUCAUAUAUACAUGUUUAAAAUUUAUUUUCCAUCUUUGAUUACCUUUUCUGCAUUAUAAGCUUUGUAGUGCUAUCCCACUUAAGUAUUUCUGUCUAUAAAUGGCAAUUAUUGUCAAUGAAUGGUAAAUUUUUGAACAUUCCUUUUGUGGGUAAAUCUACAGUAUUUGGAUUUGGAAAGUGAAAGAAAGGUAGUAGCCUUCAUUUUUAUUAUCUUUAUUUCAUCUUCCUCUUUCUCCUGUCAAAUGCAUUGAUUUCCUUCUUUUACCACUCAUUUCCUUAUACGUCUUUUAUGAAUUCCACACCCAUCUGUAGCUCUAGAGUGUUUUUAUACCUGUUUCUCUGCUUGGUCACUUUCUCUCAUCCUUGAUCUCCUCAGCCUCUGUUGUAUUACCUAAUGCCUACUUGAACCUCCAUACAUAUUUGUUGAAUAAAUCAACAGAUGAGUCCUCUAAAGUCUUGGGUAAGGCUAAUUCUCUAUUUCAUAAGUUUUGCUUCCUUUGUUAAGAAAAAAAAAUUCUUCUGUUUUUUCCUGUAGCUAAAUUCUACUGAUCUUCAGCUUUCAGCAAAAUGUCACUUUCAAAGAGGUCUUCUUUGAUCUCAGAAUUUAAGCAUUGUGUCCUAUAAUAUGUGCAGUUAUACAUUGAUUGUUCCAUGGAGGGUUGGAUGUACGUAAGUCUCUCUUAAGUGCCAAGAGAGAAGCAUCUCUUAUUCACUACUGUAUCCCCAGGGCACAUCUCAAAGCCUGAAUGUAGUAGGCACCCAGUUAAAUGCUUGCUGAAUGAGAAAAUAAAUCUACUUCAGCAGUGUUCUAAGAAGUGAAUAACUGAGUUUGAGGAUCUGAAUAUUUUGAGAUUAUUAAUGCAUAUUGCAGAAUGGAUUUCCAUAAAAAACGGUUCCAUUUACAUUCCCACCAACAGUGUCUGAGAUUACUUUAUUUUUACUGGUAUUAUUAGUUUUUAUUCUUUACUGUUUUGGUAGACCAAAGAAUGGUGCUUUAUAGUUUUAAUUUGCAUGUGUUUGAUUAUUAAUGAGUGUGAACCCCCCACCCCCACCAUGUGUUUGUUAGCCUCUCAUGAAAACGGUUGUGCAAGCAUAUCUAUUCUUGGUCUUCUUAUCUGUAAUCUGCUCCAUCCUUUAUGCUGUGAUAGGAUUAAGUUCUUUAAAACAGAGCUUUUAUUUUGUCAUUUCCUUGUUCAAAAGCCUUUGCCUUCUAUUUGCUGUCUGUAGUAUCAAAGAUGAGCCCGCUCAGCCCCCACCAUUUCAGGCCUUCUGCGAUCUGGACCCAUUUCACCUCUCCAGCCCUCUCUCACUGUUCCUCAGUGUGUGUUAUUAUUGCCCAUGACCUUCAGUUAAUUCUACCUCUGUGAUAUUCCUUCUGCCUGUCUGCCAAUCUGGGUCUUUGAAACACAAUGGGACUCACAACUCUCCUUAUUAUGAAAUGUUUCAAAACUAACCUUAUACCACAGUGAGUUUUCUUUACUUUGAUUACCUGAACUUUCCUAUCUCAUACUGGUUAUUCUAUUGCCUUCAAUUUGCUAUCUAAUUAUUCUGUGUUUCUCAUCUGUCUGUAUUAAUUAUUGGUUGCUAGGUAACCAUAUUACCAUAAACUUAGUGGCUUUAAACAAGAAGCGUUUCUCAUCUCAGCUUCAGAAUCCAGAUAUGGCUUGCCUUGGUCUUCAACCUUCCAUAGCUUACUCAGGGCUGUAGUCAGUGGUUCAUUUGGGGUCAGUCAGGGUCAGAGUGUAACCUGAGGCUCAGGGGGAGAAGGCUUCCCUUCCAGGUACAAGUGGUUGCUGGCAGCAUACAGUUCCUUGAGGAUUGCUGGACUUGCUGGCUGCCACUAGAGGUCCCCCUUCAGGUGUAGGCCACCUGGAUGGGCAGUUUGCCCCAUCAGAGCCAACAGUGAGAGCAUCAGUAGAGAGUCUGCUAGAAAAAUGGGAGUUACAGUCCUACGUAGUGUAAUCACAGAAGUGAUAUCCGUCCCUCUUUGCAAUAUUCUACUGAUUAGAAGCAAACUCAAGGAAGAGAGGAUGACUCAAGGGCACGAACAAUAAGACACAGGGAUAAUGGAGGCCUCUGAGAGUCUGUCACUCUGCUAACUCUGCUUCCUGAAACACCAUAUUUUCUUUAGCCCUCAGAGUUGAGCACCUAGGAGUUCCAUAAGAAGGGCUUAUUUAAUUAUAGUAAUAAAGGAAGGUAGGUAAUCAGGAGAGGAAUCCAAAGGAGAACACCUUUGACCUAUUUUAACCAGAAUGUUUAAGAUGCCAAGAUGAAUAAAAGAAUUCUAUUAGCAUAAAGAAAAAGUAAUAUUUUCUUAUCGUUCCGAUGAUAAUGGGUUUUUUCCUCCAAGUAGUAUUUUUGACGUGAUAAUACAUUUGUUGCAGUGAUAAGGAUGCACAAAAAGACAGCAGACAAUAUUUUGUGAGAUAAUAUGAAAACCUUAAUUUCAAAUAGAUUUAGUUGAUUUUUAAAUUGGUUGCUUGAGAUACUUAAAACUUUUCUGCAUAGAAAUAGUGCUUACAUAUGGUUCUAAGGCUAAGUCAACUCAGAAAAGCUCAUUUAUAUUAGAACCAAAAAGUGUCAGAGAUUGAAGGAAUCUUUAGAUUAUUUAAUGUGCAAACUCCUUAAAGCAUCCCAUCAAGUAUUUGUGAGUGCCAACUAAAUCCUAAAAUGAGAAUGUCUUGCUUUGUAGCUGAGCUAUUUUUUAAUAAUACUACUACAGAAGACAGGUAGGGUUUAUAAUCUUUUUUUUUUUUUUUUGAUGUUGAGGAAUAGGGUGGUGGCAAUAUAUUUUUGAACUCUGGCAAUUCCGUAAAACAUAUCUAUUCUGCCACAUCUAGAUCUACGAUUUUUCAGGUCUAUAACAUAUAAGCAACCUUACAGUGUAUGUGUCAAUUUUGAGACCAAAAAUUAUUAUUACUCUUUUUUGUAAUAAAGAAAAAUGUUUAUUUAGCUCACAAUUUUGGAAGUUCAAGUUUCAAAAUCAGGACUGUCCUCUAGUGAGAGCUUAAUAGCAGAUGGCGUCAUGUUAGAGUGGGAGUAGGUGGGGGGAGCCCUUGUGGGAGUAAACUACCACAUCUCGAAAUGGGAAGCUAGAGAGUACUGUUAUUAUUAAAAUUCUUCCUGUAGAGGAAGCCCCCUGUCUUACAUAUCAGUUUGGACACAGAGUGGCGAUGCUCCUAUUUAGUUCUAAUGCACCUGAAUUAGUGGGAUAAAGAUCGUGCUGGGACAGAAGGUCUAUUGGUCUCUGGGGAGAGGAUUGGGGCAGGGGUGGGGUAUGCAUUCCCAUGUCCUGAGUUGGGAGAGGAUAUGGUGAGGUGGCAUUGGCUUUUAGUGUGCACAGAUCAUUAUAAAGCUGGGUGAGGCUGGGGAACUGCUUUUAAUUGUUUUAAUUUAAUCACAAUAUUCUUAUUAGAACUCUUCUCCAUCUUGCAAAUAAUCCUAACAGAGUUUAGUGUUCACAUUCUUUGUUACUCUAAGAAGUUCUCAAUGUAUUUUAUUUGUAUUGAUUUGUACAUAGAGGUUCUAAAGAUAGAUUUUUGCACAAAUUUAAUUUUUUCAUUAUAUAUUUUUUUGUCUUUCCUCUGAGGAAGCCAUUUAAAGUUCCAAUCACUGGUAAAAGCUCUGUGGUCAUAAAAUGCCUUUCCCAUUUCAUAUCCUCUGUGUUAACAGGACGUAGAUGAACUAGAGGUCUGAGGAGGGUGAUGGCAUCCAUGAAUGAGUACAGUAUCUAUAAGGGAAGCAUUUUAUUUGACACCACUUUCAGUUUUCUUCAUCAUCUUAGGAUGCCAAGUGAAAACAGAAUUGGAGUGUGUUUUACUUCUUUUGUUCUCAUUCUCAUUGUAAGUUCACAGCUGAAAAUAUUUGUGCUGGGAGGCCCUUGGUAUCAUUGAGUGCCUGCAUUUUACAAGUAAAAAAAUCUGGGGUCUGGGAAACAUGAGAGACAUGAAAAAGAUAUAGUUUUUCCUCAGUGUCCACAGGCGAGUGGGACACACACACACACACACACACACACACAAAUCAGUGGAUGCUCAAGUCCUUUGUAUAACCAGUAUUUGCAUGUUACCUACACACUCCUCCUGUAUAAUUUAAAUCAUCUCUAGACUACUUAUAAUGCCUGGUACAGUGUAAAUAGCUAUUAUACAGUAUUGUUUAGGGAAUAAUAACAAUAUUAAAAAGUCCAUACAUAUUCAGUACAGAUGCACUUUCUUUUCUAAUAUUCUCAUUUCUCUGUUGGUUGAAUGCACUGGCUCAGAACCCAGGGAUCCAGAACCUAUGGAUCUGUAGGGCUGUCUGUAAGAACAGGCUGGCACUCCAGCCUCGCCCUCCAUUGAGUGCUCUUUGUGUUAGUCUGCACUGUGCCUGGUGAACUGUACAGUGAUCCUGGUUUCCCAUCUUUUUUAUUUUGGGGAUCCUUUCCUGCCAGCUUUGGAGAUGAAAGAAACUUAUGGGAACAUGGAGAGAAAAAAGGGCAGGUUAUAUAAAUUGAUAAAGUUAUAACUAAAGAGACUUUGAAAGAACCACAGCACCUCUCAAUCUGUGAAGGCUUUGAAUAAUUUGAAGGCUAUCUUGUCUCUUUCUAUCUCUGUCAGAUAAAGAAUAUGAAUAGUUAUGAUGAACUACAUUAUUCUCAUUUCAUAUUUUUUAUCAUUUGUAUGUUUUAAAUAUUUACUAAAAAAUACCUAAUUUAAAACUGAUAGUGGGUUUUGUUUUGUUUUUGGUAAGACAGUUGAUUGGCUUGAACAGUGGGGUUGUUUUAGAGAAACUCUUCAUUUUUAUAAUCUUCGUGGGUACAGUAUAGAUAGGACUUUUGUGAUCAUUGAUCACCUUUAAAACUCAGAGUUCUGUAAGUUCAGUGUAUCUGAUUCAGUCUACCCUAGGAUCACUGAUUAGCUUACUAACUUAUGUAAAGGGUUAUUUAGGUGAUUGAUAGUGAUAUUGUACUAAUAGGAAGAAUGUAUUCACUCUUUAAACAAUUUCUAAUUUCUGAGUUCUCCAUGCCUAUACCAUGUCAUAUAACCACCUAUUUUAGGGAAACCAUUUUUCUUUGAUUUGUCAAUGUAUAAAACAUGCCUCUUUUGAAGAGUCACCAAAUCUUAUUGAGUGUUCAUACCUCUCCAUGUUUGAAAAAGAAUUAAAAAAAAUAAUAAUACAAAUGAAAUUUGCUAAAUACUUGCUUUUAGGAUCUCUUUAUCAGCUAAGUAUAGUUCUUUGUGUUUAUGUGACUAGGACUUAUUUCUGUGCCUUCUGAUUUGACUGGAAUUUCUAUGUACUGAAGAAAUAUUCUUUACCAUUCCUGGAAAUUCUGCCUAUCAUUUUAUUUAACCCUCAGAAAACAUUAAUUGAAAAUUCAAUUGUGUGCUGGAGACUUUUUUUUAGGGAAAUAUUUCCAGUUUUUUGUUUGUUUGUUCAUUUUAUUUUGGUUUUGUGGUGCUGGGGAUACAACCCACAGUCUCAUGCAUGCCAGGCAGGCACUCCAUCACUGAGCUACAUCCUCAACCUAGAGACCUCUUCUAGUAUUAAUAAAAUAGGAAACAGCCAAAAUGGUCAAAAAAAAAAUGGAAUUUGUUUAAAUUCACUCAUUCACAACUAUUUCUUGGCUGUCUUCUUUGUUUUAGGGACUUGAGAUUAUGUUUGCUCUCUAACUGAAUCGGCACACUUUUAUCUCAUGGAAAUUGUAAUCUAAUAGAGAAAGCAGGACUUCAUAAACUCAUCAGGUAAUCACAGAUUAUUUCAGCUGAAGGAAGUCUUGUGAAGAGAGGUGUAAGGGUAUAAGAGAGGCUACAAUGGGAGGACCAGUCUGAGGCACUGUGGAGCCAGUAAAAAUGAUCUGUGGACGUAUAUCCAACAGCAGGAAGCCUCUGCAUACAUUAUUAAGGGAACAGUAAGUUAUAACACAGUAGAGGCAACUCGACUUUAUUAAUAUAUGUAAAAAUGUACGUGUCCUGGGGCUGGGGCUGGGGCUCAGCGGUAGACCACUCCUCUCACAUGUGUCAGGCCCAGGGUUCGAUGCUCAGCACCACAUAAAUAAAAUAAAAAGGUAUUGUGUCCACUUACAACUAAAUAAAUAUUUUUAAAAAUGUACAUGUCCUUAGAAAAGUAUGGAAUGACAUGUAAAUGUUAACAGUGUGUUGAACUAUUGAAUCAUAGAUGGUUUUUCCUUUAUAUUUAUCUCUUUUUUCUAAGUGUUCUACAAUCAAUAUCUAUUACUUGCAUUAAUGAAAAAUAUUAAAAAGAAAUUUGUAGUCUCUGUCCUUGAAGAGCUUGUUCUGGUGAGGAAGACAGAAUACAGAGAUAAAUGAUGAAGGUGCAAUGGGAACAUCUUGUAUCAGUGUCUGCUGAAUGCUGGGUGACUCUAUUUUCUUGGGUUCCUGACAGCAGGCUGGUGAGGAAAGAAAUAUAAGGCAAUGUGAUGGAAGGACUGGGACCACCAUUAGUUUUCUAUUGUUGCUGUAAUAGAUUACCACAAACUAAGCAACUUAAAACAAUGAGGUUCUGUAAAUCAGAAAUAUAAACAAGCACAGCUUAGCUGGUUCUUUGGCCCAGGUUUCAUAGGCCCUGUUGUCAGGGCUGUAAUUUUUUCUUGUGACUCUGGCAAUGAAUUGUCUUCCAGACUGCUUCAGAUGUUGAUAGUUCUGUUCCAUGUGGCUGUAGGGCUGAGGUAUGUUUCCUUGCCAUCAGCUGGGAGUCAUUCUCAGCUUCUGGGGUCAGCCUGAAUAUUCUCCAGCCUAUUUUCUAUGACUCAUGACUCCUUUCCCCCUAUAAAUAGAUUGUUUACCUAUUUAUAUUUAUCUGGGUAUAAGAGUUGAGAGCACUUGAAAAGUUAGAAGGCACAAACCCUUCUUGUUCUUGAAUCCCUCUGACUUUCUUUUUUCAGGGCAGCAUCUUGAUUAUAGGUUAUACAUGUGGAUUGAAGAGUCAGCCAGUAAUUGGCAGCUGAGGGACAGUUUUAGGUGGUAUUAGAGCCCCAGUUAAACAAGUUGAGGGUCAGGGCAAGGCUUGCAUUCUGUACAGGAAAAGUCACACAGAGUUGGUCUAAGUGUUACCUGUAAAUGAUGAGACAGAAGCUGGCGAAUGGAUGGUCAUGUAGACUGUUGGGCUGACAGAUGGCUCCAGAGCCCACCUUCUAAUGAGGAUGGGAUUCUGAGGAGAAGGCCAGGCCUGGAUCUUGUUGGCUGAGGAACAACAUGGUCUGAGUCUAUAGGGUGGAAUUCUUACAGGCCAGGUGAAGACUGGCUCACAUGGGAAGGAGCUCCUGACUGUUGCAUGGAGUUGUAGAAACACAGAAGAUGGGAGGUGGUACAUUCAUCCCGUGUGCUGGUGCUGGAGUGCCGCAGUCUGGCUGGGCACAAAUCACCGAGCCACCACAAAGCACUUGUAUGUUCAAACAGGAAACUUUAUUGCCGGAACUCUACCAGCACUCCACGCACACUCCCCAGGAACUCUCUCUGCUCUCCCCCAGGCUCCGGGCCUACUCCACUCGGACCCUGGAGAACUUCAUGGGAACUCCAAAGUAGCCGGGCUGAGGCAGCAGGAACCACCCUAUUCCCCACCCUAUUGCCGUUAAGCAGGGGUCCAUAUACAACUGAAUACACAGCUUAACAUAACCAUUAUCAUCUCAAUGGCUCGCUGGUGUCACCUCUCAACCACUCCCUUCUAGCAGAAUGCCACGCUCAUCCCAACUCCGACUCCGCUGUGGCCCUCAACACUGGAGUUUGGCAAAGGUUCUACCCAUGUCAUUGAGGCAUAUUCCUUAGAGCAGCCCAGGAGCUCAUCUCUUGUUCCUAUACUUAAGGACAAUUUUGAGCAAAUGGAGGUAUUCUAAAUCCUUUAGGAUUUUGAUCUUUACUUAAAGGGAAAACACCCUCUUCUCUGUCUCCUGUCAAACACUUUGAUUCCAACAUUAACUUAACCACCUCUUCUAGUUCAGCUUAAUAUGAGAAAGAGCAGCCUCCAUAGAUCCCUCCCGUGAACUUUCAUUUGUGAGCUUCUGUUACCGCUGUUGACCGGUGACGAGUUCUUGCUUCCCCAGUGUUGAAGAAUAACACCAAAGAAGCACGCCGAGGCAAGGUCAGAGUAGAAAUUAGAAGUUUAUUAAAGGACAGCAGAAAAGACUUCUCCCGGAGGAAGAAGGGGACCCAAGAGGUGGAAUCCGUGGAAGGGAUGUUGUCUCCCCUUUUUAUAGUUCUUUCAGUGAUGGAAUGUAGGUGGGAAGGACCGAGGGGUGGGACACAGGUGGGCCAAAGAAGUAAUCUGGUCAGGAAGGACUUCUGAGUCAGCACCUUUUUGCUGGGGGCUGUUCAUUAACAUUUCUUUGAGGUGGACUUUGGCCUAGGGCCUUUUCGGGACUUCAUUAACAUUCCAUGAGUUGUCCUGUGUUUUCCCUGAGUCAUUCUCCGCAUGGUCUCCAUUUUAGAUUUCACUCGAUAUUAGACCCGAUUUACCUAACUACACUGACUACCUAACUUUAAAUCUGGCUUCANNNNNNNNNNNNNNNNNNNNNNNNNNNNNNNNNNNNNNNNNNNNNNNNNNNNNNNNNNNNNNNNNNNNNNNNNNNNNNNNNNNNNNNNNNNNNNNNNNNNNNNNNNNNNNNNNNNNNNNNNNNNNNNNNNNNNNNNNNNNNNNNNNNNNNNNNNNNNNNNNNNNNNNNNNNNNNNNNNNNNNNNNNNNNNNNNNNNNNNNNNNNNNNNNNNNNNNNNNNNNNNNNNNNNNNNNNNNNNNNNNNNNNNNNNNNNNNNNNNNNNNNNNNNNNNNNNNNNNNNNNNNNNNNNNNNNNNNNNNNNNNNNNNNNNNNNNNNNNNNNNNNNNNNNNNNNNNNNNNNNNNNNNNNNNNNNNNNNNNNNNNNNNNNNNNNNNNNNNNNNNNNNNNNNNNNNNNNNNNNNNNNNNNNNNNNNNNNNNNNNNNNNNNNNNNNNNNNNNNNNNNNNNNNNNNNNNNNNNNNNNNNNNNNNNNNNNNNNNNNNNNNNNNNNNNNNNNNNNNNNNNNNNNNNNNNNNNNNNNNNNNNNNNNNNNNNNNNNNNNNNNNNNNNNNNNNNNNNNNNNNNNNNNNNNNNNNNNNNNNNNNNNNNNNNNNNNNNNNNNNNNNNNNNNNNNNNNNNNNNNNNNNNNNNNNNNNNNNNNNNNNNNNNNNNNNNNNNNNNNNNNNNNNNNNNNNNNNNNNNNNNNNNNNNNNNNNNNNNNNNNNNNNNNNNNNNNNNNNNNNNNNNNNNNNNNNNNNNNNNNNNNNNNNNNNNNNNNNNNNNNNNNNNNNNNNNNNNNNNNNNNNNNNNNNNNNNNNNNNNNNNNNNNNNNNNNNNNNNNNNNNNNNNNNNNNNNNNNNNNNNNNNNNNNNNNNNNNNNNNNNNNNNNNNNNNNNNNNNNNNNNNNNNNNNNNNNNNNNNNNNNNNNNNNNNNNNNNNNNNNNNNNNNNNNNNNNNNNNNNNNNNNNNNNNNNNNNNNNNNNNNNNNNNNNNNNNNNNNNNNNNNNNNNNNNNNNNNNNNNNNNNNNNNNNNNNNNNNNNNNNNNNNNNNNNNNNNNNNNNNNNNNNNNNNNNNNNNNNNNNNNNNNNNNNNNNNNNNNNNNNNNNNNNNNNNNNNNNNNNNNNNNNNNNNNNNNNNNNNNNNNNNNNNNNNNNNNNNNNNNNNNNNNNNNNNNNNNNNNNNNNNNNNNNNNNNNNNNNNNNNNNNNNNNNNNNNNNNNNNNNNNNNNNNNNNNNNNNNNNNNNNNNNNNNNNNNNNNNNNNNNNNNNNNNNNNNNNNNNNNNNNNNNNNNNNNNNNNNNNNNNNNNNNNNNNNNNNNNNNNNNNNNNNNNNNNNNNNNNNNNNNNNNNNNNNNNNNNNNNNNNNNNNNNNNNNNNNNNNNNNNNNNNNNNNNNNNNNNNNNNNNNNNNNNNNNNNNNNNNNNNNNNNNNNNNNNNNNNNNNNNNNNNNNNNNNNNNNNNNNNNNNNNNNNNNNNNNNNNNNNNNNNNNNNNNNNNNNNNNNNNNNNNNNNNNNNNNNNNNNNNNNNNNNNNNNNNNNNNNNNNNNNNNNNNNNNNNNNNNNNNNNNNNNNNNNNNNNNNNNNNNNNNNNNNNNNNNNNNNNNNNNNNNNNNNNNNNNNNNNNNNNNNNNNNNNNNNNNNNNNNNNNNNNNNNNNNNNNNNNNNNNNNNNNNNNNNNNNNNNNNNNNNNNNNNNNNNNNNNNNNNNNNNNNNNNNNNNNNNNNNNNNNNNNNNNNNNNNNNNNNNNNNNNNNNNNNNNNNNNNNNNNNNNNNNNNNNNNNNNNNNNNNNNNNNNNNNNNNNNNNNNNNNNNNNNNNNNNNNNNNNNNNNNNNNNNNNNNNNNNNNNNNNNNNNNNNNNNNNNNNNNNNNNNNNNNNNNNNNNNNNNNNNNNNNNNNNNNNNNNNNNNNNNNNNNNNNNNNNNNNNNNNNNNNNNNNNNNNNNNNNNNNNNNNNNNNNNNNNNNNNNNNNNNNNNNNNNNNNNNNNNNNNNNNNNNNNNNNNNNNNNNNNNNNNNNNNNNNNNNNNNNNNNNNNNNNNNNNNNNNNNNNNNNNNNNNNNNNNNNNNNNNNNNNNNNNNNNNNNNNNNNNNNNNNNNNNNNNNNNNNNNNNNNNNNNNNNNNNNNNNNNNNNNNNNNNNNNNNNNNNNNNNNNNNNNNNNNNNNNNNNNNNNNNNNNNNNNNNNNNNNNNNNNNNNNNNNNNNNNNNNNNNNNNNNNNNNNNNNNNNNNNNNNNNNNNNNNNNNNNNNNNNNNNNNNNNNNNNNNNNNNNNNNNNNNNNNNNNNNNNNNNNNNNNNNNNNNNNNNNNNNNNNNNNNNNNNNNNNNNNNNNNNNNNNNNNNNNNNNNNNNNNNNNNNNNNNNNNNNNNNNNNNNNNNNNNNNNNNNNNNNNNNNNNNNNNNNNNNNNNNNNNNNNNNNNNNNNNNNNNNNNNNNNNNNNNNNNNNNNNNNNNNNNNNNNNNNNNNNNNNNNNNNNNNNNNNNNNNNNNNNNNNNNNNNNNNNNNNNNNNNNNNNNNNNNNNNNNNNNNNNNNNNNNNNNNNNNNNNNNNNNNNNNNNNNNNNNNNNNNNNNNNNNNNNNNNNNNNNNNNNNNNNNNNNNNNNNNNNNNNNNNNNNNNNNNNNNNNNNNNNNNNNNNNNNNNNNNNNNNNNNNNNNNNNNNNNNNNNNNNNNNNNNNNNNNNNNNNNNNNNNNNNNNNNNNNNNNNNNNNNNNNNNNNNNNNNNNNNNNNNNNNNNNNNNNNNNNNNNNNNNNNNNNNNNNNNNNNNNNNNNNNNNNNNNNNNNNNNNNNNNNNNNNNNNNNNNNNNNNNNNNNNNNNNNNNNNNNNNNNNNNNNNNNNNNNNNNNNNNNNNNNNNNNNNNNNNNNNNNNNNNNNNNNNNNNNNNNNNNNNNNNNNNNNNNNNNNNNNNNNNNNNNNNNNNNNNNNNNNNNNNNNNNNNNNNNNNNNNNNNNNNNNNNNNNNNNNNNNNNNNNNNNNNNNNNNNNNNNNNNNNNNNNNNNNNNNNNNNNNNNNNNNNNNNNNNNNNNNNNNNNNNNNNNNNNNNNNNNNNNNNNNNNNNNNNNNNNNNNNNNNNNNNNNNNNNNNNNNNNNNNNNNNNNNNNNNNNNNNNNNNNNNNNNNNNNNNNNNNNNNNNNNNNNNNNNNNNNNNNNNNNNNNNNNNNNNNNNNNNNNNNNNNNNNNNNNNNNNNNNNNNNNNNNNNNNNNNNNNNNNNNNNNNNNNNNNNNNNNNNNNNNNNNNNNNNNNNNNNNNNNNNNNNNNNNNNNNNNNNNNNNNNNNNNNNNNNNNNNNNNNNNNNNNNNNNNNNNNNNNNNNNNNNNNNNNNNNNNNNNNGCUGAACUGCACUGGGUCUAAGUUGUUAAACAACUAAGUGGUCAGGGGGGAUUAUCUAAUGGGCAGUUCCUGGAAUUGUCUUAACUGCCACAGGAAUUUCAGGCUUUGAGUGUAGCUUAGAAACUUAACAAUACCUGGUCCUUUACAUUUUAACUCAGGCUUUGCAGCUUAGAAACUUUACUCUUUCACUUUGUAAUACACUUUAGGUAAUUAUUAACCACUGUAAGUAUGAAUUUUACAUUCAUUGGUUCUUUACCUAUUUAUNAAGCACGCCGAGGCAAGGUCAGAGUAGAAAUUAGAAGUUUAUUAAAGGACAGCAGAAAAGACUUCUCCCGGAGGAAGAAGGGGACCCAAGAGGUGGAAUCCGUGGAAGGGAUGUUGUCUCCCCUUUUUAUAGUUCUUUCAGUGAUGGAAUGUAGGUGGGAAGGACCGAGGGGUGGGACACAGGUGGGCCAAAGAAGUAAUCUGGUCAGGAAGGACUUCUGAGUCAGCACCUUUUUGCUGGGGGCUGUUCAUUAACAUUUCUUUGAGGUGGACUUUGGCCUAGGGCCUUUUCGGGACUUCCAUGAGUUGUCCUGUGUUUUCCCUGAGUCAUUCUCCGCAUGGUCUCCAUUUUAGAUUUCACUAGAUAUUAGACCUGAUUUAUCUAACUACACUGACUACCUAACUUUAAAUCUGGCUUCACUUGCCUCCAUCCUUACCCCCAGGCAACCACUGAUCUGUUCUUGUUGCUAUAGGUUUUUUUCCCUAGACCAUCAUGAAAUCAUAGAUGUAAUAUUUUGUCUCUGCCUUUUUUUUUUUUACAUAGCAUAAGGUUAAUGAGAUUCAUCUGUGUUAUUUUAAUACAGCAUUAGGUGGAUCUUUUUAAAUUACUGAGUAGUAUUCCAUUGCAUGGUUAUACUACAUUUUUUAAAUCUAUACAUCUUUUUAAAAUUUCCAUAUUAAAACUUUUUUUUACUAUCAUGAAUAAUACUGCUUUGAAAAGAUGUGUACAUGAUUUUAUAUGGGCAAAUAUGUCAUUAUUCUUAGCUGGAUAUUUAGAAUUGGGAUUGCUGAGUCAUAUUGUGAGGGUAUAUUAAACUUUAUAGGAAGUUGACAAAACUGUUUUCCAGAGUGGUUGCCCCAUUUUGCAAGGAAAGGGGAGGGUUGUGGGCUGUACCUCUCAUGAAAAUUCUGUAUUAUCAGUCUUUUUAUUUUUAGCUAUUCUGGUGGGUGUGUAGUGGUAUCUCCUUGUUUUUACUUCACUUACUUCUAAUGACCAGUGGUGUUGAGCAUCUUUUUUUAAAAAAAAAAAAUAUUUUUAGUUGUAGAUGGACACAAUACCUUUAUUUAUUUAAUUUUAUGUGGUGCUGAGGAUCAAACAAAGUGCCUUACACACGCUAGGUGAGCAUUUUACCUUUAAGCCCCAAUCUCAGCCUUGUUGAGCAUCUUUUUAAGUGCUAAUCAAACAUUCAUCUAUCUUCUUUGUAUUUAUACCUUUUGCACAUCUUUUAACAAAUUGGUUUCUAUUAAUGACUUGCAAGAGUUCUUCAUAUAAUCUGGAUAUAAGACUUUUGUUAGGUAUAUGUUUUUUAAAUGCUUUCUCUAAUCUGUGGUUUGCCUUUUUGUUUUCUUAAAACCAUCUUUUGAUGACGAAAGUUUGUAAUUUUGAUGAAGUCAAAUUUAUCCAUUUUUAUCAAUGGUUCAUAUAUUUGUGUUUUAUUUAAGAAGUUGUUGCCUUUAAGUUCACAAAGAUUUUUUUCCAUGCUUUCUUCUAGAAUUUUUUUGAUUUAGUUCUUGUGUUUUUGUCAAUGAUCUAUUUUGAUUUAAUUUUUGAAUGGUGUGAAUAAAAGCCAAGAUUUAUCUUCCCCAACUCUCAUACAAAAUUACAGUUAUUCAGCAGCAUUUAUUGAAAAGACUACCUUCCCCUUGGAUUUAUCCUGGCAUCUUUGUUGAAAAUAGGUUUUUAUCUUAAGUCGAAACAAAAGGAGUUCCUAGUAGGGGUAGCCACCAAUAUUACAGAGUAAUAGAAAUAGUUUUCCUCAAAUUAAACAAACAAGGAUGUCACCUUUUUUAUACUACUGUUUCAAAUAACUAGUUGAAACAAAUCCUAUAAAAGAGAUAAAUGGAAUGUGUAUAGGUCAUUACAGAGAAAAUAAUACUAUUUGCCAAUGGCAAGGGACUAUCACAUGGAAUGUUUAGGAGAUGCAAUAAAAACACCUUGAAAUGAGGUGCUUAAAUUAUAUGUUAUAAAACAUGUACCUAAGUAAAUUUAGUCAUUUAUCACUAUGCAGAAAAAUAUAAGGAAAAAUAUAAUACUUGAUUUUUUUACAAAAAACUAAAAGCCAAGAAGAUAUAUGUGUGUGUAUACACACACAUACAUAUAUAUGUAUAUAUGGCUAAAUAUAGAGAUUUAUAAUACUUUAAUGGAAAGAAGAGAAAACAAAUAAUAAGAGAAAUUUAAUCUAUUCCUGCGUAAAUAGUCUUAAUAAAGAUGAUGAUACUAACAAAGUUAAUUUAUAAACUUAAUGCAGUACCAGUUAACAUCCCAGUUGGAUGUUGACUUUAACUUUAACUUGAUUGAUAGUAUAAAAUGCAGAGUAAAAAAGUAGCUAAGAAUUUCAGAGGAAAAAAAUAGUUUUUUAAUUAUUCUUAAAAUAAUUCGAAAGGAUUACAAUGAGGUGAAUUUAUUAUAAAACAAUGAAAUAGAACUUGGGAGCCACGGUAGAAGUGCAAAAGAGAUUAGACCAGAAGUCUAGGCUAAUUAUAGUUACUGAAGUUGACACCAGAUUAGCUGGAAACCGUCUGGCUUUCAAGGCAGAAAAAGAAACUUGUAGGUUUUUCAGCAGGGAAUGAAAAUUGAGAAACCACUAGGCAGACACUAUAAAUUGCAUAAGUGGGCUGGGUAUAACACAAUAGGAAAUAUUGGACUUCUGAACUUUGUAUGUGUGCCCCAUACAGAGAAGAUAGCUGCUACUUGGUUUUAGCUGAGGUUUGGCAUGUACACAAAAGAGUCUGCGAUGCUAAGUUUUCAGGGAGUCCAGAAGCCUGUUGGGAGGAGCUCACAAGACUUGUUAGAUCUCAGGAUUUUUAGAUGUUGGCAUUUAGUGUACUGGCCAAACAAAAUAUGUGGGAGUGAAGGGUACCUUAUUGAAUCAAGAUUACAUAUCUAUAGUUUUCACUCUCCUAUUAAUAACUGUAUACUUUUGAGCCGAACAAAAGGAGUUUAGCCAUUCUAAACUAAAACUUUUUCCAGAGUAUAUUUACGAGACCUAAAUAUAGGUUAGUAGCAGUGAUGGAAACAAAAUAGAAGUAGAAGAAAUAAAUUGAUAGUAGAUUAGUACAUAUGAGAAGCCAACUAAAAUAAAACCUGUGAAAGCAAUCGUGUUUAACAAAAAAUAUUAGGUUGAAUGAUAUGACAAAGAAAGCUUCCUUUAGACGGAUUUUCAUCUCAUACCAUGCAAACUAAAUUCCAGAUGAAUUAAAUAUUUUGAAAUGAAUAUUAUACUUAUCUUUGCUUUGGAGAGGAGAUAAUUUAUACAUUGUUAAAGCUAUAAAGAAAUUAAGUAGUACCAAGGUUGGCAUGUUUGAUUAUGAAAAAUUUGAUUUUCUGGUACAAAGAUAAAAGCAACACAAUGGAAACAGUAUUUGCAGUUUUUUUAUGAUAGUAAGAUUUUUCAUGUAAUCGGGGAUGUAUCCAUAAGGUUAGAUGUAGUGGACAGCCAAAGGAUAGUUUAUACCAUAGAAAAUAACAAUAAUAUUUGACCUAAAGGGCUUCGUUUAUAAUAUUAAUACAGUAGUAGUAGUACCCACUUCCUAGGGUGUCUGGGGAAUAAAUGUGCAGUGCCAGAUGGGGAAAAGCAGCUCUUUGAACCAACUUCACAUGUGUAUUGUUUACAAAGCACUUUUUAUCAUUCUUCUCAUUGAUUCUUACUCUAGCCCAGGACAGUUUUUAAGUUUUCUCAGUGGAGACUUUUAGGGUUCACUUCUUCCACAGUCACAACUUAGUCUUUGUCACCACCUUAACUGAUCCACCCGUAAAAUCAAUCCAGAAAAUUCAAGAACUCACCAUUCUGGCCUCAGGUUUCUCUUUCCAACUCACAUGUUCUUUUUAGCUACUGCAGCCAUUCUUUCAUCUUUAGUCUAGAAAAUACUUCCUUAGUUUCUCCUGAGUGGUCUUUCCUUUUUACUUUUACCCUUGUUUUUUCCUGUAACAUAUUUUUUCUUUUCAUAAUAUUGUGACAAUAUGUAGUAUCUACCUCUGCCUCACUCUGCCUUCAACAAAGAUCUGCUUCUAUUUUGUUUCCAUUGCUGCUAUAACCUAUAACCUAAGUGUGAAGGUCAAAGGAAUUGAAUGGACAUUGCAGAUACCUGAAUGAUUAGGUUCAUGAAUAGGCACACAAGAAGAUGCUUAAUAACAUUAGCCAUUGUGUUAGGCAGCUUUUUGUUGCUUUGACAAACUACCUGAGAAAGUCAACUAAAGGAGGAAAGAUUUAUUUUGGCUCCUGGUUUCAGUCCAUGACUGGCUCCAUGCUUAGGGUCCUGAGGCAAGCAGAACAUCUUGGCAGCAGGAGCAUAUGGUAGAAGCCAUUCUUCUCACAGUAGCUGGGAAGCAGUGGCAGUGGGAGGGGCGGGGGACAAGAUACAAUCCCCAAGCAUAUGGCCUCAAGGACUUACUCCCUUCAACUAGGUCCUGCAUCUACAUUUUCUACCACCGCCCAGUUGUGCAUUCAUCUAUGAAGACCUCAGUGGAUUAAUCAGUUGAUGAGGUCAGAGCCCUUAUGACCCACUAACUUCCCCAAAACCGCAUCUCUGAACAUUGCUUCACUGGGGGACCAAGCCAUCAACACCUGAGCUUUUGGUGGACAACUCAUAUCCAAACUACAACAGCCAUCAAAGAAAAAAAAAAUUCAAAUCAAAACCACCAAUCCACUAGAAUAGCUAGCUGUAACAGAAAAAUACAGUUGAAAGUUUUAACAAAAAUGUGGAGAAAUUGGAGCAUCUAUAUGUUGCUAUGCAUUGCUGCUGGAAAUGUAGAAGGUGCAGCUGCUGUGGUAAACAGUCUGGCCAUUCCUUAAAAUAUUAAACAUGGAAUUACCAUGUAUAACAGUAUCACUCCUUGGUGUCUACCCAAAAGAAUUAAAAAUACAUGUUCACACAAAGACCCGUACAUGAAAAUGUUGAUAGAAUUUUUCAUAAUAGCCUAAAAGGAAAAACAGCACACAGACUGUGGAUGCAGGACCUAGUUGAAGGAAGUGAAGCCUUGAGGCCAUAUCCUUGAUGAAUGAGUCAACAAAACAAGGUAUAUCUACAGAAUGGAAUAUUAUUCAGCCACAAAAAGGAAUGAAGAACUGAUAUUUAUUAUAGCAUGAGGAAUCUUGCAAGUGUUACACUAAAUAAAUUAAUGCAGCUACAAAAAGCAUAUAUUGUAUUAUUCUACUCAUAUGAAAUGUCCAGAAGAAGCAAGUUUAUAUGGAGGAAAAAAGUUGAUUAAUAGUUGUGUAGGGUUGAAGGAGAAGAGAUAUAGGAGAAUGUGACUGUUAAUAAAUAAUUUCUUUUGGAGUGAUGAAAAUACUCUAAAAUUAUAUUUUACUGAAAAACUCAAUAAAAUAUACUUAAAACAUUGAAUUACACAGUUUAUAAAGGAAAACUUUAUGGUAUGUUAAUUAUACCUCAAUCAAGUUGUUAAAUUAAAGAGAAAAUGAACUCUCUUGCCCUUGUCUCAUGGCACAUACCGUUUCUCAGUAUGAUUACUAGAAAAGUUGAUUUUGAGAAUACCCCUGAUUAUGUAGUAUGAACAAUGAACUUGUUUUGGAGGUGUUCUUCCAGUAAACUUUGCUAAAUAGAAAAAAGUCUUUUUUUUCUUGUAGCUCUUGUAAAAUAUUUUUAAAGAUGUUUUAUUUGUUUUCUUGCCUCCGCUUAGUAUAAGAAACACAAUUUAUAGUUAGUGAUUCCUGGAUUUUAUUUUGGCAGUGAUUUCUCCCUUGAUGGUACAAGGAAGAGACUGGCUUUGCAGCUAAACAGAAAAAUCAUUUUUCUCCCAUGCUUUUUCAGUUCCUGCCUUUGUCUUGUUCUGUUUGUAUAUCUUUGGCUUGUGUGUGUGUGUGUGUGUGUGUGUAUGGGUGGGGUCUUCCUUUUAAUGUCUUUCAUUGGUACUGACAGUUGGUUCAAAACUGUGAAAUAUGAAUUCUCAUUUGAGGAAAAUACAUGUCAAACUGUGUAUGAUUUCAGGAGGGUCACGGAUUAGAAAUCUCAGCGGCAUACUUGCUUUGGUGACCUCAUCUACUUCCAGGUGUAAAUUACCAUUUAUAUGCUGAGCAAUACAAAUUCUCUAUCCCUGUCCAGGUUUCUCUGCUAGGAACUAUAGCUAACUGUCUGGGUCUACUUGGAUGUCCUACAAAUACUACAAAUACUUCGUAUCUUCUUAUCCUUUCUAAACCGCCCCUCCCCUUUUUUUAAUAGAACGGGAUUCCAAACCAGAACACCCCAACCACCCUGGUCUGAAUUGAUACUAAGCAUGAUCCUUAAUUUUUCCAUGUCCUCUACAUGUAUCAGUCAUCAAGUUUUGUUUGUUUGUUUGUUUUCAAUCUUUUGAAAUUUGUUCCUUCUUGUUACUAUUCCCACCAAUGAUUGAAGGCCUCAUUUCUUGGUGGAAAUCCUGUAGCUUCCUGACUAGUCUCCUUAUGUUCUGUCUUGUUCAUUCUCCAUAUUGCAGCUGAUAAACUCCCAACAGCUUCUCAGCAUCUUUAACAUGGGCUCUAAACUUGUCAGCACCGUUAAUAGCACUUAGAAGGCCCUAGACAACUUCACUCCAGCUCUCUCAUCCAGCCACCAUGUCUCAUCACAGUACGUAUCAGUCAUGCUGAUCUUUCUUGUUUUCUCAGCUGAGCCCUGUUUUCUCUCACUUUAUGCCCUGGUGGGCUCAUUCCGUCCCUGCUUAUCCCCUUUCCUCCAUACCUGGCGAACUAUUAUCCUUCUUUACAUCUUGGCUUUAGAUAUUUCUUUUGUGGGCAUCUUGUCUCCAUUCACGAGACCCAUCUGAGGGUCUGUCCACAUGGUUUACAGCUGUCUCCUUAACUUCUGGACUGUGAAUGCUGGGAAGCAAGAUGCUUGCUGGCAUGGUUCUGUUUAUCAUUCUAUCUCUAGUGCUUACUUAAUCCUAUAUCUGGCUGAGUGGGUAUUUAAUAAAUAUCUGUUGAAUAAAAGAGAGUUUUUUUCUCUACCUAAAAUAUCUUAUUACCAACUUUAUCUUGACCUCAGCUUCACUUGAGAAAAUUUUGUACAAUUACCAUCUGUUUAUUAAUUCAUUAAAUGAUUAUGGAGCAUCUUCAUUGUACCAGGCAUUCAUUAUUUUAGGCACUAAAGAUAUAGUGAUUCGUAGUCAAAUAUCCCUGCCUUUCUGAAGCUGAGAUAUAUAUAUUACAUAUUAUGAGAGAGAGAGAGACAUAUACAUAUAUACAUACAUUUUGGUGGAGACAGAUAAUAAACAGAUAAAUAAGUAAAAUACACAGUGUGUAAAUGAAAGUGCUGAGGAGAAAUGAAUGAAACAGGGAAGAUGGAGAAGGCGCAUCAGAGUAGAGGGUUGGCCUUUUAGACAGAGUAGCCAGCAAAGUCUUCAAUGAGGAGGUCAAUUUUGAAGGAAGACUUCAAAGAAGUAAGGGACUAGCCUUGUUGCUCUCUAGAAAAGGAAAAUUCCAGGCAGAUGGUACAAAGGCCCCAAGGUGUGUGCCAAAGAGUUUGAGGACUAGAAAGGGGACUAGGGGAGACCAGUGGGAGUUAAGGUCAGAGAGAGACAAAUGUUCUCUGAGUGUUGUUUCACAAUCUGAUCCCUGGGGGUCCUCUGCUAUUUGAACUUGUUUUCAGCUGUUGAUGCUCUGAACUACCAGAAGGAACUAUGAAAUUCUCCCUUCUUAGCAGUUAUCUGUAAAUCAAGGGCCAGAGAAAUGCUAGCAAAGGAGGCUGUGGUGCCAGUUAGCUUCACUUGAUUCUUUGGGGAUUGGUAAGGUUCAUUCUUAGUAUUUGUGGUACUUUCCCUCAACCCCAGGAGAUUUCUGCCUUUUCUUCAGGAUGGGGGACACAGUGAUGACAUCCCUGUCAUCAGCCUAAAUAGAUGAAGCUUUCCAGUUACCACAAUCCUCCUCUCUUUCUGUUCUCUGGUCUGUUUUAGUUCAUUUUCUAUUGCUAUAACAGAAUACCAGAGCCCAGGUCAAUUAUAAGCAAUAGAAUUUAUUUGACUCACAGUUCUGGAGGAUGGGAAGUCCCAAGAUGAAGGGGCUACAUCUGAUAAGGAUUUUCUUGCUGCAUCAUAACAUGAUAGAAGGCAUCUCAUAAUGAGUGAGAAAGAGAGAAAAAAUGAAUAAACAUGCCUACGUGUGCACAAGAGGGCCAAACUUCCAGUUUUCCUCAGGAGCCCACUCCUAUAAUCACUCUACAGAUAAUGGUAUUAAUCCAUUCAUGAGGGCAGUACCUCUUAAAGGUCUCACCUCUUAAUACCAUCGCAGCAACAAGUAAAUUUCAAUGUACAGAUUUGAGGGGACAAACAUUCAGACCAUAGCUUCAUGCAGGCUGGGGGUGUUGCGAACAUUGUACAACUCCCUCUGCCACUGUCUAGGGUUGAUGUAUUGGUUGGCUUUUUGUUUUGUUUUGAUGCUAGGGACGGACUUGAGGCCUCCUGUAUGUUAGGCAAGCAGUCUACCACUGAGCUACACCCUCAACCCCUGCAGUUACUAUUUUGAAGACAAAUUGCUGCUCUCAACUUGUUUCUUAGCUUUGUUCCAGAAAGUUGGGGCCAACAGGAUUUAAGUUAAUUAUGUGUUGCGGUUAGUUGGGUUUUACUGACUUUGUUGUGCUGGCCCUGGAGCUCUCUCCUGUUAUAACACAGCUCUCCAUGGGCAUUUGAGUCCCACCCCAGAGGAGAUGACUGGACUUGCCUUGCUGGCAUUUCCCAUCCCCAGGAAAUAAGAGGCCUUCUCUGUGCAGAAUCCACUGUGGGUGGAGUGUAGCCUCUUGGGGCUCUCUGUAACCUCUAGUUAGUAAUAGCAGAAGCCUCUGCUAGACUGCGGGUGCUUUUCCUUUCAUGUGAUUCACAGCGGCAGCAUACUCUGUAGAAAGGAGCUAUAAAUUGUAAAUUGAUAUGAGGUAAUAAUUGGAAAAAUGAUCAGACUCCAUUUUUAUUCCCCUUCGGGGAAGACACGCAUCAGGAAUCACUAAAGCAGAAGACGACGGAGGGCUUUUCAUCCAGCUCUCCAGCUUCAGUGCUGCAGUGCUUCCGUCCUGAUUAGAGGGGAGAGCAGCCAAAUUCGGCAGGAGGCGGCCAGCAGACCUAGUAUCUGCUUGCCACCUCUUGCUCCAAAAAGCCUUGCCGCAGAGAGUUACCAUGGCAGCAGGAGGCAGUUUAAUGGCAAAGGCUCAUCUCUGGAGCAGUGCUGCUGCACCCCAGCCAUUCCCGCCCUGGCCUUCAACCCAAGGGGCUGGGUUUACCAGGGCAUCACUGUGCCAGGGCCAUGUGAGGAGUGCAUGUCGCCCAAGGGGGUAGAGCUGUAAGAUCCUCCAGAGUCUGAGGGUGGCGACCUCUUCUCUUCCUGCUUCUCCUUGGUGCAUAGCUCUUUGAUGCCUCAUCCUAUAGUCGACCUUAUCAAAUCAUUUGCAGUUCCUUAAAUAUGCUCUUUCAUGCUUCUCUGCUUUUAGGCAUGCAGUUUCCUUUGCCUGGAGUUCUCCCUUCCCCAUCUGUCUGGAAAAUUCCUACUCAGUUUCAAAAUGUAGCUAAGAUACUGCCUCCUCCUUCUUAAUGCUUCCUCUAACCCCUUACUGUCCAGGCAGAGCUACACAGUUUCCACUGCCAUCUCGACCUUGUCAUGAAUCGCAUGGUUUCGAAAUGAUUAUUAUAUUUUUGUCUCUUCCUCUCUAGAUUAUAAGUUACUUGCAUUCAAAAACUGUUUUAUGAACCUUUUGUCAAACGGCCUUACUGCAGGAGUAAAUACUUAGUAAUGUUGGUUGAAUGAAUGGGAUGUUUUCCUUUCACAUCAUCUGGUUUAAUCCUUAUCACGGGUGUCGUCCUACCUGGAGCAGAGCCCUGCAUCUUAUCCAGGUGGGACUGUCUGCUCAGACAUCCUAGAAGAGUAAGCUGAUUUAAUCAGCCCCAGAUCACUCUCCAUUGCAUGUAUUCUCACUUUCUAAUUUGAAUUGGAAAGAGUAAUACUUGGGAAUCAGUCUCCCCAGCAGUCAAGCUAAUGUGGCCUCGUGUUGGUUGCCUGACUUCUAAAUCAGUUCCCUCAUUUGUUGGAUUAGGAUGUUGUAAGGACAGAGCCUAAGAUGCUUUGUGACUCAGAGUGAAUUCUUGGUCAGUCUUCUGUACCUUCUCCUCUCUUCAGCGACGAAAUUAAAAGCAAAAUCCAGCUUUAAACUAGCUUUGAGCCCUCUCUGGCAUCAUGUCAUUCAUUUAGUUUUACCUUCUUGCUGUGCACACAGGUGCCUUUCAGAAGUCCCCCUCUUUGAGUGGCUCUUGUGCCUAUUUCUGAGCUUUUGUGUCCCUCCUUUUGCCUCAUUGUUUUGUUUCAUCUCGUGUGCAUCUGUCCUCUUGUUCAUUAUGUAGACAGAAUGUUUUAUUUAGAUAUUUCUUCUUUUCCUGCCUUUUGGACAUAAUUUGUUCUUGUAUUUCAAAAUCACCAAUUUAAAGUGAAUUUAUUUUCUAUCUCCUUCAAAUAAUACUAGAAGCCACCUCCACCAUAAUGUAGAUUUACAUGCCUUACUUGCUACCCUCUGUAUGUUGGCUUUGCACUUUGGUCUGAGUAUUUUUUUUUCUACUUCCCUCUAACUUUUCAGUUCAAUGCUUGCUUAGGGUGUUUUGCAAUUCCCUUUGCAAAUGCGUUCUGUGUAUCAUGCUAUCGUGCUGUGUGCGUGUUGUGCGUGCCAAUGUCCUCAGGUAUCUAGGCUGUUUAGUUUCUGGCGUAUUUUUCUCUAAUAUUGCUUCCCAUCUUGCUUUCAUUUCUACUUUUGGUAUUUUGUUUUAUUGCAGUUCCUCUAAAGGAUGUGAAACUUAACAAAGCUAUUGUUUUUAAUAGGUCUAGUAAAAGAACCACUAAGAACAGCAAUGAAAAACUUGCUUUUAACUUAUAUUUAUGAAUUAUCUCUGACAUUGGUUUGCUAUAUUGGAGGGAUGCAGCAGAGAGGCCAAAGUGUGUCAUCAGCAUUGCCUGAGAAGCUUUUGCAAAAUUCAUGUGCCCAUCCUUGUCCCCACCAUUUGCCUGGUGGGACUGAAACUGGGCUGGGUUUUGAUAAAUCUUUCUAGAAGGUUUUGUGGCUUUUUUACCUGGUUUUUUUUUGUUUGUUUGUUUUUGUUUUUUGUUUUUUUACCCUCUCAGUUGAAAACCACUGAUUCAUAGUUUUAGUUACACUCAGCAGUCCCUCCUUAUCUUCAGGGAAUACAUUCUAAGAUGUUAGGCAGACUUCUUGAAACCAUGGAUAGUACCAAACCCUAUAUGUAUAUGAUAUUCUUUCAUAAAAUUUAAUUUAUAAAUUAGGCAUGGAUAGAGAUUAAAAUAUUGACUACUAAUAAUAGAACAGUUGUAACAAUAUACUAUAGUAAAAGUUAUUUAAAACUUAUGAAUCCUUUGUACAAUUCUCCAUUUAAUGUGGAAAUAUGAAUGUGACUCCGAGGUUAAGCACCCCUUGGUUUAAUUUCUAGGACCAAAAAGAAAAAAGGCGCAGUGUUAGUUUUACAUUAUUAUAUAGUCGUUAUGGAAUUCCCCUCAUCCUCCUUUCUUAUUUCCUUGUGCUGGACCUGUUCUGGAGGACUACUUAGUUCUCAUUAAGGUUAGUAACCUAGCAGUCAUAAACACUUCCAUGCAGAUUUGUCUUUCAAAUGAAGACUAAAUAUUAGUAUUGUAGUCCUGUUUUAUGUUCCUAUCAGAAAUUAUUGAAUGUAGUGCCUUGCUAUCAAAUGUAAAAUUUGUGAAAGGCAAGUAGUUUUCUUAAUAAUGAUGGGAAUUACAGAGUAUAUGUUAGGUACUUUAUAUAUAUAUUAUCGAUAACAUUUAGCAAACUCUGACAUAGGUCAUGUACAGUUUUACAGAGAAGAAAACUGAGGCUUAGAAGGAUAAAUAUGGUGGUGAGUGACUGUUAUCACAGUCCUUAGGAGGCCGAGGCAAGAGAAUCACAAGUUAAAGGCUAGCAAGAUCCCAUCUCAAGAGAGAGAACCCAAAGCAAGUUCAGGUUGGUCUAACUAAAGCAUGGUGUGAGGCUGCUGCUCAGUCACUAGUGUAAAUCAGGGAAUGUGUCUUAGGGUGGAACGUAAAUACAGUGGGGGCACUUUUGGCAGUGAAGGAGGCAGAAGCCCACAGGACAAUGAGUGUUUCUGUUCUCAGGAGGCUGUCAGUGAGAGCCUCAGCCCAGCUGCAAGGCCUUGGCAGCCUCUGUCCUUUUCCUUUUCCCUAAGCCUGGUUUUCUACAAUCGUGUGAUUUCUCCAGACACUUCUCAGGGCAUUGCUCAUCACUUAGAACUUUGUACUCCUCUCCCCCACCUUGUAUCCACCUCAACUCCCACCUGCCAAGACACACCACAGUAUUGUGAGGAUAAAAUCAUUGAUACAUGUGAAGAGUUCAGUGUAGCACAUGGUACACUGUACCACGUAAGUACACAGUAAAUUUAGCUACCGUUACUGUUAUUGUUAAUGGUAUUAAUAGUGGUGUUGGUGUUAGCAAUGGUCAUUGAUUCAAAGGUUUAGGACUCCCUACACAAGGACCUGGGUAUUUCCUGUCCAGAAUCUGGUUUUGUGCAGUUCAUAGUACCCACACCCAGGCACGGACAUGCUCAAUUGGGUGCAAAGGAUAGUUGGAAGGAGAAUUAGUAAGAGAAUGCUUUUUUCUACCCAAAGGUUGCCAGAAACAUUUCUCUCUAUGCCCUUACUGCCUCCUGUCAUUAGCAUGGAAACUGUCCAUGAAUCCCACUUCUAAACCACAUUCCUUUUCUGGCUUCUUUGCAUUUUUUUUUUUUUUUUUUAGAGUUGUUAGGAUUUAUGUUUUUUUUUUUUUUUAAUUUAUAUAUGACAGUGGAAUGCAUUACAAUUCUUACUACACAUAUAGAGCACAAUUUUUCAUAUCUCUGGUUGUAUACACAGUAUAUUCACACCAAUUCAUUUCUUCAUACAUGUACUUUGGAUAAUAAUGUUCAUCACAUUCCACCAUUAUUAAUAACCCCAUGCCCCUCCAUUCCCCUCCAAUCCCUCAAUCCCUCUGCCCUAUCUAGAGUUCGUCUAUUCCUUCCAUGCUUCCCCUUCCUACCCCCCUAUGAUUCAGCCUCCUUAUAUCAAAGAAAAUAUUCAGCAUUUGUUUUUUUUGGGAUUGGCUAACUUCACUUAGCAUUAUCUUUUCUAACUUCAUCCAUUUACCUGCAAAUGCCAUGAUUUUAUUGCUAAGUAAUAUUGCAUUGUGUAUAUAUGCAACAUUUUUAAUCCAUUCAUCUAUUGAAGGGCACCUAGGUUGGUUCCACAGUUUAGCUAUUGUGAAUCGUGCUGCUAUAAAAAUUGAUGUGGCUGUGUCCCUAUAGUAUGCUGUUUUUCAGUCCUUUGGGUGUAGACUGAAGAGAGGGAUAGUUGUGUCAAAUGGUGGUUCCAUUCCCAAUUUUCCAAGAAAUCUCCAUACUGCUUUCCAUAUUGGCUGCACCAAUUUGCAGUCCCACCAGCAGUGUAUGAGUCUACCUUUUUCCCCACAUCCUCGCCAACACUUAUUGUUGUUUGUAUGCAUAAAUAGCUGCCAUUCUGACUGGAGUGAGAUGAAAUCUUAGAGUGGUUUUGAUUUGCAUUUCUCUAAUUGCUAGUGAUGAUGAACAUUUUUUCAUGUAUUUGUUGACUGAUUAUACAUCAUCUUCUGAGAAGUAUCUCUUCAGGUCCUUGGCCCAUUUAUUGAUUAAGUUAUUUGGUUUUUUUGGUGCUUAGCUUUUUGAGUUCUUUAUAUACCCUAGUGAUUAGUGCUGUAUCUGAUGUUUUGCUCCCAAGAUAUAGGUUCUCUAUUCACCUCACCGAUUGUUUCUUUUGCUAAGAAGAAGCUUUUUAGUUUGAGUCCAUCCCAUUUAUUGAUUCAUGAUUUUAAUUCUUGUGCCACAGGAGUCUUAUUAAGGAAAUUGGGGCCUAAUUCCACAUGAUGGAGAUUAGGGCCUACUUUUUCUUCUAUUAGAUGCAGGGUUUCUGGUUUUAUUUUGAGUUGAGUUUUGUGCAUGGUGAGAGAUAGGGGUUUAAUCUCAUUUUGUUGCAUAUGGAUUUCCAGUUUUCCCAGAACCAUUUGUUGAAGAGGCUAUUUUUUUCUCCAAUGCAUGUUCUUGGUACCUUUGUCUAAUAUAAGAUAAUUGUAGUUUUGUGGGUUAGUCUCUGUGUCCUCUAUUCUGUACCAUUGGGAAUCAACUUAACGAAAGAGGUGAAACAUCUGUAUAAUGAAAAUUACAGAACCCUAAAGAAAGAAAUCAAAGAAAACCUUAGAAGAUGGAAAGAUCUUCCUUGCUCUUGGAUAAGCAGAAUUAAUAUUAUCAAAAUGACCAUACUGCCAAAGCACUAUACAGAUUUAAUGCAAUUCCAAUUCGAAUUCCAGUGACAUUUCUUAUAGAAAUAGAAAAAACAAUCAUGAAAUUCAUCUGGAAAAAUAAGAAACCCAGAAUAGCUAAAGCAAUCCUUAGCAGGUAGAGUGAAGCAGGUGACAUCACUGUACCAGACUUUAAACUACACUGCAGAGCACUAGUAACAAAAACAGCAUGAUAUUGGCACCAAAACAGACUUUUAGACCAAUGGUACAGAAUAGAGGACACAGAGACUAACCCACAAAACUACACUUACAUUAGACAAAGGUGCCAAGAAUAUGCAUUGGAGAAAAGUUGGCCUCUGCAUUCUUUUUAUCUAUGUAGAACAUUAAUACAUUAAUGGUUUUGGAGUCGCUAAGAGGGUGACUGUUUUUGGUUUUGUUUUGGUUGUUUGGUUUAGUGCUUUAUACUAUAGUUUCUACCGGCCCUUCUUGCUGGGUUCCUGGUCCCCUGGCUGCACUGAAGUGUGCAGUGUGCAAAGGCCUCUCUGGUGCCCUGCCACUUUUUCUACUUAACUGUUUUAUUUUUUUUUCCUGGUUUUCUUUUAUAGCCUCUAUCCUAGCACAGACAUUGGCUUUAUUCUUCUUGCUUCUCAGUUUUUCCACCUUAUUCUUCACUUGAUCAUAGCCAGAAAGCUGAGAAGUGAUUGCCUAAUUCAUACAUCCGGUUACAUUUCCAGUUGCAGAUUUGAGUUACAUUGUGGUAAAGACUAUGACAGAUGGCUCGAUUUUAUAAAACUUUCCAAGGACUCAGUAGAAUUGAGCCUGUGGAUGGAGGUUCUUUACUCAAGCCUUCCUUCUGACACUCCCUCCCUCCAUCCUUGCUUCUCUCAGCUGAGAGUGUUCUGGCCUCACUUUCAAUUUGGGCAAGAGAUAACAUCUGUAAUCUUUGUCAUGUCUUCUGCUUUAUCACAUUAAAAUUAUCUAUUGUCCUGUGAAUUUUAAUUAAUCUUCCCUUUUUAAAAAUACAAAUGUCCAAGAUCCAGGGGGAAUUAUUUAGGAUUGAGGGAUUAUUUUGUCUAUCUGUAAUGGACCUUUUAAAUAAAUAGUAUUUAUUGCCUUUAUCUCAAUUCAAAAGUAAUUUGCAUUCUUUGUAGAAAAUGAGAAUUCUGAAAAGUAAAAGAAAGGAAAUCAAAAUCACUUUAUUCUAACACCUAGAGAUGACUGAGAUGUUGGUGUAUCUUUCCUGUUUCCAUUCAACUUUAUAUAAUCAAUUCAGUACAUAUUAAUUUAUAUACACAUAUUCGUAUUUAUAUAUUCAUUAUUUUAAAUAUAUUUUAGGUGUAGAUGGACACAAUACCUUUAUUUUACUUGUUUUUUUUAUUUUUAUGUGGUGCCAGGGAUAGAACCCAGUGCCUCACACAUGCUAGGCAAGCACUCUACCACUGAGCCACAACCCCAGCCCCUAUAUAUAUUCAUUUUGAUAAUUAAAAUUAACUGAAUUAAUUAAGGAGCAUUUAUAGCUUGCAUAAAAACUAUAAUUCAUGUCAUUGCUGUAUUGGGAUAUUCUAGUAAAUUUUUUAGUACAAGUUUGACAAAAUGAGACCACUAAAUAGAUAAUUUCUCAUGAUAAAACCUAUAUGCACACAUCACAAAAAUGUUACUGUUAGAAAAAUACAUUCUGAAAACUUUGUCCUUCAGUUACCCCAUUCCCACUUUAUAUGUGUAAGUGGUUAUUUUCUAAAAAUUACUGAUGAUUAGAUUAGUGAAAUGUUUAUUGUGAAAGAGUAUGUUCUUUGCUUUUAGGCUUAAUCAAAUACACAGUGAAAUAGAAUGUGUUUUGUGAAGUAAUAUCUCAGUUUUUUUCUCCACGCUUUAGGUAUGUGUUCUUUUUGGAUCCAUGCAAUCUGGACUUGAUAAACCGGAAGAUUAAGUCUGUAGCACUGUGUGUAGCAGCAUGUCCAAGACAAGAAUUGAAAACCUUGAGUGAUGUCCAGAAGUUUGCAGAGACGAAUGGUGAGAUUUUAGGCCAUCUACAUCUACACUCCAAUCCUUUAUCUCACUGUUAAAUAUUAUGUCUUUACAUUCCCAUAUGAAUUUGUCCUGACAUUAAAUAAGUGAUCAAAGAACCUUAAAAAUAAAAAGAAUUGAAGUAAUUUUGGAUUUCCUCAUUAAAAAAUAUUAGAGUCAACCUAGGAGCUUAUUAAAACUCUAGAUAUUCACCAUACUCCGUGGUAUGUACCUAUAGUCCCAGCUAUCAGGAUGCUGAGGCAGGAGGUUCCAGGUUGUUUGAGCAACAUAAUAAGAUUCCAUCUCAAAAAGUAAAAAAGCAAAAACUGACCACACCAUAGAUUAUUUCACACCUUUACUCAAAAAACAAGACAAAACUCUUAUUAGAUUCCUAGGCCCCUGCUGGGGAACUUCUGAGUAGGUCUUUGGGUUCUGGAAAUUUGUGUUUUUUAUAAAUGCUUCAGGUGAUUUUGAUAUAUAGCCUGAUGAGUAUUUGGAAAUUAUUAGACUACUCUGUAAAAUUUGGAUAUUUUCCUUUCUUGACAAGUGUUGAUUAAAAGUAUUUCAGUUUGGGCCUGUGUGUGUGUGUUUUAGCCUGUGAUUAACAGGGUAAUAUGAAAAGGAAAAUUUGAAAAUUUCAGAUAAAAGUAUAAAGUAAAAAUCAAAAGUCUUCCAUCAGUUCUUUUUUCAAUGUGUUAGUGUACAUAUAACUUUGUGUUCUGCUUUUUAAAUUUAACAUUAUGUCAUGACUGUUUCUGUAAGAAUAGGUUUGAGGAACUUUGAGGUUAAAUGUAUGGGAAUUAGCUGAGAAAACCAGAAGAGACAGUUUUAUGUAAUCUAGCUCUGUUCCCUUGAGAUUCGUAUCUUCAAAUAUGUUAUCCUCAGCUCCAAAUAGCUUGUUUCAGUUAUCUUCAGAGAAUUUUUGUUUAAACCACUUUGGAGGGUUAGGGUGCUGAUGGCCCCUCAAGCCCAGGUUUUUGAACUUCCUUGAGUUUCAUGAUUGUGUUUUGUAUUUAGUACUCCUCAGGCCUUCCCAAAUUCAAGGCUGUUUUUGGUUCCUUGGAUAGCAGCUGACUUGAUUUGUAUUCACCCAGUGUAACUCUAGAUGGGUGGAGAUACAGCCUGGGGCUAUAGCUAUGCACACAUCAGCAAGACUCCUGCAUCUCUUAGAUGGGGUGGGAUAGGAUUGCUGGCCUUCUGGAGCUGCAGGACUGGCAACAUUCCUGGGCUACCACUUCAUGCCCUAGGCAUAAGAUGGUAGAAAGGGCAUGCUGUUUAUUUGAAUCUGGAUUCCAAUUCUGAUUCAGUCACUAAUUGGCUCUGUAAUGAGUGGUAGCUUCUCUGAAUCUAGAUUUCCUAAUCUGAAAAAAAAGGUGAAUUAAAAAUAAUACCUCCGUGCUGGGGUUGUGGCUCAGUGGUAGAGCCUUGUCUUGCAUUCAUGAGGCAUUGGGUUCAAGCCUCGGCACACAUAAAUAAAUAAAAUAAAAAGUAUUUUUCCCAUCUACAACUAAAAUAAAGAAGUAUUUUAAAAAAUAAUACCUCAUAGGUUAUGAAGAUUAAAUAAGAUGGUGCAUGAAUAAUACUGGGCAUGUGAUAGGCAGUGAGUGAAGAGGUGCCAAAUACUGUUUAAGAUCUCAUUUUUAAUCCCCACAUGAUAUCCCCACAUUUGCCUUGCUAAGCCUUUUUUCCAAACCUACCAGCUUUAUCAUUAUCAGGUUUCUUAGGGAAGUCUGAGUUAUUCCUGAAGGGUUUUUCCAAACUCUUACACAUUAUGAGUAGAUCAAUAUACCUGAUAGGUGGUAUUUUUUUUUAAUAUUUAUUUUUACUUGUAGUUGGACACAAUACCUUUUUUAUUUAUUUAUUUUUAUGUGGUGCUGAGGAUUGAACCCAGGGCCUCCUCGCACAUGCUAAGCGAGCACUCUACCGCUGAACCACCACCCCAGCCCUGAGAGGUGGUAUAUUAAGAGUAUGGCCUCUGAAGUCAGAUGUUUGGGUUCAACUGUUGGUCCUUCUGCUUAGUAAUUGUGAGACUCUGGGCAAGUUGGCUUUACCUUUCUAUAUCUCAAUUUCCCCAUCUGUGAUGCAGGGAUAAUGUAUAUACCUAAUGUGCCUCAUUAGGAUCUUUAUAGUAAGUCAAUAUAUGGAGAAAGAAUACUUAUAACAAUGUAUGGAAAAUAGCAAGUUGCUAAAAAAUGGUCUUGGCUGCUGGUGUUGCCAUUAUUCUUCUGCCUCCAAUUUUUGUCUAGUUCUAACUCCUUUACGUAUUGCUCUCAUGCGAUGUUGCUAGAGGUUUAAUUAACACCAACCCAUUGCUCAGAAAUUAUCAGUGGUGAAAAACAAAAGUCUCUAUAUGUCUUAUACUGGCAAUCAAAACUCUGAUAUAAUCAUAAACUUGUCCGCUUUGAACAUGCCCUCUCAAACCUACUGGAUGUAAACCUUGGCAUCUUGAAACUUAGCUGUCAUCUGAAGGGCCAGGCAAGAGCUACCUCUAGCUCAGUUAUAUGGCCUUGCUUGAUGGUUCCUUUAGGAGAGAUGACCCAUGCCUUCCUGUUGGCCUGUGUUGCCCGCAGGCCAGUGUCCUCCCAAAUGAAACUGAUACCGAGUGUGGUCUAUUUAGGUCUAGUUUAAGAAGAUGCUCCUGGUGUGUUUUGCAGCUUUGCGUUUCCCACAGUGUUUUGCAUAAAGUAAGUGUUCAAGAAGUUUUAAUCAAUAAACACUCUUUCAGAAAACAGACUUCUUAAAUCAGUGCCCAGCUACAAAAGCACCCUUAGGCUUUGGAGUUGCUGUGUAUAAAAUAAACCAGUAAGUUCAGUAUAAAAAAAUAAUGACACAAGAAGCACAUAGUAGAGGAUGGUAACUUCAAAAGGCAAGUAGAAAAGCUGUAUAGUUCAAAUGGAAAGGGAGCUUCUGGUGUGGAGGCCUGCCUAUCUUAUUUUAGGAAAAAAUCCAAGUUGGAAUUUCUGAAUUAAUUUUUCAAAGAAUCUCUGCUGUUUCUUUGGAUUGGUGACUUAAAAUUGGACCUGGUAAAAUUUAGUUGCAAUAUUACCUUUAUCACUGAGAGAUUUCUUUCUCUGCUUUUUACAUUAACUAUGCUCCCCUCCUCUGAUCUUUAUAACUUAUCUUUUCCAUUAUUUGAAGUACAAGUUGAUUGAAAAGGAACAGGUAAUUUUUAUUGGUAUCUAUAGCCAAGGUUCUAACAGAAAUAGUUAGAAAAUACAGAGGCCUUUUUAUCUAAAAUAUUUAAGGCUCAAUUAUUAAUUUCAGAGGAGUGUCUUUGAGGGAUGAUUCAGGUUUAAGUGGGAAAUUUUCAAAUCUGUAAAGUAAACUAGUUAAAAGUCCAUGAAAGAGCCUAAAUAUAAGAGCUACAGCUGUAAAACUCUUAGAAGCAUCAUAGGGGAAAACUUACAUGGUAUUGGAUUUCAUCAUUACUUGCAUGGAACUAAAUGAUACCAGAAGUACAGGAAGCAAAGGAAAAAUUAGAAAAAUUGUCAUGUCAAAAUUAAAAACUUAAACGUAUUAAAGGACAAAAUCAACAGUGAAAAGUCAACCCAUAUAUUUGGGUUGAGAGAAAAUAUUUGGAAUGAGAGAAAAUAUUUGCAAAUAAUAUAUCUAUUAAGGAGUUACGAAAGAAAAAGAAGUGUUGAUGAGGCUAUAGCAAAAUUAGAAAUCUUGUGCACAGUUGGUGGUAAUGAAAAUGGUGUAGCAACUAUGGUAAACAGUAUAGAAGUUCCUUAAAAAGUUAAAAAUAGGACUAAUAUGAUCCAGUAGUCCCACUUCUGAGUGUAUAUACAGAAGAAUAAAAAAGAGGAUCCUCAAGAAAUAUGUGCACAUGUAUGUUCAUUGCAAUAUUAUUCAAAAACAGCCAAGAGGUAGAAGCAGCCUAAAUGUCCAUGGACAGAUUAAUAAAGAAAAUGUGAUAUACACACACAAUUAAAUAUUAUUUUGCCUUAAAAAUGCUGCAACAUGGAUGAAACUUAAAGAUACUAUGCUAAGGGAAAUAAGCCAUUCACAAAAGGACAAGUACUAUAGGAUUCCACAGUUAUGAGGGCCCUAGAAUAGCCAAAUUCAUAGAGACAGAAAGUAGGAUAGCAGUUGCCAGGAGCUAUGGGGGAUGGGGGGGUAGAAGGAAGUCACUGUGUAUUGGGUUGAGUUAUACAACAAUGUGAAUGUAUACAAUGUACUAAAUUGUACAAUUGCAAAUGGUUAAGACAGCAAAUUUUAUGUUAUGUGUAUUUUACCAUAAUUUAACAAAAAUGGAUACUGGGUGAGGUAGUAACUUUUUAUAUGCUAAUUCUAAACCUGAUUUUAAAAUGCAAGGUAAAAUAAUAUGUUUCUUUCUUAUCACAAUGAAAAUACAACAUAAAUCCUUUUCAAAGAAUUUCAAGUUUCCAUGACAACAUUUCAGAGUACUUUUUAGCACUUACCAACAUCCAUUCACAUGAACUUUUAUUAUCUUUAGAAAUUAUUGAAAAUUUUAUAAGGGGAAGCUGUUGGGUCCUAUAGCAAUAUUUAAAAGAAAUACAUUUGUUAGGCAAGUAAAACGUUCCCUCAAAUCUUCGUUUCUUUGACAAGAAAGUGGAGUUGUUUCUUGGAUAGAGUUUAUGGGAAAGCCUUUGUCAAGUAUGUCUGACUACAAUAGAGUUCAGAAGAAAAAGCUGGAAAUUAGAUUAGUUUUGUGGAGAUGUUGCCUUCUACAAAGAGCUUUGAAAGCGGGCAGGAGAACUUAGAUGAAUAUAAAGAUACAGUCUAGACUGAGUUGGGUGGUAGGUCAACAAGUAUACAUUUUGGUUUUAUGGUUUGUAAUUCAUAUAUGACAUGAAUAACAUAAACUUGAUGCUAGAAAAGAAAAUAAUUUUAAAAUGUUCAUUAAAAGGGGGGAUAGGAAGGGCAGCAGAAUACAACAGACACUAGUAUGGCUGUAUGUAUAAACGUGGCUGUAUAACCAAUGUGAUCCUGCAAUUUGUACACGUGGAAAAAUAAGAAUUCAUACCCCAUUUGAAUCAAAUAUAUGAUAUGUCAAGAUCAUUGUAUUGUCUUGAGCAACCAAUAAAAAAAUGUUCAUUAAAAAAAUCAAAGUUGUCAAGUACCAUAAGGACUCAGUAUCAAAUUUCUUUCAGUUCUUUAUCAUCUUCUGCAGUCAUGUAUAAAUUUUCAGGGGGCAGGAUUAUGCUCCAUUUAUCUCUGAAUAUCCAGGUUCUCAUAUAGGAGCUCACAAUGUAGAUAUCCAUAACUGGUUGUUUUUUUUUUUUUUUUUUUUUUUUGAAAAAAAUGAUAGACUCGAUUUCCCUAUUCAUCUCUGUUGCCACUUAAUAAUUUCUUAUGCUCUCAACACAUUUUGUCCUCAAUUCUGUAUCCGUGUGAGUUGCCACCAGCAGGUAAAUUGUUUAGCUUCAAUCCAACCAGAAUUGCUCUGAAAUCAGUUCUUUUUUAUUCAUCUCUAAAUAAUUCAUCCUAUUCACUCAUUUAUCUCUCUUAUACACACUCUCCAAGUGAUUAUUCAUACCUUUUCUUCCCGUAAGCCCUCUUGUUCAUCCUGUUUGCUAACCUAAUGCCCUACAGAGAAAAUUGAAACCAUCUGGUAAGAGCUCCCAUCUGAGUUCUUAUUUUCAGGAGAGCAUGAAUGUCAUCUCACUCUCACUUUCUUUCCCUCCAGUUUCUAAUGAACAGUUUUCUUUUCUCCUUUAUUUAAUCAUUAAUUUUGAAAACUUAAAUAAUACAUACAUUGUAGGGGGGGAGGGAAUGAAUCCCCCUCCUUCUGAAGCUGACUUUGGCUUUCUAUGUAAUUUUGGUUUCAACCCAACCAUGCUUUGACAGGUGGUGAAGGAAGGGGAGAUGGUGCAAGUUCCGGCAAUUCUUUCUUUCUCUCCUCUCUAAUUCUGGUUAGGCCCACCACCUCUGGUCAGUAGUCCACUAUCAUCCCCAUUAUUCUGAAUUCUGCAUCUGAAUUUUAGAUAAUUUAAGCCCAGAGUUUUGUUUCAACUUGUCAUUUAUUGGUGCCUACUAUGUACCAUGCACUGUGCCAGAUGUUUUGCGUGUUGUUUUGUUCUUUUCCAUUUGCUAUCUAAAUACUAACCAGUGAUUUAGAAAUAAAUGCACAUAACCUAUGAGUUAGAGGAUGACUGCAUAUUCUCAGUUGGUGCAAAUACUAAUCAUGAGAUUCUUAUUAUCUUUUCCAUUAUUCUUAUUUUUCUUUUGUUUGCAUCUCACUUAUAGGAGUGAAAAAGCAGUACCAUUUGAGAGUACUUCUUUAAUGUACUAUAUUUUGUAGAAUUCUGAGAGGUUUAUGAACUGCCAUUUGGACAUGUUCACUUUUUGAUUUUUUGGCUUUUUUGUUUGUUUAUUUUAGUACCAGGCAUCAAACCCAGGAACACUUAACUACUGAGCACAUCCCCAUCCCUUUUUAAUAUUUUAUUUAGAGACAGGGUCUUAACUGAGUUGCUUAGGGCCUCACUAAGUCACAGGCUGGCUUUGAAUUUGCGAUCCUCCUGCCUCAGCCUCCCGAGCCACUGAGAUUACAGGCAUGCAAUUACAGGCAUACAUCUGGCCCAUGUUCACAUUUUGAGUAUGACUGUCCAGUUUGAUCAUUAAUGAUCAUUGCUUUGGCCAUUUAAAACUUUGACAAAUUAUAUGAUCCAUUCAGAUAAGAAUUGCUUUUUGUGAGAACUAGUAAGACUUUCGGUUAUCAUUAUCCAGUCAUUAGGCUUAGAGUCAAUAUCAGUAGAUCAUCAGUAUAUUGCCCUUUUUCUUACCAGUUAGUAACAAUAUAACUUAAACCACAGAGUUAGCAUGGAUUCUUUUUGGCAUAGUCAAUCAAAAGUUUGGACUUGAAAACAUUUAUAAAUGAAUAAUUAUAACAAUUAAUUUAAUUUCCUCCAGGUCAAAGAAAGCAGGGUAGCAGGGAGACGCUUACAUUUGAUAAUAUAAUUUAAACUAAUUCCUUCCUCCAACAAUUAGUAUCUAUUAAAGAUGCCAAAGAUAUAAGGUACAGUCCCACAUUUAAGGAGCUUGAGUUAUAGUAAAGUUAGACUUUCCUUGUCCUCCACAAUACCUAGUAGAAGUCUUGCACAUAGAUGUUCAAAAUUAAUUCAUUUAGCAAAUAUUUAUUGUGUACCCAGGAUGUGCCACUAAUGGCUAACAGGUAAUGUCAUACCUCAGCUAGCUAAUAGAUGGUACUUUUUGGAAAUUGCAAAUAUGUCUGGAUUUUGGGGGUUACUAGAAAUUGAAAUUAGGAAAAUUGUCUCCUGUUCUUCCAGCAUGUAAAUAUAUAGUUUUCUAAUUAGAGGAUGAGAGAUUAAAUUCAUUGGACAUCACAAAGCAAUAGAAUUUGUUUUUCAUAAUGAAAACUGAUCUGCAUUGAGAUGUUUUUCUACUCAUUGAAAAUUUUCUCCAUCAUAUUUCAAGGACUAUAUCUUUUGCCUAAUUUUAAUAUAUUAUGCAUUUGUGAUAGCAAAUUAAACAUAAUUUUAUGGCCCAAAAAAUAGCCCCCAAUACAUUAGCUCUUCUUUAUAUAUUUUUAUUUCAAAUAAUUUGGUGUUUAAACCAUUGGUUCACAACUAAGAGUGCCUCUGCCUGCCCAAAAACAUUUGGCAAUGUUUAGAGAGAUUUUUGGUUGUCAGAACUGGGCAAAGGUUAUCUAGAGGAUAGAGAUCUGUCAAACACUAGUGACACACACAUACUAGGCAUACAUAUUUGCUGAGUGAAUUAAUGCACAGGACAGCCCCCUAUAAUCAAGCAUUGGAUCAGGAUGUCUGUUUUUAUUAAAUAAAAGGCAUUGGAGUGUUACUUAUGUACCAGUAGAUGGGACUGCAGAUAUUUCAAAAGCACCAGGUCCCAGUUCUCAAAGAGCAUACUCUAAAAAUGGAGAUGAUAGGUAAACAAAAACAAAUUACAAAAUAAUAUGCUAUGUUUUUUAAUAGCGCUAAGUGGCAAAUAGCUUUGUUGGGUGGGUCAGAGAAAGCUUGACAGAGAAGGUGAAGUGUGAGUGAGUACUGUGUAGUAGCUCUGCUCAAACUUUUAGCACUCACUCAGAUGCUGUUCCUAGAAGGACAGAGCAAGCCCAAGGAAUAGCAUGUUAAAAGGUCAGGAAGCCUGAUAAACAGAAAGAAUUGAUUAUAUGCAGUUCAUUGUAUUGAGGUGAGCCUGGAGUUUUAGCUAGAAUCCUGCUUUAGGAAGCCUUGAAUCCAAGAAGUGUGGACUUUAUCCUGAGGAUAGGACUAUAACAGAAGGGAUCUGCAUUUUUGAAGACCAUUCUGAAGGUCAUGUGCAUAAAGAGGGAGAUGAGAAUCCGUUUUGGGAGAGGAUUUAAACUGCCCUGAUCAAGAAGAUCUGAGAUUCUAUAGGAAGGUCUGAUCAAGCACCUUGAAUGGUAUGGGAAGGUGAAAGGUAAAGAAGAGGACAUGUGACUUGCAAAUUUUACCUUGGGGACUUCAAACCAUUAACCAGGAUAGAAAAUAUACAGGAGGAGAGUGAGUGAUUGAAGUAAUUUUUUUGUAAACAUUAUUUUUGAAGUAUCUAUGGAACAUGUUUUUGUGGUUUGUUUUCCUAAGAACUUAAUAUUUGUUUGAUUUUGAUUAUUAGGAAUGACACAAAAGAAGCAUAGUGACCUAAGAGUAAAGAAUUCUGUUUCUAAAUAUGCCAGUGAUUGCUUGUAAGGCCCUGAAAGUAUUACUUAUUUUUUUUCUCUGCAGCUGUAAGUUUUGAAGUGUAGUGAUAAAAAUGUACCUCUUAGGAGAGUUGAUAUAAUUGAUAUUGAGCUAGAAAAUAAAUAAUUAGAUGUUAUAAGCCAUUUGAAAAAUUAUAGUAUUUAAACAUUCUGAAGAUCCUAGUAGACAUUUGCCAUGAUAAAUAUUUGUAUACCCAGAUUGGGUUCCUAAGAUCUCUCAUUUUGAUAGCCUUUGAAUAACAUUGGCUAAAUUGCCUGGAUUGCCUAGAUAAGCCUUUGUUUUUUAGUUUUUUUGAUUUUUUUCAUUACUCAAGUAUGAUUUUUACUUAACUUUUGCAUCUGAAGGAAAACUUCAUGUCUUACUUUUUAUGUCCAAACCUCUUGUGCUGUGUUGUUUAUACUUUCACUGUAAAAAAGUAAAUGAUACUACCUUUAAAAGGUUCACUGAAUAUGCAUUAGCUGAUAAACAUGAAAAGAAAAACAAUUUAAAAUAUUUGUCAUUACCAUUUUAAUGUUCUUCCUCCUCUGUUCAUCAACUGUUUGAGCAGGAAAACAGCAAAGUGACUCUUCUGGUUGUUACUACCAACACAUUGUAAAGAUCUUUUUCCUUAAACCUAUUUAGUACAGGAUCUGCUUAGUACUGGCCUGUGUCCCAGAAGACCAUCAGAGAUAAGGCUAUUAUCCUUUUAUUGAGUAUUAUCCUGGGAAAGUAUUUAUAAAAUUGAACUCUGUGGCACCUGCUGACCUCUUUUCUAAAUGAAAAAGGGUGGGGAUGGAAAUUGUGUUCAGUGAAUUUAGAUGAAGCAGUAUGUUUAGCAGCACUGACAGCAGAGUGCUUUAGUUAGUGCCUUUUAUACCGUGCAAAUUGAUUCCAUCUUGGACUUUGAAAGAAAUAAGUUGACAAUUCAUAUCAAGAAGUUGACAGUCACAUUCAGGGCUCUGCAGUUAUUGGCAUGGUUGCUAUUUUUUCAUAAGCAGUUCUAAAAUAGAACUCACAGCUAUUUUAGGAUUAAUCUAAAGUGUUUGCUUGCCAUUGCUGUCAUGUUUUUCUAAAAUUGCUAUAAAUAAAAUCUAGUGGUAUUAUCUUCAAACCUGAGAGAAUACUUUUGGAAGACUUAAAUAUUUAAAAACAAUUUUCAUCCUUAAUGUUUUUCUUUUCCUUUCCUCUUCCUCCCCUUCCCUUCUUUUUCCUUGCUUUCUUCCUUCUUUCCUUCCUCUGUCUCAUGGUGAUGGAGAUAGAAACGAGGUCCUCAAAUAUGUUAGGCAUAUGCUAUGCUAUUGAGCCACAUCCCAGUUCAUGUGCUUAACUUUAAAAAAAAAAUCGUCAUUAAAAUGAAAAAGAACAGUUUAAAAAAAAUUUAAACCUAGUCUCCUAUGAAAUCUUAUCAAAAGCUAAAAAUGUGUGAAGAACAGUGCUAUGUAACUUUCAAGUAUCGCUCUAAAAAUACUAUUGUGGCUUGCCAUGGUAAUACAUUCCUAUAAUCCCAACGACUCAGGAAGUCUGAAGUAGGAGGGUUGCAAAUUCAAGGCCAACCUCAGCAAUUUAGUGAGACUCUGUCCAAAAAUAAAAGGACUGGGGCCUGGCUCAGUGGUAAAGGACCUCAGGGUUCAAUUCCCAGUAUAUUUAAAUAAGUGUGUGUGUGUGUACACACACACACACACACACACACACACACACACAUAUAUAUAUAUAUUGCAUUGUCAAAUUACUUGGAUUAUAUUUGUAUAAAAUAUAUGCUACAUAUAUUUAUGUAAAUGUACUAUUAUGGCCCACAUAUUUAAACACUUAGGCCCACAUAUUUAAACACUGAUUUGAGGCAGCUGAGUUAAAUGGUGGUUUAUGACUUUUUGAAAAUUAUUUUCAUUGGUCAGACAAGAAAUAACUUAAAUAAACUCACUCCCAACUUUGUUGUCCCAGCAUACCAGGCUGUGUUCAUUUUCUAUCUUCCUUUCCAUUUCCUUCUCAUGCUUACAUGCCUUUUCCAUUAAUUAAUUCAGUGAUGAAGUCUGCCAUGUUUGCCUCAUAUUUUAAUGUUUGCCUCAUGGUGGUAACAGUGUGAAGUCCAUUAUCACUAUAAUGCGAAUGCAUAUUUAUUCUGUUUAUAUUUAAUAAUAAGGCAUUAGUUCAAGUUAGAAAUCUGACAGGAACUUCAGUUAAUCAGAUAUAACCUGUUGUGUAAUAUAGAAUGCAGUAGAUCAUUGGCAUCUUUAAGGCUGGAAUGUAAAUCUCCUCGCCUACCAACACCUAUUGUGCAAUGACUCUUCCAGGAUCCCAGUCACUUCAUUAUAGAACUAGCAGGUCAGUAAAAUAACGCAUUCUAGAUCUGCUGGACUGUAUCCAUCUGAAUUUUCAGUACUGCUUAGAUAUGUAUUAGCCAAAUAAUCAGAAAAAUAUAUGGUUCUUUGUUUAACCAAUCUUUGGUUAGAUUUAAGUUAUCUUAAACUAUCUGAAAACUAGGGAUUGCUUAUAAAUUUAUCAGUUUUAUCAAUUGUUCAGUUUAUUUACAGUUAGGCGUAUUUCCUGAAAUAAGAAAAAGUAAUGUAUUAUCUGAGUGUAUUACUUUAUGCAGUAAUUUUAAAUAUGUAGUAGUGGGAAGCAUAGGAACAGAGAAUGUUUACAGUUGAGAGAUGUGGUAUUUUGUCCCAACUCUAUCACUUACUAGCUCUGUGUUCUUGGGCAGGUUAUUUACCUUAUGUCCUAGCCUCUAUUUCUAUGGUAAUGAUGCAUACAUGUAUGUCAUCUUGCAUAGAACCUGACAUGGGGCAGAUACUCAAUAGAAGUAGUUCUAGUACUUAUAGUUAUUAUCUUUAAUAUUAAUUAAAAUUUGUACAAUUAAUUACAUUGUCAGUAAUAAGAGUUUUAAAUGAUUGAGGGCUAAUGAUAUAGAUCAAAUCAGAUGCUUAUGAAUUCUAUAAUGUUUGAAAGUUAUAUAUGAGAGUAUUAACAUCUAAAAUUAAAGAAAAUGAGAAGAUAAUUUGUCUAGAUUCUGUUCUGCCAGUUAACAUAUAACUUUUCUUUCAACAGGCUCAGCACUAUGUAGCUACAACCUAAAGCCUUCUGAAUAUACUACAUCUUCAAAAUCAUCUGUUCUUUGCCCCAAACUUCCAGUUCCAGCGAGGUAAAUUUUAUUGCAAAGUUGUUAACUUGUGACUUGUUUUUAUAGGUAAAUUUCACAUUGUAUGUGUUAUUCUGAGAAAGGAGUUACUUUGAUAACUUGUUCCAUUACUUUUACAACAAAAUUUUAGAAAUAGGAAAAGAUAUAAAAACAUGUAUUUAUCUUUAGAAAAAUGCACACCCAAACAACUUUUCUAGUUCUGUUAUUUUACAUUUCUUUAGAACCUUACUUUUUUUUAAAAUUUUCGUACCAUAAUUUUCAAAUACACAAAACUGCUGAAUCAUUCUCAAAUUUGCAACAGACUUAGAAACCAAGUCUCACAGUCUCCAGAGAUCCUUCGAGGUUAAUCCUAGUAUUACUUCCUGGGAUUGCUUUUUAAUUUACUUUGUAAAUUUAAAAAGCAUGCCAGUGACUAUUCUCCAUACAUUGUUUGAAGUUAUAUCCUUUACAUACGUUCACUGUAUUAGGCUGUUUGCCACGCCUUAUUCAAUAAACAUUUAUUAUUAAGUACCUGCCACAUGUGAUGGAUAUAACAGUGAUCUCACAGUAGUUAAAGUGAAAGUAAAUUUUUAAAUUUAAAGUAGAUGUAAAAAAAAAAAAUUCUCAAGCAUUGUAGACUAUAUCCCCAGAAUUAUGUAUGUACGUUUAUGGAGGUAUAUACAUGUAUGUGUAUAUACACAUAUGUGAACACUUGCAAGUAUGUCUGAUGUUGAGAACCAUAAUGUGAACUGCUGACAGAAUGGCAUGAGAAAACUUCUCUGGGGGGAAACUGACUCUAAGCCACCUUUAUUAUAUCUUAAUAUAUUAUAGGGAACAACUGAGUAAAAAAUUUUGAGAUUUGAAACAUGAAAGCAGAUCAUGUCUACAUUUUUUAGGAAUAUUUAUGGCUAUAACUUGUGCUUUAUUAACUUGAAUUUGAAAUUUUCUGUUAGUAGGAAAGGGAUGUAUCAGUUAAAUUGAUUUCUAGCUCUUUUAGUCUUGUGAAGUUGCUAUUGAAAAUCAAAAUUUAUAGCCUAUAGAUAUAAAAGUAAAGGGACUAUUUUAAGAGAUACUCAGUAAAAGGAACCUAAAAAUUAUGGCCUUAAAGUGACAGGUAAGGAGGUCGAACUCAUAAAAAUUAAGGAUAUGAGGAAGGCUGCCGCAGUGAAGCAAAGGAGAUCCUUUAAAUACAGUUACUGGAGAACAUUUAUUGAUAUAAAAAUAAGAAAAGCCCUAUACACUUAUCUACCUAAUUGCUACAGUUUGUUUUAUCUGUACUUUAAGUAUAGAGUCUUUCUUUCAAGACCAAAACACACUGAGGUAGAAUAAUCAGAAAUCCUGGAUAUGGAAAGAAGGUUGUUCUGCUCCUGGAUCAUUGUGGGAGGGCCAGGAUGGGUGGCUGGGCUCAUACUGCAAAUCCUCCCCCACUUGGAUCUCUGACUCCCCUGUGUUGAGCACUGACUGUUCCUGGUUAUUUCAGAUAUCCCAGUCCUGACUACCCACACACUUCUCACAAUAUCCUCUAGACAUUUACUAGAAGGCAAAGGAUGGUAUCAGGGGUGUUAAGUUUAUAGCUGGAUGGACCUGGCUUCUAACAGGGUCAUUAUGUACCUCACUAAUCUAAGACAAAAUGCUGAACCUGUACUAUCUGCAAACUCACUCCCACUGUGUUCAAAGAUCCUUAUGUUUUACUUAGUACAGUACCUCCCAGUCGAAGUAUCUUAGCACUUUUGUCUGAACUAAGCUUGUUGGAAAGUAAAACAGAAGGAAGACAAAUAGAAGCUUGUAAAUAUAAAAGUUAUUUAGCAUUUGGCAAACAAAGUGAAAGGAUGAGAGAACAAGAUAAAUUUGUUUUAAUAAAAAAAAAAAAUUGGAGACACUACCCCAUUCUCACAUAGCAUUAAGCCACCAAGUCUCCAAAAAUGAGUAAGACCAGAACUCUGACCUUCAAUUCACAGUCUAGUAAUGACUGCAUUUUUGUUAACAUUUUCUAACACCAGGCAAAACUGGUAAGUAGCCCUCAGCAUCUUUCACAUCUCACACAGGAACUUGAACUUUGAGUCUAGAUCAGUAUGGCGGUGAAUAUCACAUCACCAUUUUCUAUUUGUCAUCUCAAACAAGACUCAACCUCUCUAAAAAACCAAGGUUUCUUGUGUGUGAAAUGGGAAUAUUCAUACUUGUUCUAUAGAGUUGAGACUCAAUAAGAUAAUAUACAUAUCUAUUAUUGUGCUUGGCACUUAGCUUAGGAAGUAUCAUUUCUCUCAACUUCCAGAGCCAGCAAUAGCUGGUUUAGAGAACACAACCAUAAACUAAUUUGCAAUGAAAUUCUAAUGAGGCAUAAUAAUCAAAAAAUUAUCAUUCCUAAGAGCAGAUGCCUAGAUAGACCAAUAUUUUAUCCAGAUUCAUAACUCUUUAUUGGUGAAAUGCCAAGCAUGGUAGCAAUAUGAACAAUAGCUAUCCUGUUUAUUUGUGAUGCUAACUGUUGCAAUGCUAACUGUUGCCCACAACCAGAGAAAAACAGCAGAAAUAGAAACAGAGUACAUAAAUUCAGUUUAUUCAUCAUUAGAGUACCUCUGGAUGCCAGAAAGGUUACGAGAUACUAGGGAAUUAAUAAUAUGAUAUGGAAGCGAAAAAUUGACACUCAAGAAAAAAUGUUUUUUCAUAUUUUUAAGUAGAAGAUUCAAGAGUAAGUUAAUAUUUACAAAUCAUCUACUAUGUGCCAGCUAAUAUACUUUCACUAAUAUACUUUCACAUGCAUUAUUUAAUUUAACCCUCACAAAAGCCUUUACAGAUACUGCCCCUAAUUUAUAGAUAAGGAAAUGGAAGAUGAGGCCAAAGCCACUUUUUUUGUUGUUGUUGUUGCUGUAAAUCAGAGUUUGAAUUCAGGAUCUUGUAGCAUCUAUACCAUAGUUAAGUGUGUUUUUUUUUAAAAUUUAUUUUUUAUUUUUUAAGGAGUAGAGGAGUGAAGGAAGGGAAAAAAACAAACAAAAUAGAAAUGUAUGAAAAAUCACUGUUUACUGCCAUUAAAUUCUUAUCUUCUUGACUUAUUUACUUCCUGCCUUUUGUAUUCUAUUAUAGGGAUCUUAAUGGAACCCUUUAUUGGUAUUAUUUCUUAAAUAAAACUUUUAGCUAGAAACCAUGGGUGAUUGCUUAUUUUUAGCCUGAGAUUCUAAAAUAAUUAUAUGAGGUACAACUCCUACCUUCUUUUGUGAAGCAUAUGGACAAGAAAUAGUAGACACUCUUUGUCCUUAUACUUUAGGGAGUUGAUUAUCUGUGAUAAUCUGGUCUUAAAGGCAAAUGGAUGGUAUAUUUGCCACUGUAAGAUACAAUUUGCCCAUGAUGGUUAAUUUUUAAAAAUCUUUAAAAGAUUCAGUAUGAAUUCAUUUUGUUCUUGUUGACUCAUGUUUUAAUAAUGUGAAACAACAUCAGUUCCUAAUGGGACUACAUUGACUUCUUAAACAUUCAAUAGUCUGUGCCUUUGAAAGGUAGAAAAACUUACUGUAAAUAGAAUACUUUAUGCUUUUCCUCUUAAUUAAGAAGCACAAAAUGUGUCAUUUAGGUUAGACUCUAAAGUAGAAAUGAUCUCAAGCACUAAGUUCUCAGCACUAUUAUUUCCUCAGAGGUCCAUGGUAUGAGCUAAUUCAUCUUAAAUUCAUUAAAUCAAAUGGGAUUUAAAUGGUAAAAUAUAAGAGAGACAUUUCAAUGCCAUGAUUACUCACUUUUUUUUUUUUAAUAAGAAAAUAAAUCCAGGGACUGAGGGUGUAGUUCAGUGGUAGCAUAUAUAAGGCCCUGGGUUCAGUUGCCAGCACAGAAAAAAAAAAAAGAAGAAAAAGAAAAAAAUUCUUGUUUCAAAAUCCCAUGGCCUGUAGAGUUGUUUCUUUUUUGGGAAGAAGUGGGAAAAAGAAUGACAAGGGAAUCUGCUGCUUUUUAGCUAAGCAUUUAAUUUUCUUUUUGAACAAUGUGUUCAUAUAUUCUCUUUUAUUUACCUUCAAUUUCUGUUAUUCGUUAGGACUAAGAGCAGAUUUUUACUAUAAAAUAAACAAAGCAGUUAAUCAGCUUGUGCUAAUUUUAUAUCUUUAAACUUAGAGCCGUCAGAUUGAAUUUUAGAGUCAAAGAUUAUUGUUAUUUUGCCCCAAUUCUUUGAAGGAUACUUAAAAAAGCACUCUUUCCAAAAGGUCAAGAGUUUAUAUACAUUUUUAAAAUGACUCAAAAGGAUAAGUUCUGGGCAGAUGUUACUCACCAUUUCCUCCUAAAGGAAAAGAAUUAGGAUUUUGAGAAUGCAGUCCUUCCCUUUCAAAUCAAGGAUCUUCAUCCUGAGUUUGAAAGGCAGAAUAUACUGGCUCUGCUGCUCCUAUAUACUUUUAGAGUCAUUGAUUUGUAGGUGGUCUCUUUUAUGGUGAUGAUCUGAAGAGACUUACAGAGUCCUUACUCCUACCCUUUUAGCAAGCAAAUGGACAAAUGAAGAAGAAAUGGAGUAACACACAGCUCUGCAGUGUUAGGAGAAGGUGGGCUUUUACAGUUAUCUGACAGGAAAAAGGAAAUGAGUGAGUAGGACCAAGAAAAUUAGUGGCAUUGUCAACAAGAAAUAGACAGCAAUAUCCUUAAGGUAGACAUAUUUUAUAUUUGGGGUUGAAGGCAGGUGAGUGAAGCAGAGGCUUCAUCAGAGAUGAUAAGGUAAUAUAGACCGAUGAAGAUUUAGAUAAUUAUGGAGCAGAGAAGAGUUUAGUUUUGAAGAGAGAGACAUGCUUUAAUUAAAAAUAGGGUUAGAGAAGUUCUUAAAGGUGUUAACUUUGCAGAGACAACAUCAGAAAAGAAAGUCGUGUUACAACAAAGUUGUCAGUAAAGACUUCUACCCCAAAUCAGCCUCCAUUAACUGAGAAAUUUAGGGUCCUUUUUGAUUCUUCUAAUUUAAUAUCUUUUUACAUCAUUAGCAAAACAACUUUUGAUCAAAAGACAAUGACUUACCUGCCUGUAAAUCAAACAUUAUACAGAAUGGUCUGGCUUCCUGCAGUUUUUAAUAAAAAGUCAAAUCUUUGGCAUUAACUUUCACUAACACCAUUUUGGAGCUACUCACAAAUCCACAGUCAAGGACAUGAGAUAAUAAAUGAAUAAAUCACAUUGUUACAUCAUCAUUUUUGGAUACAUUUUACUGAAGCAUAACUAAAAUAAGGCUAAAUCUUUCAGUUAUUUUGUUUCAUGAGUAUAAAAGCAUAAGAUAUUUCUUAUUCUUACUACUGGUGGUGCUCACUGUCAUUUAAGAAAAAACGAUAGGUAGUUAUUCUCAUUCUUAUUUGAAAAAUUUUUUUUUAUUUGAGGGAGGAAAGAAACUGUUUUGUUUCAGGUCAGACAAAGUUGUUUUGCUGAGAUUGGAAACCUUGGAAUUUGGUAUCCAACCACAUAAUCAUAUCCACUAAUGGACCCAAAUACAGUGCCAGCCAAGAACGAGAACACAGUUACAUCAUUCUAAUAAAAAAUCUUAUGUCAGACCUGCCAGGGCUAGUUCUAUGAACAAUUCAAAAACUGUGGUUUCAUAUUAAUUAUGGCUGCAUUUUAACUUAAUUCACCCACUAAUGCAUAUCUGUGCACAGACAAUGUACGGGUUCUGUUAGAAUCUUGACAAGUCACAAUGAAGGUGUAUCUAUAGUCCUUUGUUUAAAAUUCUCUCACUGAUUAGAUGUGUAUUGUCCUCUCAGAAGUUGAAGCAGAACCAUGUUAUUACAAACCAGAUUUAUGUCACAGCUCAUGCACAGUUGUUUCUUUACAAGUCAAAGCUGUAGUCCAUGUAAGCUUGGAUUAAAUGUUAACUGAUUAAAUAAUUGGUUGUUUUCACAGUUUUUUGAACACAUAUAAUCUUGAAUUAUUAGUUACAUAUAAAAAGAAAAUAAAAUGGCACAGAAUUCCAGAUGUGUCAGAUAUUUUUCACUUUUAUAAUAUUAUUUUUCUUAUCCCAUUUUUAUUAACUUCAUAACUCUUUUAUGGAGUGAUAUCAUUGUCACUUUAGAUAUAAUUUCCCUUUUGUAUUAUUAAAUUAUAAGCAUUUCUAUACAUUAGCUCCCACUGUUAUUGUUUUGAGUAGCUGCAUAUUAUGCUGUAUGUUGAUAUGUUGGCAUGACUUUGUUUAUAUAAGAGUUACUGAGGGGCCUGGGACUUGGGCUGUAGCUCAAUGGUAGAGUGCUUGCCUAGCACGGUUGAGGCACUGGGUUCAAUCCUCAGCACCACAUAAAAAGUAAAUAAAUAAAAAUAAAGUUAUAAAAAUUAUAUUUAAAAAAGAGUUACUGUGUGCCCUGAACACUUUUAUUAAUCUGAAAUUUUAUAAUGCUAUUUUGUUAGAGAAGACAUUCUAUUAAUGGUGGCACAUUUCAAGUACAAGCAUGUGUGUUUUUUACUUUUAAAUUGCUUAUGGCCAAAAUUCAUUUUCAGUUCAAUGAAAUAUAUGUCUGUAAGCUUUGUCAUCUGCCUCUUGACUGGUAGAUGAGGAGUUUUAAGUGGUUUUGCUUCUGGUAGCUCUGUGUGUGUAUGUGUAUGUGUGCGUUUCUUUUCAGAAGGGGAGGGUAAUGUCUUCUGUUGGAACAUGCACUCCACCCUCUUUGAUAAGGCUUGUGGUAAGAUUGCUUCACUACCCAUAACAGUCAUCUUCAUAGCAUUAAGCACAUAGCUCUUAGCACCCAUAAUGAUGUGUGGAGGGUGGAGUGUAUUGCAGCCAUAUUCACCUUUCAUUUGUGUGUUUGAUGUGGCAUUUAUAUUAAGUAGGAGUAAUUUUUUUUCUGAUUUUUUUUUUCUUGUGUCACCAGUGCACCUAUUCCAUUCUUCCAUCGCUGUGCUCCUGUGAACAUUUCCUGCUAUGCCAAGUUUGCAGAGGCCCUGAUCACCUUUGUCAGUGACAAUAGUGUCUUACACAGGCUGAUUAGUGGAGUAAUGACCAGCAAAGAAAUUAUAUUGGGACUUUGCUUGUUAUCACUAGGUAAUUGUUUUUCUCAUUAUUAGCUAUUGCAUAAUACUGCAGUAGAAGACUGUUCUUUUAGCCAAAAUAUGAAUACAACUGGGGAUACUUGUAAAAUGUUUCACUUCCCAUAAUCAAAAUAAUUGUUUCAGAUUAUAUAUAAUUAUAAACAUGUACAUAAAACUAUGUAUACAUGUAUAUAUAUAUCUGAAACUUAUUUCCCUUUUUUUCUUUCUUUGGGGAAAACUUAUUUUUCCAAACUUCGGUGACUCAGUCUAUGACUACCUUUAAUAUGAUAGCAGGAGGCUUCUUUUAAUGAAUCAACAACCCUAUGUUUUUGGUUAUGAUUCUAAAAGGUCUAUUUAUUUAUAAAGAGGCCACCUGUUCUCUUAUAUAUUUACAUCUAAGAAUAUAGAUUUCUUACUUUUGAAGUAUGUGAUUUACUUUUCAUUGCUACAGCUCAUAGUAUCAUUAUUGCUGGAAAAACUAGGAAAUCUCCACUCGUUAGCCACUGAGUUUCUAUCAAUAAAUAGAUAAUAUAAUUAACUAAAAAUUUCAUUUUCAAGGUGAAAGCUCACUAUAUUAGUCUAGAACUAUAUGAGGGCGUAUUGGAGUUUAUAGACCUUAAUAGUUGAGAGAAAUAACUGGUAGGAACCAACUGUUUCAUUAUGUAAGUUAAAUUAGUAUUGAUGCCUGUUAAUAACAAUGGUCACUGAGAAGACAAAUUAUAUUUCCUUCUUCCCUGUCAUUAGAGAGUUUUUCUUUUUGCUUAGGUAGUACUUGACUCAAUUGUAAUAAUGCUUUCCAUAUGAAAAUCUAAUUCUGUGGUAUUUGAAGGGCUCCCAUCUGUAUUUCGUUCCUGUAUAUUUAUUACAAAAGUGAGUACCUUAAUAAUAGUUCUAGACAGAGAUCCUAACCAUUUAUUUGGGUUUACAAAUGGCCCAAAGAAGCUUGACAAUUAGUGUAACUUUAUGUAAAAAAUACCUGGUUUCUAAAACAACUGAAUUCAUAAAACCAAAAGUAAAAUCCGAAUCUUAAAAAUAGUGACAAUAAUAUUGUGAAGCAUCAGAAUUCCAUUUUUUAUUAGAAUGAUUAUCUUUGGAGACUUAAUAACAUCAUAUAAACCCAAAAUACCUUUGCUCAUUUGUUUGUAGAUCAUUAAAGAUAUACAAAUUAUUAUUUCAGAAAUAUAUUUCCUUUUCAAGGGUUAAAUCAUCCCUUUCUUUUUUGAGAAUUCUACCUAUGAUUUUAGCACAUUGGGAGUUUGGGACAGAUAAAGGGGUUGGCUAAGUGACUCAAACUAAACUUUGCUCAUUUUUGAGGACAGACUUUUAAUCAGUUGAGAAAUGAGGUCAGAGGGAUUUUGGUCUCAUUAGUCUUCAGGAUAUUAUCCUGUAGGGUCAUACUCUCCCUUGGAGCUCUGGAGUUAAAGAUAAAAUGCCAGAUAAAGAUAAAAUGCCAUGUAGUAUUAACUGACCAUCAGAGAAGUUGGUCCUAAAAUGCACACAUCACUCAAGGCAGUAUAGCACUAACUUAACUGAUUUCUGUCUACAUGUGAUAAUUUUUCUUGUCACCAACAUGACAUGUCAUUCUCUACACUUUGUCUGCUGGCAUGUAUGUCUGCAUGUCUGAUGUUUUCCUCCUGGUGAGUCCACAACAGUCUUGUGCUGUUUUUGAGUCACCAAUUGCAUUUGCAUGAAUUCUUUUCUGUAGUUUAUAAACCCACACAGUUAGGUGCCUUUGGUUUCAAAUGAUGCUAUUUAAGUGGUACAAGUAGCAAAAUCAAAAUGCAAGAGCAGCCAGUUUCCUUUCUUACCUAAAUUGUGGUCAUGAAGUAGUCAAUAGCUACAGAUUAUUUCCCUGGGGUGGGGGGGAACAACAAUUAAAAAGCCUUCUCUUUAUAUUCUAUGUUGUCAAGUAAUAUUCUGCAUGUUCUCUAUUUAUCUUUCCUGCAGUUCUAUCCAUGAUUUUGAUGGUGAUAAUCAGGUAUAUAUCAAGAGUACUUGUGUGGAUCUUAACAAUUCUGGUCAUACUGGGGUCACUUGGUAAGUUAUUUAUUUUAUUGUUUUCAUGGUACCUCACUAAUUCCAUGAUAGCAAAUGGAAAUAUAAAGAAAAAAAUAGAAAUUUUAUUUCUACAGGCUAUAUCUUCUUAAAGCUUUUUUUUUUUUUUUUUUGCCUUAAGAAUUUCAUAACUAUCAGGGGUUGGGGGGCUGGGGUUGUGGCUCAGUGGUAGACCGCUUGCUUUGCACGUGUGAAGCACUGGGUUUGAUCCUCAGCACCACAUAAAAAUAAAUAAACAAAAUAAAGAUAUCUACAACUAAAAAAAUUUUUUUUAAAGAAUUUCAUAACUAUAUUCCCCUCUUUUUCACUGCUGUUACCAUUUGAAGUCUAGAACUUUCUCCUAUGUAUGUAUGUAUAGGUAGAUAUAAAUGUGUAUACACACACACACACACACACACACACAUCAUUUAGGUAAAACUUUUUAGCUGAACAUGAAACUCGAACUUUUAGUAAAAAUAUCUGCCCUCAUUUACAUUUAUAAUCCUAACUGCUAUCUUUGGUUUUACUGUUGUCAUCUGUUUUAUGUUUUACUGAAAUUUAUGCUUUCUUAUUUUGUUUUUUCCAUCUUUGCUAUAUGACUGUAUUUUCUCUGAUUAACUUCACCCUUGCUUUGGGUGAUAUGUUUUAUAUUUUUAUAUUUUUUCUUCUAUGAUUGGUAACAUGUGCUUUCAGAAAAAUACUAUGUAAUCAAGAAAUCUAUGAUUACUAAAGGCUAAAAUGUCACAUGUUGAGUUUUUCCCUGCCUUUUUAAAAUUUAACAUAAACUUUUCUUCCUUGUAUCCCCUACUCCCUUCUACUUAUGCCUACUUUUUAGCCUUGUCAAGUAAUCUGAGCUUUUGUAUUCAAGUUAUUAUUACAGUUAAAAUAUUAUUUUCACCAUUUUUAUCUUAAAAAAUUGUUUACAUUUGCAUUGAAAAGUUUCAGAAAUAUAUUCAUAUUUAAGUCUUCCUGGACUAGUUUUAGGAACUACUGGUCCUGUUUGCAUACACCUUAAUUCUUGGAUUCUUAACUUUUAAUUCAUCUUUAUAUUGACUGGAAUUCAAGUAAUCUAUUUAUGGAGGACUUGUGGGCUAUGUAUGUUCUCAGUUCUUGUUUCUUUAAGAUUGCCUUUUCCUUCACAUGUGAAUUUUGAGUUUGUUUGGUGUAAAAUUCUUCAGGCACAAUAUUGUAUCUGUACUUUUAUUUCAGAAACGAACUCAGAGACCAGUCUAAUUUUUUUUCCUUUACUCAUUGCAGGCUUCACCUACCUAGAUGUUUAUUUGAUUUUAAUGUAGCCUUAUAAUUUAAAGAUGGUUCUGAUCCUGGAUCUCAAGAUUAUCCAUAAUCUUUUGGGGGAGGAUCUUUUUCCAAUCUGAAAUUUUUUCUUCAUCUCUAUAUUUGAUUACCAUUUUUGUUUCAGUGUCUUUUUUCUUAAAGUAGUUGUUAUUCUUCAACUAUUGUCUUCCAUAUUAUCAUUUCAAUGUUUUUAUCAUAUUCUUUUAUAUUCAGGAGAGUUCUUCAAGUUUGUUUUCACAUUACUGACUUAGUUUUCCACAUUAUCAGUUCUGUCCCUGGCUUCCUACAAUGAGGAUCUGAAUUUUGUUGUCCCAGUUUUGUUGUAUUUGUAGUUCUUCCAUCUCUACCACAUUUGUUUUCAUUUCUGUUUAUAGCUGUAGUAUCUAAUUCUGUGUUUACAUGAACAGGUUUUAUAAUAAAUCUUAAUUUUGAAUCAUAACUCUGCCAUUUCCUACAUACGUAACAUUUGGCACAUUAUUUAACUUUACUAGAUUUCAGUUUCAUCAUUUGUAGACUUAAUAAUAACUACUUAACAGUACUGUGGUUAAAUAAGGUGAUAGCCAUAAAGUGAUUAGCUCACAUUAUAGCACCAAUCUAAGCAUUUGGUGAACAUCCCCAUGGCUGUAGUGAUCAACGUCCCCAUCCUCCUUGACAUAAUCAUCAUUAUCUCAUCUGUUUUCCUUGAACUUCAGCUUUCCCCAUAACUUUUUAUUUCAGUUUAUAGAGAACACAUUUCCUUCCAUUUUUUGAAUAUGUUACAUAGUUUUCCAAACAAUUUUCUUGAAUCUGCAGGAUUUCAGACAGGAAGAAAUUUUUUUCACAGACUCCUAAUUGUUUUGAAUUCUUUAUAUCUUCGACAGAAGAAAAGUUCAUGCUUGGUAUUUGUCAACAGGACAUGGGUUUUCCCUUUGACCUAUUAAUUAUUUAUGUAAAUCCAGAUGCAGGAAGGUCGAUGUGCAUGGAGCUUAGCCCAGUUUUUUUGUAUCUCCUUGGCAUUUAUCUUAUCCAAUGUAAGCUCACAGCUCUGCACUAAAUCUUCCUUCCUAAUUGUGGCCUACAAGGCCUUUCAGGGUGGUACAGUUCUCUGCCACCUCUUUGCCCACACCUCUAGCACUUUCCCCCUUGCUCACUGCAGAUGUCACAGUGGUCUCCUCCUUUCUCUAUACUAGCCAUGGUCCCACCUCAGAGUCCUAGAACUUUGCCUGUCACAUUUUUUCCUUAGAUAAGUUCAUAGAUUGUGCUCUCUCUCUCUCCUCAGGCUUUCAAUUCUCUUACACAGACAUCACCUUCCAGUGAGACCUUGCUUACCAGUGUUAUAUAAAAUUGCAAUGCCCUCCCAACACAAGCACUAUCCUUCUUACCAAAUUUUUUCCCUUAGACUCAAUAUACUGUGUUAUCACUUGUUUCCUUAUGUUUUGUUUCCCUGUUACUAUAUAAGCUCAUGAGCAAUGAGAGUGGAGACUUGGUUUUAUUUACUCCUCCAUCCCCAGAUAGAACAGUAAGUGCUUUAGGCUCUCAAAAUAUCUGCUGAAUGGAUUGAAUGAUGGUAUAUAAUUCAGCUUUCUUAUAUAGAGUUGGGCUUGCCUCCCCCUUCAGUCUGGUUCUCUGAACUAUGAGACAGCAUUGGAGAUGAAAUAAAUACUUAUCCCUGACUCCCACUGCUAUCAGAUAUUUCCUGUUUUUGCCUUUAUCCUUGGUAGGAACUAUUCCUUUGAUCUUCAUUUAUUCAUUGUGCAAACAUUGACACAGAAUCAGUGGUAUGACUAUGUAUCUAUCGGCACUAGGCACGAGGGUUACUAUUUACUUUCAGAGGUACCUGUUAACUGGCUGUCUCUCAGCUUCAAAGUCAAUGAUAAAUAUAUGUGGAGUUAGUUUAUUUGAUACACUGAAAGAUUUGUAAAUGCUUAAUGUGAAAGACAAUCAUGGAAUAAUUGGUAUUUCCCUAAAGCUGGCAAAAAGUGAGAGCCAUAUACUUCCCUGUUUAAUGAUUUGCCAUAGCAUCAGUGCCAUGAUGAUAUGCAGGAAAGGUCCAGAAUAUUGAGGAUUUAUGUCACAGAUUUUCUUUUGCUCAUUAUUGCAAAAACAAUUUUUUUUUUUCUCCAGGUGGCACAGGUGUACUAUGGUGGCUGUAUGCAAAACAAAAAAGGUCUCCCAAAGAAACUGUUAUUCCUGAACAGCUUCAGAUAGCUGAAGACAAUCUUCGGGCACUCCUCAUCUACGCCAUUUCAGCUACAGUGUUCACCGUGAGUACAGGCUCAGGUGUAUCUUUCAGUUCUGUUUUUAAUAGCAGGUGAUCAUCAAUGAAGCAGAAACUCACCUCUAGCCUUUGCAGUCCUAACCCUGAUUGCCAUUAGAUGAAACUUUUGUCCCACAGUAUACAAAAUGCUUUCAAGUCUGCCGGAGGCUUCCUUAAUUAACGAAUGCUCUUUUGAUCAACAUUUUGCUCUAUCCUGUCUGCUUUUUGAGAGAUUUCCACUUGGAAUUUUUACAUUAUCACUUACUAAGAAUAUAUUUAUUAUAGUCAUAAUAUACUUUCUAAAAACCAAUUCUCUUAAUGGUGUAAUAGUAUGUUGAGAAAUAUAUCACUAUUUACUUGUUCAUGAAUUAUUUUCCCAUUUUUUUCCUUUCAAACCUAUCUUUUAAUGAUGUAUAUUAUAUCAAAAAUAUAGGUGAGAUUCACUGCUCAGGUGUUACAUAGUAAAAUUAUAAAUUAUCAUGUGGUUAAAUAAUCUGUCUUGUAUCUUUAGUUCACUGUUAUCUCCUUUCUGAAGAAAGGGGUGGGGGCAAUCUAUCCAUUUCUAGGAGCAAUCCCAAGCAUUUUAUGAGCAUCAAAAAAAAUAAAUAAAUAAAGCCACCAUAGAACUGUUGUACCAAAAGAUAACUUUGUAAUCAUGAGUUAAGUACAGUUCUGUAUGCGAGCUACUAGGGGUAGGGAUAGGAGGGGAGGGAGGCAAAGGGUGAAUCUGCUGGGACUCCACUUUUAUGGAACUCUUGGUCCAGUAACAGACAUGAGAUACAAAUAAAUAUCUCCCAGACUUUUAGGGUGAUGGCAUAUUGUCCUCUCACCCUUUUUCAGAGUGACAAGAAUAUACCUAUUCAAAUGAAGAGUCUCAUCUUGACUGAUAAAUAAACCCAUUUUGAUGGUAAUGAAGGGUAAAGGGAAAGGUAGAGGAACUCUUGGCUUUAAUAAAUUGAGAAACUUCCUAUGGUUAGCUUUAAAGGACACUUUGUAACCAUAAUACAAUUGAGAACCAUUACAACUUCAAAAAGAGAUCCCAAUUUAAAGUGUUCUUGGGAUUCAGAAAAUGAUACUUCCAGGUUUAGGAUUAAUGAUACUCCCAGGGUUAAACUAAACAUUUCUACCACUUUCCAUUUGUUUCCACUGCAAAAUAGUAACUGGACCUUUCCCUCCCUUCUUCCCAUUCAGGUUAUCUUGUUCCUGAUAAUGCUGGUUAUGCGGAAACGUGUUGCUCUCACCAUCGCCUUGUUCCACGUGGCUGGCAAGGUCUUCAUUCACCUGCCCCUACUGGUCUUCCAGCCCUUUUGGACUUUCUUUGCUCUUGUCUUGUUUUGGGCAUACUGGAUCAUGACACUUCUUUUUCUUGGCACCACUGGUAAGAAGAUGUGUUGCUUCUUUCUCUUAGAGAUAAAUCUAAUUUGCAUUCAAAUAUUCUAAAACAUCAGAUUGAGAUGGGGGUGUAGCUCAGUGAUGGAGCAUUUUCCUUGCCUGUGUCCAGCCCUGGGGAUUCAAUCCCCAGCAAAACACACACACACACACACACACACACAAAAUCAGAGAGAGGACUAUUUGUAAGUUUGCUGUUAAAGGUCCAAUAACCAAUAGCAGUGGUAUAGGUCUUCAGUAAUCUACUUCUUAUUUGUGGUUUUUAGAGCAUACUAGCAGUGUGGGUCUAGACCAGGUAAAGUAUAAAAUUGCAGCUUAGUUUUAAGAUGCUCAAGGAUUUGAAGUGAGUUCCAUACUGGCUUAGCUAUCUGGAUCCAUUCUGAAACAAAUUAAUGAGUGUAGCACCUCUCUAGAGUUGCUUAAAAGCCCAGUUAGUGCCAAAGACCAACUUGCUCUUUGAGAUUUCCAACUUUGGAAAUAUCCUGAAUCUAACUAGGGCUCCUGCAGAUGAUACGGUUCAUAGUUAGACUCUCCGACUUACUGGUAGCUUUAUUUAAUAUCAAAGGCUAAACCUACAAAGAAUUAAUUAUGAGGAGCAGUGUGGGGAUAAUAAACUUGUGUGCAACUUCUCUUUUCAUUCACCACAAGGAAUAUAAUCUUAAUUUCUAAACAGUUAAUAAUUUAGAUCUAUAACUACUAUAAAAGUCCUAGCUCUGAUAACAUUUGAAGUGUUUGAAAAUUCAUGCCUAAAUAACAGAUAAUGUAAUAAAUAACAACUAUAUUCAAAUAGAACAACUUUGAAAAGCUUUAUAUGAUACCUUUGAGGAAAUCAAAAUGCUUAAUUAUGUGUUUAAUUUCACAUAAUUAACCCUUUUAAAGGAUCGUUACUUUUGUCUCUUAAUGAAAUAGCAGUAGAAGCAUGAAGUUUGUGGAUUACGGGUAGGGAUCUAUUGUUGGAAAUGAGAUAAACUUAUAUUUAAUAGCCACAUUUUUUGGUUUGUACUUUAUAUGCCGCCUUUUUCCUUCCUUGACAUUUUCCCAGGCAGUGCUGUUCAGAACGAACAAGGCUUUGUGGAGUUCAGAAUUUCUGGGCCUCUGCAGUACAUGUGGUGGUACCAUGUGGUGGGCCUGAUUUGGAUCAGUGAAUUUAUUCUAGCAUGUCAGCAAAUGACUGUGGCAGGAGCUGUGGUGACAUACUAUUUUACUAGGUGAGAAUUUGUGCUUGGAAAACUUGGGUUCACCUAAGUGCUCAUGUCUGCGGUGGGGAGGAAAAGGGAACAGGGCUACUUUCACUUCUUUAAAAAAAGUAACUGGAAAUGAAUAUGACAGUGUUGUAGCUGAUAAUUCUGGGAGGUAGGAAAGUAGAAGGCUAUUAUUUUAUUUUUUACCCUUUUCUAUAAUUGUCUCUUUAUCAGAAUAGCAGGUCAGGAUAUAAUUUAGUUUAAAAAAAAGUGAACUUUGUAAUAAUACCAAAUGUACUUUUGUUUUAUAUAAAUGUCCACCAAAGGACUUGUAAUUUGUUUGAGUCAGAAGUGUUGUGAGUCCCCUUUGCUGACUUCAGAGCUGAGUAUUAAAGCUAUAAUCUUCACAGUUUUUUAUUAAAAUGAGGUACCAGAUCUAUGUUAAACAUCUUUUUAAAUUCCAUUUUCUUAUUAUAUAAUUAACUCCUUCAGAAUUCAUUAAUAAAAGCUUUGAAAGCAUAGUUUUAUUUAACUUAAAGUCAUAGAGCAUAAGAACCACAUGAAACUAGCAUAGGGAAAUGAAACAUUAAUUUUACGUGAUGUAUCCAUAGCAUUUGCAUUAGGAAAAUAUUACUUUGCCAUUUUGUCAUAAAGCUGGAAUAAGAAUAAUGAACUGACUUUUCACUGCAUUGAGCUUCAAACCAUGCUUGUGUUUUCACCCUGGUCUGAGCCUUGUUUUAAUUAUUUUUUUGGUCAUUAAAAUAGGGAUAAAAGGAACUUGCCAUUUACACCUAUUCUGGCAUCAGUGAAUCGCCUUAUCCGUUAUCACCUGGGUACUGUGGCAAAAGGAUCUUUCAUUAUUACACUAGUCAAAAUUCCACGAAUGAUCCUUAUGUACAUUCACAGUCAGCUGAAAGGAAAGGUAAGGGGAAAAUGUUUUUUCUAUGGGGAUGUGCCGCACUUAACCUCUCCAGUUAAAGCACCCAGCAAUGCUAAAAGUUGUGUGUGACUGUUUUCUUCAGAGUCUUCACACAGUGGAAUCUAGUUCUUCCUCCUUGUUUCCCUUCAUGCACUCUGUAUGCUCUGGCAGAAUUCAUCAAAUCACUGGUCAUCAAGCGCAUCCUGUGCUUCUCUUGUGUUGACUCAUUCACUUUCCUCCUUAGAUCUUCUUCCCUAUCCGUUUUUUUGUUUUUUUUUGGUACCAGAUAUUGAAUUCAGGGGCACUCAACCACUGAGCCACAUCCCCAGCCAUAUUUUGUAUUUUAUUUAGAGACAGGGUCUCACUGAGUUGCUUAGCACCUUGCUUUUGCUGAAGCUGGCUUUGAACUUAUGACCUUCCUGCCUCAGCCUCCUAAGCCACUGGGAUGACAAGUGUACAACACCGUGCCUGGCUCCCAGCCCUUUGAUUUGUUUGUUUGUUUGUUAGUUUGUUUUUGAGAUAGUAUCUUGCUAAAUUGUUUAAGAUAUUGACAAGUUACUGAGGCUGGCUUCGAACUUGGAAUUCUCCUGACUCAGCCUUCCAAGCCACCAGGAUUACAGGUCCUGUUUUUCUUUUUAAUUUUUUUAUGAGGUGUAUAGUGUGAUCCUUUGAUACAUUUAUACAUUGUGUAAUAUGCAUGUCCAUGUGUUCAGCAUAUUUGUCACCUCAUAUGUUUAUUGUGUAGUAAGAACUUUCAAAAUCAUCUCUUCUAGCUGUUUUGAAAUAUCCCAUAUGAUAUUGUUAACUAUAGUCUCCCUGCUAUAUAGUAGAACACUAGGAGCUGGUCCUUCUAUCCAACAGUAACUUUACACCUACUGAUCAACUCUACUAGAAGGAAACAGGAGAUGCCCAUGACAUUGGUUUCUGGGCAAGAAUUUGUUAGAUAAGGCCCCAAAAGCAAAAAUUAACAAAUGGGAUUACCACAAACUACAAAAGCUUCUGCACAGCAAAGGAAACACAAUAGAAUGAAGAGACAGUCUACAGAAUAGAAUGAAAUAUUUGCAAACUAUACAUCUGACAAUGGGUUAAUAUCCAGAAUAUAUAAGGAAUUCCCUGUCAUUAACUGAGAAAAUAGCAUGCAAUUCAACAUAGUUUUGCUCAAAUGCUACCUCUCCCUGGAAACCUUUCCUGAUUCUCUCCAUCUCCCAUGCAAUAUUCAUAUUCCACCCCCCCCCUCUUCAUUUUCCACUGUAACACUUAGUAUUUUUACCAUAUUCUGUUUCUAACCUUAUAUGCUUAGUGUUUUCUUCUCCUGGUAGAUUGUAAGUCCCUGGUAGCUUUCCAUACCUCACUGUAUCAUAUAUGCAAUGAGGACUACAAGAAUGUUGAAUUAAUUAAAAACAAUUCAGCCAUUCUGUUUUCAAGAAGAUAAGGGUAGAUGUGGAGGUUUUGAAGUUAAUUUGUAAUUCUUAAAUUUUAUUUACAUUUAUUUUUCUAACAUUUGAAGUCUUCUAUAUGAUGGUUUGGUUGUUUUAUUUUUUUAAUUAUUUCACUUUUUUCCCUCUGUCCAGGAAAAUGCUUGUGCACGAUGUAUACUGAAGUCUUGCAUUUGUUGCCUUUGGUGUCUUGAAAAGUGCCUAAAUUAUUUAAAUCAGGUAAAAUAUUUUAAAUCUUUCACUUUCAAAAGUAGAUUGUUGUUUCUGCUCCCAAGAUUAAAUGAUUGAGCUUAACUGAAAGAUGUUGUUUUUUUGUGGUAUUAUAUUGUACAUGUUACUUGAUCAAAUAUAGACAUACUUGAAUCCUGUUCUUCUUUUUUACAUUACUAUGUGUUCUUACCAGGUUCAUUAUUAUAUUAAUCUUAAUUUCAUUUAUGAAUAAAAUGUCAUUAAGGUUUUUUUCUGAGACAUUUAUCUCUUAACAAUUCACAUGCUUUUUAAAUAUUAUCUAAGAAUCUUUACUCUGUCAUUCUUGAAUUAUUUUAAAUGUUGUUUGAAAGCUUUAGUUUAGUGUAAAGCUAUUGAGGCAUUUGUUUCUUUUUUGCAAUUAUCUACUAUCAUUCAAAACCAGUGUGUUGUCUGUUGCUCCUUUUUUUUUUUUUUUUGGUUCCAACUGCUAAGCACUGUGAUGUUUACCAGAGAAAUAUUAUCAAAGAAGUGCUGUUUCUAAGGUUGAGUGGAAUUGAUACAUAUGGGACACUUAUAGUUCUUGGGAGAGUAGGUUGACUCUCUGUCAUUCUAUAUUUGAGCAUGUAGGAUUAGCUGUGGAAUACUCCCCUUUCCCUCCCUCCCUGUCUCUCUCUCUCUGUCUCUUUCCCAUUCCCUAAAAAUCAAUUCUAAUGUAUUGAUGCCCUCAUCUAAUAAGCCAAAGACAAAAUUGACUUUCUCACCAUUUACCUCUAAUGAUUGAUUUUCCCACCACUUAGCUCUAGCAUUGCACUUUCUAUUCACUCCAGGAUAGCUGAAAGGAUGCCAAUCCUGGAGCCCUGGUAUUGAGCAUGCCUGGACUUUGCUUUAUUGGGCUGUAUGGUUAAUACAAGAACAUAGGUAUGACAUUUUAUUAGCAAAAUACAUAUUUUCUAUGGAUAAACAAGAGUUUGGAAUCUCAUUUUAAAAUAAUAGUAACACCCAUAACAACCUGAAAAAUUAUUCUUUGAAGUUUGGUUUGAGGCCAAGUUAUCCUUAUCAAAAAGUUGAUAGAUUCACUAAAAAUCAUCAUCACUACAUUUUAUAUCUGUCUUACCCUCAGAGAGGCCAAUUCCUGCCUCCUUGGCUCAGUUCCUACUACCUUUCCCAGGCACCCUUUGCUUUCGCAGUUUCCCAGAUGUGCCUGGAAUGAAUUCCUUCCAACAGCUGAUCAGCUCCUACUGAGCUUUAAUGACUAUGCCUGAGCAACACCUCCAAGAAGCUUUCCCUCAUCACCCAGCCCCUCCACAGCUUCCAAGACACCAGUUCAACCCCAUGAAAAUACUGGGAAAUUAGAAUUAUCUGUUCCUUCUUUAUUGUCACUUUAGACUUUCAUCUCCUUAAAGGCAGGAAUCUUAUUUUUUUAUCUUCCCAGAAGCUAACACAGUUCCUGGUACACAGUUCCUGGUCUUUGUUUUCUGAAUGAAUUAUGAGUUUUACUAGUGAAUAUUUGGUUUCAAAAAGACUAACAGGGUGACACAAAACUACAAAUAAGAAUCUCAAAAGGAGAUAUGCAGUUAUACUGAAGGAAGGAAACGUAACAUCAAGCUAAUCAGUAACCAGAUAGAUAAAAGAAUUUAGAGUUUCCAGCAUAUCUCUAAGCUAAAGGUUAGUCGCUGACUUAGUACUGAAGUCUUAUGAGGCUGGUCUUUCUUGUACCAGUUUUGUCCAUUUUGGAUCUUCAUUUUGUAGGUAUGAUGUUUGAGGUUUGAAAGGAAGCAUUGAAAUAGUAAUCAAACAAUGAUUUAGGGAGAAUUCCGAACUCUUAGUAGUUCUUUUGGGGAACAUGAAAUACUACAGUGUGGGGACUGCUCAUAAGAAAGGUUUCAUUCAAAAUGUGGUCAAUAUAUUAGAAAACUUCCUGCCACAACAGGUUGAGAGCAUAGAAAUGAGUUGCCCAUAGAAUGUUUUAAACCACCUUUCUAUGAAAUGUUUCCCAGCUAGGUGAGCAUCCACCAGCUAACUUUAUUAAGUGUUUGCCGUGUGCCGGGUUCUGUGCCUUAUGCUCCACAUGCAGCAUCUCCCGUUUAGAAUUCUGUUUUGUUUUUGGAAGAUGAGUAAUGAUGAGUUAAUGUCCCUUCAUGUUUCCUCCUGUCCUCUCUUUUGCUGUGUCUUCUGAGGCUUUCAGAAGGCUUGAGCGGGUGAAAAUCCAGACACAUGCAAGGCCUAGUUGAGGUAAUAUCAUGGACGAAACAGGCAGAGAUCUAAGAUAAUGGAGUUGGCUAGAGACCGUGGUUAAUUGGAGAGCUCAUGUUCCCUCUGAGGUAGACAAUCAAUGCACCAGUCUCACAGACUGCGGCAAUGUGAGAAUUUAUAGACAAUUUAUUUCUUUUCUAAUAUUUUUAGAAUUCCAAAAGUCUAUGUUUUGCCUCCUGCUAUUAAAAUGUUGAUAAAAAACAAACUGAGGGCACCAGAGUAAAUAGAUGUUAGGGCUACACAAUAUGUGUUAUCCAGGGGCCACCAGUUCGCUGCCACUGCUUUAGAGAGUUUACAGGAUAGUCGUAGAGAAGAGUGUUGAUAGGCCUUUUGUUGUUUAUAAUAAAGGUGCUAGAUUUUGCAAACACAGAGUGAACUGUGAACUGCUCUUUGUUCUGCAGGUGCAUAAUAUGACACAAAAGUGAUGAUAUAUCUAGUCUAACAGAAUUCACUUUAGGUAGAGAGAUUGUUACAACCAUAAUGUGUUUUUUUCUGGGCAUUGGAUCACGCAGGCCUUGUUUUAUUUUGCCAUUUGUAGAUAGUACCUUCAACAUUGGAGGGUAUCUAUUCUCUCACUUAUGAGCUCUUAAUUUUAUAAAGCUUUUCUCUACAUAGUGUAGAGCAGGAGUUACAGAGAAUGUGUUUUUAGUAGACUGCAUACCUGGUGCUACACUAAAUACUUUAUAAUACAUUAUCAAUUUCCACAACUCUGUGAGGCAGGCAUUAUUUCCUUUAUCAUACAUGGGAAAAUUAAAACAGGCAUCUUGUAACAGAUCACAUGACCUAGAGGUAGAGGAAGUUUCAAAUCCAAGUUUGCAGUUCUUUCCUUUAUGUCACACUGCCUUCCACCUUUAUGCACCUUUAUGUAUACACACACACACACACACACACACAAGUUCAGCAUAGAGAAUAUCCAAACUUUCAUCAAUUUUCAUAUCAAAUUUUCAUGUUUCAAACUGAGACAAGUAAUGAAUUUAAAGAACAUUUAAUUAAGGUUUGUAUUUUAGUUAGCUUUUUCAUCACUGUGACCAAAAGACCUGAUAAGAACCAUUUAGGAAAAGAAAAGUUAAUUUUGGCUCACAAUUUCAGAGGUUCAGUUCAUCAUCAGCUGACUCCAUAGCUCUGGGCACAAGGUGAGGUAGAACAUCAUGGCGGAAGGGUGUAGUAGAAGAGCGCUGGUCAGUUUAUGACAGCUGGGAAGCAGAGAGAGCUCCACUCACCAGAGACAAAAUAUAAACCCCAAAGGCGUGCCACUCCCCCAACCUACUUCCUUUAGCCACACCCUAUCAACUACAGUUACCACCAGUUAAUCCUUAUCAGUGCAUUAAUCCACUGAUCAGGUUACACCUGUAAUCAUCUAAUCAUUUCACCUUUGAAAAUUCUUGCAUUUUCUCACACAUGAGCUUUUGGGAGAAUACCUCAUAUCUAUAAGUGAUAACAUACUUUUGGCAACAUACUUUUAAUUCUCAUGAUCUUUAAAAAGGUCUAAGAACUUUUUUAAAGUCUAAGAAUUUGAACAAAACUUUUAUUAAACCCUUUGGUGUGGGCUUGCUGUCAUACCCUAUUUCAGUCCAUUUGGGCUCCAGUAACAAAAUAUCGUGAACUAAAUAUUUUGUCUACAACAGAAACAUGUUCCUCACAGGUUGAGAAACUGAGAAGUCUAAGAUCAGGGCAGUGGCUGAUUUGGUGCCCUAUGAGACCAAUUUCCUGGUUCAUAUAUUCCACCUUCUGGCUGUGUCCACACAUCGUGGAAGAAACAAGACAGCUCUCUAAGGCCUCUUUUCUGAGGGUGUUAAUCCCAUUGGUUCACCUUUACCUUCCAGUGCCAUCACUUUGAUGAUUAGGUUUCAACUUAUGAAGAGUUUAGGGGAGAGCUCAGGUGUUCAGACCAUAACAUGGCCCUCCAUCCCUGGUUCCAAAUAAGAAAGGAAUGUUUGUAGUUCACUUUCCUCAAUUUAUAAGAAUCCACAUAGGAGUUGCCCAUAUUGUAUUCUCCUUUUCUUACCACUGCUGUCCAACUUUCCCCUCUAAAGGGAGUCAUUAUGUAAGUAUUUUAAACUUUAAGAGAGUUUCUGUGUCCUUCAGUGAUGAAAGAAAAGGUGUGGAAAUUGUGCUCUGGGACAGGUGUCCAAUAGUCUUGAUUAUCUGCAUGGAGACCCUUUGCCUCAACAAUUUUUUCCACAAAACCAUAACUUUUCCUCUAAACUUUGUCAUGCAAAAAUACUACCAGGGGUCACUGGGGAUCAUGCAUUCUUUUUAAAAAGAUUCCUGGAUGAUGGUCAUCCUUUAUCUCACUUCUGGGAUUUGGGUGAUCUCAAGCCUGAGUGCUGCCUGAGAAGAUCUUUGGUGUGGGCUAAAUGUUGAGCUGAUGCUUCUCAGGAGCAGUUUAGCUCAGGUUAAGGAAGGCUGCUGAGAAAAUAGGUGGACUAUCAAAAAAUAGUCUGCAGAAAGCUCAGAGAACAGUUAUCAGGGAAAACCACUCAGAACUUCUUGAGAACCUUAGCCUGAACCCUUUUAGACUAGGAGGUAUAGAAACAGAGAAAUUUCUUUGUCCUGCUUGUGAUCUGUAGCACAUUUUUCUUCCUGAAGAGAUCAUCUUGACUUUUGUGUAUUUCACACAGCUCAUCUUCCUGCCCUGGGAGUAAGUGAAAGAACUAGCAAAAUAAUUACUGACUUUUUUUUCAGUUAGGUGGUGCACAGAAUGGCAGAAUUAAUGCCAAUAUGGUUAAAUUCCUGUAAGAGUAUCCUACCCUGGAACUUGCGGGUAGAGAAAAGGCAUUAUGGAAGCUUCCUUCCUGUCUACAAAUAAAUAGGCUUCUGCUCCAAAAACAGAUAGGAUUCAGCAGGAUGCGGGGGAAAGAAAGAAGCAAAGGGAAGAAUAAUAAUUCUCAGAUGAACUCAGAACCUUUUAUAGUUUAGUUAGAAAGGGUUAGGCCCCCUGCUGAAGUCAGCUGGCCAGAGAUAAGAGGAGAGAGAAUGGGGGUGCCUGUAUCUUCUUUUGCUUCUGUCUCCAGUUUCCAGGAGGCUCUUGGUGAACCUGGAAAGGGUAAACAGCACAAUGAGAAUGGGUUGUUCCUCAUUUGGAGUUUGGUUUAAAUAGGUCAUCCCAUUUCCUUGAGUCUGGACAUAAUGAUACUUUUAAUAUUAGGAAGUAUCUCAGAAUCGAUAUAAAUAGUAAAUAUGAUAGGGUAUUUUCUGCCUGAAAACCUGUUAUUAAUAACUGGUUCAUUAGUCCUAUGGAAAAUAAGGAGUUGACAUCCCUGAUCAUUAAAGAGCUCUGUCAGUUAAAUUGUUAAACUAAAGAAUUACUGUGGAAGAUGCUAAAAGACUGGAUGUUGUGGAGGAAGUUAUUUAAACCUGAAAUGAGCACAUGUGGUUUGUAUUUUUAAAAGGAUAAGAAGGUGGUCCCACUGUAAAUGAGAUUGAUAUUGAUCUUUGGUAGAACAGAGGUCAGCAGAUUUUUCUCUGUGAAGGACCAGAAAGUAAAUACUGUGGCUUUAUGGGCCACAUGGCCUCUCACAUCUGCUCAGUUUUGCCUUUGUAGCCUGAAAGCAAGCAUCAAGAGCAUGUAAACAAAUGAGCGGGCCUGUGAUCUAGGAAAACUGUAUUUACAAAAGCAGUCAGCAGGCCAGAUAUGGCCCGCAGGUGGUGGUUUGACCAUCCCUGCUCCAGAAUAAAUUGGUAAAUGGGUAUUUUUGUGAGUACUUAGGAAACUAGUGAGAGCUGGGAACUGUUCUGUGUUCUUUGAGAAUAGGUCUGGCUAGGGCAGUUCUUCUUCAGCGUUUUUUUUUCAGCAGGGUUACUGUUACACAAGAUCAAAAGUAUAGUUUAUUUUUACAUCACUGAGGCAUUUUGCAGAAUGUUUCAAAAGAAGUUUUUGUACCAGUUGGAAAAAAUGUGGAGCACUGAAGUUUUAUGUAGUUAACUGUUUGUUCCCUCCUAUCUAUAAAAGAAGCACUGGCAGAUGACAAUACAAAGGAGUAAGCAGUGAAUGAAUGCUAACAGAAAAGCUUGAUAGUAUGAUUUCUUAAAAAUAGUUUAUAUGUUAGCUUUUCAAAUAAAAAGACCUAGAAAUGUAAUAUAGUAACAUUCUGAUAGUAAAUUACCCUAAUUUAUACAAUUACACUGUGAUUCUCAAAGAAGGCUAUAAUUUUCUACUGUUCAAUUUCUGAAAAAAAAAAAGUUUAAGGACCACAGUUAGUGACCUGUUCAGUACGGUUCUCUUCACUUGGCUCUGAAAUGUAUUUCAUUUUUCAUCAGCGAAUUUUAUCAUCUAAUGGCAAAUUAAAUUUUUAACAACCAAAACAUCUUCAUACAGGUUCAUAAUAACUAACAAGCAUACAAUUAGAAUACUCAUAAGUUAAAGACUUUGUCUUCCAAGAUUCAGUAUUAAAAGUUUAAUAGGCAGCACAGUAUGAAAUAAACCCUCAAGUCUAGCAGUUUCCCAUCAAUUACAAUAGUUUGCCCAUACUAAUCAUUUAAGUCAGCACUAACCCAAAAAUUCCUCAGGACCAAAAGUUUUAAUCACUAAGUCCAUAUACUCUCUCUUCUGAAGACUCAGAUGGAUUUGAGGUAGUGGUACUUCUUUACAUUUUCCAGAAAUUAGCAAUGCAAUUCUACUUUCAGAAAAUAAAAUGUCUUGCAAUAAAAAUAAGAGUCUGUAACCAGUGGUUCAAAUAGACAAGGGCUACAGAAGCAAGUGUAAUUAAUGAAAGUUUGUCAAUUGGGACUUGGUAUUCUACAAGACAGAAUGCCCAUCUCAAUCUAGCCUAAGCAAGGGAAUGAUAUUAUUAUUAUUAUUAUUGUUAUUAUUAUUACUAUUAUUGUUGUUUUUCAGCAGCAGCAAUAUAUUAGCUUCUAUACUCAAAAAGUCCAGAAAGCUGGCUAGUUUCCCAGCUUUCUGGGGGAUGCAAAUACUGUCACCAGAUUCAAGUACCCAGAUUCUCUGCUCUUGACUUCAGCCUCAGUUUCACACUGUGACCUCCAAUAGCUUUUCCUGUUAGUUGGCAAAACAACUAUGCCCAUUAUACUUCACCCCUUUCAGGCAACCCAUGCCUGUGGAGGUGAAAGGAACCCUCUUUUUCCCAGAAGUCUCAGGGACCAUCUUUUUUACCUCAUUGACUCUGACUACUUAUGUAAUGACAGUCUGACAUUUGGCCAGGUGGGCAGAGCACACUGAUUGGCUCAUAUCAGUGACCACCCAUGCUCUGAGCUGGAGAGGGAGUCAACCCCACUUAGACUCAUCAGGAAGGGCUAUUUUCUCAAAUGAGGUCUGGGGUCCUGUUCCCAGGAUGGAGAGGAGUAUAAAGUGUCAGGCAUGAAAUAGCUGUCUACUGUAGGGCCAUGAGAAGCAAGAGUAUAGAGGAAAGCCACCAAGGAGAAGACGAUGGGUAUUCUGGAUAAAACCACACACUGAUCUGAUGCUCGUACUUACCGCUGCCAUUUAUAAAGCAUCACUGAAAUGGUUUAAGUGUGUCACUGAUAUUCAUAAUCAUGAACCUGAGACAUCUAGGAAAGAUUAAAUUAUGUUUGAUUUACUAAGAUGGGGAAGAGGUUAAUGGAUGUUAGAAAGGUUUGUGUAUGUUUUAAUAAAUAACUUUUUAAAGGGCCGAAACUAAGCUAACUGGAAAGCUCUUUUUAUCACAUCAGGUGUUUUUCCCCAGUGUUUCAUAUUUCUUUGUGCUCAGUCUCAAUUUGUACCUCAUGGAUUUGACUCCAAAGUACUCUUAAAAGCUGUGUUUUAACUAUGCAAGGUUUAUGUCUUUAAAAAGUCAGUUUAUUAUUGAAAUACUGUGUUUUCUUUUGUCCAGAAUGCUUAUACAGCCACAGCUAUCAACAGCACCAACUUCUGCACCUCAGCAAAGGACGCCUUUGUCAUUCUGGUGGAGAACGCUUUGCGAGUGGCUGCCAUCAACACAGUGGGAGACUUCAUGCUAUUCCUAGGCAAGGUAAGACCAAGUGUAUUGUCUGAGUAAACUUUUUACAAAAAUGUGCCUUUUAGUUUAAAAAUUCCCUACCUCCCCCACAAAAAAACUAACCCAACUAAAAGUACUUAAACCAAAGCAUGCACUUACAAAGUCUUUAAUAUGCAUCAGAUACUUUUCUAUGUCCUUUACAUGUAUUAUGUUUAUUUAAUCCUCACAACAAAUUUAUGUUCUAAGUACUGUUAUUCUUGUUGGGGGGACAGAGACACAGUGAGGCUAAGUAUCUUGCCUUACAUAUUUUGUGUGUCACCUUACAUAUUUUAAACAAUAUAGAAUUCAGAAACAGUGGAUUAAGGGUAGCACUCCAUCUGGAGCCCAACUUCCAGGCUUUCAGUCUUCACUCUGUCACUUACUAGCUGUUUGACUUGAGGCAAUGACAUAACCUCUCUGUGCCUCAGUUUGCCCAUUUGUAAAAUUAGGAUGAUAAUAGAGCCCAACUCCUAGAGUUGUGAAGAUUAGACUGGUUCAUACACAUAGAGUGUCUAGGACACUGCUUGACACAUUGUACAUUUUUAGUGAAUUUUAGCAGUUUUCCAUGACUGUUAGCUAUUGCUGUUGUUACUGUAUAUAAACCCUUUUAAAAUUGAACUGUUAGGGAAUAAGGCUUCUACUUUCCUUAUAAGUGUCUAAGAAGAGAAAAUUUAUUCCAUACUAUUAAAAUCUGCAAAAUAAUAAAUAGCAUUCAUUAUAAUUCAAUUUCAUUGUAGCUAUUAUUUCCAACCAUAAAAUAGAAAAUUUUUGAAAAAAAAUGAGGAAAGAAUAAGACUUGCAACAUCUCCACCAUAAUCUGCUGACUCUUACCUUACCAUUUCUGUAUAUCACCUCCAGUGUUACUUCAUGGGCUUUCGUCCUACAGUACAAAAAUCAUAACAUACAUAUCUGUCUGUCCUACCCUUUUUACUACACAGUGUAUCAUAUACAUUUUCUAGCUUGCGUUGAUAAUCUUCCUAGUUCCUCAUUAUCAUUAUGGUCCAUAUUCCAUCAAAUGCUCUUUUUAAACCAUCUCUUACUAAUGAACACUGAGGUCACUCCAGCUACUGCAUUUUUAAAAUUUUUUUUGAAAUAAAAAAAAAUCUUUGGUAUGGAAAACCAAAGCACUGUGUAGUGUGAAGUGAGUAGGAUUGCAGGCAACUUUCCUCUGAAAAGAAGAAGAAAUGACAGAUAAUUAUUUUUGAAAAUUUGUGAUUAAAUUUAUAUUAUAGCCAAUUUGUUCUUAUUGUGUUUUUACGUGGAAGAAAAUUUUUACAGUAAAGAUAGAAUGAAUUAAUCUGAGUUAAGAAUUGGGAACAUCUGACACUGUUACUGUUAUUGUUUAUGUGCUUUCUGUUUAAUUCAGAAAGGCUUCAGAUUCUUUAUUUUUAAACAUAUUUAUAAUCUGUCUCUAGAGCUAAGAAGGAGAUGAAGCAAAAUAGAAUAAAAAACAUGUAUGUACGUGGCAUUUUUUUUUUUUUAAGAGAAAAACCAUUAAGAAGGAAAGGGAGAAUAUUCUAGUAAGUGGCAAUACCAGUGAUGGUGGUGAUUUUCAUAAGCUCUGAUUGAGGCGCUUCCAGCCACUAGGCACUGAGCGAGGAGCUUUAAUGAACGCAGCACUGGCCCUCCCUGUGAGACGGGCUUCAUUUUAUAGCAGAGGAAACCAAAGUUCAGAGACAGAAUUAAAUUGGCCAGAUUUAGAGAACUGGGACAUGGCAGAACCAGAGUCCACUCAGGUUUGUCUGACUUCCGAGAUUAAUCACUGUGUGCUAUAAUUGCCUCAGCAGACAUUAAAUUUGCCCUCAAACCUUCCCCCCAACACUUUUCUUUUUCUUUCUUCUUUUUAGUCAAUAAUUUUGAUAGUGGUAAACUACCCCAGAAAGUAAUUCUAAAUAUUUAAAAAAGGGUAAAAAAAGGUGUUAUAUAUAAUAGUAUAAGAGUGACCAAUUGUAAAUAAUCUGAAGCCUAAUAGUAGGGAAUUGGUUAGGUAUAAUAGUCUGAUGGCUGUUAUUCACCUAUUAAGCCAUGUUUCAUUAUGAGUUUGUAGUAUGAAGAAGAAGUGCCUAUAAUAUAGUAAGUGAAAAAAACUGAGUAAAAUUAUAGUAAGACUAUCACAGUACUGUUUAAAAAUGUGUACAAGGGGCUAGAGUUGUGGCUCACUGGUAGAGCACUCACAUAGCAUGUAUGAGGCAUUGGGUUUGAUUCUCAGCACUGCAUAUAAAUAAAUAAAAAUAAAGGUCCACCAACAACUUAAAAAAAUAAAACCUAAAAGUCUUUAAAAAAGAAAAUGUGUAUAAGGACUGGAGAUAUAGUUCAUACCUAGCAUGCAUGAGGCCCUGGAUUUGAUCCCUAGCAAAACCCUCCCCCCCCAAAAAAAUAGUUAAUUAAUUAAAAUUAAAAUAUGCAUAAGAAAAAUAAUGAAAAUUAAUAUCACAAAUGUUAACAACAACUACCUUUGGAAAUAAGGAUAACUCAAGCCCCUUCCCUUAUUUUACCACAUUGAGUGUGCAUUCUUUUUAUAAUGAAAAAAUAUAGAAGAUAAAAUAUAAUGUUUUAAAGUUGCCUUUGAGUUUUUCAAUAGUCUAUUACUUGUUGGUCAGAAUUUUUCCUAUAGAUUUUUAAUAUCCUUUUAUUCAUUCAACAAUAUUAAGUGUUUACUAGUAAAUGCUAUGGGCUAUUCUGGGUGCCAAUUAUAUAUUAGUCAAUAAAUUUGAUUUAAAACUUGUGGAAAAGGAAAUUAUAUUCUUGCUUUCACUUGGUAUUGUAUUUGAACAUUUUCUGUUAUACUGAAAUUUUUCUAACCAUAGUUGUACAUCUAUUGUUUCAUUUAUUUAAUCUAUCCUCUGGUUUGUUUUGCAGCUAAAAUGUUCCUAAUAUUUUACUAAUAUACACUGCAGUGAAACAUCCUUGCCCACAUCAAUUCUGGCUUCUUUGAAUCAUAAAAUCCUACAGUUGGAAUUAAUUGGAGUUCUUGGCAUGCAUUGCUAAAUUGCUUUCCAGAAAGAUAUAAACAUGAUAUUAAUAACAUCAUUGAAAAGGACUUUAAAAACCAUUAAAGAUUAAUUUUUAUUUAAAAAAAAUCCAAAAAGAAGAAAACUAAAAGGAAAAAAAUACCUUCUGGUUUCUAACAUACUAAGAUAAGAUUAUUUAGUUUUCCCUUUUUUAGGAAUAUACUUCUGAUUAUAGAAUCCAGUAAAUCUUAUGAAAAGAGUUUCUUUUAUUACAGUUGAAUGGCUGCUAGUGUGCAGAAGUAUUUUCUGAGCAGGAAGCCAUAGUGAACAUUAUAAAAGAUAAAUGCCAGGAGCCUCACUAUUGAUACUUACAGCAACUUGAAUGAAUCUUGAGAGAAUUAGGCUAAGUGAAAAAAAAAUCCAAUUCCCAAAGAUUAAUACUGUAUGAUUCCAUUUGUGUAACAUAUUGAAAUGACAACAUUGUGAGAAUGGAUCUGUGUUCGUCCACAAUAGGGAUAGCUGUAAAAGGGCAGAGAGCAGGAUCCCUGUGAUGCUGUGGGUAUUCAAUCUGUAUCUUGACUGUGUCAGCCUCAGUAUUGGUGGUGAUAUUGAAGGGAACUGGGUGAGUCAUACAUGGAAUCACUCUGUUACUUCUUACAGUGGCAGUUGGAUUCACCAUUACCUUAAAACUUAAAAUCCAAUUUUAAAAACUUUAAAAUCCAAAACAGAACAAAAAAGUAAUGUCAUAGGUUCCAUUUCUAUGGAGCACCAAUGAUUUUUAUGGAAGAGUGAAUUAGAUUUAGAAGAAACCAUAGGUCCUCUAGGUUUGCAUAAGAAAAGAAAUUUAUAAGCUCUUAAAUAUUUCUAAAUCCAAAAAUAUAUUGAUAUUUGCCCCCAGUAAAGCUAUCCCUCCAAAAAGACAAAAUGUCAUUUUCUUCUGUGUAAAAGUAUUUUACCUCUAUCUGGUAAAAUCUUUCCUCACAUUAAUUAUACCUUCUAAUUGACAAGUUACUUGACUUGGAUUAAUAAAAAUGAGAAUGUGGCCGGACACGGUGGCACACAUCUGUAAUCACAGCGGCUUAGGAGGCUAAGGCAGAAGGAUUGAGAGUUCAAAGCCAGCCUCAGCAACUUAGUGAGGCACUUACCAACUCAGCAAGAUCCUGUAUCUAAAUAAUUUUUUUUUUAAAGAGAGAGUGAGAGAGAGAGAAUUUUAAUAUUUAUUUUUUAGUAUUUGACGGACACAACAUCUUUGUUUGUAUGUGGUAAUGAGGAUCGAACCCAGGCCGCACGCAUGCCAGGCGAGCGCGCUACCGCUUGAGCCACAUCCCCAGCCCUAAAUAAAAUAUUUUAAAAAGGGGCUGGGGAAGUGGCUCAGUGGUUAAACACCCCUGGGUUCAAUCCCCGAUACCAAAAAAAAAGAGAGAAUAUGAAUUAUUACUUAUAGGUGCUAGUUUAUUGUAAACAAAAUGUUUCAAAAUACAGGUUCCAAGAUGAAAGAAUAUCAUAAAUAUAGGACUUAUGGUGGCAAAAAAAGAAAGGGAUGGAGGGACAAAUAUUGCCAGGCAUUGAGUUAAAUGCUGUUGUAAUCAUGGGAUAUGUAUAUUGUUGUCUCUUUUGAAGAUGGAAAAAUAGGAUCAGAAAGGUUAAAUGAACUUGCUUAAAGUCACAAAGUUAAAGUAAUAACUCAAAUAAUUCAAACCUACAUCUGUAAAACUCUAAAACUAGCAUCCUCUCUCCUUCCUGAUUCUUACACCCUACCCUGUAUUUGAAUCUCUUCUGCUGUAUCCCCAAUAACUUGUCCUCUAUAACAGGAGUACCUCAACUUUUAAAAUCACAUGCCCUAUUAGAUAACGAAUUUGAGCACAAUUCCCCAACACAUUUACCUUUAUUUAUUGGUGACAUGUACACAGCUCCUACUAAUUGGUGCAUUAUAAAGCAUACUAAAAAAGGAAAUUUUAAAUGUAUGAGAAAUAGAAAUAGAAGUUCCAGAUGAUUCUGUUGAAUACAUGUUAGAGCACAUGUACCCCAUCGUGGAGAUCACAGAUCUAGACCAGCAUUUCUUGAGAUAUAUGCUGUGUACCUUAUCAGUGCCUGAGAUAUUUUUCAAAUGCAUUUUGCUGGGCUUUAUUUCACAUUCAAUGAAUCAGACUCUUGGGUUCAGAGUCCAGAAAUCUGCAUUCCUAGCUUCUCUAUAGUUUGAGAACCAUUAUUAUAUCCUGCUUCAAUAAAUGCAUGACAUACAUUUCUUUGACUUUUUUACCUAACCAUCACUGGUUCUUGAAGUUGUUUCUCACAUGACAUAAUAUCCAGGCUUCAAUCUCAAUUUUUGUCUCAUCUACUUUGUUUGAGCCACACCUUCUUCCUAUAGUUGACUUUAGCAUUUCCAAUGUGGUUUGACUUUUAGGAGCAUCAUAAGGGCAUAAAGAACCCCAGCCCUCUAAUAGGGUAGAUAUAUAAAACUUAAAGACAGUAUAAGAAAUAACUUAUUCUAAAAUUGAAACCACAAGAGGGAACGCAAAUGAAUGUAAUUAACCAUCUGUGAAAACCACCCCAGAAAAUAAGCCACUGUAAGAGGUGAUUCAUAGGUAUAUUGCCGUCCCUCCCUGGUGGUCUAGUGGCUAGGAUUCAUAAGUAUAUUGCCAUAAAAAUGGUGGGAGGGGUCUUCCAAAACUUGGGCAAACCCAGAUUUGCCCCAUAAAAGUAUCUGAGAGGGAUUGAUUUAUAGUUGAACCAAUGUAUUUUCUAAUGCAUUAUAACUCAUGGUUGAGAUAACAGUGAAUGAGAGGUGCUUUUAUGUUGAUAAACAGAGGGAAUAUGUAGGAGUUUGCCUGUCCUAAGCACUAGGUAAGGAAAAGUGGCUGUGAGUCUAGAGUACUCCUUCAUUUCCUUUAUUUAGUGUGUGAUGCUAGGGUAAUUAAAGGGCUAAGGAAGUGUGUAUCUAGGAUUCAGUACAAUCCAUUACUAGUAUCCAAGUAUUUGCUAAGUUUUUAUCUAGAAAGAGCAGUGGUUGGCAUUUUAAGUCCUUUAUUGAAUGGAAUCUGUUCUUUUCCCUGCUCUGUGACCUUGCACACAUUGGCUAGAAUCUCUGAGCAUGUUUCACAAUCUACCAAGUGGGAUUGCUGUUUACCAUAAACUAUUAUUAAGUUAUUGGAAAGCUUAACUAAAAUGUAUUUAAAUAACCAUAAAACACUGAAAAUGUGAUGUAUAAAAUGAUGAAAUAUCAUAAUAGAGUUUUCUGACAAUAAACACAUUAGUUAUUUCUCUUAUUUUUCUAGCAUGGGUGUUUUUGGCAACCUUUUCUUCACAAUUCAAAUCUAAACUUCAUAGAAAGUUUUAAAAAUUUGCCACAUAUCUACAUAAAGUAAAAUACAAAACAGAGGAAAUUUUCUAAGAAUAGAGAUGUUUGUUACAGCAUCAUUUAUAUCUUAAAACAAUGUAAAUCUCAAACAAGAAGGAGAAUGAGUAAAUAAAUUUUAAAUCACCCAUAAGGUGAAAUUAUGUAGUGGAGUAUUUAUGAAGCACUUAUAAUGAUGCUAUAAAUAUUAAUGAAGAGCAUUUUGAUUUGUUUUUAUAAUAGGAUUUCAUAUAUGUAAGAAUACCAAGGAAAAAUACAUACCAAUACCAAUGUCAGUAGUUUUUUGCUGAGCGCUAAGAGUAUGUAUAAUUUUUUUAAAUAUGCAUAUAUUUAUCUUAAAAAUUGCCACAGAUUCUAAAGAAGGACCAGCAUAAUAUUUGGAAAAUUGUGUUUUCUUUACCGUAAACCAAAAUCAUUUAAAGUAUGAUUUUUAAAUUUGUAUUCUAUGAUGUAUAUAUAAAUAAAUGUACAACUGUGUAUAUGGGUAUUAUGAAUUAUUUUUUAAAACUUUUUUUUUAAAAGUUUUGUUUUUUAGUUGGACACAAUACCUUUUUUUAUUUUUGUGUGGUGCUAAGGAUCGAACCCAGCACCCUGCACAUAUUAGACGAGUGCUCUACCAUUGAGCCACAACCCCAGCCCCAAAUUACACUUUUUUACCUGAAGUUUGCUCCCAGUGCGCUCUAUCAAUGAGUUACAUUGCCAGCUCUUUUUAUUUUUUGAGAUGGGUUCUCACUAAAUUGCUGAAGCUGACUUCAAACUUGGGAUCCUCCUGCCUCAGCCUCCCAAGUGGCUGGGAUUACAGGCGUGCACCACCAUAUCCAGCUGUACUUCUUAAUCUGAGAUGGCAUGACCCUUUGCAACCAUCCUUUAUAACAGUAAAGAGAAUUUUAAGUUUGCAAGUGAUGAAGAAAUGGUGGUUUUCUACAAUAGAAUAUUAAGUGUGCUCUUUGCUGUCUCUGCUUCAGGUGCUGAUAGUCUGCAGCACAGGUUUGGCUGGGAUUAUGCUGCUCAACUACCAGCAGGAUUACACAGUAUGGGUGCUGCCUCUGAUCAUCGUCUGCCUCUUUGCUUUCCUAGUCGCUCAUUGCUUCCUGUCCAUUUAUGAAAUGGUAGUGGAUGUAUUAUUCUUGUGUUUUGCCAUUGAUACAAAAUACAAUGAUGGGAGUCCUGGCAGAGAAUUCUAUAUGGAUAAAGUGCUGAUGGUAAGUACUUCAAAAAUGCCCUCUGCUGCUGGAGGAACAGAAAUACUAAUAAAAAUAUUUUGCAAAUCAUUCUCCAUAUUUAAUUCCCACUAUAUGCAACAGAAUAAUUCAGAAUUAAAUCCGUAGCACUCACUCAUGAAUGAGACUAUGCAUGAAGAAAUCAGGGAAGAAGUCCUUCCUGGCACAAAGAUCAUUUCAGAUCCACCCAGCUGAGCCAUACUCAUUAGUGGUCCUAAAUACACACUGUCCUAGACUCUGAUGCUACUCUCUGAAGUUAGACAGAUUUGAAUGGACUUUUAAAUUUGCCUUGUAGCCCUUGAAUUAGAACACUGGGCCACUGCUGUUCUAAGUACCUUUUCCUGAAAUGGGGCUUAAGGACAAAAAUGUCUUAUUUGCUAGUACCUGUCCUUCACCAGUCACCACCUUUCGAAAUGCUAUUGCUGUCAACCCUAGUUAAAAGUCAUUGCCCUAAAAAUACUAGUCUAAACUGAGGGCAUUUCUUAAUGAAUACAGACAACUGACUUGUGAUCAAUAUGUUGUUUUGUAUUUUCAUAUUAGUCUACAUCUGAAUCUUUACACAGAUACUUUAUUCAGAUGUUUUUUACAGUUAGGUAACCUCUGUAGAUCCCCUAAACUAAAUUCUGAAUUAAUUCCAUGUUAAAAUGGUUUAAGUACUAUUUUCUUCAGUGUUAAAUGAUACAAGAUUAAAGGUAUUUUUUAAUAAUGAGGUGAAAUAUUCCUUUCUCCAAAAUAGGUAAUAUUAAAAAGAAAAUACUAAAAUAAUAACUUAUUUUCCAAGAGCAUGAUUUGCCCAGUUAAAUUGAAAAUAAGUAUAUUAAUAAAUGAACUAGAUUUGUUUCAAUAGCAAAAAUCCAAAUGCUUUAGCUGACCUAUUUGGUACUAAUUAUCACUUUUACUGAGAAAAUCAUCAACUAAAUUUUGGACAUUUUCCUAAUGCCUAAAUUAAUUCUAACUGGUUGUUUUCAUAAUGGAUGUGAUUUAGGAGCACUGCAUCUCUCUUGUGAUUAAAGCAUUUAGAAAAUGUUGUGUUUUUUUUUUAAGCUACUGAUCAAAAGCAGAGUAAAAAAUAGGUUUUUUUCUGUUCAGUUUUCUCUGUAUGAAUGAUAAUGAUAAGGAUGAGGAAGUGUUCCAUAAACUUUGACAGAAUAGAAAUGUUUCCUUUGGGGCAUACUUCUAUUUUAACUACUUCUGACCACAAGUUCUAGACUCUUGCUUUAGGAAGUGAUGUCAAAACCAGGUAGACAUUUUUUAAGUGUCAUAUUUAUAGUUUAGGUGUUUAAAAAAAUGUAGAUUAUGCUCAGCAGUAUUAUUGCUUUUACCUCCUUGGGUCUUUUAAAAGUGGAGACUUAUGAAAUAAAUUGUUCUUUUUUCAUUUAACCUUAAUAUGGAAAAAAAUAGCGCAAUAUUCUAAGUAUAGAAAAAUAGUCUCUUAAAAAUGUUAGGUGUUUUUUCUUUCCAGAGUAGAACUAAUGCUAACUCCUGGACCCUUGAUGAGAUUGCCACAGUACAUGGAUGGAAAGCAGAUUUUUUUUUUUUUUUAAUUUUUUAUUGUGGGUUGUUCAAAACAUUACAAAUUUCUUGACAUAUCAUAUUCCACACUUUGAUUCAAGUGGGUUAUGAACUCCCACCUUCACCCCAUACACAGAUUGCAGAAUCACAUCAGUUACACAUUGGAAAGCAGAUUUUUACGACAGCAGAUUACAAUCCAUCCCUACAAAUUUAGCAGCUGUCAUGUAUAAUACUAUAUGUUAUCUACUGCUAUACCAAGAUUGAGUCAAAUAUGCAAAUGUUCUUUAGAAUUCAUCUACUGACCAAAAUCUGAAACUAUCUGAACAUUGAUGCCAUGUGGUCCAUAUUUUGCAGGAGUUUGUGGAAAACAGUAGGAAGGCAAUGAAGGAAGCUGGUAAGGGAGGCGUCGCUGAUGCCAGAGAGCUAAAGCCGAUGGUAGGUGGAGAUGAGGAGGCGGCCGCCCUCCGAGAAUUUCACUUUCACUUCUUCUCUAUCUCUGUCUUCACUGACUGCACUUCUUCAGGAGAAGCUUUUGUUAUCUGUAUCACGCAGGAUGUGCUGCUUUUUCUGUUUGUGUGCUUACCCAUCACUUGGAUGGCAGAGUUCUUGUCACAGCUGAGACCACUUUCUGUAAAAGUAAGCUGAAAGGAACAGCAUCUUCUCCAGUGUCAUGGGGCUAGGGGGGACAGUUUUGUCCCUAAGAUGCAACUGCUGUUUCUCUAUUUUUUUUUUUUUAACUGUCAAUUUUAAGUUUUCAUCCAUCUGAACAUUUGGGUGUUCAUUUGAACUGACGGUUUGAUUUUUAUCAUUUUGAAAAGUGGUAGUACCAAUUCCUUUCAACUUGCUAAAAGUUCAUAUUCCUCCUUUUUAUAAAUAAUGUUCUGUUUACAUUGUGGUCUUUUGCCCUUUGCUGAUUUUUUUCUUCUGUUGCCUGGAUUGUACCUUCUUUGUUUCUUAAGCUAUUUUUCUUCCUUUUGUUCUUUCUUUCUUUCUUUCUUUCUUUUUUGGUAGCAAACAAGGCUGUUUCCAUCAACACCCACAUUCCCUCUAAGUAAGACUAUCUGGUCUUCUCCCAGUUUACUUGUGAAAAGAUUGAAUUUCUCUGGCAAUUUUAUACAUAUUCCCACUCUACUCUAAUUUGAAAAAAACAAAUUAAAGUUAAUCAGCAUGCAAAUCCUGAGUUGUUUUUGCUAUAGACAUCCUCACUGUGGCCUAACCACAGAUGUCUCCAGCAGGUAUGUUGUCCUGCUAAUCAGGACAACAGCAAAGAUGCUGCCUACCCUGUGGUGGAAGGGAGGACUCAGGAAAGCUUCUUUCCCCCUGUUUCUGGGUUGUCCUCAUUGCUCAGGAAAUAAAGAUUUCAAGCCUAAAACUUAAAAAGACAUACAUAAAAUCUUAAAAUAUCAAUUUGCUUUUCCCUCCUCUUCUGUCUUUCCAGUGAUUGAGACUUUGAUUAAAGCAUUCUCCAGUAAAGGGAGAAAUAUUUAGAAGCUGAGAUUUAACUAAUUUGGCCACAUCCUGGUAUAUAUUUCCAUAUUAUUCUUUAGUAAAUGAUAGAUGAAUUGUGGUCGACUAAAAUGCAAAUAUCCCUUUUUUUUUAACCCCUAAUUUAUAGGCAAUAAUCCCAAGAGAAUGGCCCAAGUUAUGUGGCAUUCUGCCAGAAACCAAAAAUUUUAGGAAGAGUUGUUUUCCUAAGAGUAUUUUCAGUUUUAAACCAGUGUCUUUUAACCCAACAAUGCAUUUAAAUCUUCUUUCAGUUUUUGUUUUCAUUUUAUGUUGUUCAUCAGUUCAUUGCCUACCAAGGAAUGGCAAAAACCCUCCUCCACUGUGUCCCCAGAUACAUCGUUUCUGUGCAUUGUUCUUUUGAUGCUUCAGACAUUGCAUUAUUUUGGUACCUAAGAGUGAUGUUUUAAGUAGUUUUAAAAUUCCAGAAGAGAGAAAUGUGAAAUGUUGCUCACAAAGUAGGUUUGUUUGUUUGUUUGUUUGUUUGUUUGGGGCCCUGGGGUUUGAACCCAGAGGCACUUAACCACUGAGCCACAUUCCUAGCACUUUUUUUAAUAUUUGAUUUUAAGUUCGAGUCUCACUAAGUUGCUUUUUGAACUUUCAAUUCUGCUGCCUCAGCUUCCUGAGCUACUAGGAUUAUAGGUUUGCACCACCACACCUGACCAGAGUAGCUUUAUUUUUUAAGCAUUAGUACCAUAUCUUUCUUCUCUCUCACACUCAGUAUGCAUGAUUAGGAUUGACCCCUACCAUCACUAUCCCCUUUGUCAUAAAGAAUUAUCAAAGAAACUGCCCCCAAAGUUUGGGGCUUAGUAGACUGUAGAUUUGCUUAUUUGUAUUUGCUCACAUUAUUCUCUUAGAUGAUAAGUUCUGUGGAAGAGUAUCAUGCCUAUUUUGUAAUAUGUCUAGAAACACUUCUGCUGUCUGCCUUCUUCUUGAAUAUGGGGUAUUUUAACUUAGGGUUUAUUUUUAGCCUAUAAGAUAAUGUUCAGGAAAGUGAGGUUUAAAUUUUUCCUUUUGACAGGGGAUCAUUGAACUAACUAGGAGAACUGCCAGUAUUCUUGGAAUUUUUCUUAAAAGAGCCUCACAAGUUCAGAAAGUUUAAAGAUCUAUCAGGUCUUCCUACAGUUCCUUAAAAUUUAUUUUAGAAAAAUUUACCAAACGUGAUGAAGAGGUUUAGGAAAAUCUCGCCGUCUGCUAUUGUAUAGGUUAGAACUUACAGGGAAAAAGGAGGAGGAGACCUGGGCUCUAUAGGGACAUAGGCCAGAAAAGGAUGCUGUGCAUAUCUCCGAGAUGAUCCUAAAGGAAAUGUGACCUUCAACAUUCAUAGGAAUUUCAGCCCCAAGAAUACAGGGGCAGGGAGAAGGAGUCUCAAUCCAUUUUGCUCUUUUACUGUCUGUAACCAUGUGUAUCUGUAACAUCAUUCAUGAUCUCCUUUUAAUGGUAAUUGUCUAAGAUUAUACUCUGUAUGACUUUGUUUUCUAGGCUUCGGGAGCAAGUUCUGCUUGAACCUAGCCGACGGUUAUGGAACCCAUUGACAUUCCAAAACAAUAUAUACACAUAACUAUGUAUUUGUGUGUGUGGGUGUGUGUAUAUAUGUAUAUGUAUGUGUGUAUAUAUAUGUAUAUGUAUAUACACACACACACAUAAUCAGCCAAAAUCAGAGAAAAGGAACAGGGAUUUAAUACCUUUUUUAUGCUUAUUUUUGUCAAACAUGUACUCCUUUCAUACGGGUGGCUUUUACAAGGCAACUUCCGUCAUUUAAUGUUUUCAAUUGUAAUUGUCUUAAUGGAAAUGUUAGAUUCAUAUCUGAUUAACAUUUUUAAUAACUUAGAGGAGAUUUUAACUUUAGUCACUUAAAUUAGAUAAAAUUAUUGUACCAAAUUCUUGUCUAAAGUUUAUUCAGGGGUGAUUUCCCUGACGUGUGUAUAAAAUAAAGAUCUUAUUUUACUGAGGCGUGAGUCCUAGUGCCUAGGACUCAUGUGCUUUCAGAUAAAUAAGCAAUUUCUGCAAUCAGUUUUCCCCAAUCAAAGAAGCCAUGUCAUUUUACUUUUAGAAACAUAACAGGUGGACCCAUUAUGGGAAUUUUCAUAAUAGCUCAUACAUUUGUCAGCCAACAUUAAAAAGUAACCAACUCCUCAGGUAUUUGUAGUUUACCCUAAUGCUUCUAUAAAAGAAAGUAGGAAAAAAGAAAAGGGUAGAUAAUCUUUCUUAUGCAAACUCUUUUCUUACAUUUUGUCUUUUUUUUUUUCCCACAUUUUAGUAACAUCCUCCACACAUUUGUGUGCCUGAUUUGAAAGGAAGCUGGGGCACCCAGCAAGUUUAGCCUUUAAUUUUAUAUGUAUUGAUUUGUAGAUUAACGAAUGCUGGGAGGAAUAAAAAAGGGAUAGAAACCCGGAACAUAAAGCAUUGAAAAUUCCAGUGCUUGGGCUUCUGCUUCAGAGGAAACAGUGGCUUAGGGUUAAACGGCCAUUUUAUUCAAAUGCUUGCUAUAAAAUCUGAAAAAACACUGGCAGGUGCUCCUCUCCUUGGCAAUCCAUUGCGUAUCCAGAGUUCUACAAUGUUUAACUAAAGAAUUGGUUAAUAUUUUGAUCCUCAAGUGUGAAUGUUCUUUAUGUUUGGGAGUGGGCUUGGGGUUUGGGGUUUUUUUUUUUUAAUUCCUGAAGCUUACCAGAUAUGAAUGGCUAAUAUUCCAUUGUUCUGCUUAUUGUAAUGGUGAAUGCUUUAAGAAAAAAAAGUGUAAUUUGCUAAGAAUAAUUCAUGAUCUGUUUAUGCGAUAACUCCUUUUUGUUACAAUUUUUUUAAAAAAGGCUAUUUUUGUUAAUGUAAAGUAAAUAUUUCAGAGCAAAUUUUUUAAACUUAUUGCACUAAAUACAGGCUCUGUACAAAAAAACAAAAACAAAAAAAAAAAAGCCUCAGCAUUUUAUCAUUCCAUGGAAGGAGAAUCUUUUGAAAGAAAGCAUUGCCUCCUAUCAGAAUUAGACAGCGAAGUAGACUGGUAUUAUGGAAAUGCAUACAAUUAAUGUCACUAGGGCUUAAUAAACAGCUGUUUGCUAAUGUGCUUCCUUUCAAAGGGUUGGACCUUUAAAUUGCUGCAAAAGGUAAAUUGUAUUUUUUUUUAAGUAUCUGUGUUCUUUAUCUAGCUAGGCUAAAAUUUGCUAAAUGCCUUGGUUUCUUUUUCAAAGCUCAUGUAACAUUUCUGAUUUUUCAGAAUAUUUGCAAUAAGAAUCUGGAUUUUAAAAAAAACAACUUAUACACACAAUUAAGAGUUCAUGUCUUAGCAAGAUCUGGGAAACCAACAUUAUGAGCGUAGCUAUUUUGAAAAAGUAAUUCUCCAGAAGUUAACAUUUAACAUCUAGUGUCGCCAAACAGUGUCACUGUACUCUUUUAUAUCAUUUGAAAUGGAAUAAAUAUAAUUAUGUAACUAACAACUGUCCAAAUAGGUGAGAGAGCAAAUCAUGUAAGAAAAUUCAGAAUACUGUCUGUUCCAUAGCCACACAGAUUUUGGACAUUCAGAAAAUUGGGAAAUAAAUUUAGAGUUGGCAAAAGUCUGGAAGAUGGGUAUCAAAACGGAAGACAUUUCGGGAGCUAGCUAUUUUCAGAGGUCUUCCUCCAAAGUGACCUGACAGAAGUCUUGAACUUGGAAACUAGGUUCUACUCACUUGGACAUCCCUGCAUCAUGGACUUUUGCUGCCCCCUGUUUCAUGUGCUCCCAAUAUCAGCUAUUUGGAAGCCACCAGGAAUGCUUUCUAAUUAUCAUUUGCAACUAGAACUGUAAUCAGAAAGAAAUUUUGUAUUUUUGUAUAACUUGAUUGUGUGCCAUUUUAUAUAACAGGUCCUGUUUUACAAAUAAAUUUUGUUAUUACUAACAUUGUGUUUAGAAAUUAUGAUCUAUGUGUAACCAUGUCCUUUGAGUUCCAAAUUAAUUUCUAGGCUGUUUUCCCUAAGUAAAUUUGUGUGCCAUAUAAAUAUAUGCAAAUGUGCAUAUAUAUUACACAGGCACACAUAGAGAGAUAUUUGAUAUAUCUCUCACUCUCACAUGUGCUUCAUUCCUUGAUUAAUUUGAUAAAGCCUCCUAGAGGCUUUUCAGCAAUAUUCAAAUGUUUUGCAGUUAUGUUCAGAUAUUUCUGCUGCCUCCUUCAUUCAUUGCAAAUCAUUCUUCAGCUAGCUGUGGGCUGCCUUAUUGCUAUUUGCUCACUGCCUCCAUCUUCUGCCCAAGUGAGAAGAAUAGAUGAAGAUCAGAAAUUAUCUGUGAAAUGUGGAUACCUGAAAAAUUUUAUAAACCAUUGAUUCUAUGUUGUGGUUCAUGUCCUUUUCUGUGAUGGUUCUACAAAACGGUCUAUAGGAGUCCUAUCUCUAGAGUUCUAGUUAGGGUCCCCUAUUGUAAAUGGUAGUACUGUCCAGAGUGUCACUGUGGUUUCUACCAUCAGAUAGUUAAUACUCUGGCAUAUAGUUUAGACCUUCUAGAUUACUUCCUCAAAAAUAAACUAUGCUGUAAUAUAAUAGGGAAGGUAAAAGGUUCAAUUUCAGUGUAAGUCCAAGAAACCCAUCUUCAAUUGGAGGCUUUACCAGUGCAAUAAUUAAAAAAAAAAAGUAAUUUAACAAGGACACUGAGAUUGUAUAAUCUUUGCAUGAAUGAACAGAGUUCAAAGUAGAUUGUUGAUCUAAACCACUUAGUGCAAUUGUUAAUGUUUAAGAUUAAAGUUUUUAUCCUGUCAUACAGGAUAAUUAAGUCCUACGUCACUGGAACUUAAGUAGCUUAACUGUGUGUUGGUCCUAAACUUUUUCCAUAAUGGUUAAGGAGGGGGGACUUAUUGAGUCUAUUUAAAAAUUAUGCUGGAAAUAUGUUUCUUCUUUACAGAAAUGAUCUCUUACUCUUUUCUUCUCCCCCCAUCCCUCCAGUGAAGGGCUUUAAGCCCCUGAUUAUAAGUUCUUCCAACACCAUUGACCUUGGUAUCUGCCAAGGGCUCUCUUGCCUUCCCAAGGCAAUUUCAGAAUUUAACCCAGUAGUAAGCGAUGAGGAGCUAACCCCUUUAUCCUGUUCCUGAGCUCCUUUAACACAGAAUAAUACCUCUCUUUCCCUCUUACUAAAACAACCACAGGAAUUGCGUGCCCCAGAUAUUUGCAAGGCCAUAUAGUACCCCUGAGCCUUCAAACAUUUCCACCAUGCAGACUCACUCACUACUUACUAAAGGCUACUUCAAGAGGUUUCCUAACAUGCAAAGUAGUAUUGUGGGAUUAGUUCCAAAACCAGAGCUGUCAGUUACAGUGAUUGAACAAUUUAUUUUAUGUUGCUUUUGUUCAGAAACCUUAUCAUUUGAAUUGGAGUUUCCAAUAGCCUUAACAUAGCCUCUAAGAAGUUUCCUUCAAAAAAUGUUCACUUCUCAAUAAGUAAGUUUGCUAUCGCUUUCUUUGGCUACUUUGAAAAGAAAAAAAAAAUCUUCAGAGUCUGGAAGCUUAUCAGUGCACCUGACAUGGUUAAUAUUUGUAUUCUUUUUAUGUAUUUCAUCUGACAGAUAGAAAUGCUUACUGAGAGUUAAGAUGUGGUCUGUGAAUAUAUAUUGGAGAAUUGUGGGUUCAUAAGUAAUGCAUAAAGCAGAAAUUUGUGUAUGCUAUAUUCAUAGCACAGAAUCCUUUUGCUUUAAAUGUAUAUUCAUAUAGCUCUGUGUACUAAGAAAUGCGUGUUAGCCCUUUGGAAAAAUAGGCAUUGUUCAUAAACAGUGACUGUUUUGGGAAUUAACUCAUCUUUGUUGAGUGGCACGCCUAAACUUUGAAAAAGCAGAAACCUUGGGUGUAUCAAGAGGAAGUUUAAAGCUAGAAAUCUUUAAAAACAAAACAGAAACUAAUCAUAUUUUAUAUACUAAUAAAUUUAAAAUAGCACACUUUUCCCAUUCAGAUUUCACAAAUUUUAGCCAAAUUAUUAUAUUCCACAUUUUAAUUCAAGAAGACAAUUUUAACCCAAGAUUUAAAUCUUUGAAAAUAUCUUUCUUAUAAAAAAACUUCAAUGUGAAGUUUUUAACAUUGUGAAUUUCUGUAUAAAGCCAUUCUUUUCUAUAAAAAUACUAUAGAGCCCUUUCUUCCUCCCCCUCUUGAUUUUUAUAUGUAUAAAAAUAGACAAAUGAUGAUUCAGUUUCAAUUUUAUGUGAACAACUGCCACUUUUGUAAAUUACAUGGACAGAAUUUAAGUUUGGUAUUUCUAAGGGAAUUCAUUAGAAAAUUUGCUUAAAAGAUAUGAAAUUGUUAGGAACCCAACUAUUAGGCUAUUCUUCAGUUUUGAUGCUUUACAACCUAAAUUAUUUUCUCCAGACCAGAGAACUCAGAAUAAUGAAGCUUUUAGUUGUGUUCUAAUCAAGAUCCAGUCGAACACAUAAAUAUUAAUUUAUAAAUGUUCAGAAUUUUUCCACUUAUAAUUGCUAAGACCUGAAUUCAAUAUUUAAUAUUCAAAAGCAGGUACAUUUGAGGGGCCAUUUGUCCCUUCCAACUUAUGAAAGCUGUGGACUAUCUUUCUCUUAAAUGCACAUAGCACAUCUGUUUUAAAUAUUUUAAAUGCUCAUGAAGCGGCUAGGUGUCCACUAAAGAUCCUUUUAAGAUGAUACUUUUCAUCUCUGGUCUGGAAUCUUUUUAUAACUUAAGAUUUUGUAUAAUUUAAUACCAGAUUUGGAUAGAGAAACUACCCUGAUCUGAAUGAAUAACAAGAUGGUCAACACUGAAUUUUCACAAAUAGUAAGAUGUCUUGCCUUAGACGUGUGAGGGUCUGUGUGUUCUGGGGGUCUUUUUGCAAGAUACCAAAUUUUCAAUGAACAACAAUAGAAAAAAAAAUCCAAGAAGUAAUUAAUAGAAAAUCUUCGUAAUUAUCCAUCUACUUAAACACUUGCUUGUUUUUAUUGUAGCUCAUAUAUGACAUUAUGCGAUAUAGUGUCAUCAGUAUAUCACUGUCUUAAAAUAUAUCUUUAAGUAUCACCCAGAAUAGUUGAAGAUGAUGAAAAAUUAGCAAACUCAAGUGUAUGGAGUACAUACUUGCCAAAAAUUAUGAAUGGAAAAUUGGAGUAGAUGCUGGGAGUAGAAAUUUAAAAUGUGUUUCCCCAGCUUCUCCCACCCCAACUUAAAUCAAGGAGGUGUUUACCCUUUUUUGAUUAUCUUCUCUUUAGAGCAGCCUUGAACCACUGUGCCAGUGGGGCUGGGCCUCCACUCCCCAUGUCCACUCAUCUUCCUUCUCCAGGGAAGCUUGUGGAACUCUCCACAUCCACAACUUACCACUAGGUGAGUGUGCUGCAGCUACAAGGCAGCUCUUCGGGAAGGGCCCUUGAAUGAAGAAGGCAGGAAGCCUUAAGGGAGUUUGAAGUUCUGUUGAGAUCUGAUUCCAGUGGAUCAUGGUUUACAUAUUAGACAUCAGACCACUCCCUACCUUCUUAGGCGGAAGAAAGCAGAGAAAAUUUCCUAACUGGCUGGUUAAAGAAAAAGGAGAAAAUUCAGCUUCCUGUCCCCUACACCUCUAAAAAAGAUGUAAUGAACUUUCAACAACAGCAAAUGGAGAGAUACCACUGGUACAAGUUUCUGUAUGAGACAGAAAAGGGCCAAUGUCCAGCCUAAAUUUGAUAGGUCCUUUUGUCAUAGACAGGUAUGACUUUUAAAGAGAGUAUUCUGACCUUUGUGUAUGAGCCUUAUCCCCAUCCUGCUAGCUGGAGAUGUAGUUUGAUUCAGUUGUUGCUCAAGAACUAUGUGUUAAAUCACUCCAUGUGAGUUAAGAUCAACAUUGAAAAGACUUAGAAUAAAUGGGCAGAUAGAAGGGGUGCCACUAAAAAAAAAAUGUAAGGGACUUCUUUAUUUAUUAUGCUGAUAAUCAUGUCAGGACUUUUUCAUAAAUUGUGUUAGAAUGUGACAAUAAUAGAAUAGCUUUGAAGACUAGUGGUUUGAGAUGGGGACUAUUAUGUAAAUUUCCCCUACCUUGGUACCUGUAUUCUAUGCUCAGAACUUCUUUUUGACCCCUCUUGGUUUUACUAGUUUUGAUUUUUGGAGGUAAAUCAUGUAGGGAAUGUUCUCUUUUUUUCUGCUGGGUUGUCCUAGUAGUACUAGAUUCUGAUGUUUCCUAAUUUCUUUCUUCCCUUACAAGAGUACUGGGAGUUCCAUAACGAAAAGGAGUUUCAAUUUUUACUGUCAGAAUAUUCAUGACUACUUAAUACUCUUCUAAUAGAUCUUGUACCUAAUGAAGUAAAUUCAAGUAGAUUAUUAGCUGAUCUCAUUACAGGAGGAAAAAAACCUUCCUACUAACAAAGGUGAAAGCAAGUAGAAAAGUGUCCAGAGUAUCUAACAGGAUGGCAGGGGCUCAGGAAAAACAACCAAAGACAAAAAAAGCCUUUCUUCUAAAGACCAAAGGCCCAGCUUCCACAUGCUGGUUUGGCAUAGCCUUUCCAAACUUAACUUUAGGACAGAACUCUUAGGAUAAGGCAACCAAAUUUUAAAGACCAGUCAAUAUAAUGGGGACCUGCUACUGCUCUCUCAGGCACUGUGUUUUCACAUCCAGUGUCAAACCUGGCCCAUUGUAUGGGGUAAUAUAAACAGAAAAUGGCACAUCGAGCUCUCCUGAUGUGUAAUCCAGCAUGAGAAGUACAUUGUGGUGCCACAUAUUCCUGAUGCCCUUUUGUUCAUUUGCCCCCCAUCUGCAUCCUAUUUCAGAAUGUCAUAAAUCUUCAUGUCAUGUCCUGUCUUUGUCCAUUACAAACUGGAGGACUGCAGCUAAGCCUUCCAUAAAGUCCACAGUGUGGGAUCAUUUACCUUAGGAUUAUGUGGAUUUUUUUUUCCUUGUUACAGUGUCACUACACUGUAUGCAUGUGGGGAAACAACCAUGUAGGUGCUUGAACAUGCCCCCCACACAGUCAUAGCCCUGGUGUUUGUGACUGUCGUCGUCGACACAGUGCAACUCUACAGAUGGAGCAUUAUGCUCUCAGAGGACUUAAAAAUAUGUAUAUUAAGCAAUUAACUUUCUGGAGUUAUCAAAUCUUGCUGGGAAAUUAACUUCUAAGAGCUCUGAAUUGGAUGGCGUUCCAUCUGGCUUCAGAGUACGAUGAGCUUAUAUGAAAUGGAGCUUUGAAAUGUUUUUCUUGUGCAGAAAUAUGAACUAGAAAAAAAAAGUGCUGAUUUAAUGCUAAGUUUUCUCUGUGUACUGACUCAGUUGCCAGAAUUAUAAUGAAAACUGUAUUUUAGUCUAACAAAUGUAUAGAAUUUUUUAUGUAAUAAAUAAAAUUUUAUAGGAAAGAAUGUCACUGUCUACUGUGUUGUAACACCUCCCCAUGCCCAUAGUGGUGACUGAUAGGAAGUGAUCAUGGUUUCAAAUUAGGUCCGUGUGCUACAAGGAUAUCCAAGAAUUUCCCAGCUAUUCUUUUCUAGCAUCUUCCAGGAUCCAUGGGCUAUGGAAUAUAGACGUACUAAAACCAAUUUGUGAAGUGCAGAGUUCAUUCACUGCACAGCCAGGCUUCAUAGCUGAGGUCUUGAGUGGCCAUAAGAAUGCUAAGGUUGCAACUGAAUUCAGUUAUUUGGCAGAGUAAAAGAUGUCCCCAUGGAAAACAUUGUGCCUGGUGCAGUGCCCUAAACAUGAACUGAAGCCUUGAUUUAUACUGAGUGGGUAUAUACACUGUGGGGUGCUGUCAUUCAGGCAUAGCUGUUUCCCAUUAUAGUCUAAAAAAAUGAUUGUUUAAAAGUAGUUUUUAAGUGAUAUUACAGACUAAGGAAGGGAUGUUCUUCCUAAGUAGAAGACCUGUUGAAAUACCAAUAAACCUCUUCUAAUUUGUUUCGUAGUUUGGAUUUUCCCUGAGAGACUAAUCUACAGAAUGCCCUUCAUUAGCUAAUGUUAUAAUGAUAGCCUUGGUGUUGAUGCCAUCCUGCCAAAGGAGCUGUUAGAGAACACUUGUGAGGAGUCCUCAGACAUGGGAGGUGUUUGAAAUACUGAAUAGUACUAACCAAUCUGGAGCGUUUUUCUUUUUCCUUUUGGGGACAGUUCUGAUUCUGUUUGCAUAAUUUCUCUUAUAUAAUCUUCAAGAGUCUGAAAAUUCUCACAUUUUCCUAAAAGCUAUCCAGAAGUCUUUCUCUCUGUAUGGCUAUGAAAAGUACACUCUGUAGUUAACCUCAGGCUUCCCAAAAUAAAGACAAAUCCAGAGGGUUCAGGAGAUACAAUGCAGGCACCUGCUGACAGGAAGGGACACAUUUGGAGAGAAAUGCAUCAUUAGACAAUGACAUUAUUGUGCAAGUGUCACAGAGUGUAUUUACAAAACUACAAUGGCUUCAGCAUCACUAGCUGAUACAGUCUCAUUGGACCACUUUUGUGUAUAUGGUCCAUUAUAGAUAGAUAGAUUGAUUGAUUGAUUCAGUUGUAGGUGGACACAAUUCCUUUUAUUUUUAUGUGAUGCUGAGGAUGGAACCCAGUGCCACACGUGUGCCAGGCAAGUGCUCUACCACUGAGCUACAGCCCCAGCCCCUAUAUGGUUCUUUAUUGACUGAAAUUUCAUGAGGUGCUUGACUGUACUUGUGCACCCCAGCUCAAUGUAUAAGUAGUGAUUAAAAUUCGAGCUACUUCAAAUAGCUGUACAGCUCAAAGCUUUUAUAGAUGUUGAACAGUUCAGAAAGAAGCCAGUGUCCUAUGAGGCUCUUUGGCUUCUAUCUUAGAUCAGGUUCUGUGAAACUUAACUCAUGGGAUUGUACCAUUUCACAGGGGUUUCUUGUUUGUUUUAGUUUUGGCAAAUGGUAGUGAAACUUAAGAAAUGCUUUGUGAUUUAAGUUUGGUAUUAUGCCUCAUUUGUUAUCCAAAUUCUGGAAAAAAAUAACUUAGGAGUUUCACCGAAGGUUAAAUUUAGGAUUCCAAAAAAAGUAGACCUAGCUAUCAGACCAUUUCAAAAAAUUCAGUAGAAAUCUAAAGCUCUCUAGGUGUUUACAAGCUCCCUGGCCAGGUCCUUCAGACUAGGGAGGCCACCUUAAGGAGGAAUUGCCUUUAAUGUAAGAAGGACGCUUUCAGUCAAGUUCACAUUGCAUCCUCUAACCUCUAAUUCCCAGCUCUUUGUCAGUCCUGGCAAAGAGGAAAUCAAGAAAGAUGCAUAGCUUAAAGUGGUAAAUAAGAGAAAGCAUAAAUAGAAUUUCAAUUGGAGGGACUGGGCAGACAUUAGCAGUAACAUAGGAAUCAAUGACUUGGAAUCACAUUCACAAUAUAGUCAGUAAAAGGGGGGGAUAAAGCAAUAUUUAUAGCAUAUUCUCAUGUAAAAUAAAUGGUAGAUGCUGUGUUUAUCAAUUCUAAAGACCCUAUGUUGAAUAGGUUAAUUGGAAAUUUUGGUUAAGGAAAAGAAUUAUUUUAAGACAUUCACCUAAGAUUAAAUUUAGGAUUCCAGAAAAAGUAGACCUCACUGUUAGACCAUUUCAUAGGCUUUUCAAAAAGUUCAAUAGAAAUCUUAAAGCUCUCUAGGUAUUUAUAAGUUCCCUGAAUUUUCUAAAUCUACAAGAUAUAAUGUUCAUUGACCAAUCUUUGACAUAGUUAUAUCAGUUCCCAUUUUUAUGACUUUUGACUUUGAAGUUGCAUUAAUAAUAUCAAUAAUGUAACCACCCCAAAAUGUAAUAAGGUGAAAUCAAUUUUUAAGAAACGGAUCAAGAAUUUAGAGGUACUUAUGAAGCCCAUUGAUUGUAGACUGCAGGAUUUUUAUAUUUCUUCCCAGUGUUUAUGUUUCUAAUCCAAGAAUAGUAUUUUUAGCAUUUUACCUUUAUUGAAACUUUCAAAAGCAUUCAAUUUUUCAAAGCAUUAGUUUUCACAGAAACUACUGUUUUCCUAUUCACUGUUUUUAUCAGUAUACAUAAUAUUUAAAUAAACCAUUAGAGUAACCACCACACCUGGCAUAACAUGCUGGAAUAAACACAGCUAACUCUUGCCAAGCACGACCCACUGAUGCUGAGAACAGAGUACACAAGGCUUCAAAUAUAGGCUCCUCUCCAGGAACAUUCGGCAUGCAAUAGACAUCAACCAGUACAUUCUACAGAAGGUGGAAGAAUGUCAGUUAAUCUGGCACAAUAAAGUUAGCUAAGGAAAUCACUUUGUUUACAUCAGAAUGAUAAUUAUGAUUAUCUAUAUUGUAAGAUUAUGGGUGACUUGAAUUCGUUUUUUUUUUCUUAUCUAUGUUUAAAAAUUUCUCUAUUGUAUUUGAAUAUGAAAAAAUAAGUGAUAAAGAAGGGAAGAGUUUUUUAAUAAAUGGUAUUUAGGACAAUUGGCUUUCAGCUUGAAAACAAAUCUAAGUCAAACCAAAAUGGAUUAGGGAUUUCUUUUUAAUUAGACAAGGGAAAGAAUGGGGAUGAUUUGAUAAGUUUAGAAGGAUUACAAAAAAUAAUAGAAAUAAUAGACUGUGGGAGUUGAUGAGACCCACAUAUCACAUUUUGUGGAAGGUGUGGUGAGCAAGGCCCCUUUCAGAUGCUUUUCCUAAGCAUGUCCACCUCAGUAGUCACUUCAUUCAAUAAGCAUUUCCUGAGGCUUCUCUGGUCAGGCAGAACUGUAUUCCAGGAGCUCAGCAGUAAAUACUCCCUGAUCUUAAGUAACUCACAGCCUAAUGAGGGAGACAGACAGCAGCAAGAGUUAUGAUGAGAAGUUGAAGGUGCUUUGGGAACACAAGGGAAGGUGUUCAGGUCAUCAGAAGAAGCGAUCUGAGGCUGAGUCUACAAAGAAGAGCAAGCAUUAGCCCAGUGAUGAAAAGACAGUGGGGUGCCUCUGCACAGAGAGAACAGAACAGCAUGGGCAAUCAGCAGCAGGAGGAAAUGCAGGCAGAGCAAAGAAUAUGUGGAUGUGCAGCUAGAAGUAACACGAGAGAGGAUACAGGAGUCUUGCAGGUGUGUGUACAGACCUGAACUGUGAGCUGUGGGAAGCCUCUGACUGGUCCUAAGCAGGGUCAUCUAGUGGUAUGGAGGCUGGAAUGGAGGUAGAAACAGAAGAGGGAGAGUUGGGAAAGGAAGAGGUCUGAAAGGAAGAUGGAGAAGAGGAGAGGUCCAGUGGGAAACCCAGCAGACCUGGUAACCAGAUUUAGGGGGAAAUUGAGAAAUAAAUCAUGGAGGCCCACACUCAAACAGGGCACACCAUCUCUUUGUUGAAAGAAGGGGGCUUGUGCCAGAUGGUCAGCUGCAUCCAGGAUCUGAUUCUCUAAUUCACUGAAUAUUGGAAAGGCUUACAUUUUCUUUUCAAUACCAUCUUUUGCAAAAUUUCUGUAAUAAUACAAAGGAGCCAGUGAGACAAGAGUUGGAGGUCCUCAAAAUAUUUCUCUGCACCAGCAAAAAAAAAAAAAAAAAUUCCAUUCCCUGAUGAAUGAAAUCUACCUAAUUUCUGGUUUUCAGUUGAAAAUUCCUAACCUAACAGUGGCUUAUGUAGCUGCAGACAAACUUGGUCUCAGUGGCUCCAGCUCUUCUCUUCUGCAUUGUUACCUUAACCAUCUGUUUGCUUCUAUGCUAAUAAGAAAUAACAUUCAGUGUUUCAAUAUGUGUGUAUAUAUACAGAUGUAGAUAUAUUUAAACAUGUAAACUUUUUCCAAAAGACAUAUAUUCAAAAAAAUCUAUUAAAAUAAAAAUAUGGGGCCAGGGUUGUGGCUCAGUGGUAAAGCGCUUGCCUAGCAUGCGUGAGGCCCUGGGUUCUGUCCCCAACACCACAUUAAAAAAUAAAUUAAAUAAAGGUAUUGUAUCCAUUUAUAAUUUUAAAAAAAUUUAAACAUCUGAAAGCAAAGAUAUAGGAAGAAGCAAGUAUAUGAGGCUCCAGAACUCCUAUGGUCGCAGUACAUUGAGGUGACCAUAAAUUCUUUGAGCUUCUUAGCAACCUGAAAAGAAAGGAAAAUACCAAGAUUUGUAGAAUUUUAUUCACUAGUAGAAAAAGAUAUAUGCAUUCUUUAAUCUAUUGUGAAAGCAAAAAUAGUCUGCAUAUGGCUUUUGAAUGGGGGUUUGGAGGUGCUGAGCUGGUAAUAUUCUAACAUGUAAUUUUCUGAUGCUUUAAUUGAAUUUCUUAUACAUAUUUUAUCCAAAUCUGACUCAGGACUUAAGUGUAAGUAAAAGAGAAAGGAUUUCUUUGUUUAUUCUAAAGACAUUUAAUGAGCCCUGUAUAACUGAGGGUACAGGAAUGAAAAUCCCAGUCUCUGCCCUCCAAAAAUGUAUAGUCUGUUUAGGAAGGCAAAGGGAUAAGCGGGUGAUUGUAAUAUUUUGCCAGCUGCUGUAACAGAGUUAACUCAGGAGUGACAGGGAGACCCCCCACCCCAAAGUUGCAAGCAGUAAGGAAAUGGGGAUAUAAUAAGUAAAUAAGUCUUUGGGGGAAGGAAGGUAGAGAGUGUUCCAAGCAAAGCAACAGCAUAUGUGAAGAAAAGACACAUCAGUGAGUCUGUACUGAGGAGUGGGUGUGGGAUAUACAAUUGGAGAAGUCAAAAGAGAUCAGAUGUAUUGGGUCUUAUGGACCAUACCGAGGGACUAAAUGUUAUGCUGAAGAAAAAGGAGAUUCAAAAAAAAAAAAAAAAAGGAGAUUCACUGAAGAAUUAUAAGCAAAAGAGUGCUUGAUGAUAUUUGCAGUUUAGGUCAACUUAUGCAGGGAUUCUUUCUUAACCGUGCAGUAAGGGAGUAUAAUGUGGAAUGAGUUUAUUCUGGUUCAGGAAAACCAGGCAGGAAAAGCUUUUUUAUUAUGCCAAAUAAGUGAGGUUGAGGUCUUCAGCUAGGGCACCAGCAACAGAAUGGAGAGAAAAGGAUAUUUGUAAGAGCUAUUAGAAAGGUAGAACCAUCAGAUAAUCAAUUGGUAUAAGGGGCCAAGUGAAAGAUGGGAAUCAAGUAUGAAUCCCCAGGUCCUGAAUUGCAUGCAAUACUGCAUUGAAAGAUCAGUUACUUUUUACCUAGAAAGAACCACGUAAAGAUUGCCAGGCGUGAUGGUGCAUGCCUGUAAUCCCAUGGGCUCAUGAAGCUGAGACAGGAGGAUUGUGAGUUCAAAGUCAGCCUCAGCAAUGGCAAGGUGCUAAGCAACUCAGUGAGGCCCUGUUUCUAAAUAAAAUAUAACACAGGGCUGAGGAUGUGGCUCAGUGGCUGAGUGCCCCUGAAUUCAAUCCCCGGUACCGCCCUCCCCCCAAAAAAGAACCAUGUAAAGUUGAAAAGCCCUGUUUAGUAGAGAUAAAAGAUGCAAAAGCACUGAACUAACAGUUGGCAUAUCUGGAUUCAUCUCGUUUCUCCAGCCCAAUUACAGGUUAUUUGUCCUCUCUGUGCCAAAAUUUCCUCAUCUGAAAGAUGAAAUAUGUUCAGUCCAUGCAGUAGGAUUGUUAUUAUAAUUAAAUGAAGUAAUGCAUAGGAAUAUAUUUUGAAAGCUGUUAAAUGCAACAGAGUUGUUACCUCCUUAUUUCUGAUGCCUAAAGGAGCCAGCAUAGUAUAAGGAAGAAAGCAAGAGAUUGGGAUCAUGAAUAUGGAUUUGAAUCUGUCUCUGCCACUUGCAUAAGAUAGGCAAACUGAGAAAGUCACAAAAAUCUUUCUGAGGUUCAGUACCUUCCUUUGUAAAAUAGGAAUAAUAAUGUCUUAUGGAUAUUUUGUAGAGUCAAGUGAUAAUUUGUUCACCUACUCAAUCAUCACCUAACAGACAUUGAGUAUCUACUAUGUGCUAGAAGCUGAGAAUAUAGGAUUGAACACAACAAGGUAAAGUGUCUUUUUAUAUGUGAAAACUAAUGGUGUGGUGAUGUGGCUAAAAUGACAGAUUAGGAAAUUCAGAAACUUUCUCCUUCCACUAAAGGAAAUGACUAAGCUGUCAAAAACAAUUAAAUCAAUUUUUAUCAAACUCUGGAAUCUAAUGUGUAAAAAAAAACAAAUUUACAACUUGGAGAAUGCUAAAUGAAAAGAGAGAGAGAGAGAGAGAGAGAGAAUCAAAGCAUUUUUAACUUGCCUGUAUGGCAUCCCCAGCUCAGUAGCAGCUGUGGGGACAGUGGCAUGAUACAUGUUUCUGAGGUGACUUCCUGGUGCCAGAGUAACCAGCGUGAACCUUGUUUUCAAAAAAAUUGUGGUUGUUUGUUUUGACCUGUGUGAUGGCUUCCUGAAGGAUCAUCUUGGAGAUUUUUUUUUUCUCUCCCACCUUCUUUAGAACCUUCUUAAAUCUGAAGUAAUUGUUCCAGUGAUGUUUGUCAAAAAUAUUUAAAGGCAAAUAUUAGAUGACGCAACCUGGCGUGAGGAAUAACACAUGCAGCAAGAAACAGAUGAAAAAGCAUGGGCAGAAAGAAGCUAACGAAGGACUUAUAUGGGGGAGUGCGAACUUUGAAAAGUUCCUCUGUUUACAAGGAAAUUCAGAAUGCCACACAUCCAGGGCUAGAUUUGGGGGGCGGGCAGGGUGGACAAAUGAGAAGACCAUGAAUAUUCACCUCUGACUGGUAUUUAGGAUGCAUGAAGGAAGAGAAAGCUAAAGCAGAGUUGUAAGAUGCCUUGCUAAGCAUUAAGUGGUUUUUAUACACAGGGUGGAUCUACAAAGACUGGAAGAAAAAUUUUUUGGUUUGUUUUAUUUUGGCUCUAAGUAUUUAAGAAAAUAUUUCAGAUUACUAGCUGAGAAGAGACUUUGGUGACCAUGCAGACUAAUCUUUAGGGAGAAUACAAUUUUUAUCAAAAAAUAGUUUAUAAAAGUCACUGAAUAAAUAAGCAAAUACAACCCACAGCAAGCAGGGAAAAAAAAAAAAAAUAACAAGUGAAAACCAAGAGCAGCACAAUGUCUUACUGAAUAGAGACUAUCAACAAAGAGGUAGAAAUUCUAAAAAUGGAAUCAAAUAGAAGUUCUGGAGUUGAAAAGUAAGCUGAAAUGAAAAAAAAAAAUUACUAUCAGAGUUCAACAAGGGAUUCAAGCAAGCAGAAUAAAGAAUCACUGAAUAUCCAGGCAUGGUGGUGCCUAGCUACUACUCCAAAGGCUAAGGAAGGAGGAUUGGAAGAUCAAGGACAGCCUGGGAAACUUAGUGAGACCCUGUCUCAAAAUAAAAAUAAAAAGGGUUGGGGGUGUAGCUAAGUGGUGGAGCACUAAGGCUCUGGGUUCAAUUGGAAGGAAGGAAAAUAAUCACUGAAUUGAAAGAUAAGUCAACAGAGACGCUUCAAUUGGAAGAUUUAAAAAAGAAAAGAAUGAAGAAAAACAGAGUCUAGGAGACUUUUGCAACACCAUCAAACAUCCACAUAUACAUAAUGGGAGUCCCAGAGAUAAAGGAGAGAGAGGAAGGGGCGGAAAGAAUGUUUGAAGAAAUAAUGGCAGAAAACUUCUCAACUUUGAUUAAAAAAAAACAUAGGUGUGCACAGAAGCUCAACAGACUCCAUCGAGGAUAGAUAAAGAGAUCCACACCAAGACAGAUUGGAAUUAAUGUAUCAACAAAGACAAAAAUACCAAAUGCAGCAAGAGAGAAGCAACACAUGGCAUACAAGUGAUUCUUAAUAAAAUUAUAUCCUAAUCUUUUAUCAGACACCAUGGAAUCCAUAAGACAGUGAGAUGACAGAAAGUGCUGAAAGAAAAAAAGAAAAGUUAAUCCACAAUUCUUUUUUUUUCUAUUUAUUUUUUAGUUGUAGAUGGACCCAAUACCUUUAUUUUAUUUAUUUAUUUUUAUGUGGUGCUGAGGAUCGAACCCAGGGCCUUACACGUGCUAGGUGAGUGCUCUACUGCUGAGCCACAAAGUCAACCCCCAGUCCACAAUUCUUUAUCCAGAAAAGUAUUCUUCAAAACAAAUGGGAAAUGAAGAUAUUUGCAAAUAAACAAAAGCUGAGAGAGUUUGUUGCUAGCAGACCUGCCCUUGAAUUCUAAAGAACAUUCCUCAGACAUAGAUGAAAGGACACUAAACAGUCACUCUAGCCAUACAGAAAACUGGUAAGGUAACCACAUAGAUAAAUAUAAAACUUAGUAUUGUAUAUAUAUUUUUUUAUCUCUCAUUUUUCUUUCUAUAUGAUUUAAAAGGCAAAUGCAUAAAAUAAUAAUUAUUAAAUCUGAGUUGGCAUACAAAAAGGUGCUCAACAAGAUGUGCUCAACAGAAGGCCACAUUUGCCUUGAGCACCAAAACUCUGAAGCCCAACACUGAGUAGCUGGAUAAGUUCAACAUCUCUCAGCACUUCUGGAGCUGGAGAACUUGAGCAGGGUGCCAGACAUUACAGCAGUCAAGGAAAUGAAGUUGUUGGUGUUGGAAAAGCUAUCAAUCUUUUUAUAGAUCCUGAACUGAAAUCUUAUCAGAAAUUCCAAGUCCAGCUAGUUACUGAAUUGGAGAAAAAAAUCCAGUUGGAAGUAUGUGGGCUUUAUUGCUCAACUAAAUCAAUUUUUAAAAGUUGUGUAAAAAAAUCGCCAAAGGAUCCCAGGAGCCACACCAGAAACCUGUGCACAAUGCAAUCUUGGAUGACUUGGUCUUUCCAAGUGAAGCUGUAGGCAAGAGACUGCACAGGAAACUGGAUGACAACUGGCUUGUUAGUGUUUAUUUGGACAAAAGACAGCAGAAUAAUGUGGAGCAAAAGAAUGAAACUUUUUCCUGUCAAUAACUAGCUCACAGGCAAAGAUGUUAACUUGGAAUUCCCUAAGUUUUGAUUGUUGACAAAAAUGACUGAAGUAUCAUUCACAGUUUAAAGAAACGUACCAUAUAUCAAUUACAGCACAAGGGGGGAGCAUGGGGCUGCAUAAGAACAGUUUUUAUGCAUUACUGAAGCUUAAUUGGUGUCAAACUAGAUUUGUUAUUAAACUAUUAACUGUACCACCAAAGUAACAUUAAGAAAAUAACUGAAAUGUACAUUCAGAGAAGGAAAGGAGAACAUAAAAACAAUAACACUACAAAAUAGAUUAAACACAAGAAGGAAAGAAUUGAGGAAUAAAAAAAGAUAUGACAUAGAAAAUAAAAAGCAAAAUGGCAGAGCAAGUCCUUCCUUGUCAGUAAUUACUUUAAAUGUGAAUGGAUUAAACUCUCCAGUUAAGAGGCAGAAUUGGCAGGAUGUGUUUAAAAUCAUAGUCCAAAUAUAGUGUCUCCAAGGGACUCUGUUUUUUCUAUCCAAAUAGGUUGAAAGAGAAAGGAGGGAAAAGAUAUUUCAUGAAAAUAGUAACCAAAAGGGAUCUGAAGUGUCUAUACAAAUAACUGAAAAACCAGGCCUUAAGGUGAAAAUUGUUACUGGAGAAGAAGGAUGUUUUAUAAUGAUAAAAGAGUGUCCCACUGGGGUUGAAGUUCAGUGGUUGAGCACUUGCCUCACAUAUGGGAGGCACUGGGUCCGAUCCUCAGCACGAUAGAUAGAUAGAUAGAUAGAUAGAUAGAUAGAUAGAUAGAUGAAAUAAAUAUCUUUUUUUUUAAAGAGAGAGAAUUUUUUAAUAUUUAUUUUCUAGUUUUCGGCGGACACAACAUCUUUGUUUGUAUGUGGUGCUGAGGAUCGAACCCCGGGCCACACGCAUGGCAGGCGAGCGCACUACCGCUUGAGCCACAUCCCCAGCCCUGAAAUAAAUAUCUUAUGUCCAUCUACAACUAAAAAAUAUUUUUAAAAAUUAAAAAAAAAAGAGCGCCCCGUCAAUAAUAUAUAGCAAUUACAAACAUAAGUGCACCUAAUAAGGGAGCCCAAAAUAUGUGAAACAGAAACUCAGAAUUAAAGAAAGAUAGAAAAAUCAACAAUAAUAGUUGGGACUUCACUGUGUCAUAUUCAAAAUGGCUAGAACAACUAGACAAAAAGUCAAGAAAAUAGAAAACUUGAACAGCACCAUAACAUAGCUGGAUCUAACAGAUAUCUGUAGAAUAUUCCACCAACAACAUUAUUCCCAAGUGUACAUGGAAUAAUCCCUAGGUUAAACUAUAUAUUAGUCCAUGAAACAAGCUACAGUAUAUUUUAAAAGAUUUGAUCAUCUAAAGUAUAUUCUAAAUCAAAAUGGAAUGAAAUUAGAGAUCAAUAACAAGGAAAUAUGGUAAAUUUAUAAAUUUGUGGCAAUUAAACAAGACUUCUGAAUAAUCACUAGGUUGAAAAAUAAAUCAGGGAAAUAAGAAAAUACUUUUGGAUACAUGAAAACAUAAAUACUACUUAAAUUUAUGAGAUGAAGCUAAGUCAGUACUUAAAGGAAAACUUAUAAGUGUAAAUACCAGCAUUAAAAAAGAAGAGAGCUCUCAAACCACUAACCUAAACUUCCACCUAAGAAACUAGGAAAAGAAAAGGAAACUAAAAGCAAGCAAAAAGAAUAAAAUAAAGAUGAGAAUGGAAACAAAUGAAGAAAUAAAUAAAGGAAUCGAAAGGCAAUUAUUUGAAAAGAUCAACAAAAUUAAUAAACCUUUACCUAGUCUAUCCAAGAAAUAAAAGAAGACUUAAAUUAUUUAAUCAGAAAUUAAAGUAUUAACAUUACUACUGUCUUUGUAGAAAAAAUAUUUUUUUUAAGUUUAUAAGAGAAUUCUAUGAACAAUUGUACCAUAACAAAUUAGAUAAUGUAGAUGGAAUAGACAAAGUCCUAGGACACACACAUACUACAAAAUUGACUCAAGAAGAAACUGAAAUUCUGAAGACUUAAAUAGAUUGAUUUAGUGCUCAAAAACUCCUCCCACAAAAAAAGCACCAGAUGACCUAACUGAUGAAUUACUAAAUGUUUAAAGAAGAAUUAAUACCAUUGUUUUUCAAACUCUUCCCAAAAAUGAAAGAGAAAAGAAUACUUCCUAACUCAUUCUAUAAGACCAACAUUGCCUUAUACCAAAAGCCAAAUUGAGAAGAAAAGAAACUACAGAGCAGUUUUGUUUCUAUGGAGUAGCAAUGAACAAUCUGGAAAAGAAAUGAAGAAAAUUUCAUUUAUAAUACUUUCAAAAGAAUAAAAUACUGAGAAAUAAAUUUAAACAAAUUGGUGCAAAACAUUUACACAGAAACAUGUAAAGCUCCAUAAUAAGUAAAUGGGAAGACAUCUAUGUUUAUGGAUUGGAAAAUGAAUACUAUUAAGAUGGUAGUGCUACCCACAGUGAUCUAUGGAGUCAAUACAAUUCUUUCAAAAUCCCAAUUUUUCUCAGAAGUGAAAACCGUGUGUUUGAAAAUUCAUGUGGAACUUCAAGAGUUUCCAAAUAGUUAAAGGAAUCUUCAAAAGGAAGAAUAUGGUUAGAUCAAAGUGGAUCAAAGACUUAGGCACUAGACCAGAGACCCUGUGCCUAAUAGAAGAAAAAGUAGGCCCAAAUCGUCACCAUGUCGGCCUAGGAUCUGACUUCCUUCACAAAACUACUAAAGCAUGAGAAGUAAAAUCAAGGAUCAAUAAAUGGGAUGGAUUCAGACUAAAAACCUUCUUCUCAGCAAAGAAAACAAUCAAUAAUGUGAAGAGAGAGCGUACAGAAUAGGAGAAAAUCUUUACCACAUGCACCUCAGAUAUAGCAUCAAUCUCCAGGAUAUUAAUCUCCAGAAUUCAAAAAAUUUAACAACAACAAAAAAAAAAAACCCAAUCAAUAAAUGAGCUAAAGAACUGAACAGACACUCCACAGAAGAAGAAAUACAAUCCAUCAACAAAUAUAUGAAAAAAUGUUCAACAUCUUUACAAUUAGAGAAAUGCAAAUCAAAACUAAAAUUUCAUCUCACCCCGGUCAGAAUGGCAAUUACAAACAAUACAAGCAACAAUAAAUGUUGGUGAGGAUGUUGGGGGGAAAGGAGUGUACACUCAUACAUUGCUGGUGGAAAUGUAAAUUGGUGCAAUUAUUAUGGAGAGUGGUAUGGAGAUUCCUCAGAAAACUUGGAAUGGAACCACCAUUUGACCGAGUAUCCCACUUCUCAGUUUAUACCCAAAGGACUUAAAAUCAACACAUUACAGUGAUACAGCCACAUGAAUGUUUAUAGCAGCUCAAUUCACAAUAGUUAAACUAUGGAACCAACUAGGUGCCCUUCAACAGAUGAAUGAAUUUUAAAAAGUUUCAUAUAUAUAUUAUUAUGAAAUAAUAUUAUAUAUAAAAUGAAAUAUUAUUCAGCCUUAAAGAAGAAUGAAAUUAUGGCACUUGCUGGUAAAUGGAUAGAGUUGGAGAAUAUCAUACUAAGAGAAAUAAGCCAAUCCCAAAAACAAAGGCCGAAUGUUCUGAUAAGUGGCUGCUAAUUCACAUUGGAGCAGGGGGCUAGGGAAGAACAGAGUUACUUAGAUUAGGUAGAGAGGAGUGAAGGGAGGAGAGGGGGUAUGGGGUAGGAAAGUUAGUAAAAUGAAUCAGACAUUAUUACCCUAUAUACAUGUAUAACUAGGACCAGUGGAAUUCUACAUCAUGUAUGACCAGAAAAAUGAGAAAUUAUACUCCAUUACAUAUGAUGUAUCAAAGGGAAUUCUACUAUCAUGUACAACUAAUUAAAACAAAUUUUUAAAAAGAAGAAUAUGGUUGGAGAACCAAGGCAUUCUAAUUUCAAAACCUACUACAAGGCUUCAAUAAUCAAUAGAUCAAUAGAUACUGACAUAAAGAUAAACAUUAAAAUUGGUACAGGUGCAAUAGAAUUAAAGUACAGAAAUAAAUCCAUGUGUCUGAUCAAGGAUACUAAGACCAUUCAGUGAGAAAAGAACCGUCUGAAAUUUCAAUAAACAAUGCUUGUUCAACCUGAUAUCUACAAGCAAAAAAAAAAAAAAAAGAAUGUGGACCCCUACCUCACAAAAUACACAAAAAUUAAUCUAAAAUGGAUCAAAUGCCUAAAUACAAAAACUAAAACUACAAAACUCUUAGAAGAACCAUCGGGGUAAAUCUUCAUGACUUUGUAUUUGACCAUGGUUUCUUGGAUAUGACACCAAAAACACAAGCAACAAAAGAAAUAGGUGAAUCAAACUUCAUCAAAAUUAAGAAUCUUUUAGUUUGAAGACAUAAUUAGACAUAUGAAAAGGAAACCCAUAGAAUGGGAGAAAUAUUUGUUCCUCAUCUAUCUAGUAAGAGCCUAGUGUCCAGAAUAUAUAAAGAACUUACCACUUUAACAACAAAAAAGAUAAACAACUCAAAAUGAGCAAAAGUCUUCAAUAGACAUUUUUACAGAGCAGGUUAAAAAAAAUGGCCAGGACAUUUCUUGUAGAAAUAGAUAAAGCAAUCAUGAAAUUCAUAUGGAAAAACAAAAGACCCAGAAUAGCAAAAACAAUUCUAAGCAGGAAGUGUGAAUCAGGUGGCAUAGCGAUACCAGAUCUCAAACUAUAUUACAGAGCAAUAGUAACAAAAACAGCAUGGUACUGGUACCAAAACAGGCGGGUGGACCAAUGGUACAGAAUAGAGGACACAGAAACCAAUCCACAAAACUACAACUUCCUUAUAUUUGAUAAAGGGGCUAAAAGCAUGCAAUGGAGGAAGGAUAGCAUCUUCAACAAAUGGUGCUGGGAAAACUAGAAAUCCAUAUGCAACAAAAUGAAACUGAAUCCCUUUCUCUCGCCAUGCACAAAAGUUAAUUCAAAAUGGAUCAAGGAGCUUGAUAUCAAAUCAGAGACACGGCGUCUGAUAGAAGAAAAAGUUGGNGACAGACAUUAAACAGAGACAUGAGGUGGGAGGGAAAAGGAGAGAAAAGGGAAAUUUCAUGAAAAUGAAAGGAGACCCUCAUUGUUAUACAAAAUUACAUAUAAGAGGUUGUGAGGGGAAUGGGAAAAAAAACAAGGAGAGAAUUAAAUUACAGCAGAUGGGAUAGAGAGAGAAGAUGGGAGGGGAGGGGAAGGGAGGGGGGAUAGUAGAGGAUAGGAAAGGUAGCAGAAUACAACAGUUACUAAUAUGGCAUUAUGUAAAAAUGUGGAUGUGUAACCGAUGUGAUUCUUCAAUCUGUAUACGGGGUAAUAAUGGGAGUUCAUAACCCACUUGAAUCUAAAGUAUGAAAUAUGAGAUGUCAAGAGCUAUGUAAUGUUUUGAACAACCAAUAAAAAUAAAUAAAUAAAUAAAAAUGUCCAGGAAAAACAUGAAAAGAUGCCAAAUGUCAUUAGGUGUUAGGGAAAUUCCAAUCACAACAAUGAAAUACAACAUCACACCCCUAGAAUGGCUAUAAUCAAACAGACAAUAACAAGCUCUGAUGAGAGUGUGGAGAAAUUACCAGUGGAAAUAUAAAGUGUUGUAGCCACUGCGGAAAACCAGUUGGGCAGUUUCUCAAUAAGUUAAACAUGGAAUUACCGUAUGACCCAGCAAAUAUACGCCCAGGUAUACAUAGACCCCAAAUGAUUGAAAACAGAUGUUCAAACAAAAAGCUGUACACAAAUGUCCAUAGUAACAUUUUGCACAAUAAUCAAAAAGUGGGAACAACCUAAUGUCCACCAGCUGAUGAAUGAAAAACUAAAUAUGGUAUCCACAUGAUGAAAUAGUCAGCCAUAAAAAGAAAUUGGUUACUGACACAUGCUACAACAUGAAUGAGCCUUAAAAACUGGUAAGGGAAAUUAUGGUAAAGGAAAGGAGCCAGACACAAAAGGCCACAUUUUGUCUAAUUCCAUGUAUAUGAAAUGUUCAGAAUACAUAAAAUACAUAGAGAAAUCCAGGCUCUCCGGAGAAGGGGAAAUAGAGAAUUACUGCUUAGUUGAUACAGGGUUUCCUUUUGGAGUGAUGGAAAUGUUCUGGAACUAUGGAGUGCUGCUGGUUGCAUGACCUUGUAAAUGAAUUAAAUGCCAAUUUUAAAAUGGCUACACUGAUAAAUUUAAUAUUGUGUGUAUUUCACCACAAUAAAAAUAAAAGCCAGUGAUAUUGCUAGCUACUAUUUUUAAACUGUAUUUUUAAAUCAUUUGAGACAUACAGAAAAGCUGAAAGAAUAGUAUGAAGAAUGUUUAUAUACUCUUCAUUCAGAUUCCCUAAAUAUUAUUAUUUUAUGACAUUUGCUUUAUCAGUUUCUCUCCUUCUCACUCUUCCUCCCCUACCCCCAUGCCACUUCUUUCCUUCCUCCACUUCCCAUGCUCUGCAGACCUUUACAUUUGGACAAUUGUCCCACGAAUGACCUUUAUGUUUGUUAAAGACAAAUUUUGUCCCAGUCAAGGACACCCCUAGCAUCACACAUUACAUUUAGUCCUCAUGUCUCUUCCAUUUCUUUUAAUUUGGAACUGUUGCUCAGUCUUUGUCAUUCAUGACCUUGAUAUUUUUGAAGAGACCACUUCCCUUAUAGAAUGUUCUUCAAUUUGUGUUUGUCCUAAGUUUUCCCAUAAUUAGAUUCGGUUUUGCAUUUUUGCCAAAGACAGCAUAUAAAUCGUGCCCCAUCCUUCCCAGGGCACCAUAUCAGGAGGCACAGGAUAUCAGCUCAUCCAUCAUUGUGAUGUUUAGGUCACUCAUUGGUAAGGGGACCUUCCUGACCUCAACACUGUAAACUCACUACUUCUCACUUUGUAAAUAAAUAGGAAUCUUAUGGGGUGGGUAUCUUACAGAGAGAGAUUUUGAGACUAUGUAGAAGUCCUAUUUCUCAUCAACCUCUCACUCCCUAGCAUUAGCAUGUAUUCAUAUACCUCUUCAAACAACUUUUACUGUAGUUUUGACCAGUGAUUUUCCCAUUCCAUAAUUAUUAAUUCCUACCUGUAUUCAUAAGGAAGAGCUUUCCCUGUUCUCUUAUUAUGUAUUCAUUCACUGAAUAAAUAUUUAUAAAUAAAUAUAGAUAAAUAUUUAUUCGGUGAAUAAAUAAAUAUCAAAGUCUGGAUUCUUUCAUUUUUUUAUUACUGUCAUUUAUUUUUAUGCCCAAUUUGUCUCUGAUUUGACCAAUAAGAGCUCAUUCAUGCUGGCUCCUGUCCUUUUGACCCGUCCUGUAAUUCUCCGAGUGUUCUUAUUUAUUGACACAACCAGAUGUUCCAGGGUCAUCUUGUGCUUUCUGUAACUCAAGACACUCUAAUCAGCCAGGUCUUCAAGGAGUCCUAGUUCCCUUCAGUGAAAAUUGGUAUUUAGAAACCAAGGUCUGGCUUCAUUGUGAAAACAAUUACUAAAAAGACCAAAAACUGACUUUCUACUUGAUGAAACUUUGGAAAACUUCAUUAAAAUGUUUUUGUUUGUUUGUUUGUUUUGUGGCACUGGGGAUUAAGCCUUGGGCCUUGCACAUUGUAGGCAAGUGCUCUACCAGUGAGCUACACACCCAGUCUCCUUGUUUGCUUUGUUCAAUUGAACAGUGUAUGAAAAUAUUGGAAAUAUUGCAAUUUUUCCACAACCUUAUACCAAAUCUGUUUUUAUUUUAUUUUUUUUAAAUCAAUAAUCAAUGUUUUUAUGAACGUUUACCUUCUGUCUUUGUCCAUUUUGUGCUGCUCUAACAUAGUAUCUGACACUGGGUGAUUUAUAAAGAACAGAGAUUUCUUUCUUACAGUGCUAAUGGCUGAGAAGUCCAAAAUCAAGUGUUCUGUAUCUGUUGAGGCCUUUGUGCUGCAUUGUCCCAAAAUCUCUCUCCAUAAGAAGGUGGAAGGGAAAUAGAGGGUGAGAGGAAAUUCAACAGGGGCCAAACUCAUCCUUUUAGUCCCACAAUAACAAAUUCACUCCAGUAAUGACAUUAACCCAUGCAUAGCCUAGUCCCUUUUAAAGGGUUUCACCUCUUAACAUUGUUGCAUUAAGGAUUGUUUCCAACACAUGGGUUUGGGGGAACAUAUUCAAAUUGUAGUUCCUUUCUUCUACUCUUACAUAGAAAUAAACAUUUCUUGCAUAGAAAUAAAAUGUACGUAUAGUUGCAAAUAUAUAUCAGGCCACUUAUGUCUUCCUUCUUUCACUGAUAUGAAAUCCUAAAUAUUUCUCCACAUUGCAGCAGGGCCUCAAUCCUCUUCUCUUACAGGGCUUCCCACAGUUCCACUGAACUGCUGUGCCCUGUGCACCAAGACCUUCCUCCCCCAGUGUUUGGUAGAGGGGCUUGAGAGUUUAGCUGUUGAGAUAGUCCUGAAAAUCAAGCACCUAGGUUUUUGUUUCAGUUGAAUUUGUUCCUUCAGUUAACUUCCCAGAAGUCAAGAUAGAUAUAUUUUUAAAAAGAUGUGACAAUGUUUAUCCCCUUCACCAUAUUUUCUGCCUCAAAUCCUUCACAUUUCUUUCUCUUUCAUGGAUGCCUGGAGCUCCAACAGUGAGUUGGAGCUUUCACUGGUCAUGAUCAAGUAAUAAAACACAGAUACCUGGUAGGUGCCAGACUCCACGCUGUGUGGUGUACAGAUGCAUGAUACGUGCGCUCCUGCACCCACAUUUUACUCCUCAUAACAAAUAUACAAAGAGUUCUUAUCCACUGAAGUUGAGAGGGCAAGGAGAAUUCGCCCUGAGGUCUUUCUUGCUCCAGAGCUUUUGAAGCUGCCCCUCACUCCCACAGCCAGCCAUGUGACGUGUUUGCAUCCCCUAUGUAGGAUAUGCAUCAUCUCCCCUUCCUAAGCAUAAACCUGGUUCUGGGACCUGACCCUAUUUUUUCGUAAUUAUAAAGGGCAAGGCUCAGCUGCUAAACAGACCUGAGAAGAAACAGGGGUGGAACAGUCAUUAAUUGAAGGAUUGCCUGUGGCUCGCUAAUUAAUUUCAACCCAAGGGAGGCCUGUAGCAGAGAAGGCAGACUACAGAUAUGAGUGACAAAAAAAUUCCAAAAUAAUCGUUACCAAAAUAAGACAUGCUUACACCUCUCUCACACUGCCCAAAGGCAACACAUUGUACUAGUUAAUUAAGAACUUGGAUUCCAAACUUAGCAAUAAACCUUAUAAGCUGUAUGACCUUGGGCUCUAGGAUCUCUUGACCUCUGUUUUUCCAUCUAUGUAAUAGAGUAAAAAUAGGAUCUUACUUAAAAGAAUUUUGUGGAAAUUAGCUACAUGAUUCCAUGAAAAGUGCCUAGGGCAAAGCCUGGCACAUAGUAAAUGCACAAUAAAUAUUAACUCUUAUUGUCCUUAGUCUUGAUCAGUUUAAUAUUUAUAUCACCAAUAUGAGUAAAGAAAUGGAAGGAGUGGCCAAGACUACAGGCUAUCUUCAAAUAUCCUCUCAGUUUUUGAUGGUAGAAGUCACCUGAUUUUUAAAUGGAUACAUAGCCACACUGAACAAGUACUACAUUUCCCUUGUAGCUAAGUUGUAACCAUGCAACUCAGUUCUGAUCAGUGGUAUAUAAGAGGAGAUGACAUGUGACUAACAGGAAAUGUCUUUAAAGCCCUUUCCUGGAUUUCCUCCUCCCUGCUGGCUGGGUUUCAGACCGGAGGGCUUGAGGUCCAGCAGCCAUCCUGGAUAAGGAAGUGACCUUGAAAACAGAAAACCCACAUGAUAGAGCAGCAAGAUAGAAGGACACUGUGAUACACUAUAUCAACUCUGGGCUGACCACCUUCAGACUACUUGAAUAAACUUCUGUCUUAUGGUAGCAGCUGUUAUUUAGGAUAUAUCCUGAAUGGGUGAAUAAAAUCCUAACCAAUACCAAAAGAAUAACUUGCUUUUAAGGUGACUUAAUGCUGACUAUAUAAUUCAUUGAAUAACCGAGCUCAGGAGCAAUAGACUAAAUUUGAUAGCAGUUAGGCAGUGGUAAUGUAAGGCACUUCCCAGCAUCCAUAAAAGCAGCCUCUCAAUGGCCAAAUGAGAUGAAUGUGGCUUGGGGAUCUUUUGAACAGAACAAGUCUUAUUAAGGAGAUGGCGGAAUUUCUGUCAUAGGGUAGGAGACAGUAAUAUGUGUCCCACUUCCUCUUACCCUUUCCCCAGAAGCAUCUGACUUCAAGGCAUACUUCAUACAAAUUGACAGUGGGCUGUUUCAGUUCAGGUGAUUUUUAGCUCUGUUCCUAGCAGGGCAUUCAGCAGGAGGAAGGAGAUGACUCUGCCUUACUUUUUGUAGGUCAGUCAGCACCUGGAACAUAAGAAGUGGGAGUGUUGUCAGAGAAAGCCUGGAAAAAACAUCUAUUUGGAAAAGAGACAUCUUGGGAUAGGCAAGAAAUGAUCCCUGAUUUAAGUACCAAAAGGAUGUCAGGGAAAAAGAGUUUCUAUAAUCACGUCCUGCGCCUGUAAAGGGCUCUAAUGUUGCUAAGACAGAUUUCUAUUUCACUAGUCAACGAACAUGGGUUAAUCAUCUGUAACUAUCAGACUGUGGCUGCUAACUGCCCUACCCAAUAUUGCUUCUGCCCUUCUUCCUCCUGAACAUAAUUCAGAUAUCAUUCUGAUUAGUAAAGUGCCCAACUGAAAUACCUUCCCACAGUACCCUGAGGCUUGAGGUGGCCAUGUGACAUAGUGCUGGCCAAUGAGAUGUAAGCUGAAGUACAAUGGGGGUCUCCUAACUAGAAUGCAGAUGUCAUAUUGCAGGAGCACCAAUAAUCUUACCAACAAGAACAAGAGCCAGACACCGAAGAUGGCACAACUAGAAGACAGAAGGAGCGGGACAACUUUGCUCUCUGGACUUGAGCUUGCUGCCUUCUGGACUUGUUAUGUGGGAGAGUAAAUCCCUUCCUUGUUUAACCACCGUAGCAAGAUUUCACUUAAAGGCAGAUGACCCUCAGUUCUAACCCAGACAUUAGGCUUAAGUCCUCGGGGUCGAUAGUGUUUCUGAUGGAGGCUUUCCCUGCUUAUUAGACAGAACGUGAAGAAAACUUCCUCAAAACUGGAAGAGUUGCAAGAUGGACUUAGUUCCAGGGGAGUGAGUGACCUCUGACCACAGAGGAAGGAGUACAGGGACUGGCAGGCACUGUCGCAGCUGGGAUGGUGUGAAGCAGGACUGAGCAGAGUGACAGGCUUUGUUCAGUGAUCUUUUCUUUAAAGUCUUUUCUAAUGCAAAAAAAAAAAAAUUAUAAUGAUCAGAAAGUUAAAAAAAAAAAGACAAAGUAGGUGGACACAGGGGAUACCAAAUUUGGUUCACUGGCCAUAGAGUGGUGUUGGUGGUAUUUGCAUUGAGAUGCAUGAUUUUGUUACAAUUUCUAAAAAUGCAUUUUCCCUCAACCAACCCUCCCCCCAUAACUAAAUUGUGGCAAUUUUAAGUUCCUAAUGGAAUUUUUGUUUGUAUUUCAUCUGUAGUCAUGUAAUUUAUCCUACUUUUUUUACUACUAGGAUUUUUUUUUUAUCUUAGAUUCAUAAAAGUAACAUGGCAGUAAAACAUAGCAGUGUUUUGAUUCUCAGAUACUAAUAGAUUUAUUAUUGUUUUGUGUGUUUACAGCCAUAAUAAUAAGGCACAUUUUCCCAACUGUGUUAUUAAAAUGCUAGUAUCCUAUAAACUAAAUACUAGGGAUUGAUUUAUUGGUGAAAAUUCUGUAAAUAUAUGAAUACUUUUAAUGGGAAAAUGAGAUUAUUUUCCUCUCAUGCUGGAAACCAUAUUCUUUGAUGGGGUAGAUAUAAGAAAGUUUGAACUUUACUGGAUUCCAUGACGGAUCCCUGAUGGUAAUCUCAAACUUGAGACAGCAAGGAUGAGCUGUGUGACCUUGUGGAAGUGUCCAAUGGUGACUGGUAAGAUGUAAAGGCUCAACAGAUGUCUGUUGAAUGAAUGAACAAUGAUUCUCUUUGCAGCCUGGUUAUCUCUGUGUCAAGGCUAUUAGAUGACAAUAAAUACUGUGCAUAGGGAACCAAUUAGGGUUUCUGAAAGUGCUUCACAAUAGAGGAUUCAGGGAGGGUGAAGGGUGAUACUUAAAAUGGAAAUUACACAGAGCCUCACUCCAUGCUUAUUAAAAUCAGAAUCUUUUCAGUUAGGGCGCAGGCUCUGCAUUUUCACAUACACCUCCAUCCCAGAGGCUUCUCCUGUAUAAUAAACCUUGAGCACUCUGGACAUGCAUGCUAGUUAUUGCCAGGGAAGCUUUUGCAAACUGACUGGAAGAAGACUACCACUGGAGAAGGAUUUUUCUUUGAUCCUUGAGUUGGCAGUCGUAGCAAAUGUGCUUGUCUCCGGCGACACCUGCUGGUUGAGAGCAAUAAUUAGCAAACAGUCCUUGAAACUACCCAAGUAUUUUCUCUUUUGGGACCUGCAAUACUCGGGAUAGGAUGAAGCAUUUUAGUGUUUGAAUUCUAACAGUGAUAAUCAAUAUAUCCAAAUAUCCUGAUAUCUGGGGGAAGGUAGGUUUAGGUUUGUAUCUCCUUUUUAUAGCUUUCAAGUAGAAUCAAUGUCUAGUAGAAGAAUAUUGCCCUUCAAUCACCUUACAUGUUUUUAGAACAAAUGUUUCUGUGUCAUGCUUAUUCGAAAAACUACCAACUUUUGGAAUUCCACUGAAAGUAUAUUCUGAAAUUUUCAACUAGGGAAUUUAUUCCUUGUAUUUAUGUUAGGGAGAUAGUUUAAGAAGUCAAUUCUUAUCUCUCGUUGAAGAUUCCAAACAAGAUAAAGAAAAAAAUUUCCAUGGUAUGGUAGCCAUGGAAGUGUGUUUGGUGGGUCACACACGACAUUGGGGAAGGUGGUGACACUUCAUCCUGUUUGGAGAGAGUGGGGUCAAGGAACAAGAUGGGGCAACAGAUGUUACCAGGUAAGACGUUCCCAGAAGAAAGACACUCUCUGUAUUAAGGAGAGGUGUGAAAUAGCAUUUGUGGUACAUCCAGUUGGAAAGGGAUCACCUCCCAAUCAUUUGCUCUUAUGAAGUAUAGGGCUGACAGGUGAGGCUAGGGAGUCAGGCCAAGCCUCACCCGCCUACCAGGAAGAUUCUAUUUUAUCCUAUGGGUGGUGAGUAACCUCAGAAGAGUUUAAAUUUAAGAUUUGCUUUUUACUGAAUUGUUGAUCCCAUUGGAAAUAUCAAUGCCCAAAGUAUACCCCCCCUCAUUUAUCUGACAGUGAUCAAAUCCAAGUGGGUUAGAAUUCCUGACUAAUACUGGGUCUGUUAGUUAAAUAUUUUAUGCAGAUUCAACACAAAAAUCACUAGUCCAUUUGUCAAGUCCCUUAGCAUUCUGGAAAUUAGAUUUGAACUGUGUGCUGGAACAGGGGGUUCUUUUAUGUAGAUAUUUGACAGAGAUGGAUGUCUGUGCCUUUUAUCUUAGAGGUUCUGCCUCCUCUCCUCGUCUUAGCACUGCUACACAAAGCAUUCCCAUCACACAGACCCUAGGAAAACUGAUGUCCUUAUUGGAUCCAAGAAUUUAUUCAGAAACUGAGGUAUAAAAUAGACAAACUCGUAAUUUUCUGCAUAAUUUUGCACCCUUUAAAAAUAAGUGAUAAUGCUGGGUACAGUGGUGCAUGCCUGUGAUCCCAGCGGCUCAGGAGGCUGAGACAGGAGGACUGUGAGUUCAAAACCAGCCUCAGCAAAAUCGAGGCCCUAAGCAACUUAGUGAGACCCUGUCUCUAAAUAAAAUACAAAAUAUGGCUAGGGAUAUGGCUCAGUGGUCGAAUGCCCCUGAGUUCAAUCCUUAUUGUUUUCCACAGCAGAGUGAACUGCUCACUUUGUGAUCAUACACACUCUCAAGACCUGCCCUCAUACAGGAUAGCUAAGUGGUCCCUUUGUCUCUCUCUCCUGCUUAGUCUUCAGCCAUACCAUGCAUAUCCUGGUCUAGUAGGAAAAGCAUGGGAUUCGGAAUCUGAUGGACAUGAAUUUGGAUCUUGCCUGCCCCAUUAUGUUGACAAGUCACUUCUCUCUUUCUUUACCUGGCAAAAGGAACUAAUGAUACCUUCUCUUGAGGAUUGAAUGAGAAAAAUGUGUGUGAAAUCCUGACACCAGUGCCCAACAUGCAUAGUCCUCAAAAAAGGUUAGUUCCUUUCUCUUCUUUUUCUGUUCUUCCCUUGAUGCCAGUGAGUCAUCAAAAGACCCAGAAACACACAGGCUCAGACUGCAACAGUGAUAAGUGGUCACUAGUUCAUGCUGUUCUGUGCUGUCCUGUGGAGCUUACUCCUAGAACAGGUUAAUUAAAUAAAAGCACUCUUCUUACUUACAGAAUUUCUCUCCCAACCCCUCUGUAAAGAUUUUGAGCUCUUUCAGGUAUGGAACCUGACAGUCAUUAACCAAUCUGUCCCCCACCCCACCCCACACAAGAGGACUGUCAAUAUUUGCUCACCAGAUGUGAGCCUCAACGCUGAUGUGAUCCCCAAAGCCAGGAUUUCCUGGCCUAUGGGCUGGGCUGUCCUAUCUGCGCAGAUAAGCAGCUUCUGCCUGACUGGCCCAGCCCCAAAUCAGGAGAGGGCCUCAGCCACUCCUGCCAAGGUCUGACUUUCUUAUUGGCAGAUAUUGCCUAACAGAAUGUGGCUUCUUGCUCAUUAGCUAAGUCAGCAGCCUAAAGGACAUUACUCUCAAAGGUUUGGUCCAAAGUUAAUCUUUGACUUAGAGGGAUAACACUUGGAGGAACAGUCCACUUUGCACAUGGUCUAUUUAUCUACUCUUAAUAGCCUGGAAAUGCCAAAAUGUUGGCAAACUGUGACUGAAAAAAAAAAAAAACUUUGGCAGUAAACAUGACAAUGAAAAUAGAGCCAAGCAACAAAAGACUAAACACAAAAGAAAAAGAUUUACAAGCUGAAGAACCCUAGUGUUAGCACAGACAUGCAGUAGGAAGCUAGGCAAAGCUUUAGUAUUUCUGAAUAGCAGUACCCAAAUAGAAGUACCUGCCCACGGGCGGCUGCAAGACAAAGCUGGUGCCUGAUAUGGGAGGGAAAAAUGAUCAUCCUGAAAUAUUUCCCUGCUUUGUUUGUACUCAGAGAAUUUAAAAGUAUGUCCAAAGUAAUUUUUAUUUUAGUGUUUCAAUAAGCUUCCCAGGGUGGGAAAGGGAUUGUGCCUUCAUUGUAAUUUUUACAAAGAGAAUAUCUUGCAGGAAAUACACAUCAGGAGAAAAAGCCUUGGGGUAGAUCACAUGUCUCAGUCUGGGAUUUAGAAGGAUUGAACAUCUUGCACUCUGGGAAGCUUCUCGUUUGCUUUGGAACACAUGACUUACAGGUCAUGUGUUCCAAAUUUGCAUAAUGUUCUAAAGACUUACUAUAAAAUGGUACUCUCUAAAUCAAAAUGGUUUGGGGCAAAGCCUAAUCUCAGUGUCCUAUUUGUAGUAUGCCCAAAAGUAAACAUUUUAUUUCUUUUAAACUCUUAGAGUGACAUCACCAACCUGAAUGAAGAAAAAAAUUCAAUUUUUUAAAAAUUUUGGCCUGAUAUUCAAUGCCAAACCAGUUUAUGGGUCAGAUAUCCAAGUUACCCAAAUUCAAAACUUCAGUCUGAUGCAGCCCUUUCUUUUCCCCAGUCGUCUCCCAGCCCCAAUAAGGAGCAAAGGUAGAUUUAUGUCAAGCCUUGUAUAAGAUAUGGUAGGUACUUAACAAAAGUUUGAUUUUGAAUGGUCAAAGAAAACAUGGGAUAGAAGGGAAGUGGGAGCGAUGGAGAGUUUGAACUCAAAUAUUCAAAUCUAUCCCAAUAUUAGCAUUAGCUUAAUGUUAACAGCUCCUUUAAAAGUCAUUUGGUGGGCUAGGGUUGUUGCUCAAUGGUAGGAGUGCUUGCCUGGCAUGUAGGAGGCACUGGGUUUGAUUCUUAGCACUGCAUAUAAAUAAAGAAAAUAAAGGCCGUUUGACAACUAGAAAAUAUAAAUACUUUUUAAAAAAAAAAAAAGUCAUUUGGCACUCCUGUUCUUUACCCAGAAACUGUUUAGAAAUUAGUGAUGUGAUUUUGCUACAAAUCAGAGUAUUUUUCCUAGUUAAACAACCCAAGUGUCCAAGAAUAGGAAACUGGAUGAAUAAGUUGUGUUCCAUCUACACCAGCUUUUUCCAUCUCAGCAGAUAGUACCACUGUUGAACAAACUGCUCAAACUGGAAACCUAGAUUUAUUCUUAAAUUUAUCCCUGUCUUUUUCAACAUGUCAUUCCAAGUCUUAUCAUUCUCCAAAGUAUACAGGAAGAUACAGAUGUAUUAAAGUGGGCAUUAAAUGCCACCAAGCCUAAAAGACCACAUAUAAAGAAGGUAUUACUAAUUGUAAGGGUUCGCUUACUGGGGAUACAGAAGGAAACACGUUGUCCAAGUAGCCAGGUAAGUGAGAGUUGACUCCACCAAAUUCAUGGUAGGUUAAAUUGAACUGAGAGCCAUAGAGAAACAUGGACCAGGAGGAAAAAGAAAACAAUGAUAUCGGUUCACAUAUAUUCAACAUAUGUGCAAUACUGCAUGGAUGACUUAAGAUUAUUUUUCACAUUUAAUGUUAAUGAGCUGCAAUCAGUGCCCACCUCUAGAUCCUGAACAGUAGGAUCCCUGCUCUUGUCCUCUUCUUUCCAAUCUCCUUCCAUGGGCAAGAAGAGAUAUCUUGAGAAUGGGACCCAAGUCUAAAUAUAAAAUUCAUUUAUGAAUUAUACACAUAGCUAAUUAUACACAUGGGGUUAGGGAAUGUGCCCACAUUCCAAGAUCACAUUCAAGAAGCCCGGGAUCCUAGAAUUUCCCUCUCCCCCAGACAAGGCAUGAUUGGGUCUCUUAGGAACUUCCUCCUGAGCGGAUUCUAGCUGUGGCUAUGGUAGGUGAUGUGGAUAAAGCAUGGAUCUGAGGGCUCAGGUGUCCACAAGUGAGACCCCUCACCGUGUGGGCUAGAGCAAGGGGUGAGGAGAGAAUAGGAGUGGGUUCUUCUAUUUUUCCUCUUAUCUCAGAGCCCAUAAAUAUUAGCAGCAAUCUUGAUGCAGUGUCCACUGCUAACUAUUAGGACUAACCAACUUCCCCCACUCCAAUGUAAGAUACCACUCCUUUAUAUCUUGAGUUAUCCAUUAUGUCUACCCUGAUUCAUUCCCCCAUCAUCUCAUUUGGAUUAUUGCAGUAUUCACCUAACUAGUCUCCCCACCACCACCACUCUUGCCUCUCACUCCAUUCUCCAACACAUAAUAGGUGAGUGAGCUUUUUAAACCAUCAUUCAUUAUGUUACUCCCACAGAUUAAAAUAUAAUACACCUUACGAGAGCACAGAAGGCCUUCAGCUUCACCUCUCCCAACCUCACCAUGGUAGCCACAGUAACCAUCUUUUAGUUUCAAUACUAAGAAUUUUUCUACCUGAGGUCUUUCAAAUAUGCUGCAUCCUCUGUCUAGAAUGUUCUUCCAGUUCUUCAUUCUUGAAGUCCAGAUUUCCUCUUUUCCCUCAGACCUUCUGCAACCAACUUGUAUAUCCCUGUUAUUUUCUCUCAUAGUAUCCUGUUUUCUUCAUGGUGUUUAAUAGAAAUUUAUGCUUAUGUAUUUUUCCCUGUUUAUUUAUAUAAUGCCUAUUUCCCCCAUCAUAUUGUAAACACCAUGUUCAACAAUGAAUAAAUCAGAGCUUAGUACUGUGCACUGCAUCAUUUUUGUGUGUGUAUUAACUAAUCUAGAUAACAAGUACUGGAGCUGGGGAUGUAGCUCAGUGGUAGAGUGAUCACCUAACACUCAAAGCCCUGGGUUCAACCCCCAGUAGUGAAAGAAAAUAUUCAAUCUAUAUAAUGAAAUAUGAUUUAGUCAAUAAAUAAUGCUUUCAAUUAUCAUAACUGACAAAAAGUUAUAUGUGAUAUAAUUUCAAGUGAAAAGGCAUGUUCUAGUAAUAUAAUCCAACUUUUGUUUUAAAAUGUCAAUAUAAACUAGGUAUGGUGGUGCACACCUAUAAUCCCAGAUACUUGGGAGACUGAGGCAAGAGGAUCACAAGUUCAAGACCAGCCUGGGCAACUUAGUGAGAACCUGUUUCAAAAUAAAAUAAAAAGGGCAGAGGGUGUAGCUCUGUGGUGGAGCACUUGCCUAGCAUGUAGAAGGCCCUUGGUUCAAUCCCCAGUACAAAACAAAGUCAACGUAUACUCUCUAUGUUGUAAAAUAUCUUCAGGGUGUUAAAGUAGUUAUCUGGGUUGGGAAACUGUGACUGUAGUUUGUUUUCUUAUUUUUGCUUAUCUUUUAAAAUACUAAUAACACAUUACUUUUGUAAUCACACAUUUUAAUUUUAAAACUAAGUAGAUUAAUAUCUACCUAAACAAUAACUAUCAAAAUAGGCUCCUUUUUGUUGGAAGCAGUCUAGAUGUCCAACAUUAAGGGACUAUUGAGUCAAGGUCUGGCACAUCCAUUCGAUACAGUGUCGUACAGUCAUUAAAAAUCACUAUGAAGAGUGCAAUAGCAUGAAAAAUUCUAACAAUAUUAUAUUAACUUAAAAAUAAAAUGGGAUGAAAUAAAAAUAAUUUUCAAAUGAUGUUAUUGCAAUGAUAGGAUUAUGGCAAUUAUCUUUGUUUGCCAACUUCCUGUAAAACCACUUUCUAUAAUGAAAGAAAAUUACUUUAAAAAUGAAUAUGGGGGCUGGGGAUGUGGCUCAAGUGGUAGCACGCUCGCCUGGCAUGCGUGCGGCCCGGGUUUGAUCCUCAGCACCACAUACAAAACAAACAUGUUGUGUCCGGCGAUAACUAAAAAAUAAAUAUUAAAAUUCUCUCUCUCUCUCCCCUCUCUCACUGUCAAAAAAAAAUGAAUAUGGGCUUGAUCGAUUUACAUAUGAUCUUGCUGUAUUAAAUACUAUUUUUUAACAUGAAUAUUUGUAUAAUUUAGCCUUUCUAUAUAUUUUGCUUCAAAAUAAAAUCUCCGUGGGAUAUGUAAUGUGUCACUAAUUCCACAAGGUGGCAAUGUGAGAGUUACUAAACAUCUUUGGACAAUUUGCUGGUGUUACCCAGUGCAUUGCAUUAUUCCUAACAGUGUUUGGUUUUUGGUUUGAUCUUUGGUAUAAGUUGACACUGGCACUCACUUUAGGUUACAAGAAUGUAACAUAUUUUAUAGCUCUUGUUUUGACAUUACUUAAAAAUAAUCCCCCUGACCACACAUUUUCAGUUCCUCACUACUUCUUUGCUUCUUAAAUCUUUUUCCACUUUAAAAACUAACAAUAAUCAAAUAAUACCAACUGCUGUUUCUUGAAUGCCUUUUAACAGUGAGUCAUCAUGCAGAGUUUUUUGUAUACAUUACAUCAUGUACUCUUGCAGAUCAGGUAUUACUCUUUCCAUUUUGUGGAUGAGAAAAGAGGCUAGAGAAGAUUGGUAAUUUGUCAAAGUCAUAUUUAUUAUCUGCCACAGCCCAAUUCAAACUCAAUCUUCUUACACGAAUUAUUAUAUGGAUAGAUUAAAAAGUAAGUAAAGAAAUGAAUAAGUAAAUAAAAUGACUAUACAUAAAUAAAUGUACCGUGCAUGUUUGAGUUUGUCAGGAUGAACCCAAUUAAUGUGUAUAACCAUAAAGAUCUAAUAUAAAUAAAUAAAUGGAUGGAUGGAUUUAGAAAAUCACUUAGCUCAUUAUGGAUAAUAAAAAUUACCAAUCACAACACUAAAGUUAAAAAUACAACCAAGGCAGAUGUGGUGACAAACACCUAUAAUCCCAGUGGCUCAUGAGGCUGAGGCAGGAGAAAUGCAAACUCAAAGCCAGCCUUAGCAAUUGAGCAAAACCCUUAGCAAUUUAGCAAGACCCUGUCUCGAAAGAAAGAAAGAAUGAGAGAGACAGAGAGAGAAAGAAAGAAACUAUAGCCCAAAAUAUACAUGUAAAAAAAUAGUCAUAUUCUUUUUUUAAUUUUUUUAGCUGUAGUUGGACACAGUACCUUUAUUUCAUUUAUUGAUUUUUAUGUGAUGCUAAGGAUCGAACCCAAUGCCUCGCACAUGCUAGGCAAGCGCCCUACCAAUGAGCUAUAACCCCAGCCCCCCCAAAAUAGUCGUAUUCUUAUAAUCGCCAAAUAAUAACUAUUUUCAUGCUCUGUCAUAAUUUCUUCAUAUGUGUAUCUGCCUAGUAUAUCUUGCUUAAUUCAGGUAAUGCUAAACAUAAAAAGUUAGAGGAAAUAAAAUAUAUUAACAAUUUUCAAUCUUCUGUUUCCUUAAUAAAUCUAAUAUGUGAGAGAUUCCUCGUGUUUUUAUUAAGAGUUCUUUGAAAGCAGGACUCAUAGAUUUAUAAUAUUUUUCAUUAAAAUGUUCUUUAUUUUAUUCAAUCAUUCUCCUAUAAUUGAAUUUAGCAAUUUUCUCAAAAAAUUAAGGGGUUGUUGAUAUUGCUACAGUGAUUAUCCUUGUGUAGAAAUCUUUGUUUAUCUCAGCACCUCUUUUUGUUAAGUGUACGUUCCUGGAAUCUCAAUGACUUAUUGGGUAAAAAGAAAUUGACUUUUAGGGGCUGGGGCUGGGGCUGGGGCUGAGCGGUAGAGCACUUGCCUGGCAUGUGUGAGGCACUGGGUUUGAUUCUUAGCACCACAUAUAAAUAAAUAAAAUAAAGGUCUAUCAACAACUAAAAAAUAUUUAAAAAAAAAAAAAAGAAAAAAAGAAAUUGACUUUUAGAUGAUACUUAUUUUUGUUAUAAUUUUUUUAUUAGUUACACAUGACAGUACAAUGAUCUUGACAAUUCAUACAUUUGAAUCAAAUGGGGUAUAAUUUCACGUUUUUCUGAUUGUACAGGUUGCAGAAUCACAUUGGUCAUACAGUCACCUAUAUACAUACAGCAAUAAUAAUGUCUAUUUUAUUCUGCUGCCCUUCCUAUUGUUAUAAUUUUUAACAUGAUUAUUAAUACAAGUUCAUUUUUAAAAACAUAACGAACCCUCCUUUUCCUACUCCAAAAUCCUUCCUUAACCCUCAAAUCAGUAAAAUACUCACCUAUAUUUUCUCCUAUUUUAAAUUUUUUUCUUCUCUUUAUUUAUUUAUUUUGGGGGUGCUGGGUCUUGGACUCGGCUUCAUACACUAGGCGAGCCACUCUACCAUUGAGCUGUAUCUUCAGCUCAGCAAAGUUUCUCUUUUUUAAAAAUAAGGUAAGAAUUUAUAUUGUAUUUUUAAUAGUUUCGUUUCCCUUACUUUCACUUUCCUUAUGUGUUAUUAGCUGGAAAUAAUUCAUCAUAUGAUGAGGAGUGAGGCCUAGUUAUUAAGUAAUUUUAUCCCUUCCUCUGUUGAUUUGUGGAGAUGUUUUAUCAUGUGGUAUAGAUUCUUAAUAUUCCAAGAAGCCUACCAAUUAAGAGUUGGGGCUUUGUGAUUGGCCACAUCUGGGUUCAGAUCCUGGCACUACUAUUUUUUUUCUGGUUGUGAGCAAGUUACUCAGUCCAUUUCAUCCUCAGUUUUUCCACCUAUAAAAGGGUGAUUUUAGGGACGGUUCCAUUGAAGGAUGCAUGUGGGGCAGUUAGCAAGGAGUGAGCUGCCCAGGAAACAUCACAUUGAGUAUGCAUCAGCUGCUAUGACAGUGACUAUGAUAUUAAUAAAGUUAUUCCAUAACUUUAACAAAUGGUGUAGAAAGCAUUCACUUCAAAUCUUUAGUGAAUUACUUGGGAAUAUAAUUGAAAACUAAAACAAAGCUGCAUUCACACCUCCACAGUGUGGACCUUCGAUUGGUGCACUCACAGCUGAGUUAUACACAACCACAUCCACAGGGCACACAAUUCACAUCUUGCCUUAGAAGAAAGAUUUGGAAGGAUAUUAAGGUCAGACUAUCUCAAAACUUGGAGGGUUGGUAGUCUGCAUUGGUUUAAUUUUUUGAACAAUGAUUAUGUAUAUCAAGGGAAAACAAGAUUUUCCAUUGGAAAAAGUGCUCAUCUCAACAAGGUUAUGAAUCAGCAUCCAAGAUUUAGGGCUUAUCAAAAAUAGCAAAAACAUCAGCACUUAAAGCUGCAAGUGCAGAGAGGACCUGAGGAACUGUUUCAAGGUGAAUCUCUUGUUCCAUCCAUCUCUGUUCUUUCUUUUCCACUUUAUUUAUUGUAAUUUUAGAUUGCACGUCAUCAUCUGUAAAGGCAAUGCCCUGCAUUCAUUUACAUUUUGAAUUUUACUUAGCAACUUUUUCCCCUUAGUUUCCAGAUGAAAUUUAGAUUCCCUUAAGCCUUCCUAAUUGCCUACUGCUGUCUCCACUUGGAUUUAAUAAGAAUGUCAGAUGUAAUAUUCCCAAGCCAAACUCCACUCUCAGUAACUGGCCACCCUGCCUUCCCGUUUGCUGACAGUGAAACCCUGUGUUCAUCCUUAACCUUACUUUUUCUCUCAGACCCCGUAUCCCGCCCAUCGGGUAAUGUAGUAGACUGUUUUUUCCACGGAGAUCCAUAACCCAAUCACUUCUCACUUCUUCCACUGCCUUCAUCCUUUAUCCCUUGCCUAAAAAAAUUCAACAGUCUAAUAAUUUGUACCAAUUUCGUCCCGUUACACAUUAUUCUUAACACAGGAGUCAGAGUGAUCCUUUAAAACCCAAAUGGGGUCUCAUUACUCCUCUGCUCAGAACUCUCCAGCAUCUCGCCAUCUCACUGAGAUCAAAAUGCAAAGCCUCCACAUGAUUCAUCUCCUACCCACCUGCCUAUGACUGCUCUCAACUCAUUCCCUGCUACUCGCUCUGCUCUAGCCAUAGGAUCACCUGGACCCUGGCUUUUCCAUAUUUAUACCAGGCAUAUCUCAGCCUGUGACUUGCUUCCACAGGUGUCUGCCCUCAGUUGUUUCAGAGCUCAGCACAAAUGUAGCCCAUCCCAGAGGUAUACCCCGAACUACUUACAGAAUUCAGUACAUUCCCUGUCUAGGCUAAUAUCCUUUAUUUUUCUACGUUAGCACCUAUUACCCUUUGAUAUAUAAAACCACUUAUUAACUAUUGUUCCCUGUCAAAGAAGAUUUCUGUGAUUUGAUUUAGAAGACUCUUCAUUACAAAAAUUAAUACGGAAAAAAAUAAUUUUUGAAAUUAUUAUUCUUCCCAUGGAGAACUUUGCUGCCUUUAAUUGUAUUUAAGUCUUUUGUGUCCUCUAAUGUGUAUGAAUCCUAAUUAUAGGUCUUCUCAUGUGGAAAUCAAUGACAAAAACUUUCUCACUAAAGUUUUUCAUAAUUUAUUUAAAAAUUGAGACGUAAUUCACUAUUCUAAAGUGAACAACUUGUAUUUUUUUGGCACAUUCACAAAGCUGUGCAACCAUGACCACUAACUCCAGAACAUUCUCACCCCCAAAAAGUAACCCUACGCCAUUUAGCAGUCAAUGCCUAUUUCCCUUACCCAGUACCUGGCAACUGUUAAUCCUCCUUUAUUUCUCUAUAAAUUUGCCUGUUCUGAAUAUUUCAUGAAAAUGAAAUUACAUAGCACAUAGACUUUUUUUUUUGCCUGUUUUCUUUCACUUAGCAUAACAUUUUCAAAGUUCAACCAUAUUGUAGCUGCAAUGGUUUGAAUGGUUUGAGUGUAUCCCCCAAGGGUUCAUAUGUUGAAAAUUAAUCCCGGUUGUGAGAGAUAAAGAGGAGAGGUGAUCUGACUAUGAUGUUUGGAGAUGGGGCCUUUGGAAGGUGAUUAGGAUCAGAUAAAGUAGUCAGGAUGCAGCCCCCAUGAUUGAAUAUCAGGGGCCUUGUAAGCAAAGAUAAAUCAGAGGAGACAAAACACAUGUACACACUCUCUGUCUCUUGCCAUGUGAUGUCGUGGACUGACAGCAACCAUCACCAGAUGUGGUCCUUCAACCUGGACCUCCAGAACCAUGAGCCAAAAUAAAACUCUUUCAUGAAAACUUAUUCAGUCUGUGGUAUUAUGUUAUUGGCAACAAAAAACAGAUGAAUACAGUGGUAUAUACCAGUAGUCUAUUCUUCUUUAUGGCUGAAUAAUAAUCCACUGUAUGAUACACCACAUUUUGUUUUUUUUAUACAUUAAUUGAUGGAUACUUCAAGUUGUUUGCAUCUUUCAGCUAUUAUGGAUAAUAAUACUAUGAACAUUCAUGUGUAAGUUUUGGUGAGAUAUGUGAUUUUAGUUCUCUUGGGGACAUAUCUAAGAGUAGAAUUGCUAGGUCAGAUGUAACUCUAUGUUUAACCUUUUGAGGAACUGCCAAAUUGUUUUACACAGCAGCUGCAAAUAGCAAUGGUAGGAUUUCAAUUUCUCUAUGUCCUUGACAACUUGUAUUAUUUCCCAUCUUUUCUAUCAUGUCCUUUCUAGUAGUUAUGAAGUAGUAUGUUUUUGUGGCUUGGCUUUGCAUUUUCCUAAUAACCAAUUUUUUUAGAAGUCCAGAACAACAGUGGCUCUAGUUUUGGAAUGAUAUUAAUUAAGUAACUUGUCAUAUAUUUAUUAAAUGUUCUUUGGAUAAAUGUCUAUUCAAGACCUUUUUUGUUGUUGUUUUUUAAAUUGGGUUGUCUUCUCGUUGAGUGUAAAUAUUCUUUACGUAUUCUAGACACUACACCCUUAACAGAUAUAUGAUUUGCAAGUAUUCUCUCCCAUUUUGUGGGUUAUCUUUUUGUUCUUUUAAUGGUGUUCUUUGAAGCAUAAAAGUUUUUAAUUUUGGUAAAGUCAAAUUAUUUAUCUUUUCCUGGGGUACUUACACCUUUGUUUUCAUAUCUAAGAAAACAUUGUUCAAUCCAAGGUCAUGAAGCUUUAAUCCUAAAUUUUCUUCUGAGAGUUUUAUUGUUUUAGUCUGGGUAUUUAUGUCUUUGAUCUUUUUGAGCUAAUUUUAUGUAUGGUGUAUAUAAAGUGAGGUAGGUACCCAACUUUCUUCUUUUGCAUGUAAAUAUCCAGUUGUCCCAUUACCCUUUAUUAAAAGAUUUUUUUCUUCCAUUUAAUAGUCUUGACCCCCUUGACAAGGUCAAAACCAAUUGACCACAGAUGAAUGGGUUUAUUUCUAGACUCACAGUUCUAUUUCAUUGCUUUAUAUUUAUUAUCUGGAUUCUUGACAUACUGCAGUGAAAUGAGUGUAUUUUAUUCUCUAACAAGCACCAAAAUUAUACUCUUAUACCAGUUCAUGCUUGUUCCUUGUUUACUGGUAUGGGGAGGAGAUUGACCUCCUCUGAGACGUGAGGACUAUAAAGGAUAUUCACCUGAAAAGAAGAUGGAGCUCUAAAAUACUCUUUAAAUACAAAGCUCAAAUUCAAGUCCAUUGAGCUUGACUAAAAGAAUUCAAAACCUAGUAAUUUUAGGGUAGGAAUAACUCUGUAGACCCAUCACCCUUAAAUUCAUGUGAGGAAAUAUUAUUGAAUGCUGUCUUUCUGUUCUGCUUUGUAGAAGGUUAAAGGUGGGGAAUUGCAUAAAACUUACCUAAAUUGCAGAAGACUUACCUGUCUGUGAUGCACAUGAUAAAGCAGCUUUGAUUUAAGGAUUUUUAUUUCCUUGCAUACUUCCAACAUAAACAAUUUGCAACAAGUUACCAAAAUAGUAAAUUGAUUAUAUGAAAUUAUUUUUUUAGAGGUCCAGAACAAUAGUGGUUCUAGUUUUGGAAUGGUUAAUUUACAGCCCUUCUCUUUGUCAAUAAUUAACUAGUAGGCCAACGAUCUCUUUAGGCCACUCCUUGUUAAAGAUAAUAAACAUUAUUGGUGUAUAAUAAAAUGCUGUCUUUCUGUUCUGCUUUGUAGAAGGUUAGAGGUGGGGAAUUGCAUAAAACUUACCUAAAGUGCAGAAGACUUACCUAAAAUUACAUUAGUUUGUUAGCAAGCAGGCUAUAACAAGGGGUACAAAAACAAAUGAUUUCCUGGACUGAAAACUGUCUUUCUGUCUUUAGAGACCAAAGCUAUGUUGACAUAAUUUCCAUCAACCCAAGAUUGAUCUCUUUCUUCCUGUGUACUGGUACUAGAGAGCCUGGAAGAGCCAUAGAUUUUAUAUUUUUACUGUGUUUAAGCUAUAACAAAACUUUUAAAAGCAUUUUUUAAAAAAGCAUUUAAAAAAUCAUUUUCUAGCUACCAUACCCCUAUUCUGUACAAUCAGGCAAAUGCCACUUGUCAUCUUCAGCAGAUUAGAGAGUACUCUCUAAAGAGGAUAAAGUAGGACUUGCGGAGGCAUCAGAAAUAGGGGACCAUAUUACGUCAAGGGGAUUAAGGAGAAGUCUGAAAGUAGAAGAGGCCUUCUCCCACUCCCACUUCCCAGAAGUCUAGCAAUGAUAUCUUUUCCCAUUAAGUGGGAGACUAGGAAAUCAUUCUCUGGAGAAUCUGACUAGCCCAAGAAAACACCAAAAAUAGGUGUAUGGGGUAGGGCGGGGGCUCCAAUUAAGACUCAGUCAUGUCACCUGUAGGGAACUAUUUCAAUGACCAAAUUUAUCUACAAAUAAAAAACUUCCAGUUAAUUUUAGUGGUCCCAUUCUUAAAUAAAAACGACCAGAUCCUUGAGGCAAGUCUCUACUAUGAAAGACCAAAACAAAGAAGAAAAGAAGAAUAAAACAACUUGGGGGAAAUAGAUUGCAAGGUAAAGAAAAUGUUUCUAAAAAUUACUAAUUCCACUCGAGGGAAAGAUUGUAUCCAUGAAAAUACUUGGCUAUUUGAGAGGAAGAUUCUGAAAACAAAAAGGAGCUCUCAAAAAUUAAAAAUGAGGGACUGGGGUAUGAGCUCAGUGGUAGAGUGCUUGCCUAGCAGGUGUGAGGCACUGGGUUCCAUCCUCAGCACCACAUAAAAAUAAAAUAAAGAUGUUGUGUCCACUGAAAACUGAAAAAUAAACAUUAUAAAAUUCUCUCUCUCUCUCUCUCUCUCUCUCUCUCUCUCUCAAAAAAAAAAAAAAAUGCCUACUGAUUGCCUAGACGAAUAGGUGAAUAUAGACCCAUAACAAUUGUGUCAUCAAGUUAUCUCAAAACACCUGGGCAAACCUUCCAGGAAGACAGAGACAGUGAGAAGGGUGAUGGUGCUGUGUAAGCAGGGGAUGUUACAUACAACAAAAGUAUCAAGAGUCAGAAUGACAUCGGCUUUCUCAAAAGAGUCCUGGGAUGUUGCCUUCACAUUUCUGAGGGGACAUAAUUUCCAUCACAGAAUUCUCUAUCUAUCCAAGCUAUGCAAUACAUGUGAGGGUAGGACAAAGACAUUUCAGACAUGCAAAGGAUUUCCAUGGAAUUGUACCAGUCAUACCAAGAUCACAAUCAAAGGAAACUGAUCGAUGUUUUCUGUUUGUUUGUUUUUUAAUCAAAAGGUGGCCAAGAAAGAGUAAGUAACCAAAAAAAGUAGGACACAUUAAAAAUAAUACAUGAGAAUAAGAAUUCAAAGCCAUUGAAGUUCACUUUUUAUUCAAUUAUGUCAUGAAUAUCUACUUUCCCUCCAUUAAAUGCUGAGUGUACAGUGGUGAGGAAAAAAAAAGACAUUUAUCUUUGCCCUCAUACAGCACAUUAGUGAAAUGUUUAAAUGAUUAUACAUACACUUAAUGGAAUAUUAUGUGAACACUAAAAAUACAUUGAAAAUAGAAAUGUAGGAUUGGUUUACAGUAUAAUGUGAGGCAAACAGAAUGCAUAGUAUAACCAAACAUGAACAAGAAGUCAUAAAACUGAAAAUAAGUGUGGGGAUGGUACACUUAUGAAUACAUUUUUUUCUUUUUUCAAAAAGCCCUUGGAUUUUGUAUUGUGUUUUCAAAUAAUUGAUGGAAGCAUCAAAACAUAGAAUUGAUGAAAGUCCUAAUUGCCUGUUUAAAAUUUUAUAGCAAAUAUUUCAUUUGGAAAAAGUUGUUGCCACUUUAAAAAAUAUUUAAUUUUUUCUGAAAGCUGUGUAACUCUUCAUCCUUGACAGGAUCUUAUAUUUGAUUCCCCACUUCUGGUAGGAGAAACAGGGUCCCUUGGUGAGAUGAACUUGUUCUAGCUAUGCAGAGAAACAGGCAGAUAUGAGAAGGCAUGCAGAUCCAGAAUCAGAGGCUAGAAAAGCCGAUUAGACCUCAUCUGUUAAUUAGCUCUCUGAAUCUCUAAGCAGGUGAAUAAAAUGCCUGCCUGUGACCAAAUCAGAGAAAAGUCACUGGCAGUAUGAGGGCAGUUGAUGCCAGAUGAUGUAUUUUACUAUUCCUGGCCCCUGAGGUAUGAAUCAUGCCUGAAGGGAUGUUACUGAAGUACUUUCCUUAGUAGUUAGUGAACGCUCAUUUUAGCGCUGAGUGUUUGUGUCAAAUACGAGAUUCCAAGAAUCUCCAUAUGAAUUGCUGUUUACAGAAGUCUUUUAUACUCUAUAGGAAAUAAAACUGUCUAGGACCAGCUCAUUAGAUGUAGCCUUGGACUUUAAGUCCAGGAAGAGACUUUGAACUCUCAAAGAGACUGACACAAAGAAAAUUCAGGAAUCCUGGAAAUGAGUGUUCUAAUCAUUCCUUGGGACGAGCUGGAGUAUGUUGUAAAUUUUUUCAUGUUCAAGGGAAGAGGAAAAGAUAGAGAAUCAAAGUAUCUUAUUUUUAAGUGUAGCAUUUGGUUUUUUACAUAUUUUUAAAUUUAAAAAUAGGAAAGCUAGAUGUAAUAUGGUCUUCUGGAUGGGAGCCUGAAACAGAAAAGGACAUUGUGGAAAACUGACAAAAUCUGAAUAAAGUAUGGAACUCAUUUAACAGCUCUCCAACACUGUUGGUCCACUAGUUGUCUUAGUGAUGUCAAAAGUUAACAGCAGGGGUAACCAUGUGUAGGGUACAUGGGAGCUUUCUAUAUUAACUUUUUAAAUUUUCUGCAACCCAAAACUAUUCUAAAAUAAAAGUAUAUUUAAAUUUUAAAAAAAGAAUAAAGAACUUUUAUCUCAAUCUCAGUCAAAUCACAAUUUUGGCAUAAGCCUAGAGUCCAGCCAUGUGACCCUAACUAAGCAACAACCAGUAUUGAAUGUCAGUCUAAUUAUAGGACCUGUUAUUUUCAAUGGUCAGGGGGAAAAAAUCAUAAAAGUUGAAACUGCAAGUCAAAAUAUGUAAAAUUAUCAAAAAGAAACUAAUAAGAUAGCACCAUUUAGAUGAGGUAUUGUAGAAAACAGGAAAUCAUUGUAAUGUCCUUGGUGAGGAACUGAUAUAGUAAAAGCAGUGGGUUAGGGAUUGGUUCUAUCUGCAGUUUGCCAAAUGGAAUGAAGUUGGAAAGAAAUCUGAGGUAGGAGGAUCAGCAAAGAGGCAGUACGUGGAAUUUAAAAAUAAAAUUUCAACAUUAACCCUGAAUAAACAGAGCCUGUUGUGGAGACGGAUGCCUCUGGAGAUUUUAGCCUGACACCAUUAGAUAAUUGAAUCACUGAAUUACUUCAUAUUCUCUUGUUCCAAGUCUGAGCUCUCCUGGCACUGCCUGGUCAGAACUAUCUGGUCACCUCUUGUCCUGCAGUGGCCCCAUGCUUGCUUGAGAGUCAAGCUGAGUCUACACUUCUUUCAUUAUUAACCCAUCCUAAUGAGUUUUUUAACAAGUUAUUAAAAAAAGAGAAUUAUCAUUAAAAGAAAAUUAUCUCAAGCUUAUAGAAAAGCUGUUAAAUAAGAAUGGUUCACAGGACACCAGGUGAUAUAGAGUCACACCUAUUGUUAAACAUUCAUUUCAUUUCAUUUGCAUCUUCUUUUUCCAUCUCUCUCUGCCUACCCCUCCCCCAUUUUGAAUCACCUGAGCAGAAUGUACGCACAUCGUGGCCCUUCUCUUCUAAAUACUCAAUGUGUAUUUCCUAAGAUUCAGGAUAUCCUUCUGCAAAACCACAGUAUCAUUAUUAUCUUCAGUUAGUUUACUCAGUCACUGUUCCAUGAAUUGACCUGAACUAUGGGAACACCCAUUAUCCUGGUCUGACUUGUCCCACGGCUAACUGAAUUACAGGAGUGAAAAACCCAAAGUUUCAUGUGGACUUUCAGGUUUGGGUCUUUGAGAGUACCACAGAAUCCUCAGAAUAGCUUCAAAUUUGAUUCAUGGUUCAGCCUCUAAAAAUCUCUUUGUUAAAGAAUAAUGCUGAUACCAAUACUGAUGAACCCGGCGCUAGCAUUCCUUACCACGUGUCAGGCAUUGUUCUAAGCACUUUGUAUUUAUUAAUGUAUUUAAUCCUUAAAGGAACAUACCAUGAUUAUCUUCGUUUUAUACUUGGGGAAGUGUAGGCACAGAUGUUAAAUACCUUGACCACCAAUACACAGCUGAUAAGGAAGUAGUAUCAAGUCUUGAACCCAGGCUCUCUCAGAUAUUCCUUUUAUUUGUUAAUCUGGGUAUUAUGUAUGUAUGUGUGUGCAUUUAGCCCUCUUACAUUUCUUAAUGUCUAAAGAUUAUCCCACGUUAUUUCUGGUUACUGAUUGAUUCUCAUUGUCAUGUCCCCCUAGGAGAGAAGCAUUCAUUUGCUUGAUGUGUUUGUUUUCAGCUAAAGAGAAGAUGACUGGGUUCAUGAGACCGGAAGAAUGAACUCAAAGGAGGCUGUCUACAUUGGGUUCUCCCACUCAGCAGCUGUGGAGCGUCUGAGGAUGAAGAGCAGGAUCUUAUUACUUGAACAGAGGCAUGCGACGAGGUUCCCCAGCCAUGAACAGCCAAGUGGAUUUGCUGCAGUGGGGCAGUCUAAUAAAUGAUUAACCAGAAGCUUUGGUAAUAAUCUGUCUUGCAGCAGUGUCUUCAAACUUCUCUUCUAAUCUUGUGCAUGUUUAGAGAUUCCAUUCUAGAUUCCACCUAAUGCCAGUACUGCUACAGUCUGCAUCUGCAAGGGAAUUCUCUUGGUGCAGGCUGGGUCUGUCCUCUUUGACUCUACUAUUUAUAGAGCUGAUGUGGGUUAACAGCUAUUAUUUAUUCAGGGCCUCUUCCAGGCCAAGCAUUAGGAUGAGUGCACUACAUACAUUUAGUCCUUACAACAGCUCUGUAAAUUUGCGCCUAUUAUUUUCAUUUUGCCCAUAAGGAAAUGGAGGCUCAGAGAGUUUGUGUGCUAUGGUAAGAUCAAAAGGUUGCCAGGGUUAGUAUUCAAAUCAAGGCUCCUACACUUUAACACUCUGCUUUACUCAUUAUUGUUUCAGAGAAAAUUACUCUACAAUACCAUCACAGGUAUUACUUCCUCUCUGAGUAAGGGUGGGGAUGGUGAUGCAUGUAUGUGGGAAGUGUCUUCAAGGGAGCAUCAGUGAGACCAUAGAGGUGCACAAGAAUCACAGAGUGAUAUUCUAAACAAAAUAAUUCUUAACGUGCUUUUAUGGCCUGAGUCAAAUCCAGCCCCCAAUCUAUUUUUGUAAAUAAAGUUUUAUGGGAACACAGCCACACCCAAUCCUUUGUAUACUGCUUAUGGCUACUGUCUUCUAUAGUGGCAGAGUUGCAUAAUUGUAACAGAGACCAUGAAUAAAAUAUUUACUAUAUAGCCCUUUCAGAAAAACUUUACCAAUUCCCAAUUUAAUGAUUUUGGAAGAAAGUCAUCCAUUUUCAUUAAGACCUUUUUCUUAUUUUUUCCAUUUGACUGAAAACUAUUUAAAAAUUUAUGACGUUUAGAUAAUCCCUAUAUUCUAAUGGAUGUGGUGGUAGUGGUGGUGGAGUGGGGGUUGUGAGCUAUAAGGAUCUAACUAGGGAAAGGAAGGGGCUGGGGAGGGACCUGGGCCUCCUGGUCCCCCUAAACUCUUCACCCCAGACUCCUCCCACUCGCUUCCUUCCUAUUCCUCCUGCCAAAUUGUGUCCUAAAAUAACUUUUGGUUCAUAAACAUGUAAGUGGCUUCCCACAUACUACUUGCUCAAAUCCCAGCGCCUUGGUCAGGAAUUCAAAGACCAUGACAGUCUGAUCUCUACUAAUCUCUUUUCUCAACCCCCUCUCCCCACCUUUUCUUUUUAACCGUGAGGAAAUCAUGCCAAAUUAAUUUAAAUUUAAUAUGUAAAUUUAUAUAUUUCAAAGCCAACUUGUCAUCGAUUCACUUUUAUGAAAAACAGAAGAAUAAAUACAAAUACA